GGUCCCUUUCUUUUCUUUUCCUUUUUCUCAGCAAUGGGAGUAAAUUCUGAUACAAAAUGAGGUCAAUCUACACUUCUACACUACUGGAAUUGACGCAAGUGGAACCACUUUUCCAACUCUUUUUUUCCCUUCCUUUUUCUACCUUUGCUACCCAGUACCUAAACCAAGUCACACGAUAAGUGGUUUGCUUCCCAGCACAUUAGCAAUGGAACUACCAGAGACAUUAGACAACGAUAUCAGAAGAAACGACAACAAUUAGAAAAAUGAUUAAAACACUCCCUCCUCCUAGCUGAAAAAUACUAGAACAGCAAUGUUGUUUCUCUACCAUGAUACGCCUCAGAACCUUUUUUUUUUCCCGGUCACUGAAUGUCUCUCACGGGAAGACGGCGGCUCCAAGGCUUCUCGUUUUCGACUUGAUCAAAUGGAGGAGAUUCCAGGAUGAUUGACCAUCCAUCGUCAGUGUUCCGCGCAGCAAGUUUAUUGUCGCUGUUCAAGUGCGUCCUGUCAUCAGCCUGCCGUAGCAACGCUGCUCGUCUGCUCCUCGCUUCUCUUGGCCGUAUCAAGCUCCACGGCGACCUUGUUGCUCUGUUCCUCGCUUCCUUUGGACACAUCCAGGUCUGCUGCAACACCAUUGCUCUCCUCGCUUCUCUUGGCUGUGUCAACAUCUGUUGCAACCACUUUGCUCUGCUCAAUUGUCUUGGCAUCUGCUGCAUCCACGUUGCUCUGAUCCUGACCUCUCUUGGCUGUAUCAACAUCUGCUGUAACAUCCUUGCUCUGCUCCUCAAUUCUCUUGGCAAUAUGAUGCUCUAUGGUACUUGCAGCUUGAGCCUGCUUUUCAAGCUCUGCAGGUUUCUCAUCCUUUGGCUGCAAAAAUUAAUUUACAUCAAACACAUUGUAAAAUUGUGACCCCUCUAUCACCGAUCAAUGAACAAGAAUCAUAUUAUCCCCAAUCUUUAUGGUCAUUCAACACGUAAAUCUAGUUUAUUCAAGUCCAGAAAUACGGCAAAGCAAAACUGGGUCUUUCCAUGAUGCCACAAAGCGAAAGUGCAAAUGGCAAACUGGCACAUCACUAUUGGCAGGUAAUAAAAUUUAGCAAACCGUGUGUUUAAUAACAAGACAGACACUGCCUUGUUAAAGUAAAUGCAGAGAAACAAGCAGUUCACUAUAUACCGUGAGGUGAUCCAAUGAUGUAGCGAGCGGCUUGCCUCUUCUGUCCUGCAUUACUUUCUGCCUAUUCUCAUAGAAGUCAAAGUCAUCCAAUAUUGACGUUUUACAUGAGAAGUUCUUGAAAAUGUUCAGCAUUUCUCCACCUUGCAGAAACUUCACCUGGGAUUCACAGUCAUUUAGUUAUGAUGAGUCAAACUAAAUAAAAAUAUCAAUAAUAAAGUGUGAGUAUACAUGGUUGACAUAAGAAAAUGUCGAGAGUAAAAUUAAACAUUAAUUGGUCAUUGGAAGAACACACAAGAGAGCAGCAUGGACAAAGAUCUGCACUGGUUGUAAGCUAUCAGCAUUUAUUUCAUGACAAAGAACAUGAGGAAUCAAGUAAAGGUGAUAAGAAAUAGGUUAACAAUUUUGUAUGUAGGUCAAACAUUCAUUACAAAAUAAGUCAUUUGUUGCACGGUGCAGAAAUAGGAUUGCAUAUUCCUCUAGUAAGAAGAAUGACGGGGAAAAAUAAAAUGAAAUUUAUGUACCAACAAAUUUAUUCGGAUGUUGUCAAGAUAAUUGACCAACAGAGGUCUAAAUCCUAGCUUUGAUCAUACCGGGAUUCUCUAGUUAGAUAUGGAAGCAAUACCUCUUGAGUGUCCCUGCUGUUUGUAACAGGCUUGUUCUCAUUAUUCUCCAAUAUUAUGUGUCGAAAUUGAGGAUUAGGCACAUCCUUGAUAAUGUGCCAUUUUACUGGGAAGAAUCCAUUCCACUUGUCCUGUUGCCAGAAGUUCAUACUCUUGUUGAAAUCUACUGGGCCAAGCAUCUCAGCCACACCACAGAACUGACCACUAGCAUUAACCUGAUCAUUAUAGUAACAGUCAAUAGAGCAAACAAACCAAAAUUUAUCAUAAUGAAGCAGCAGUAUCCUUUCCCCAAGAGAUACAUAACUAACUAGUUGCAACAGCAAAGCAAGAAACUUUGAACUAUAGCUGAAGGGAACCAAAAAAAGCUUUGAAGCAGAUACAUGUUAAACCUAAUUCAAUGAACCAGAGAAACAAAACAAUCAAAUUGGAUGCUCUCACACAUCAUUAUCGCAAAUUUAAACAAAAUAGCAUGUCUAACCAAGGAAACUAAAUAUGCAUUAUUACGUACUCAAUAACAGUCAGAUACAACAAAAACAAAGAAAAAAGGAUUGAAUAUCACACUACUCUGAUGAUAUUCAGGAUAAGAUGCUUGAGGAACAAGUGUUAUUCACUUACAGAAAAGAAGAGGAAAACAGGGCAUUUGGUUCCUUUUCCUGCCAUUCUUUCUUGUGCAAUUUUAUAGGCAUUGUCAAGCCUUUUAUUUCCAUUAGGAGUACUUGCCCAAACAUUGUACUUGAUACUCUUGUGAAUAUCAUCUUCACUAUAAGAUUUAAUCACGAAGAACAAAGCUUGCUCAUACUUCGUAACAAAAUCAGGAAGAUUAUAUGAAUCUCUGCUUACUGCAACAAGUGAAGGUAUGACAUCAUUAACCUCCUGUACACCCGACAACCCAAAACGAUCUGCUCCUGGGCUCAAAUUGUUUUUUGAAUGAUCAUUGUGUUUAUCUGAUCUAUCACAGUCACCAAAUUCAUUUAGCUUGCUUCUGGCCUUCAGCUUCUCACCACCAUUGCAGUUUCUACCACUUUCAUUCAAAUUAGUGCCUUUACUUUGAUAAAGGCUUCCUUUUCCUUGGUUAGUAUGCGCCACAAACUUGCUAGACGGAAGAUGCCCUUUCGUUAUGGAAGCACCAGAUGCCUAGCAUAACAACAAGCGUAUAAAAUUAUAAGUUUCCUACUUUAUGCUCAGAGUAAUUUGUCCUGUUUUACAGGAAUUUUUCAGUACCUUAUUUGCAAACUUUGAUGAUGGAUAGUUAUUGGCAGAGGUUGGCACUGUGUCUACAGCUGAUGAUGAUCCUUUGGUGGUACCCAAUGCAUACUUUGUGCUGCGUGAAGCUUUUGAAGAUGGAACAGCAUGCUUAUUAGAAGGGUAGUUUGAUCUUGUAGGGUAGCUCGUUUGGUGCACACCAACAGGAUGUCCCUGAACCCCAUCCAUAAGAACAUAAGAAGGGUCCCAUGUGUAUGCAGGGACUAGUUCAGGUCCAUAAGCAAUUGGUUGAGCAUACAUGCCAGGUGUAGAAGGGUCCUGCACGGGAAUCACAGCGGAGUAAUAUGGCUCUUUGCUGACAAACUGACCAUCCACGCCAGUUCCAGGAACAACUUGACUAUAAGCAGUAUAUCCAUUUUCGUAACCCGGAACAUAACACAAAUAAGACCCAUUCUCAGCAUGAACCGCCUGAAACAGAUUACAGAAAAGGUAUAAGCUCAGUUCUAUAGUGGUAUGUCAGCUUCCACAGCUGUAUCUUCAAGAAGCAGUUCGCUCUAGAAUUGCUGAGACCAAGGACUCAAUAGUAACUUAAUAAGGAACAAAACAAAAAAGUGCAAUGCAAAAGUCAACUGUUAAAUCGAGUCCUCUGAAGUCUGCACAGCCCUUUUGUAAUUGGCUCUUCGUCAUUUAAGAUCUCAAUCAAACUAAAUUAGCUAUGGUGCUUGACCACAAUUCUUUGUACAGCAUGGAAUAUCAAAAACAUCCCCUGAAAUAGACAUUCCAUACACUGGCAAUCAUUUAAAUUUGUUUAUCUCAGUCACCAGAAUAAAAUAAUCAUCAAUUCAUGACAGCAUAUUGUGUGGUGACAACUAAAGCAAAAAAGAUAAAACAUAUAGUAUUUUUUUUAUAAAGGUUUGCAAAGAUUUUUUUUAGGCAUGAAGAUAGUAAUGGAAGAAUAAAAGCUGACACUUUCCCCAACAUGGCAAAGGAAAGGCAAGAAAAAGAUGGGAGCAAAUAAGUGCAAAGCUAGCUGGUACCACUAUACCACCAUAGAUGCACUAAGUGCAGCAUUUUUGGGGUUUACACAGGACCACUUGUGACUACUACUGUAGGGAAGGCAUAUAACAUGGUUGAUAAAGUACAUUGUUUGAUAACUUACUGUCGGGUGCAUCUCCAGUCCAUUCGAUCCAGCAUAGUAGCUAUUCUCAUCCCAUCCUCCAAAUGAGCCUAGAAUAACGAUCAAACCAUCAAACUCAAAGAACAGCACCUCUGUUUUCAGGACUUCAGGUGAUAGUACUGAUCAGUUCUACCCACCUGGAUAAUAGUACCCGUAGUAAUACAUCCCUUGGUCCCCCAUAUAAGUUCCUUGGUUCAAUUCAGUGUCCUUGGCAGCAGUACUAGCUGCAUCUGCUGAGGAAAUGCAUGAUAUUGCAUCCGAAGAACUUGCGUCUUUUGCAGCACGCUGCAGAGUUUGGGCACGAAAGGAAUCAGCAAGGGCACGAUAGGUGUAGCCCAACCAACCAAACAAGGAACAAUUCCUUGUACGCUGAGAUAAGCAAGCGGUAUACUAGUAUAUAUGUAUAGAGGAAUGAGAAUCUUACCAAGUUGCCGUUGCUUGCCUUCGUGCUAGCAUCAAUCUUCAAGUUCUCUACUGCCUCUUCUAUAGCUGGAAGAUGCAAAAGUCAAGGCUUGCAAACAGAAUAUAUACUUGAAAGGUCAUUGCCCAUGAGUGAGAACAAAAUAAGCCAACAAGCCCAGAUUGAUGGAUUGAAAUGUUCUUGGUCCAAUAAUGCACAAUAAUUGCCUUGAAUGAGCCCGUUAGAGAUCAGAAGAUCUACAGCGAUCAUCUUUCUGAUUAAGUGCAAGAGACCGUUACAUGAGCAACUUCGUGGUUCGCAAACACCAUGCAGCAGCAGCAGAUCAAUAAGGGCAUACAGCAACCGUAUUCCUAAGUAUACAAACCAUAUUAUUGGCGCAGCUGCUAAUAAAUGGGAGUUGGCUCAGCUCUCACCAUCUCUGAAAAUCCGACAUGUGAGGGAUACCUAACAAAUCUAAUUGUGAAUAUAAAACAACAGAGACCUGCCCUGGCAUGGUAAUGGUAGGACGGCAAAACUGAAUUAUGUCGACAGCAGAUUGAACUGUUUCGAAGUUUUCAUGAAAAAUGCUACGCGCCCAACGACAAUUCAGCAACAUAAUCGACGAUUUAUUUAUGUAUUUUCAGACCGCGAUCUGAUCAGAGAUCAAAAAGUCCCUUAAAGCCAGAUCAGAGGAAAAGCUUUUCCAACCCUUUAAAUUAAACAAGUGUAAAGAAAGAUGAGAAAUCAGGCUGAGUACACACGCCUGUCGUCCAUGAAAAAAAGAAGAGGCAGAAACACUGGUACCAAACUGAAGAAAAUACCCAAAAAAAAUCGAGAAUUUUGAUCAAAUACAGUAGUGGCAUCUCUGACGGAUAAAAGAGAGAGAGAGAGAGAAAAAAAAUGGAGUUGGAUGGCAAUGGAACCGCUCAACUCAGCAGCACUGGGAAAGUUAGCAAAUCAAAACAAAUUUGAAAACACGGAGAAAUCCCAUUGAUCGAAUCCAAGAAGAAAGACAAGCCCGAUAUCAUGUGUCAGAUCCAGCUCCCGGCGGAUGGACAAGGAGCAAAGGAUACGCUUGUGGGUGAGCGCGGGCUUUGGCUUGGGCUCCAUGAGGCCGCACCAGAGGUCGCCGCAGAAGAAGCCGGGGCUACGCGUGUCCUCCAGCUCGACCGUGGGUUGGGCCGGGAGGGACUCGCCGGAACCCUAGGCUGCUCCGGCCGCCUGUGCCGGAGGAGAAAAAGGAGCCGCGUCGGCGUCGGCGGCGUGGCGUGUGGUGUAGGGCGGGGGGCGCGGCCACGUGUGCGCGAUCGGACGGCUGGGGAGCGGGGGUGGCGCGGUGUGGGGGCGGAGCAGCGAAGCGAAGCGAAGCGACGCGGCCGAAGCGGGCUCCUGAAAUCUAGCGGGGGCGGGGGCGGGGGCUGGAGCAAAAGCAAAGCAAGGCAGCCGCUCCGCCUGUUGCGGCCGAAUAUUUGUAGCCUUUCAGCACUAUGCGUUUCGCCUUUUUCUCUUGUGAGAUGAGCUCGAAAGCUAACCAUCGCGUUCCACAUCGGUGCAAUUUCAUUUCUUGGUGCGUGAUCAGUGUAUUUGUGGUACGAGCGGCAGUUUUGUGAUGUGAAGAAAAAGGGAGGCGAAAUGUUGGUGGAUGCCGCUGUCAACGUGAAGGUGCCGUCCGUACGGCCGUAAAAACGUGUCGUCAACUAAUUCUGAUGGCGUAAACUCUGUGAUUUUCUUGAUCUUAGCAAGUCAAGGUGGCGUGCGGUUUUUUAUUUUUUUGGUUGAUAGCAAUCGGCGAGGAGCUACACCGGUUUGGAUCGUGGAGAAUAAGCGUCCAACCAACAUGAACAUUGAACUGUGUGCUCGCGGUCUACUAGAUGUGUCGCGAUAGCUUGACGGCAGUUAAGAGUGCCGGUCGGGGGGAGGGGGGGGCAGAGGAUACAUGCUGCGUUUUUCCAAGGUGAGGAAUAUUUGUGAAGGGCGACCCAUAUUUGGGUUGGGUCUAAAAGAAGAGGUGAAGAAUUUCUGGUGGUCCAGAUCACGAUCGCUCGAAAAUCAAUCGUUUCCUGAUGUGGGUGCGACCUGACCGCACCUGACCUGGCCGCGAAGGGAGAAAUGAAGCGAAACAAGCCGGGAGCCCAACGACACCCAGGGGAAUUCGGUGUCAAGCGCGGGCGGGCGGUUCAAUUUGCGCGGGGUGCUGAUCGCCGGUGCGGCAGGCAGGAGGCGACCAGAAUAGUUGGCCUUUGGCAUCAGGACAGGACCGCACGCGUUAUCUUGGAGGAUCAGUUGCGGAGUGGCGUCGGUGCAGGUGCGGUCUGGUGGCGCCCGUGCCCGCGUCAAUAGUCGCCCGGGUUAUCAACCAGACCGACGGCAACUAUAUUUUCGAAAAAUUUCGAUCUACUCCCUCCGUUCCGAAAUAUAAGACAUUUUAAAGAUUUGAUUAUAGACUACAUACGGAGUAAAAUGAGUUAACUUAUUUUCUAAAAUAUGACUACAUACAUCUGUAUGUAGUAUAUAGUGGAAUCUCUAAAAGAUCUUAUAUUUAGGAAAGGAGGGAGUAUUUAUCUUCAGUCAUAAUAUUAUAAUAAACAUCAGAAAUAAUAAUAAAAAUUACAUUCAGAUUUGUAUAUCAUUUAACGAUGACUACGAUCACGGAAGCGAGUCGAAGACGUGUCGCCGUCAUCGCCCCUCCCUCGCCGGAGCCACGCGUAACUUAUUGUAGUAUACGGUCGAUAAGUCGUCGUGCUAAGGCCUUAUAAGACCAACGCACCGGAACAACAAUCGCCGCCGAUGAGAAAGCUUUGAUCGAAAGAUUCAAUCUAAAGACACGUGAACAAAGACGAACAAGGACCGGAUCCAAACACAUCCACCAAAGACAACCACCGACCAAAUCUCGCGAAAUCCACUGGUAACACACCUUCACACGUCCUCUAAUGAUACUAAACGCAACACCAAAACAGGGGAUAGACGGAAAGAAUCUUAUCCCAUCUCCAAGAAGUCGUCUUCGUCUCGUCUUUCUGAACAUGAUACAAACCCUGUCAAAACUUGAAGAAACACCUAGAAACAGAGUCGUGCCGCCAACAAAGGUCGGGAUACACCGCGCACGCAUGACCCUAAGAGCAUAUACAACCACGGUUUGCAAAUUCGAACCCUCAAACAUCCGCAGAUGUUAGAGCAUAUAUCUCCAUAUGUGGUUUUGGUAAUUGAUGACAAUUCCUAUGGACUAAUGGUUGCCUUAAGUUAUAUUUAUAGGAUUUGUCCAUAGGCACUUCUUGAAGUCCAUCUGUUGGGUUCAAGGAGUUUAUAUGAUGACCAAGAUGGUAUUCAAGGUAUUAUCCAAAGAAUGGUCAUAGAGACACAAGGUUGAUCAAGAUCUCAGACAAAGAGUAAAUCAAGAUGAUCAACACACAAAGCGUACAAGAUGUACCAAGAGGGAUCAAGUGAUCCCAUGGUAUGGUAAGCAUUGUCCAUUACGUGUUUAUGUACUAACUCAUGGUCUUCAUGAGAGUUCUAUGUGUGGUUAGGUGUGUUUCCAUGGGCUUGCGUCAAAAGGAAGAUCUCAUACAACCCAUGAAGGAUGACGUCAAGUGGUGAUCAUCAUCAAGAUUGCGGUGUGCAAGUUCAAGAGGAUCAGCACGAAUAUAUCGUGCUUGAAGCAUGCCGUCCAUUGUGGUGGCAAUGGACUUGUGAAGGUAUGCUAAAGAGUGGCUCACCCAUAGUGAGUAUGGGGGAGCAAUCAACUAAUCUUCAUCAAGCCAACGCAAUCAAGAAAGGUGGUCCAUCUUGAGGAAGCCAAGAUCAUCAUCAUCUAUCUCAAGAGGUCGAGGUGCGAGGUAUAGGUUUGCCCUUGAUAGGUUUUCUGUUUAGGAUAGAAUGUUGUACUCUCAAGGGGGGCUCUCAAGUGAUUAGCUUGAUCGUAUCGUUCGUUGAGAGCUCAAACCAUUUGCAUCCUUGCAUCAUACUUCUUGGUUCUUAUUUGGUGUUUCUCUUUGUGAUUUUUAGAGCUUAUGGUCAUCUUCAUGACAAGCUUGAGUUCAUCGAAAACGGAGUCCAUAUGCAACUACUAUGAUGUUUUCUAUGUUGGAGUUUUUGUCGGUUCUUCAUUCAUAGAGGUCUCACAUCUCUAGAUCAUUGACAUUUUCAUAUCAGCAUGGUCUUAAGAUUUUUAUAUCUGUUUGGAUUGCUCUUGUCGUCCUGAAUCCAACAAGCUUGGGUUUGCUCGAUUCGGAGCUCGUAUGCGAAAGUUAUGGCUGUUUCAGUGGCGAACAGUAGUACCGCUGGCCCUAGCGGUAGUACCGUUUGAGCUGGCGGUAGUACCGCUGGCCCAGCGGUAGUACCGCCUCGGGUCAGCGGUAGUACCGCUCCAGGACUUUAGUACCGUCAUCUUUGCGGUUGUACCGCGUCGGACCUUUUUGCGAAGACUUUCUUGGCGGUGGUUGGCCCGGUAGUAUCUUUGCGCUACCAUGGGCUCAGCGGUAGUACCGCUGGAGGGUCAGCGGUAGUACCGCUACAGCCAGCGGUAGUACCGCUAGAGGGUCAGCGGUAGUACCGCUGGGCUCGGGCUGUAAGUGGGGGUAACGGUCUGAUUCCUUCCCCCACUAUAUAAAGGGGGUCUUCUUCCCCCUUGGUCUUAUCCAUCCGUUGAGCUCUUGUUCUACCUCCAUUGUUGAAUUCUUAGAGCUUGCUAACUCUCAAUCCCUCAAAUGAUUCUUGCUUGUUCUUGAGGGAAAAGAGAGAGGAGAUCUAGAUCCACAUCCACCAAUCACUUUCUCCUCUAUGUGAGGGGAACCCCUUGGAUCUAGAUCUUGGAGUUCUUUGUGAGCUCCUUGUUCUUCCUCUCAUAUUUCUCCAUAGCUUUCGUUGUUGUGGAUGGAUUUGAGUGUGAGGGACUUGACCACUUCGUGUGUUCUUGCCAUUGCAUUAAUUGCAUCGGUUUGAGUUCUCCACGGUGAUACGUGGAAGUGAGAAGUUGAGAAGCUUAUUACCUUUGGUACUUAGUACCCUAGAUAUUGUUCUUCGUGGAUGCUUUGGCGUCCUAGAAGUUUGGUGGUGUCUCGGGGCUCAAUCAUUGUGGUGUGAAGCUCCAGGCAAGCGUCGGGGUCUCCAAUUAGGUUGCGAGAUUGCCCCGAGCAAUUUGUACGGGUACCGGUAACCGCCCAAGGGUUGCCACGUGUACGGGUUCGGUGACCGCCCCCAAGGGUUGCCAUUUGUACGGGUUCGGUGACCGCCCUCAAGGGUCCCUUAGUGGAAUCACGGCAUCUUGCAUUGUGCGAGGGCGUGAGGAGAUUACGGUGGCCUUAGUGGCAUCUUGGGGAGCAUUGUGCCUCCACACCGCUCCAACGGAGAUUAGCAUCCGCAAGGGUGUGAACUUCGGGAUACAUCCUCAUCUCCCCGUGCCUCGGUUAUCUCUUACCCGAACCCUUUACUUAUGCACUUUACUUUGUGAUAGCCAUAUUGUUUAUUGUCAUAUAUCUUGCUAUCACUUAGUUGUUUAUCUUGCUUAGCAUAAGUUGUUGGUGCACAUAGGUGAGCCUAGUUGUUGUAGGUUUUGUGCUUGACAAAUUAAACGUUAGUUUUAUUCCGCAUUUGUUCAAGCCUAAACCGUAAUUAUUUUAAAGCGCCUAUUCACCCCCCCCUCUAGGCGACAUCCACGUCCUUUCAGCAGAUGCGUCCGCGCGCACCGAUCGGUCACCCCUCAAAUCUGCUUGUCCACAUUCAACUCUCUUAUAUUUGAUCCCCUAGAUCGACACAAAGAAUGUAAAAAAAUCAUAUGUACCAUGUACUAUCCUAGUCUUCGUCGUCGGAGAUGGCCUCUAGCUCAUCCUUGUCCGCCGCUGCAUGCACCACCUCUAACGCAGCCCGUGUCGCCUCCAUCUCCUGCCAACGAAGACGACUGGCCUUCAUAGCCGACUCCGAGUGGAUGGAGUUCAUGAUGGCCUGCUGCUCCGCCCGCGGAUUCACGUCCUACUCCGACGCCAGCUCCUCCUCCCCACAUCUUCCUCCAUCGACUCCUGCUCCUUCACUUCCUCCUCCAGCUCCUCCUCCAAAUCCUCCUUCGGAUACAGAGGCAGCCCCACAGCCCUCCGGAUCCGAACCUGCUCAAUGAGCCAAAGCUGUUGUUAGAUCGUGUAGUGGCGGCGACAUGGGGGCAUGGCUGACGACCGCGACGAACAGAGGAGGAAAAUAUGAAGGGAUAAGGUUUGGGUGUUGACGGUCGGCUUAAAUAGUCGGGCUAGGAUUAUGCGGCCCGUCGGCGCGGCGCCACGCGAUGUUCACACUCCGAUGAUGGAGGAGGCGUCCGUCGGACCACUGGGUUUCCGGGCGAAUCCGUAUGGGUCCACACUGUCAGGCUGACGUGGUGGGCGUGCCCACGCGUCCCCAUAUAUGCUCCAUAUUUGAGCUGGAUAUGAGGGGUGCCCGUCAGCUCGGGCGUUUGAGGCCGGUUUGAGAGGUGGGGGAGUUCCGGAUUAAGGGGUCCUCGGGCAGUCGGGUUGUCUCUGAUGGGCCGAUCAUAUGGGUUGCAUCAUUGAAGAACCGAAUUAUUUGACAGCUGCGUGAUCAAGAUUGAAAGCUCCGAAGACAGGCGUGCACUCCAAGGCUGGAUGACCAGUUCAGCCCGUCUGCUACCGAUCUAUGUCGGUAAUAUGUAACCCUAGGGGUCCUGGUGUCUAUAUAAACCAGAGGCCCUUAUACGUAGAGGGGGAGAUCUCAUCUAAGGUUAGCUCAUACGAUCUCGAGGUAGAUCAACUCCGUAACCAUCAUUCCCCAUCAAUAUAAUUAAGCAGGACGUAGGGUUUUACCUCCUCAAGAGGGCCCGAACCUGGGUAAACACCGUCCCCCCUCUCUCCUGCAACCCAUCGAUCUAACCUCCAUAGUUCGGGACCCCCUAACCGAGAACUGUCGGUUUUGACGCCGACAUUGGUGCUUUCAUUGAGAGUUCUGCCGUUGGAUCGCCGCAAAGAUCGAUGGCUCGCUUGAUGAGUCCGCGAUGAGGGCAUCUUCGCCCCCGAACACGUCUCUGUGCUCGGCUGCUUCACGCCGAGUACAGACCUAACCGUCCAUCCUGGCCUGUGGUUUUGUCCCCGGUCACCGGAUAAAGUUUGGAGAGUUCGAAGUCUCCACCGACUCGUGGGGCAAUAUGUUCCCCGCUAACCUCACGGCCUCGGCCGAUGAAGAACAAAACCCCGAAUCCUUGUUUUUCGGGUCCCCUGUCCGACCAUGGUCUUGGUCCUCUCCUCCUCAGAGAGAAGGCUUCGAUCUUGGAACCGACCACUGUGUCCAAACUCCAAACAAAGGGAAAUGGCUACUGCCGAAUUGAUUUCCUUCCCGAAAGUUGCGGAGGUUAACUCCAAAAACAUACAAAGGAUUGGUCAGGUUAGCCUCUCGAUGUUAAACGAAACGCUCGACCAAAUCCAGUCGCUUCAAAUAUCGCUUACCCGAAGUUCGACUUGUUCAAAGAUCGGCUCCGAGGUGGAUUAUGGGGACUUUUACGACCCACCCACCCCACUUGAUCGCCACCCUCGAAGAUCUAACCGACGCGUUGGACUACGCCUCCGAAGAGCUUGAGGAUAUGGACGAAGAGGCCUACUACCCCACCCCCAUAAAUACAGGGAAGUGGACCACAAUUUCAACUUACGAUGUCUACAUGGUAGACACGCCUCGCGGUCCAAAUAAUGAUACACCCAAGCAGAACGGUGAUAAGCCCACAGAAGAUCCCUCAAAAUGUUGAAAGUCGCGUAAACGCUCGAAGGCAAACAAGGGAAGGGGCUCCACAUAGGGCACACGAGAAAACGUGACCCUUGAAGGACACGGCAACCCCGAGGCUCCCAAAUACGAACCAGAGGAACCGGCCAAUGACGAUCCCGACGGUGCGACAAUUCAGACGAUGAGGACGAUUACCUCCCUCCCGUCAACGACCUAAAUGGCCUUGAAGCCAAAGAGUUCGUAAUUCCCGAAGACCUUGGAGGCGAGGAGCAAUUUUGGCAACAGCUUAUAGCCAUCGCCCAAAUCUUAAAAGCAAAGCAACAACAACUCCAGGAUGAACAAGAUACCAUGAAUAACAGGUGGACCAAAAUCCUAGCGACUGAAGAACUAUACGACACGGCAUGGCCGAACGAGAAGAAAAAAUACCCGUGCCGACGACUGCUCCCACAAUUCGAUGACGAGGCCCCAGAACAUGUGUCCCCCCGACGCACCGACUACGACCUGCCUGACCGCCCACCCAGAGGGCGCGAUAGAACGACCGGAGAGAACGGGUAUAAACUCGAACCUUCGCCAAAAAGGUAAACAACAUAUGCACCAUGGGGACAGAACCGACCCAUGAUUUGAUAAAUCGGGUCGCAGCAGGUCCAUCUAUGGAUCAAAGAGGUACUCUCCCACUCGAUGGGAUGACGAACCACCUCUGGUCGCUUACAAGAGCAGAGGCCGCGAAGUGUACCGGGCUCAACCCGGAGUCAAUCUGCAACACAACAUAGCACGGAUCAGAGGCAUUGCUCACCCACUAUGUUUUACAGAUGAGGUCAUGCAGCACCAGUUUUCAGAAGGGUUUAAACCCGAAAGCAUUGAGCAAUACGACGGGAAAACAGAUCCCGCAGUGUGGAUAGAAGAUUUCCUUCUCCACAUUCAUAUGGCUAGAGGAGAUGAUCUCCACGCCAUAAAAUAUUUACCAUUAAAACUCAAAGGACCAGCAUGGCAUUGGCUAAACAGCCUACCGGAAGAUUCCAUCAGAUGCUAGGAAGACCUUGAGGAGGCUUUCCUAUCCAACUUUCAAGGAACAUAUGUUCGGCCACCGGAUUCAUUCGAUCGGAGCAAUGUCGUCCAGAAGACAGGGGAAUCGGCCAGAGAAUUCUGGAACCGUUUCCUCACCAAGAAGAACCAAGUUGUAGAUUGUCCGGACGCUGAAGCAAUUGCCCCUUUUCGACGCAACACUCGGGACGAAUGGCUCGCUAGACAGCUCGGCCAGGACAGGCCGAGAACAAUUUCCGCCCUUACCUCACUCAUGACCCAAUUUUGUGUGAGUGAGGAUAAUUGGCUUGCUCGGCGCAGCCACAAUGCGGAGGACCCCGUAACCUUUGAGGUUCGGGACGGAAAGGGCAAGCCAAGGAGCAGCCCUGCCAGAUUCACGACACACAAGAUAAGCCCGCCACCCACACCAACCAUAAUUAUUGGGUGUUCAAACAGGCAGGCAAGCUCACCAUCGAUGAUAAAAACAGGGGCCCACGAAGUGAAGACAACGAGGAGCCCCACGAACAAUGAAGGCCAAAAGCAGUUCCCUCUCGAGGUCAAGACUGUGAACAUGAUCUAUGUCACCCAUAUACCCAAGAAGGAGAGGAAACGGGCACUACGGGAGGUAUACACCGUAGAGCCCUUAGCACCCAAAUACAAACCGUGGCCGGCUUGCCCGAUCACUUUCGACCACAAGGAUCAUCCGACUAGCAUCCGUCAUGGAGGGUCGGCCGCCCUAGUCCUCGACCCUAUCAUCGAUGGUUUCCACCUCACUCGAGUCCUCAUGGAUGGAGGAAGUAACCUCAGUCUGAUCUAUUCGGAUACGAUGAAAAAGAUGGGCAUAGACCCAUCAUGCAUCAAGCCAAGCCGCACUGCCUUUAAAAGAGUGAUACCACGCGUGGAAGCCUGCUGCUCAGGCAGAAUAACACUGGAAGUCGUGUUCGGUUCUCCCAACAACUUCCAUAGUGAGGACUUGAUCUUCGACAUCGUCCCCUUUCACAGUGGAUACCACGCAUUGCUCGGCCGCACAACCUUUGCCCGCUUUAACACCGUACCUCUCUACGCCUACAUGAAGCGCAAAAUGCCCCGGACCCAAGGGAGUAAUCACGGUCAAUGGAAACACAAAGCAUUCUCUCCGGACCGAGGAGCACACGAUCAUGCUAGUAGUCGAAUGUCAACAUGACAACGACACUUCAAGCCACAAGCCGACAACAAAGGAGCGAAUGGGGGGCAAACGGGGCUGAGCUCAAAUAGACUAGCUAGAUAAUUCUUUGGCCAAGAGCAUAUAGGGAUACAUUUCCCAUGGCAUGGCCAGAACACCACCAAGGUAUGUCAUUCUACAACACAAUUUCAUCCUUACAAUUCCAUGGGUAGCCAUGGGAGCGACCCACUAGGGAUCAUAGGGGCGGGUAAACCGAGCUAUGGUUCAAUGAAUGAACGAUAUGGCAUCAUGAAGAGCCCAAGCAUCAAGCUUCUCUGCGUCAUCGGCAGCUUCUCAAAACCCUCCACUCAAGGUUCGCUCGCUGAUCGCAACUUCCUGCAAAGGAUCGUACCCCCACCCCGAGAAGGGGCGAUAUAUAUAGUGCGUACGAACACAGGACGAAUGUCAAGUCACCCCAUGCAAGGUCGUUUGCAAAGUUGUCUCAACAUGGGGAGAAGAUAUAACUCAUCAUCCGAGAGAAGGUCGGAGCAGCAUUGGCGAGACCAAAAGACAUCACUGUGUACUCAUAAGAGCCAAAGCUUGUCCUGAAAGCAGUCUAGGGAAUGUCUUCUUCGCGAAUGCGGAUCUGAUGAUAGCCCAUCCGGAGAUCAAGCUUAGAGAAAAUCUUGGGCCCUUUAAAUUGCUCGAACAAUUCAUUGAUGUUGGGAAGUGGAUACUUGUUUCUGAUUGUCUUCUUAUUCAAUGGACGGUAAUCGAUUCAGAGUCCGUCCGUGCCAUCCUUAUUAUUGACAAAUAGAACACCACAACCCCAAGGAGAUGAACUUGGUCUUAUCAGACCCAGACGCUCUUGCUCAUCAAGAUGCUUAUUCAACUCUUUCAGCUCUUCGGGGCCAAGUUUAUACGGCCGCUUGCAGACCGGUUCAGUUCCAGGUUCAAGCUCAAUUACGUACUCAACUGGUGGUGCGGAGGCAUUCCUAGCAGUUCUUCUAGAAAGAUAUAUUCGUACUCACAGACCACUGGAACUUGACAAAUUGGAGAGAUUUCACCCUUCUCAUUGAGGGAAAACAGACAGAUCGUGUCAUCGUGAGCAGCGAAGAUAAUCACGUCCUCUGAUGGAUGAGUCAACUUGACUUCCUUUGCUUCACAAUCAAUAUACGCCUUGGUCAUUGCCAGCCAAUCCAUCCCAAGGAUCAGAUCAAUAUCCGACUGGCCAAGGACAAUUGGAGAAGCCAGAAAGGAAUAGUCGCCCAUCUUGACAGAGACAUCAGGAACUAACCCACUUGAACUCAUCUGCAUGCCCGCAUAAAUGAUUUUAAAUGGCAUAGGAGUGUCUUAUGUCACUAGAUCAUGCUUAGCAACAAAAGGCCUUGAAAUGAAUGAAUGUGAUGCACCAGAAUCAAAUAAAACCUUUGCAGGAAUAUCAUUAACUGUGAUAUUACCCACGAUCACGUCUGAGGAGUUCUCCGCUUCAGCUGCGUUCACCAUAUUGACCCUUGCUGACGUGGGAUUGAACUUCACCAUAGCAUUGCCUGGAGGCUUGACUGCAGGAGGAGGUGGAAGACGCUGCUGGUUGGUGCACUUGUUAGACUAAUGACCCUUCUGACCACACCUGUGACAAGUCACCUUUGACAGCGGACAUAAUUGCACUUGAGGAUCCCUUGCUUCUGCUGCUGCUAAAAUCUCCAUUGGAAAGCUGGGUUGGGUGGGUGGGAAGAACCAAGACCACCAGACUGCUUGAACUGCUAAGGCUGCAGAGGAGGAGGAGACACCCAAUAUUUUUGUUGCUUCUGAACCACCUGAGUUGAGGACGAGGAACUAGAAUCUCUGAAAUGCUUCCUUGAGUUCUCCACUUUGAGCAAAGCCGCCUCAGCCCUGAGAGCCAAAUUGUAAAACUGAUCGAACUCGAGAGGAUCGUUCAAGUAAAGGGCCAGCUACAAGUCUUCCUUCACACCACCUCAGAACUGAUAAAUAUUCCUCUUCCGAUCUGGAAUGCCCUGUUUAGCAUAGUGAGCCAGCUCCUAGAACUCCACAUUAUACUUGUACAUAGACGAACCUCCUUGCUUCAAGGGCCUGAAUUUCUCACGCAUCUCUUCCACAAAACUUGUUGGAAUAUAGUGAGCCCUGCAGAAAUCAUCCCAACUAAUCAUUUUGUCGCAUGUGGAAUCCUUCAAUUUCUGCCACCACUCUCUUGCCUGCCCCUUGAGCUGAAAUGUUGCGAACUUGACGAAGUCCUCUGGUCACACAUUACUGCACUCGAAGUGCUUGUUCAUGUCACGGAUACAGUCAUCUGCAUCUAAUGUCUAGUCAUAGGAAGUGAAGGACUUCAGCUGGUUCGCCAGGAAUUGAUUCAGAGUUGCAAACUACUGUCCACCAUUGUUGAAAUUACCCUGAUGUUGCUGGUUCCUCUCUUGCAACAACUGGAGCAACAUCUGAGUGUUUGCAUUGGUUGCCGCCAUUAUAGCUUGCCAUGUCUCACGAGGAGGAGGCGGUGGCGGAGGGGGUGGUGGAUGGUCAGCACUCUCACGACCCGGAUUCUGGCGAGUUGGUGGAUCCAUCCUGGAGACGGACAACAACGUUAGACCAUAUAUGAAAAUUCAAAGAUUAAUCUGAUUCAACGGGCAACAAUAUCUGAACAAGAAUUCUUAGCAAUUUCACUCAAACUAUAAUUAGUAAGAAUGCUUCCUCAAAAUAACCGCCGACAACAUCUGAUUGAAAAGCCACUUGUAAAUGCCAAGUAUGAGCUAGGAUUGCUCAGAACAAAUGUAUAUACCUAACAUACAUCUGAUGAAAGAAUUCCUAGUUGCUAAUGGAAUUCCCACCUAAGAAUUUCCAAAAUUUCUAGUCAUGCAAUCUGGUCCAUGGAUACAAGGAGUAAUAUAUCACUCAACUCCUAUUCUAACCCGUCCAGUGUAUCACAUCCAUCAACACAUAACCAGAAUCUCGAAACUUCAUCUAUCUCAGACCCUCGUAAUCACAACGAUACUAAGUAUGGCGAUACCCCCAAACUCUCUGCACGAGUACUGGGGAUGCCGGGCUUAUCGCGCCACUACUAGUAUUGCAGCAAUUUCGAAGAUCCCCCGUCAUGAGAUACUAAGAAAUCUGAAUGAUAAUGAUGUGCUCAAGAAUCCCCUGGAGCUCAACUCCCCGAAUAAAAUCAACACAACAGGAGGCACCAAGAGAGAAAUCCGUCACAUAGGUAUCAUAUAGAUUCCAAAAUAUCCGCGUGAUCCAAAAAAAAUUGAGCGAAAAGAGGAAUAGAAUUAAAAUUUCCUAAGUGAUGAACCUCACCACAGCAUAGAAGAGGAGAAAAAAGAAACCUACUCUCCGAUAUAACUAAGACUCAAAAUAGUUUUUGCUAGACUCGACUCGGCCAAGUUCGAUCAAUCAAAGGGUCCUAUGGUCGUAAGGCUCUGAUUACCAACUUGUAACGACUAAGAUGCGACCCUUUCCCUAUUUGGGAGCGAGGCCUCAAAAGGGAAAAGAGGCGCAUCUCAGCAUUUCGCAAGCAGGAUAACAUUGCCAUUACAUAAAUAGAGAGAUGAGUAUUAAGAUUCAGCUUACACUCGCCACAUGCUAGAUUACAAUCCACACAAGCAUUCAUUAUUCAUACAUAAGACAUGGUCCGACUAUGGACAAGAUAAACGGAAAAAUAAUGCUAUCCCGCCUUGCUAGGCCCACGAUCACGACCAAGUGCCUCUAAUCCUCGGGAUACGUCACGUAUAGCCUGCGACUAGCCUUGUCGAACUCCCACCUCAGCUGAGUAUCCUCUAAUUUGUUGUUGCAUGUUUUACGUGGCUGAUAUAGGUAUCUAGUAUGAUCGCAUCUUACUUACGCAAAUCCACAACGGUGAUAUGAAAUUUGCUAUUUAACCUUCUCCAAGGACCGCCUCGGUCAAAUUCGAUUCAACUAAAGUUGAAGAAACAGACACCCGCCACUCAUCUUUAUGCAACAAGUUGCAUGUUAGUCGAUGAAACCGGUCUCUCAUAAGCGUACGAGUAAGGUUGGUCUAGGCUGCUUCAAUCCAACAAUACAGUCGAAUCAAGAAAAGACUAAGGAGGACAACAAAUUGUACAUCAACGCCCACAAACUCUUUUGUGUUCUACUCGAGAUUUCAUCUACGCGUGAACCUAGCUCAUGAUUGCCACUGUUGGGGAACGUUGCAUGAGAAACAAAAAAAUUCCUACGCACACGAAGACCUAUCAUGGUGAUGAUCAUCUACGAGAGGGAGAUCGUAUCUACAUACCCUUGUAGAUCGCUAAGCGGGAAGCGUUAAGAAACGCGGUUGAUGGAGUGGAACGUCUUCGCGAUCCAAAUAGCCGUUGUUCCACGAUCCAUCCCGAUCUGGCACCGAACACACGACACCUCCGCGUUCAGCACACGUACAUCUCGAUGACAAUCUCCGCCUUUUCUUGAUAGAACAAGAGAGACGGGGAAGUAGAUGAGUUCUCUGGCAGCGUGACGGCGUGCCAGUGAUGGUGGUGAUCUAUUCCUGAAGGGCUUCGCCUAAGCACCGCAGAAAUCCGAUCCAUAGAAAGAACUACGAACUAGAGGAGAGGGUAGCACGUGGCUGAAUAUUGUGUCUCAAAAACCCUCAGACCUCUAGUAUAUAUAGGAGGAAGGAGGAGGCAGGCUUGCACACCAAGGGAGCCUCCCUUGGGCUCGGCCGAACUAGGAGGGGAGGAGUCCUCCUCCAAUCCUACUUGGAUUAGGACUCCUCUCCAAGUUGUCCACCUCUUUUGGAUUUUCCACCUUUUUACUCAUGGGCUUUCUUUGGUUGACUAGUCAGCCCAUCAAGGGCUGUUGCGCCACCAUCAAGUCCAUGUGUCCCCCUUGGGGAGUGGUGGGCCCACCUGGUGGACCCUCGGAACCCAUUCGUCACUCCCGGUACACUCCCGUAAUGCGUGAAAUCCUUCCGGAAUCUAAACACCAACUUCCUAUAUAUCAAUCUUUGUUUUCGGACCAUUCCAAAACUCCUCGUGACGUUCGAUAUCUCAUCCAGGACUCCGAACAAAACUUCGGUCACCAGCACCUACAACUCAACUAUACUGAAACGUCACCGAACCUUAAGUGUGCAGACCGUGCGGGUUCGAGAACUAUGUAGACAUGACCGAGACACUCUCUAGCCAAUAUCCAAUAGCAGGACCUGGACGUCCAUAUUGGAUCCUACAUAUUCUACAAAGAUCUUAUCGAUUGAACCUCUAUGUCAAGGAUUCACACAAUCCCGUAUAUCAUUCCCUUUGUCCUUCGGUAUGUUACUUGCCCGAGAUUCGAUCGUCGGUAUCUCCAUACCUAUUUCAAUCUCAUUACCGACAAGUCUCUUUACUUGUUUUGUAAUACAAGAUCCCGCAACUAACUCUUUAGUCACAUUGCUUGCAAGGCUUUGUAUGUGAUGUUGUAUUACCGAGUGGGCCCCGAGAUACCUCUUCGUCAUACGGAGUGACAAAUCCCAGUCUUGAUCCAUGCUAACUCAACGGAUACCUUCGGAGAUGCUUGUAUAGUACCUUUAUAGUCACCCAGUAACGUUGCAACGCUUGAUACACACAAGACAUUCCUCCGGUGUUAGUGAGUUACAUGAUCUCAUGGUCAUAGGAAUGAAUACUUGACAUGUAGAAAACAAUAGCAACAAAAUUACACGAUCAUAUGCUACGUUCAUAGUUUGGGUCUUGUCCAUCACAUCAUUCUCCUAAAGAUGUGAUCUCAUUAUCAAGUGACAACACUUGUUUAUGGAUAUGAAACACUAACCAUCCUUGAUCAACGAGCUAGUCAACUAGAGGUUUACUAGGGACAUUAUUUUGUCUAUGUAUCCACACAUGCAUUUGUGUUUCCGCUCAAUACAGUUAUAACAUGGAUAAUAAACGGUUAACUUGAAACAGGAAAUAUAAUAAUAAUUAUUUUAUUAUUGCCUCUAGGGCAUAUUUCCAACACUUACGGCCUUCAUAACCCCACAGUGUUCUCGAUCAGAGAAGGAGCUCUGAAAGAAACAAUCAAGGUUAGCCACACAGUUGGCAGGUUUUAUUUAAGUUACUUUAAGUUAUCUUGAACUGGAUGUUAAAAAAAUAUCCAUGUUUACCACAUAACCGCGGGCACAACUUUCCGAAAGAUUAAACCCUGCAGGGGUGCUCCAACAAUCCUACUCAGAUAAACAAGUGCCACCUCACCACAAAGUGCCACUUUUGCAGAACUGCUCAACUCUGGAAUCCAGUGCCACCAUUGGAUUCCUUGGGUUUUUCUACCCCAAAUCCAUAUGUCAUACUGGUAUAUUUGCAUGCAAAAAAACACCAUAAAUAACAAAAGAAAAACUACACGUGAUCAAACUAUACUAAUGUGAAGAAUAGGGGUUGUUCUUGUCUUCUUGAUAUGCCAGAUUAGGCAGAUUCCAUUUCAGGAAUUAUUCCAAAAAUGGAAUUUAACACACUAAGAGAAAUAAAAAGAAAAACCACAAUUUAAUUGACAAGGGGGCCCCACUGGUCAUAUGCAACAGGGCCCCCUAGCGCAUGACAGGUGGGCCCUCUGGCCCACUUGUGAGUGGCACAACUCCAACUGAGUGAACACAAAGAAAAAAUAAAGGUGCACACGGGGGACUCGAACCCACAACCUCUUUGUUGCACCAUACCACAGCUAUCACUAGGCUACAAGUGUGUAUCUGCACUACUAGGGGUAGCAACGCAGAUAUACCUACUCUGCUACUUAACAACACCAGGAAAUAACAAUGCAAAAGGGGUGCACCAGGGUGGACUCGAACCCGAGACCUCACGGUCAUGCGCGCAACGUACGAACCGGUCGGGCUAGCGUGGUGAGUCUGUCCAAAGGGGGAUCUCACCCGAGACGAUAUGCAAAAGGGGGCGCCUUCUCUGUUUAAUAGAGAGGCGCCGACGAUGAUGCAGCUCGUUGAUGCAACGCAUCACGCGCACACGCAAGGGAAACGCUAGCGGGGGGAACUCAAACUAAGCUGCUGCUACUCUGCAAUGUGAGCUGCGACUGUUACUGCUUGCUGCUACGAAGCGAUGCAAGUGCUGAUGUUGCAUACUUGAUGACCCACAAGUGUAAGGGAUUUAUCGUGGCCUUUUCGAUAAGUAAGAGUGUCGAACCCAACGGGGAGCAGAAGGUAUUAACAAGCGAUCUUGAGCAAGGAAUAACUGCAAGUACUAAAAGGUAACUUUUUAUGGGUUUUCUGGUAUAACCAACAAGGAAAUAAAUGCAGGGAAAGUAAAUGGUCCUGAGGUGAAGCAAGUGGCCCAAUCCUUUUGAACACAAAGGAUAAGCUGAGGGACUAAACUUAUAAAGACUAAGGCGUUCUUGAGGACAUACAGGAGAGAUAGUAAAGUGAUGUCGCCAUGUUCCGUCUAGUACUAUGUUCUAGUACUAUGUUUUUAUGGGUUCAGGUUUGUGUCACUCCGGCAACCCACCAUAAGCAUUCUUUAUACACGAUGCAUUCUCCUAGGCCCUUAAAAAUGUGAAGUGUUAUGUAGUCAACAUUCACAUAACACCACUAGAAGAAUAACACCAUAACUUAAAUACCAAUCAACACAUAUUACUUCAACAUCAUAUGACUAAUAUCAACUAGACUUCUCCCAUGUCGUGAAGAACUAAAGUAACUACUCACAAGACAUAAAAGAGAUCAUGAUCAGAGGUGAUGAAAAAUAUGAUGAACAAUCUGGUCAUAAUGAUAAUUCUCCAACAAUACUCGAUAGCAUUCACCACAAAAGAGUAAUCAACACCUGUAGAGUAAAGGGUAUGAAUAGUGCAAGAUACAACUCCGACUGCAAUGGAAAAGUGAGAUGGGGUGAAUAUGGAGAUGGUGCUGGUGUUGAGGGUGAUGGUGAUGAUGAUAUCGAUGAUGCCCGUGACGAUGGUGAUGACGAUGAGGAUGAUCUCCCCUUCCGGGAGGAGUUCUCCCCGGCGGAAUCUGCCCGCCGGAAAGGUCUUUUCUUCUUUGUAGGUUUUCGCCCCGGAGCAGCGGCGGAACUCCAGAAAAACUUUUGUUCCCGUAACUUUUAGGUCACGAGGGUCAUAUAGGCCAAAGGAGAGCACCGGAGGCGGGAUCCACCACCCAGGCGGCCUGUGGGCGCGGCCUAGGGGUGACCCGCGCCAACAGGUUGCCUGGGUGCCUGGUGGCCCCCUCCGGCCCUUCUUCAACCUGUCUUUGUGUUCUGUUCAAAAACUCCUUCCCCGUAAAUUUCAGCUCAAUUGGAGUUGUUCUGAUUUGGCAACUCUUCAUUCUAUUUUCUCCGAUGAAUCCUGUGUCUGCUGUUUCGGCACCGGAAAGUUGUAAACUAUGUAAAAUAAGCCAAAAACACUAUAAGAACAACAUCAUAAUGUGGAAUAUAUCAAUGAAUAGAGACAAAUUAUGAUACAAAUAGUGAUGCAUUUUGGAUGUAUCAACUCCCCCAAGCUUAGACCUCCCUUGUCCCCAAGCGAAUACUGAACUCGGUAAACCUGUCCACAAGUUUAGGGAGUGAAGUGUCGAUAAAUAAGAAUACGGACUAGAAGCAUCAUAGUUUCUCUACUAAACUCAACCAUCCUCAACAGCAAUCUCAACUCAUAAGGCCCAAAUGAAUGAAUAAUAUCAAUUACAAUCAAAAGUAGGGCUAAUGAAACUCAUCAAACCAUGGCAAACAUGUGCUUGGUCAAAGAACAACUAAUAACUUUUAACUUUUGCUCUUCCUCUUAUAUUUUGAUGAGAUCAAUUGAAGCUUCUUUUGAAAGAACAUGUUAUCAGUCAAGAAGUGAAAAUGCUAACACAAAGGAAGAUGUUUGCUUUAGCUAGGCUUAAUAAACAACUUACUCAUCUUAAUGAUAACGCAUCUUUGUCAACAUAAGGUGUCUGCUCUUUUAUAGGAUAGAAAUAAGUAGGUUUACUGACUCAACAUAAAAGUAAAUAUUAGCCCUUCACAGAGGGAAGUAGGGAAAACUCAUGUGUUAGAGCUUUUAGAGAUUUUGAAAUCAAUAAGAUUGUAAAAACAAGCUUUUGAGAGGUGCAUAAUCUAUCAACGAAUGCUAGCAGAUAGCCCAAUACUUCUCAUGCUGGACAAGUUUUGAGGAACGACUCCCAAAGUGGGGACGAUCACAUCCCCUUAGUCUCCUUUGUUUACCACUACCAAAGUUUUCUGAUUUCUCAUAAACAAAGCGUGAAGGAGGUUUUGUUUGUUGUUAUUAUCUUUUACGAACUGGGCGCACUCAUGCCAGCUCCUCCUUGUAUUAGGGGUUUGCAGAUUAGACAUGCAAACCCAGGAUAAAGCUUGUCCAGUAUGAGAAGAUCAUGAAUUAUCUACUACUUCCUCAUGAGCUAAAACAGAGGCACAAAACAGGGAGUAAUAUUUGAAGGUUUAAAGAUAGCACAUGAGUAAUUUACUUUAGGAGUGGCGGUGAAAUACCACAUGUAGGGAAGGUAUGGUGGACUCUUGGGAAGGUUGAGGUUUCAAGGUAUAGAUGCACAAGCAGUAUUCCCGCUUAGUACAAGGGUUGGCUAGCAAAGGCUUUAGAGAGCAGGCAAAUGAUGUUGACUUGGAUGCAAAACAAUAUAAAGUUUAACAUAAAGAAUUGGCAUAAAUCAUCAAGUUGUCUUCCUUGUCAGCAUAACACUUCAAGCAUAGAACAUAAAGGUUUUGGCUAUGUCGCUGCUAGCAAAACUCAUGCUUGUUGUUAUGACCAAUGCUAUAUUUUCCAAGAUUAAAUAAAGUUUUCGAAGCCAUACCUGAUAUAUAAGAUCAAUACUCCCAUAAGAAUCAGCAUAUAUGGUUGAUUGCAUGAAGAGAAUACCAGGUGCAGCAAAGAAAGCAAUAGACUUCUCAUUAAUAUUCCAUCAUAGACAACUGCACACUCACGGAUACAAGACUCCCCACAAAGGAGUGAUAGACCUCAAUGCAAACACCUAUUUCAUAAAAUAACUUCCCUAGACAUGAUACGACACUAAACUUGACCAUAAAAGUUAAAGGAUAAAUAUAAAGAUACCGGGCACUCCCCCAAGCUUGGAACAAGCUAAGGGAAUGCCAUUACCCAAGAAGAUUUCACUUUUCAUCCUACUUGUUGUUCUUCAAGUCCGCUAUUAUGCGCCAGAGAGUUUGGUUUUCAGCUUCCAGUAUGGUGAUGACCCACAAGUAUAGGGGAUCAAUCAUAGUCCUUUCGAUAAGUAAGAGUGUCGAACCCAACGAGGAGCAGAAGGAUCUGACAAGUGGUUUUCAGCAAGGUAAAAUCUGCAGGCACUAAAAUUGUCGGUAACAAGUGAUUGUGUGGUGAGAUGAUUCGUAGCGAGCAACAAGUAACAAAAGUAGCAAGGGUGCAGCAAAGUGGCCCAAUCCCUUUUGUAGAAAGGGACAAGCCUGGACAAAGUCUUAUAGAAGGAAAAACGCCCCCGAGGACACACGGGAAUUUCUGUCAUGCUAGUUUCAUCAUGUUCAUAUGAUUCACGUUCGUUACUUUGAUAGUUUGAUAUGUGGGUGGACUGGCGCUUGGGUACUGCCCUUACUUAGACAAGCAUCCCACUUAUGAUUAACCCCUCUUGCAAGCAUCCGCAACUACGAAAGAAGAAUUAAGACAAAGUCUAACCAUAUCAUUAAACUAGUGGAUCCAAAUCAGCCCCUUACGAAGCAACGCAUAAACUAGGGUUUAAGCUUAUGUUACUCUAGCAACCCAUCAUCUACUUACUACUUCCCAAUGCCUUCCUCUAGUCCCAAAAAUGGUGAAGUGUUAUGUAGUCGACGUUCACAUAACACCACUAGAGGAAAAACAACAUACAACACAUCAAAUUACCGAACGAAUACCAAAUUCACAUGACUACUAUUAGCAUGACUUAUCCCAUGUCCUCAGUAACAAAAGUAACUACUCACAAAGGAUAAUCAUAUUCAUGACCAGAGAGGUAAUGAGUAGCAUCAAGGAUCUGAACAUAAACUCUUCCACCAAAUAAUCCAACUAGCAUCAACUACAAAGAGUAAUCAACAUUACUAGCAACCUUACAAGUACCAUUCGGAGUCGCGAGACGGAGAUUGGUUGCAAGUGAUGAACUAGGGUUUGGAGAUGAGAUGGUGCUGAUGAAGAUGUUGAUGUUGACGAGUCCCCUCCGAUGAGAGGAGUGUUGGUGAUGACGAUGGCGAUGAUUUCCGCCUCCGGGAGGGAAGUUUCCCCGACAGGAUCGUCCUACCGGAGCUCUAGAUUGGUUCUGCUCAAGUUCCGCCUCGUGGCGGCGGCAAAUCCACGAAAAAGCUCCUCCCUGAUUUUUUCCUGGUCGAAACACUUCAUAUAGCAAAAGAGGGGGCAAGUGGGCCAGCAGGUUGCCCACAAGCCCUCAUGGCGCGGCCUGGGGGGUGGCCGCGCCUUGCAGGCUUGUGGCCAACCCGUGGCGCCCCUGUGGCACUUCUUCGGCCCAGUAUUUUUGAUAAAUCCGGAAAAAAAUCCUCGUUGAUUUUCACGGCGUUUGGAGUUGCGUAGAAUAGGUAUCUCAACUUUGCUCCACUUUCAGGCCAGAAUUCCAAUUGCCGGCAUUCUCCCUCUUCAUGUAAACCUUGCAAAAUAAGAGAGAAAAGGCAGAAGAAUUGUACCGUGAAGUGAAAUAACAGCCCAAGAAGCGAUAAAUAUCAACAUGAUAACAUGAUGCAAAAUGGACGUAUCAACUCCCCCAAGCUUAGACCUCGCUUGUCCUCAAGCGAAAGCCUAGCUCAAUAAAUAUGUCCACAUGUUUAGGGAGAGAGGUGUCGACAAAACAAGAUACGAACAUGCAUACAUCAUGAUCAAGAUCAGGACAACAAUACCAACAUAUAAUCUCUCAUGCUAAAGUGAUAAGUCCUUCACAAAGUAAAGCAUAGAUCAAGAACCUUACCGAGAAGUAACAACCGAUAGCCUUUAGUCAUUGAAGCAAUUGCAAUUUAUCACAACAUCAGAAAGAGUCAAAUAAGAGCUUGUAAAGCAAAUCCACAUACUCAAUCAUUCUUUCGUUCUCUACAAUUGCUACAACUCACGUGGUACUCAUGAGAUCAAAGUUUCAGCUGGACAGAGAGAAAGAUAGGGGCUUAGAGUUUUGCCUCCCAACUACUUACCUCAAGGGUAAUGUCAACAAUAAUAAUUCAUGAAUACUUACCUCCAAGUUGACAUAUGAAUAUAGAUCUUUCCCAAGCAUGUGACGGUAGCCAAGACAAAGGCGAAAUAGGGAAUUGGUGAAGAUCACCAUGACUCUUUCAGGGACAAAAAGUAAAGGUACAAGAUAGGCCCUUCGCAGAGGGAAGCAGAGGUUGUCAUGCGCUUUUGAGGUUUGGAUGCGUGUCCUCUUAGUGCGGAGGAACGUCACUUUAUAUUGCCUCCUGCGAUAAAGAACUUUAUUAUGCAGUCUGUCGCUUUUAUGUCUUCCUCAUCACAGGUUCAUACAAAGCUUAUUUUCCACACACUAAUAGAUCAUACAUAUUAGAGAGCAAUUUUUAUUGCUUGCACCGAUGAAAACUUACUUGAGGGAUCUUAUUCAAUCCAUAGGUAGGUAUGGUGGACACUUAUGGCAAAACUGGUUUGAAGGUUUAUGGAUGCACAAGUAGUAUCUCUACUUGGUGCGGGAGGUUUUGGCUAAUAUGAGGUGGAAGCAAUCGUCACAUGCUAAGGGAUCUCUAAUCAUAUAACAUUGUUCGGAGCCAAGCAAACACAAUUCAUUAUGCUGUCUUCCUUGUCCAACAUCUACUUAUAGGCAUGCAAUAGUUUAGUGAUUGUUCACAAUCAUAGAUGGUGUCGGAGAUGAUAUAUUUAUAUGUGAACCUCUCCUUCUUUAUCAUUUCCUAUUAAUUGCAACCAUGACCAAGGUCUACGUUUGCCUACCCUCAACAAGUUUCAAUCCUCAUCCUUUUAAUAUGUGAAGCCAUCACUUCCCAUAAGAUCAUUACAUGACCUUUCAUGCUUUUGUUCUAUAUUCUCACUCUUUUGAUCAUGGCAAGAGGCAAAGCCCUUCAACUAAGACACUCUUUAUUAUAUGGCUCACGAGCUCGAAUACAUCGGGGGUGACACAAAGAAAAACUCAAGACUAAAACACUAAGACUUUUAAACUACUAGAGAAAAAGAAAACUGAAAAGGAACAAACUAAAACAAAGGUAAAGGCAAAAGAUGUGAUGGUGAUACGAUACCGGGGCAACUCCCCCAAGCUUGGCACAAGCCAAGGGGAUUGCCCAUACCAAUGCUCAAUUGUCUUCCUUUGGUGGUGAUGGUGGUGGAUUUGUCGCAACAUGAGUUUGAUCCUCCGUCUUCCAAGGCAUAGGUGCUCCAUCAUGGAAAGAUGAACGAGUCUCCGAAAUCCUCAAAUCUGCAGCCAACCGUAUUGAUUUAAAUCUAUACUCAUACUCACAGUUUUGGUUUGCAGGUCAUAGAUCUGGGCCUGGAGUUGAUCAAUCCUGUCAUAGAGCCUGGAGAGAUGCUUCCCAAUGUCAUUGGCAUCAAUCAUGUGCUUGUAGGUGAACUCCGUGAUCAUCAUGUGGUUGGCGUUGAGUCCACGCUCCACCAUCCCUUGGCACUUGAAGACUUGUUGCUCCAUUGCUUCGAGCCUCGUCUCCAUGCUUCCAGUCUCCUUAGGCUCCUCAACAUCACGGAUGUGCAACAUCCUCUCACGCAUCUCGAUAGAUUGAGGGUGUUUCAGCACUCCCAUGAGGUAGGGAUUGAUGACCUUCUCGAAGAUCUUGUCCUUCGGAGAUUUUGGGGAAGUCAUAGCGAUCUAGGUCUGCAACAGAAACAGGCUCGAAACGAAAAACAGAGGAAAUCUGCGUGAUUCAGGGGUCAGACCAAACGGAAGUAUAUAUAAUGAUUUUUUUUCAGACCAGAAGGAGUACCCCGCACGAAAACGGAGUCCGGGAGGUGCACGAGGUGGCCACAAGCCCUCACGGCACGGCCAGGGGGUGGGCCCGCGCCGUGCAGGCUUGUCGCGUCCUCGCGCACUUUCCGAACUACUUCCAAUUUUUGUAUUUUUUCAAAUAAUCCAAAACAGAGAAAAUUUCCUAUUGGAAAAGUUUUGGACUCUGUUUUCUUACUGAAUCACAUACCUCUUCGUUUUCGGAGUCUGAAACAGGUUGAUAAACAUCCCUUAGGUAUUCCUCCGGAGUUAUGGUAUUGAUAAUAUUGCUUUCAACAUUUAUGGGAGUACCUGAGAUAUAAUGCUUGAUUCUCUGCCCAUUUACCACUCUCGGACAAUUACCUUCCGUGUUGUUGAUCUUGAUAGCACCGGAACGAUAUACUUCCUCAACAACAUAGGGACCUUCCCAUUUAGAGAGAAGCUUGCCUGCAAAGAAUCUUAAACGAGAGUUAUAUAGCAAGACAUAAUCACCUACAUUGAACUCACGCUUCUGUAUCCUCUUAUCAUGCCACCUCUUAACCUUCUCUUUGAACAGCUUGGCAUUCUCAUAUGCCUGAGUUCUCCACUCAUCAAGCGAGCUAAUAUCAAAUAACCUCUUCUCACCGGCAAGUUUGAAAUCAAAGUUGAGCUCUUUGAUUGCCUAAUAAGCUUUAUGCUCUAGCUCAAGAGGUAAACGACAUGCUUUACCGUACACCAUUUUGCACGGAGACAUGCCCAUGGGAUUCUUAUAGGCAGUUCUAUAAGCCCACAGUGCAUCAUCGAGCUUCUUAGACCAAUUCUUUCUAGACCUGUUGUUAGUCUUUUGCAGAAUCAGUUUAAUCUCUCUAUUACUUACCUCUACUUGACCACUGGACUGAGGGUGAUAGGGAGACGCAAUUCUAUGGUUGACAUCGUACUUAGCAAGCAUUUUACGAAAAGCACCAUGAACGAAGUGUGAACCACCGUCGGUCAUUAGAUAUCUAGGGACUCCAAAUCUAGGGAAGAUAACUUCUUUAAACAUCUUGAUAGAAGUGUUGUGAUCAGCACUACUAGCGGGGAUAGCUUCUACCCACUUAGUGACGUAAUCAACAACAACUAGGAUAUGAGUAUACCCGUUGGAUUUUGGAAAAGGUCCCAUAUAAUCAAAGCCCCAAACAUCAAAUGGUUCAAUGACAAGUGAAUAGUUCAUAGGAAUUUCCUGACGUUUACCGAUAUUACCUAUUCUUUGAUAUUCGUCACAAGACAAGACAAACUUACGGGCAUCCUUGAAGAGAGUGGGCGUAUCAUAUGGCCACCUGUACUUUAAGCACACAAAAGUCCAAGAAGCGAUAAAUAUCAACAUGAAAACAUGAUGCAAAAUGGACGUAUCAUAUGGCCACCUGUACUUUAAGCACACAAAAGUCCUCACACAAUUGGCCAGAGGGACACAUGUGGAGCUUCAGUCAGAGGAACAGUUCCUGAAAGGUUUAGAUAAAGAUCAUGUUGAGGGUUAAUAAACCCCACGAGGAUGGGGUUGUUGGAGCUGGAUCCCCGUGAUGAAGGAUCUCCUUCUUGCUGGAUGGUGACCAUUGACAACCCACAAGCGUAUGGGAUCGCAACAAUUUUCGAGGGUAGAGUAUUCAACCCAAAUUUGUUGGUUCGCCAAGGAGAAGCGAAAUAAUAUUCUCAAGUAUUAGCAGCUGAGUGUGUAAGAUUCAACCACACCUGAAAGAUUAGUGUCUGCAAGCAAAGUAUCAGUUGCAAAGUAGUAUGAUAACCACGGUGUCAGAAACGAUCCGUUGACAAGGCAGACUAUUCCUAACUGUUGUAUCAAUGGCGCAAGUAAAAAGCACGUUGACGGGGGACUAUUCUUCCCCAACAACUGCUCCAGAAAAGGUCUUGCACUAAGUAGCAGCGGAGUAGCAGUAGCAGCAGCAGCAAACUAACAACAGUAGCAACAAUAGCAGCAAAGUGACAGCAGUAGCAACAGUAGCAGCAAAGUGGCCCAAUCCCUUUUGCAGCAAGGGACAAGCCUAGACAAAGUAACAUAGCGAGGACCAGUAGUAAAAGACUCAUAGGCAGUGGAUCGGUGAUGGAUGAGUAUGACAUAUGUGAUUCAUCAUGUAACAGCUAUAACACAGAGAGAUAUGUAACUAGCUCCCGUUCAUCAAUCUAAUGUAGGCAUGUAUUCCAUAUGUAGUCAUACGUGCUUAGGGAAAAGAACUUGCAUGACAUCUAUUGUCCAUCCCUCCCGUGGCAGCGGGGUCCUAAUGGAAACUACGGGAUAUUAAGGUUCUCCUUUUAAUAAAGAACCGGACCAACGCAUUAACAUGCGAUGAAUACAUGAACUCCUCAUACUAUGGUCAUCUCCCGGAGUGGUUCGGGCUAUUGUCACUCCGGGGUUGCCGGGUCAUAACACAUAGUAGGUGACUACAACAUGCAAGAUAUGAUCUAAAACACACAUAUAUUGGCGACAACAUAAUAGGUUCAUAUCUGAAAUCAUGGCACUCGGGCCCUAGUGACAAGCAUUAAGCAUAGCCAAGUAGUAGCAACAUCAAUCUAGAACAUAGUGGAUACUAGGGAUCAAUCCCCGUCAAGAACUAACUCGAUUACAUGAUAGAUCUCAUCCAACUCAUCACCGUCCAGCAAGCCUAUGAUGAGAUUACUCACGAAAGAUGAAGAGCAUCAUGCAAUUGUCGAUGGAGAAAGGUUGGUGAUGACGAUGGCGACGAUUUCCCCUCUCCGGAGCCCGAAACGGACUCCAGAUCUGCCUUCCAGAUGAAGAACAAGAUGUGGCGGCGCCUCCGUAUUGUAAAACGCAAUGAAACCUUCUCUCUGAUUUUUUUCCAGGCGAAACGGAAGAUAUAGAGGUGAGUUUGGGGGCGGUGGUGCCACGUGGGCCCCACAAGCCUGCACGGCGCGGCCUAGGGGGGUGGCCGCGGCCUGUGGGCUUGUGGCCCACUGGCACGCCCCCUCCGGUGGAUCUUUGUGCAGGUAUUUUUCUUUUAUUCCAAAAAAAAUCUCCGUAAAUUUCAAGACAUUUCGAGAACUUUUAUUUCUGCACAAAAACAACACCAUGGAAUUCUACUAAAAACAACGUCAGUCCGGGUUAGUUCCAUUCAAAUCAUGCAAAUUAGAGUCCAAAACAAGGGCAAAAGAGUUUGGAAAAGUAGAUACGACGGAGACGUAUCAACUCCCCCAAUCUUAAAGCCUUGAUUGUCCUCAAGCAAUUCAGUUGACAAACUGAAAGAGAUAAAAGAAAAACUUUGACGAACUCUGUUUGAUCUUGUUGUUGCAACUAUGUCUAACUCAUAUCCAGAGUUUCAGCAAGAUCACAAGCAAACCACAUAAGCAAAUGACAUCUAGGUCUCACGGUAAACUCAUAUCAAUGGCAUAAUCAACUAGCGAGCAAAUAAUAAUAAGCCUCAAAUGUCAAUACUUUAAUCAAAACAACAUGAAGCAGUACGAAUAGAUGGUAUCUCGCUAGCUCUUUCUGAGACCGCAAAACAUAAAUGCAGAGCACCUUCAAAGACCAAGGGCUGACUAAACAUUGUAAUUCAUGGCAAUGAAGAUCCAGUCAUAGUCAUACUCAACACAGUUAAAAGAAAAGCAAUGACAUAGGUGCUCUCUAAUUGGUGCUUUUGUAAGAGGAGGAUGACACAACAGGAACAUAAAUAGACAGGCCCUUCGCAGAGGGAAUCAUUGAUUUGCAGAGGUGCCAGAGCUCAAGCUUUGAAAACAGAGAUAAUAAUUUUGGGUGGAAUGAUUUCAUUGUCAAUGCAAUGACUAAGAGUUCUCAACAUCUUCCACGCUACACAUGCUAUAGGCAGUUCCCAAACCGAAAAGUAAAGUUUUGACUCCCCCACCACCAGUCAAUCACACUCCAUGGCUAGCCGAAUCCUCGGGUACCGUCCAUACCAACAUCAAUCCCGGGGGAGUUUUGUUUGCAAUUAUCUUUUCGAUUUGAGCAUGGAACUGGGAAUUCCAAUUAUCAGCCCCUUUCUAGUGAAUGAUAGUGAAUAAACACAUAUCGAGGAUAACACUCCUAGCAUGGAAGAUACCAAUAGCCCCCUGUCACCACAUGAGCGAUUCGGGCAUGCAAAACAGAUUAUUUCUUCAGGAUUUAGAGAGUGGCACAUGCAAAUUUACUUGGAACGGCAGGUAGAUACCGCACAUAGGUAGGUAUGGUGGACUCAUAUGGAACAACUUUGGGUUUAUGGAGGUGGAUGCACAAGCAGUAUUCCCGCUUAGUACAAGUGAAGGCUAGCAAAAGACUGGGAAGCGACCAACUAGAGAGCGACAACAAUCAUCGAAAUGCAUUGAGAUUAACUAACAUUGAGUGCAAGCAUGAGUAGGACACAAAUCACCUUGAACACGAACAUCAUAGACGCUAUGUUGAUUUUGUUUCAACUACAUGCGUGAACAUGCGCCAAGUCAAGCCACUUGAAUCAUUCAAAGGAGGAUACCAUCCUAUCAUACUGCAUCAUAGUCAUCUCAACAUUCAUGUUGGCAACCAAUACAAACCAUUAUAAGCUCCUUGCUAAGUAAGCAUGGCGUAAGCAACUAUGAUCUCUAAGUUGUCAUUGCAAACAUGUUUGUCUCACAGCAAAGCUGAAUCAGGCAUGAUGAGCUAGUCAUAUUUACAAAAACAAAAUAGAUCGAGUUCAUACCAUCUUUUCCAGGCUCAGUCACUUUAUCAUAUAUCGUCAUUAUUGCCUUUCACUUGCACGACCGAACGAUGUGAACAAUAAUAAGCAUGCUCGUGCAUUGGACUAAAGCUAGAAUCUGCAGGCAAACCCAAAGGAGAAGACAAAGUAAUAUGGAUCUUUGAAAGCUAAACAUGUAUGCAUGCAAGAGCCACUAAACAUUGUAACCAAUAUCUUCUACCUUGACCCAAAGAAAAAAGAAAACUAUCUACACAGAAAAGCUCCCAACAAGCAAAAGAAGAAAAAGAAAAUCUUUUUGGGUUUUCUCAAACUAGACAGACACACGAAAAGAAAACGAGAAAAAGAAAAUAAACUAGCAUGGAUGAUACAGUGGCAAAGUGUGAACACCAGCUAACAAAGUGAAAGCAUAAGCAAGAAUGUAAAGUCGAUGAGAACACGUAUUCCCCCAAGCUUAGGCUUUUGGCCUAAGUUGGUCUACUCCCAAGGAGGGAAANNNNNNNNNNNNNNNNNNNNNNNNNNNNNNNNNNNNNNNNNNNNNNNNNNNNNNNNNNNNNNNNNNNNNNNNNNNNNNNNNNNNNNNNNNNNNNNNNNNNNNNNNNNNNNNNNNNNNNNNNNNNNNNNNNNNNNNNNNNNNNNNNNNNNNNNNNNNNNNNNNNNNNNNNNNNNNNNNNNNNNNNNNNNNNNNNNNNNNNNNNNNNNNNNNNNNNNNNNNNNNNNNNNNNNNNNNNNNNNNNNNNNNNNNNNNNNNNNUACUCCCAAGGAGGGAAAUGACCAGCUCCGGGGUACUCAGGAGUGGACUGAGGAUGCCACUGCUGUGUGAGCUCCUCUGGCUCCCACUGAUAAACUGGCGUCAGGUACUCGACUGGCGGCUCGCGCACGGGCACCUGUGGUUGGGCUAAGCCCCAAUAUGCGUAGAUGUCCGAGGGCAUAAUAGUGUACCUGCCUGCAUGAAGAUUGAACAAAGAAGGAGCAGGCAAAGUAAUAGUCUCAUGAGUACCCUGACUAAAGACCAGGUUAUAAAUCAUCCUUCUACUUAUAUCUCUAUCAAGAAAGUCAUGGCGAACCAUGCUAUCGUAAUCUAGAGAUCUCUCGGGAAGAAGAAUCUCUUCUUCCUCCUCUAGUCUAAUAGGUAUCUCAAAGUCUCUAGCAAGACGAGUAGCAUAGAUACCUCCAUAGACAACACCCUUAGAACGGUUCUGGUUCAACCAUUGAGCUACUAUAGCGCCCAAGCUAUAAGUUGUAUCGUUAUAAAGGGCUUCACGCAAGACCGCAAGAUCCGGGGAACUAAGUGACCCAGCUUUCCCACGGCCAAUCAAACAUUUUCCCACAAAUAGUGAGAAGUACCGAAGCACGGGAAAAUGUAUGCUAGCAUCUCUAGCGCAAGACACUCCUCUCUCCUCUCCUACAACAAUUGUACUGAUGAAAGCUUCCAGGUCUCGUGGACGAGGUUCAUGAAUAUCCCCAACGUAAGGCAAUUUGCAAACAUUGCAAAAAUCCUGGAGUGACAUGCGCUGGGGGAUAUCAUAAAGUUUAAACUCAAUCAUAGGAGGAUUCUUCCUUGGAUAUAAGUUAAAGCUUUGUACGAAGAUAUUAGUGAGGAGGAGAUAUUGCGGACACUUAUCUUCAACGAAGGCGGUAAGGCCUGCGUUCUCCACCAAGUGAUAAAAGUCCUCAUAAAUUCCAGCAGCGCGUAAGAACACGUCGCUUGGCCACUCGCAUGCUCGAACUUCUACGACUCGAGGGACCAAAUACUUGGGCUUCUUCUCACUCCCAUCAUCCUUGGGGUCACGGCUUGACGAGCCUCUUAAGAACCUCCUCAUCUUUUCCCUUUUCUAUCUCCGAAAAUUUCUGAAAUUUUUAGUGAUUCUAAGAAAAGUGAAUAAGGCUCAACAAAACUCGUAGCAACUACUCCCACAAGUUCCUAGAGGCCAUAUUACGCAUCAAAACUACUUGGGACCAGCUAAAAUCAGCAUGCAAAGCUCAAGAACAUGGUCACCAAGGCAGCAAAAAUACGCGGAGUAUAAGGCACUAGAGCAAAAACUAAUUGGACCAAUGGAGGAGUCACUUACCAAGGAGUAAUUUCCCCAAAACACUUCGGAGAACGGUGGUUUGAGCAAAGAGAUCGAAAAUCCCAGCAAGAGGAGCAAGAACAUGGGUUUGAGCUGCGAAACGAUUUUUUCUGGAGGUAGGAGAAGCGGAUGAGAGCAAUAAUGAGUGAGGGGGUGCUUGUGGGCCCCACAAGCCUGUGUGGCGCGGCCAGGGGGUGCCCGCGCCCCUAUGGCUUGUGGCCCACUGGUGUGGCCCCCAGACAGACUCUUUGUCCUAGAAUUUUUCAAAAGAUCCAGAAAAAAUCAUACUUGAUUUUCACAGCGUUCGGAGAACUUUGAUUUUCGGGGUAUUUUUCUACCGGACGCUAAAACAGAGAACAGGGAAAACUAAACUAAAUCUAUCAUUUUUCUUCUAAGCAACCUAAAGUGAAAGCUUGGAACAGAGGUUUGUGACUCCUCGAGUCAUCCAUCUCAUGGUCAUCGAAAGAAAUCCGUCAAUGGGGUUGAUCAAAUCCCCUCGACAAAGCUUUCUCGAAUCGCAAAAGAGAACGGAGAAUUUUCGAAUACUCACUAGGUCACCUCAAUGGGGAUGUGUAUCUCCCCAACAAGCAAGUCAUACUUCAUCCUGACACGAGGAAUAGGGCAUUCAAAGCUUCCAAUAAGAAUCGAUGAAGUCUUUUCGAUAGCAUUGAUGCAAUGUACUCGAUAUUGUUUCUUCAGAAAGUGCACUGUAUGCUCAUUACCAUUGACAUGGAAAGUGACAUUGCCUUUGUUGCAAUCUAUAACAGCCCCUGCAGUGUUUAAAAAGGGUCUUCCGAGGAUGACAGCCAUGGCAUCGUCCUCGAGAAUAUCCGAGAUAACAAAGUCUGUUAAGAUAGUGGUGUUAGCCACCACAACAGGCACAUCCUCGCAAAUGCCGAUAGGGAAAGCAGUUGAUUUGUCGACCAUUUGCAGAGAGAUUUUAGUGGGUGUCAACUUAUCCAGUUCAAGUCUACAAUAAAGAGAGAGAGAGAGGCAUAACACUAACACCGGCUCCAAGGUCGCAUAAAGCAGUUCUAGCGUAGUUACCUUUAAUGGAGCAAGGUAUAGUGGGCACACCGGGAUCACCUAGUUUCUUAGGAGUUCCACCUUUGAAAGUGUAAUUGGCAAGCAUGGCGGAGAUCUCAAGAUCAGGUAUCCUCCUCUUAUUAGUCACAAUAUCUUUCAUGUACUUAGCAUACAGAGACAUCUUGAGCAUAUCAGUCAAACGCAUCUGCAGAAAGACAGGUCUGAUCAUUUCAACGAAGCGCUCAAAAUCCUCAUCAUCCUUUUUCUUGGAUGGUUUGGGAGGAAAGGGCAUAUGUUUCUGAACCCAUGGCUCCCUUUCUUUACCGUGCUUCCUAGCAGUGAAGUCAUUCUUAUCGUAUCUUCUAUUCUUAGGCUGCGGGUUAUCAAGAUCAACACUAGGUUCAAUCUCCACAUCCCUAUCAUUGCUAGGUUGAGCAUCAACAUGAACAUCACUAUUGAUAUUAUCAUUAAGCUCAUGUUCAUCACCAGAUUGUGUUUCAGCAUCAGAGACAUAGACAUUGUUUGGACUCUCAGGUGUAGCAGCAACAGGGUUGCUAGCGUGCAGGUUCCUAUCAUCUUUCUUCUUCUUUCUAGGAUGACUAGGUGCAUCAGUGCUAACUCCUUGAGAAUCUUGUUCAAUUCUCUUCGGAUGACCCUCAGGAUACAGAGGUUCCUAGGUCAUUCUACCGCCUCUAUUGAUGACUCUGACGGAAUUGUCAUUCAACUCAUUGAGCAAGUCAUUUUGAGCUUUAAGUACUUGUUCUACCUGAGUAGUAACCAUAGAAGCAUGUUUACUCAGAAGCUUAAGAUCAUUGACAUUUCUGUCCACACAAGCACUUAAAUGACUAAGCAUACGAGCAUUCUUUUCCAAUUGUCUGCUAACAUAAUCAUUGAAACUCUGUUGUUUGGCAACAAAGUUAUCAAAUUCAUCCAUGCAUAAGCUAGCAGGUUUAUCAAAAGGAAUAUCACUCUCAUCAAACCUACGCAGAGAAUUUACUUCUACUACCUGUAUCGGGUUAUCGAGACCAUGGAUCUCUUCGAUAGGUGGUAGAUUUUUGACAUCUUCAGAUUUAAUGCCUUUCUCUCGCAUAGAUUUCUUAGCUUCUUGCAUAUCUUCAGGACUGAGGAAUAGAAUACCUCUUUUCUUCGGAGUUGGCUUAGGAGGUGGUUCGGGAAUAGUCCAAGCAUUCUCAUUGCACAAGAUGUUAUUCAGUAGAAUCUCAGCUUGUUCUAUAGUUCGUUCCCUAAAAACACUACCGACACAACUAUCUAGGUGGUCUUUAGAAGCAUCGGUAAGUCCAUUAUAGAAGAUAUCAAGUAUUUCAUUCUUCUCAAGAGGGUGAUCAGGCAAAGCAUUCAGUAGCUGGAUAAGCCUCCCCCAAGCUUGUGGGAGACUCUCUUCUUCAGCUUGAGCAAAGUUGCAUAUUUCCUGCAAGGCAGCUUGCUUCUUAUGGGCAGGGAAAUAUUUUUCAGAGAAGUAGUAGACCAUAUCCUGGGGGCUACGCACACAACCAGGAGCAAGAGAAGUGAACCAAGUCUUAGCAUCAUCCUUUAGCGAGAAAGGAAACAGCUUGAGCAUAUAGUAGUGGCAAAUCUUUUCCUCACUAGUGAAUAGGGUGGCUAUAUCAUGCAGUUUGGUAAGAUGGGCUACAACCGUUUCAGACUCAUAACCGUGAAAAGGAUCAGAUUCGACCAGAGUGAUUAACUCAGGGUCGACAGAGAAUUCAUAAUCCUUAUCGGUCACAAAGAUAGGCGAAGUGGCUAACUUUGGGCCGUAAUUCAUCCUAGCGUUCAGAGAUUUUUCUUUCCACUUGCGCAAAAGUUUCUCAACAUCAUAGCUAUCCUUACAUGCAAGAAAGUCCUCAGCUAUCUCUCCCUCCAUAACAUAGCGCGUAUCAGGCAUAAAAGGCAUAGUAGCAAGUUCUACUUCAAUAAUAUCAGCAGUUUCAGAAGUAUCAUCACGUCUAGCAGCAACUCUAGCAAGUUGUGCAUCAAGGAAUGCACCUAGUGGCAAAGCAGUAUCAGGCAUAACAUCAUCAGGCAUAGUAUNNNNNNNNNNNNNNNNNNNNNNNNNNNNNNNNNNNNNNNNNNNNNNNNNNNNNNNNNNNNNNNNNNNNNNNNNNNNNNNNNNNNNNNNNNNNNNNNNNNNNNNNNNNNNNNNNNNNNNNNNNNNNNNNNNNNNNNNNNNNNNNNNNNNNNNNNNNNNNNNNNNNNNNNNNNNNNNNNNNNNNNNNNNNNNNNNNNNNNNNNNNNNNNNNNNNNNNNNNNNNNNNNNNNNNNNNNNNNNNNNNNNNNNNNNNNNNNNNNNNNNNNNNNNNNNNNNNNNNNNNNNNNNNNNNNNNNNNNNNNNNNNNNNNNNNNNNNNNNNNNNNNNNNNNNNNNNNNNNNNNNNNNNNNNNNNUAUCAAGCAUAGCAUCAUUAGGCAUAGUAUCAAGCAUAGCAUCAUGGGUAGCAGAAGUAGCAUCAUCAAGCACAGGCGACAUAUCAAGAUUUCUAGCAGGAGGUGAUGUUGCAAACUUACUCAAAACUCAAGGUGAAUCAAGUGUAGAGCUAGAUGGCAGUUCCUUACCUCUCCUCGUAGUGGAAGGUAGGAUUUUAGUUCUUGGAUCUUUCGGAUUCCUCAUAGUGAUCAGCAGACGUCAAUCCCAAGUGACUCAGAGAAUAUAGCUGUGCUUCCCCGGCAACGGCGCGAGAAAAAGCCUUGACAACCCACAAGCGUAUGGGAUCGCAUCAGUUUUCGAGGGUAGAGUAUUCAAUCCGAAUUUGUUGGUUCGAUAAGGAGAAGCGUUAGAAUAUUCUCAAGUAUUAGCAGCUGAGUGUGUCAGAUUCAACCACACCUGAAAGAUUAGUGCCUGCAAGCAAAGUAUCAGUAGCCAAGUAGUAUGAUAACAACGGUGCCAGAAAUGAUCUAUUGACAAGGCAGACUAUUCCUAACUGUUGUAUCAAUGGCGCCAGUAAAAAGCACGUUGAUGGGGGACUAUUCUUCCCCACCAACUGCUCCAGAAAAGGUCUUGCACUAAGUAGCAGCGGAGUAGCAAGGAACAACAGUAGAAGCAGCAGCAAAGUAACAACAGUAGCAACAGUAGCAGCAAAGUGACAGCAGUAGCAACAGUAGUAGCAAAGUGACAGCAGUAGCAACAGUAGUAGCAAAGUGGCCCAAUCCCUUUUGUAGCAAGGGACAAGCCUAGACAAAGUAACGUAGCGAGGACCAGUAGUAAAAGACUCGUAGGCAGUGGAUCGGUGAUGGAUGAGUAUGAUAGAUGUGAUUCAUCAUGUAAGAGCUAUAACACGGAGAGAUAUGUAACUAGCUCCCGUUCAUCAAUCUAAUGUAGGCAUGUAUUCCGUAUGUAGUCAUACGUGCUUAGGGAAAAGAACUUGCAUGACAUCUAUUGUCCAUCCCUCCCGUGGCAACGGGGUCCUAAUGGAAACUACAGGAUAUUAAGGUUCUCCUUUUAAUAAAGAACCGGACCAACACAUUAACACGCGGUGAAUACAUGAACUCCUCAUACUAUGGUCAUCUCCGGGAGUGGUUCGGGCUAUUGUCACUUCGGGGUUGCCGGGUCAUAACACAUAGUAGGUGACUACAACUUGCAAGAUAGGAUCAAGAACACACAUAUAUUGGCGACAACAUAAUAGGUUCAGAUCUGAAAUCAUGGCACUCGGGCCCUAGUGACAAGCAUUAAGCAUAGCCAAGUAGUAGCAACAUCAAUCUAGAACAUAGUGGAUACUAGGGAUCAAUCCCCGUCAAGAACUAACUCGAUUACAUGAUAGAUCUCAUCCAACUCAUCACCGUCCAGCAAGCCUACGAUGAGAUUACUCACGAACAAUGAAGAGCAUCAUGGAAUUAUCGAUGGAGAAAGGUUGGUGAUGAUGAUGGCGACGAUUUCCCCUCUCCGGAGCCCGAAACGGACUCCAGAUCUGCCCUCCAGAUGAAGAACAGGAUGUGGCGGCGCCUCCGCAUCGCAAAACGCGAUGAAACCUUCUCUCUGAUUUUUUUUCUAGACGAAACGGAAGAUAUAGAGCUGAGUUUGGGGGCGGUGGUGUCAUGUGGGCCCCACAAGCCUACACGACGCGGCCUAGGGGGGUGGAUGCGGCUUGUGGGCUUGUGGCCCACUGGCACGCCCCGUGCGGUGGAUCUUUGCGCAGGUAUUUUUAUUUUAUUCCAGAAAAAAUCUCCGUAAAUUUUCAGGACAUUCCGAGAACUUUUAUUUCUGCACAAAAACAACACCAUGGCAAUUGUGCUGAAAACAGCGUCAGUCCGGGUUAGUUCCAUUCAAAUCAUGCAAAUUAGAGUCCAAAACAAGGGCAAAAGAGUUCGGAAAAGUAGAUACGAUGGAGACGUAUCAACGAUCUUGACUUCCUCUCUUAUGGAGCGCUCCUUCUAUGUUUGUCUUGCGGCAAUUCUUCAUAAGUAGCCCAUCUGGUGACCUUCCCUUGGUUGAUAUCUUGCUGGACACGGCGGAGAUGAUGACGUGUGUAGGCUUCCCCGCUUGAGUCGCAAGAAGACAUCUCGAACAAUAGCUUCUUAGCUUGGCAGAAAAAGAUCAAAAGAGAAAACACACGGAAUCGCAAGAUAGAAUACCGGGACGAUCCGGGAAAAUAUAUAGCAAAAAUUUCCGCAUCAAAAGGAAUGUAACAAGCCAAAGUGGGGUCGGAGACGGACUCCGGGUGGUCCAGGCAGCCUCCUGGCGCGGCCAGGAGGUAGCCCGCGCCACCAGGUCGCCUGGAACCCCUGGAGCUCCUCUCCGGCUCCACUCCGGCUCGGAAUUUUCCUAAUUUUGCAAAAACACAUAAUACAUAACUUUUAUUGAUGUUCGUGAAGUUUCCUUACCGAAUUUCAUACCUAUUCUUAUUCUGCUUCUGCUGGUAUUUGACACGGUAUUGCAAUAUGUUCUUCAUGAGUAGCUACAUGUAUCACAUCCACCUCUAUAUUGAUGGGGUCUCCUGCCAUGUAAUGCUUGAUUCUUUGCCCAUUCACAACAUGUGGUUUGGUGCCUUCAAAAUUGUUAAUCUUGAUUGCACCGGAGCGGUAGACUUCGUCGAUAUGGUACGGUCCUUCACACUUGGAAAGUAAUUUAUCUGGAGAAAACCUGAAACGAGAUCUAUACAUCAAAACUUUAUCACCAACAUUAAAUUCACGUUUCAAAAUUCUCUUGUGAUGCCACUUCUUUACUUUUUCUUUGAACAUUUUUGCGCUCUCGUAAGCUUCACUUCUCCACUCAUCUAGAGAAGUCAAGUUCAUUAGGCGCUUUUAACCAGCAAGCUUUGGGUCAGCAUUAAGCUCUCUAAUAGCCCAGAAAGCUUUGUGCUCUAACUCUAAAGGUAAAUUGCAUGCCUUGCCAUAGACCAUCUUAUACGGAUACAUUCCCAUGGGAUUUUUGUAAGCAGUUCUAUACGCCCACAAGGCAUCUCCUAACUUUUUGGACCAGUCCUUUCUAGAACUGUUCACUGUCUUUUGCAAGAUCAACUUGAUCUCCCUAUUUGUGAGUUCAACUUUCCCACUUGUUUGAGGGUCGUAAGGUGAAGCAAUUCUAUGAUUAACAUCAUAUUUGGCUAGAGCUUUUCUAAAAGCACCAUGUGUAAAAUGUGAUCCUCCGUCAGUCAUGAGGUACCUAGGUACACCAAACCUAGGGAAGAUUACAUCCUUGAGCAUUUUCAAAGAUGUCUUGUGAUCAACACUUUCAGUGGGGAAUGCUUCAACCCACUUGGUCACAUAAUCAACAGCCACUAAGAUGUGAGCGUACUUGUGUGAAGGAGGAAAAGGACCCAUAAAAUCAAAACCCCAGCAAUCAAAAGGCUCAAUGACUAGAGAAUAAUUCAUAGGCAUCUCAUUGCUCCUACUCAUAUUACCAACUCUUUGACACUUAUCACAAGAUAAAACAUAAUUUCUAGCGUCUUUAAAGAGAGUAGGCCAAUAAAAACCUGACUAGAGAACCUUGUGUGCGGUCCUCUCACCAGCAUGAUGUCCUCCAUAAGGAUUGUUAUGACAUUGUCUCAAGAUAUACUUCUUCCUUUGUUGUGUGUCUCCUCACGAUCCCAUCCGCACCUUCUCUAAAAAGUUGUGUGUCAUCCCAAAAGUAAUACCUCAAAUCGCGGAAGAAUUUCUUCCUUUGUUGGAAUGUUAAGCCUGGAGGCAAAAACUUUGCAACAAUAAAGUUAGCAUAAUCUUCAUACCAUGGAUCGGAAUUAGAUUUUACCUUCAAAACAGCUAAGUGUUCAUCAGGAAAACAUCGUUGAUCGGAAUAGGAUCAUGUGGUAUGUCUUCCAUCCUGGAAAUGUUGUCUGCUACAGGAUUGUCUGCUCCCUUCCUAUCAACAAUCUGCAUAUCAAAUUCUUGAAGAAGAAGGACCCAUCUGAUAAGCCUUGGUUUGGCAUCCUUCUUUUCCAUAAGAUACUUAAUAGCAGCAUGAUCAUUAUGAAUGGUGACUUUUGAAUCAACAAUGUAAGGCCUAAACUUAUCACAAGCAAACACUAUCGCUAAAAACUCUUUCUUCGUAGUAGCAUAAUUCUUUUGAGCACUAUCAAGGGUUUUGCUAGCAUAAUGUAUAACAUUCAAUUUCUUAUCAACCCUUUGUCCUAACACCACUCCAAUAGCAAAAUCACUAGCAUCACACAUGAUUUCAAAAGGCAAAUUCCAAUUAGGUGGUUGGACUAAAGGGGCGGUUAUCAAGGCUUUCUUAAGGACUUCGAAGGCUUCCUUACAAUCUUCAUCAAACACAAAUGGAAUAUCCUUGUGGAGAAGAUUAGUGAGGGGUUUCGAAGUCUUAGAAAAGAGUUCAAUAUAUCUUCUAUAGAAACCAGCAUGAUCGAGGAAACUACGAAUACCUCUGAUGUCCUUUGGAUAGGGCAUCCUCUUGAUUGCUUUGACCUUUGCCCUGUCCACCUCGAUUCCCUUUUCAGAAAACUUGUGCCCAGGAACAGUCCCCUCAUUGACCAUGAAGUGGCACUUCUCCCAGUUGAGUACCAAGUUCGUCUCCUCACAUCUCUGCAAAACUUUAUUAAGGUUGUGGAGAUAGUGGUCAAAAGAGGUUCCAUAGACGGAGAAAUCGUCCAUGAAGACCUCCACAAUUUCCUCACAAAAACCAUGAAAGAUAGCAUACAUACACCUUUGAAAAGUAGCAGGAGCAUUGCAUAAACCAAAAGGCAUACGUCUAUAAGCAUAAGUACCAAAGGGACAAGUAAAAGUGGUCUUCUCUUGAUCGGCAGUGUUAACAUGAAUUUGAGAGAAGCCAGAAUACCCAUCAAGAUAUCAAAAGUGAGUGUUUUUGGAUAACCUUUCAAGCAUUUGGUCGAUGAACGGCAACAGGUAGUGGUCCUUCCUAGUUGCUUUGUUCAGCUUCUUGUAACCAAUACACAUUCUAUAUCCAAUAGUAAUUCUUUGAGGUAUUAGUUCAUUCUUAUCGUUAGGAACCACAGUCGUACCUCCUUUCUUGGGAACACAAUGUACCAGACGUACCCACUUACUAUCAGCUAUAGGGUAGAUAAUACCUGCGGCUAGAAGCUUGAGGAUUUCGGUCCUCACAAUGAUGACCCACAAGUAUAGGGGAUCAAUCGUAGUCCUUUCGAUAAGUAAGAGUGUCGAAACCAACGAGGAGCAGAAGGCUCUGAUAAACGGUUUUCAACAAGGUAAUAACUGCAAGCACUGAAAGUAGCGGUAACAAGUGAUGGUGUAGUGAGGUGAAACGUAGCAAGUGAAAAGUAACAAGUAACGAGUAGUACCAACGGUGCAGAAAAGUGGCCCAAUCCCUUUUGUAGCAAGGGACAAGCCUGAACAAAGUCUUAUAGGAGGAAAAACGCUCCCGAGGACACACGGGAAUUUCUGUCAUGCUAGUUUCAUCAUGUUCAUGUGAUUCACGUUCGUUAAUUUGAUAGUUUGAUAUGUGGGUGGACCGGCGCUUGGGUACUGCCCUUACUUGGACAAGCAUCCCACUUAUGAUUAACCCCUCUCGCAAGCAUCCGCAACUACGAAAGAAUAAUUAAGACAACGUCUAACCAUAACAUUAAACUAGUGGAUCCAAAUCAGCCCCUUACGAAGCAACACAUAGACUGGGGUUCAAGCUUCUGUCACUCUAGCAACCCAUCAUCUACUUACUACUCCCGAAUGCCUUCCUCUAGGCCCAAAUAUGGUGAAGUGUUAUGUAGUCGACGUUCAAAUAACACCACUAGAGGAAAAUACAACAUACAACAUAUCAAAAUACCGAACGAAUACCAAAUUCACAUGACUAUUAUUAGCAAGACUUAUCCCAUGUCCUCAGGAACAAAAGUAACUACUCACAAAGCAUAAUCAUAAUCAUGAUUAGAGGUGUAAUGAGUAGCAUCAAGGAUCUGUACAUAAACUCUUCCACCAAGUAAUCCAACUAGCAUCAACUACAAAGAGUAAUCAACACUACUAGCAACCUUACAAGUACCAAUUGGAGUCGCGAGACGGAGAUUGGUUACAAGAUAUGAACUAGGGUUUGGAGAGGAGAUGGUGCUGAUGAAGAUGUUGAUGGAGAUGACUCCCCUCCGACGAGAGGAGUGUUGGUGAUGACGAUGGCGACGAUUUCCCCCUCCGGGAGGGAAGUUUCCCCGGCAAGAUCGUCCUGCCGGAGCUCUAGAUUGGUUCUGCUCAAGUUCCGCCUCGUGGCGGCGGAGAAUCCACGAAAAAGCUCCACCCUGAUUUUUUCUCGGACGAAACCAUUCAUAUAUGAAAAGAGGGGGGCCAGUGGGCCACCAGAGUGCCCACAAGCCCUGUAGCCGCCGCCAGGGGGUAGGUGGCGGCUACCAGGCUUGUGGGCCCCUGGUAGCUCCCCUCUGGCACUUCUUGCGCCCAUUAUUUUUUAUAUAUUCCCAAAAAAUUCCACGUUGAUUUUCAGGGCAUUUGGAGUUGCGCAGAAUAGAGGACUCAGACUUGCUCCUUUUCUAGUCCAGAAUUCCAGCUGCCGGUAUUCUCCCUCUUCAAAUAAACCUUGCAAAAUAAGAGAGAAAAGGCAUAAGUAUGGUGCCACAAAGUAAUAUAACAGUCCAUAAAGCGAUAAAUAUCAACAUGAAAGCAUGAUGCAAAAUGGACGUAUCACACAACAUCCUUCAUCUUCGGGUUCAACUGUCGUUGAUGAUCAACAACCGGUUUAGCAUCAGGCUCAAGAUUGAUAGUAUGCAGACAAAUAGAUGGACUAAUCCCCUUAAGAUCAUCAAGGGUAUAGCCAAUAGUGCAUCGGUGUUUACGAAGGACUUCCAAUAAUCGCUCCUCUUCAUAUCCGAAAAGGUUAGCAUUGAUAAUAACAUGAUAAAAUUUCUUUUCAUCUAAAUAAGCAUACUUGAGCGUAUUGGGAAGAGGUUUAAGAUCAAACACCGGGUCUUCUUUUGGUUUCGGUAAAAUUCCCAAAGGCUCAAUCGAAGGUUGUGCUUCAGGAUAGCAGGUUGUCUCAAGAAUAUGUCGUCUAGCUCAUUCCUUUCCUGCAUAUGCAUAUCAUUCUCGUGGCCCUCCAUAAAUUACUGCAAAUGAUCGUUAAGAGGAAUAGCAAUAGAAGCAAUCUCUUCAACAAUUUUAUCAUUACUAGGCAAAUCAGUACCAUGAGUUUGCUUCGAUAAUUUAGAAAAGUUAAAUUCAUAUGGAUCACCAUUAAAUUCAACAGAUACUUUUCCUGUCCUGCAAUCUAUAAUAGCUCCACAAGUUUUGUGAAAAGGCCUACCAAAGAUAAUAGGGCAAAAACUAUCUUGCACUGAACCAAGUACUAGAAAGUCGGUAGGAUAUUUUACCUUUCCAUAUAGGACUUCAACAUCUCGCACAAUUCCAAUAGGAGAGAUAGUUUCUUUAUUUGCAAGAUGAAUAGUAACAUCAACGUCUUAAAUUUCACAAGGUAGAAUCUGAUUCAUGAUCUCUUAAUAAAGUGAAAAAGGAAUAGCACCAGCAGUGGAUCCCAAAUCACAUAGCCCGUAAUAAUUAUGAUCUCCUAUUUUAACAGAUACAACUGGAGUACCUGAAAUUGGGCCUUUAUUCUUGGUUGUAACAAGGUUAGUAGAAACAACACAAAAAUUUAUAUUGGAAUCCUCAAUAUUACUAGUAACAAGAUCCUUGACUAAUGCAACUUGAGGAUUGACCUUAAUUAGGUCCUCAUGCUCAUCAGUCGUUCUGUCACUUUUAUUCAGUAUGCCCGUGACAAAAGAAUGCUCCCUCAUCCUUGUGGGAAAAGGGGGCUUUUCAUAUAAAACUGCAGGCAAGAUAGGGUCAACAACAUUGAUAUCAACAGGUAAUUCCUUAAAACGUUUAUGGUGUUGAUCCUCCCUCUUCUUAGAAGAAUCAAUAUGAGAGGCAAAGUCUUUGCAAAAAUCAAUUAGAAGCUGGGAAUCAAGACCAAUCUUAGCACAAAAGGUAUUGAAGUAAUCAGUUUUCACAUAGCUCUCAAUGUAAUCAUGCUCAUAAUUUAUAACGGGUUCAAUACCUUUAUCAAUCUCCCAAUCUUCAGUAUUCUUCUAGAUCCUUUCAAUAAGAUCCCACCUAGCUUUAGUGCUUUUCUUGGAGAAUGCCCCACUAGAGGAGGCAUCAAGCAUCUCUUUAACUUGACGAGAAAGCCUUGCAUAGAAAUUUGUAAGAAUAAUUUCCUUGGGGAGCUCAUGAUUGGGACAUUUGAGCAUUAGGGACUUCAAUCUCCCCCAAGCUUGAGCGAUGUUUUCUCCGUCACGAGACUAAAAGUUAUAAAUAUAAUUGAUGUCUCGAUGUAUUUCAUGAAGAGGAUAAAACUUUGCAUAAAAGAGAGGCAUAAGAUCUUGCCAAUUUAGCAAAUGAGAGUUAUCAAGAAGCCUAUACCAAUCCAAAUCCUUAUCUCUUAAUGAUAGAGAGAAUAGCUUUCUCAUAACAAAAUCCAUCGAUAUACAUGCAAGCUUAAAUAAGGAGCAUAGUUGUGAAAGAUAUAGCAAGUGUUCACUUGGAUGUCUAUCUCCUACAUAUCGAUUAGCCAAGACACAAUCAAUAAUAGCAGUUGGUAUUUUAAAGGGCACAAUUUCCGUAGGUGGAGGAGGCUUCUCCACCACAAUAGUGUUGGGGCGGUUCCUCACAAGCAACAAACCAAGAGCAGAGUUGCCCAUAGGGACAAAAAGCGGAAACAACAAAAUAAAAACAACACUUACAGCGUAAAGGUUUCCUUACCAGUAGCGCUACACUGCCCAGCAACGGCGCCAGAAAAUGGUCUUGAUGACCCACAAGUGUAGGGGAUCUAUCGUAGCCUUUUCGAUAAGUAAGAGUGUCGAACCCAACGAGGAGCAGAAGGUAUUGACAAGCGAUCUUGAGCAAGGAAUAACUGGAAGUACUAAAAGGUAACUUUUUAUGGGUUUUCUGGUAUAAGCAACAAGGAAAUAAAUGCAGGGAAAGUAAAUGGUGUUGAGGUGCAACAAGUGACCCAAUCCUUUUGAACACAAAGGAUAAGCUGAGGGACUAAACUUAUAAAGACUAAGGCGUUCCUGAGGACAUGCGGGAGAGAUAGUCAAGUGAUGUCGCCAUGUUUCGUCUAGUACUAUGUUUUGUAUUGAUAAGUGUUAUGUGGGUGGAUAUUAACUAGUGUACCGUCUAGGCUAAGACAAGUACACUCUUAUGAUUAAACUCCUUGAAAGCAUCCGCAAACACGGGAGAGAAAUUAAGGCAAAGCCUAACUGUUGGGGAUAUUACCUGCGGUGUAACCCGCCCUAGCUGGGCCGGGUCACUAAAGGGGCGACUCAUUCAUUGGUAAUGCAGACCUUGGCCCAAGGGUCCCAGGAGCCAGAUGGCGGUUCAGGAGCUAUACAGAGGAUAGACCGCCAAGGAGGUUUCCAGUCUUGGAAAGCACGGCGACUUAGAGAUAGGGAAAGCUACGAUCUGUAGCAUAGUCAGGACUCUUGUAAAUCCUAGGGUCUCAACCUGUAUAUAAAGGCGAGUCCCUGAGGAAGAUAGGGGCAAGUUAGAAAUCAUCGAGAGCUAGGUCAGCCGAGUUAUGCCCUCCUUGUAAUCGAAACCAUCAUCAAUCUACACAAAGCAGGACGUAGGCUUUUACCUCCACACGAGGGGCCGAACCUCGGUAAAUCUGAAUCUCGCUUUCGCUCACCCCCUUUGAGUCGCCACCAAGGUGCGAUGGCUCCAUCUUUAAGUCCUUUCAUGAGGACAUCUGCCGUGACAAAACCACGACAGUUGGUGCCCACCAUGGGGCUACCACACGGUGGAGUUGAGUUCUCAAAGGGAGCCCUACCAGGGUCAGAAAGCUAUGCGGUCGGCAUCAUGACGAAGAGCCGCUGCGGAAGGUACUACACCGACAACUCGGUGUGGGGGCCAGAAGCCGAUUCAGUCGAAUCUGGUUACAGAGUCCCCUUCAGCAAAAUCAACAUCUUCAUCGGCAUGGUUGGAACACCCGUGCCUGAGCCGGUCACCUGCACCGACAUCGUCGAGCCGGCCAGGUACGUCCUCCCCAUCACGCGAUAUGACAAGAGACGCCAUGUUUUUGUCGGUUUUACGCAGGGAGCCAGCGUACAAGACGAACCGGCAAUCCAGGAGGCCACCCCCGUCAAUUCUGACGGCGAGUCAUCCAUGGGCGAGACAGAUUCAAUUCAUCUUCUUCACGAAGGACAACUUGGAGGGUGUUCACUGGCGAUGGACCCCGAGAUUCUGGAAAGAUCCCGUCAACAAAUCGCCAUCUAUAUGACGGGGGUGGCACAACCUCAGCAAAACCCGGUCGGCAACAAUGAGACCGGCGAGACGUCAGAAACCCCGGCUCAAGCCAUGCUGGACUUAACGGCGGAGGUCACGAGACUCAUGACAACCGCUGUGACGCCAGAGAAUCAGGAAUCGAUCAACGCGAAGCCGGCGAAGCUGCGGGAGGCGAUGGCGAAAGCCCAGCGAGACGUGGAACCGGAAGCCGCGAGGAUGGCAACGUAGGAGCACAUGAUCGCUGCGGAGACAGAACGGCUGAACACCGAAGGCUGGCAGCUCGAGAGACAACAACGCGCGUCCGAUGCAAUUCACGAAAGGAGGCAUCACGGACGCCUCCCGGCCGACUUACAUCCAACUCGCCUCUUCGACACCCCGCGCACUCCUGAGGUGGGACCUGAUCGACCUUUGCAAGCCACUCCAGGGGGAGGUCCGGUUCAACCACCUAACCCGCCACCGCCUCAACCGAUGGAUGCCCAUGCAACUCGCUUCCAGACACCACGAGGCCACUUCUCAAAUCCCGUGGAUGAUGUGCCGGCGGCAACCCGCCACCUGGAGUCCCUCCCCAUCUACGGAAACUCCCCGGCCUAAAUAGAAGCAAGAAACACCAUCGAGAUGUUGAAGACAACACUGGUCCAACAUGCGCAAUACUCACAGAACCUUCACCGGUUACACUCCACGCCCCAGGCGAGUCACACCAGGAGUCGCCACGAGGACCAACCCGCAGUGAUCAACAGGCAACGAUGUUUUCCCCAGACCAACCCGCACGGGAUGCCCGAUACGCAAGCCCAAGACAUUGUGGACGCAGCGCGAGCCGCGCGUCAGAUGGAGACAGGAGCCGCGGUGGGUCAGGGUUAUCCGGCUUAUACCCAGACACCUCCCGCACCGCUCGAUGCCGGAGGCAAGCACAUUGGGUGUCGUGUCUCAUGCCCUCUCUACGCAAUGAGCGGAUACCCAACUACACACAAGAUCUCGAACCAGGGUCAUGGAUUGAGAGCUACGAGCUUGCAAUGGACAUGCUCGACGUAAACGAGGCAGUUUGCGCCAAGUAUUUCACUAUGAUGCUCGAAGGAAUGACACAUGCGUGGUUGAAAAACAUGCGGCCUAACUCCAUCAACACUUGGGCAGAGUUGAAGGAGCGCUUCAUCAAAAAUUUCAGAGGGACUUGCAAACGCCCGAUGACCAUCGUCGACCUACAACACUACGUCCAACGGCUGGAUGAGUCGGCCCAUCACUGGACUCGGCGAGUCGCAUAAGUUAUUCAUUCAUCAGAUGGCAUCUCGGCGGCUCAGGCAGUGCUGAUUCUGGAGAAAAACUGCCAUUACGAGCCUCUGGUGCUAAAACUGGGGCGACUUAAGCGUAAAGUGGAGGACAUGGGCGAGUUGAUGGAUACCCUCGCCAGAUAUGCCUAGUCAGAUGACACCAAGGAUCCUGGAGAGGACGAUGACAAGGCUAGCACCGCCAGGAGGGGCGAGUCCUCGAAGGGUCACUCUCAGUUUCAAGGCCGGGGCAACCACCACCAUGGCGGACAAAGUAAAAAGAGACAAUAGGAAGAUAGCCCAAGAGUGCGAAGAAGGAGACGCACCUUAUGACGAGACGACUUGCGCGGCCGAGGAGCUCAAGUUUCACCAAGCCAAUGUUGACCCGGCGGAUAUGACACUGCUCAAGAGGCCAACAAUCGAUGCUGAGCCAUCCCUCAAGUUUAAACCAACGGAUGAUACCAAGGUUAUAGACUUCACGCCUGGCGACUCAACCAAGCAGUUCACUAUUGGAACGGGUCUGGAUCCCAAAUAAGAAAGCGCGCUCAUCGAAUUCAUCCGUGAGAAUCGGGACAUCUUCGCGUGGAAACCUUCUGUCAUGCCAGGUGUACCGAGAGAAUUUGCUGAGCACCAUCAUAAUACUAACCCCAAGGUAAAGCCAGUUCGGCAGUACCUUUGCGGGUAUAGUGAGGAACGACGUAAGGCGAUUGGAAAGGAAGUCGCCCGGAUUUUGGCCGCCGGGUUCAUCAUCGAGGUUUUCCAUCCUGAAUGGUUGGCUAAGCCGGUCCUGGUGCUAAAAAAGAACAACACUAUCCGCAUGUGCAUCGACUACACCGACCUCAACACAGCCUGUCCGAAGGAUCCCUUCGCCCUUCCCCGCAUUGAUAAAAUCAUUGACUCAACGGCAGGUUGCGAGCGUUUGUGUUUCUUGGAUGCUUAUUCAGGAUACCACCAAAUCAAGAUGGCGAUGGCAGACCAGGAGAAAACGUCCUUCAUAACCCCCUUCGGAGCCUUCUGUUACAUGUCUAUGCCGUUCGGGCUCAAGAGUGCAGGGGCGACUUAUCAGCGUUGCAUCCAAAAUUGUUUGCAUAACCAGAUCGGACGUAAUGUCCAUGCUUAUGUGGACGACAUGGUAGUCAGAUCUCAGAAGAAAGAGUCGCUCUUGGAGGAUCUUAAGGAGACUUUUGACAAUUUGCACGUAUACCAGAUGAGGCUUAACCCCACCAAAUGCGUGUUUGGUGUUCUUGUAGGAAAGUUAUUGGGUUUUCUGGUGUCAGAACGCGGCAUUGAAACUAACCCGGACAAAAUUGAAGCGAUUACUUCGCUAGGAAAGCCGGCCAAUAUUAACCAAGUCCAGCGCAUGGCGGGUCGUAUCGCGGCUCUAAGUCGUUUUAUAAGUCUCCUUGGGGAGAAGGCCAUCCCUCUUUAUCAGCUGCUCAAGAAAACUGAUCAAUUCGUAUGGACGGACGAAGCCAACGAAGCCUUUGAAGCCUUGAAGCGACAAUUGGUUAAGCCACCAGUGCUGGCGGCUCCGACGGACAAUGAGCCUAUACUUUUGUACAUCGCGACCAAUUCUAAAACAGUGAGUGGUAGUGGUUGUCGAGCAGAAGGAAGAAGGAAAGGAAUACCCGGUUCAGCGACCGGUAUAUUUUAUCAGCGAAGACGUGACCCUCUCCAAACAAUGCUACACGCAUUGGCAGAAGCUGGUCUUUGGGGUGUUUAUGGCAAGUCGAAAGCUGAAGCACUACUUCCAAGAGCAUCCCAUCACGGUAGUCAGUUCCGCCCCCCUUGGUGACAUUAUACAAAAUCGAGAAGCAACUGGACGGAUUGCUAAGUGGGCCAUUGAGUUGGGGCCUCACCACAUGCGAUAUACUCCCGUACGACCAUUAAGUCUCAAGCACUAGUAGAUUUCAUCAACGACUGGACCGAGUUGCAAAUUCCAGAGGAUAGGCCCGAUCACACAUAUUAGACCAUCUAUUUCGACGGAUCCAGGCAUUUGGAAGGCUCGGGGGUUGGUGUGGUGAUAACCUCGCCUCAGGGUGACAAAUUUUGCUAUGUCCUCCGGCUCAUGUUUCCAUGUACCAACAACGCAGCAGAGUAUGAAGCCUUGCUCCAUGGGUUGCGACUCGCCAAAGAGAUGAAUCUCACGCGAGUCAGAUGUUUGGGCGACUCAGAUGUGGUGGCACAACAGGUUUCUGGCACCUGGGAUUCUAGAGAUCCCUUGAUGGGGGCUUACAUGCGAUCUGUGUCGUUGCGGGUCACUUUCAUGGUUAUCAAGUGGAUCACAUUGACCGGCGACUCAAUGAAGCAGCAAAUGCUCUUUCCCGCCUUGGUUUACAGUGUAAGCCGGUCCCUCCUAAUGUCUUUUUGGAUCUAUUACAUAACCCUUCGGUGAGGCUACCUUCAGAGGAAGAUUUGGCGGUGCCGGGCCCUGAUACGUCUCCAACAUAUCUAUAAUUUUUGAUGGUUUCAUGCUAUUAUCUUCUCAAACUUUGGAUGUUUUGUAUGCCUUUUAUACAUUUUUUGGGACUAACUUAUUAACUCAGUGCCAAGUGCCAGUUCCUGUUUUUUCCAUGGUUUUGACCCCUUUCAGAGGAGGAUUUUGAACAUAGUCCAAAUGGAAUGAAAGUGCCAAAAAGAUUUUUUCCGGAACAGAAAACGAUCGGGAAGCCGGAGAAUCAGGGCAGGGGCCACCAGGGACCCCACAAGCCCUCAUGGCGCGGCCAGGGGGGCCCACGUGCCCUGGCUUGUGGGCUCCCUGAGGCUCCUUUGCCCUAGGUUUUGCGCCUAUAUAUUCCCUAAAAUCCCAUAAAAAAUCAGGAGAUCAUCAAAAUUACUUUUCCACCGCCGCAAGCUUCUAUCUCCGCAAGAUCCCAUCUGGGGCACGUUCUGGUGCCCUGCCGGAGGCGGGAUUCGGACACGGAGGGCUUCUUCAUCAACACCAUGACCUCUCCAAUGAUGCGUGAGUAGUUCACCAUAGACCUACGGGUCCAUAGCUAGUAGCUAGNAUCAUUGCCUUAGAUAUCGUCAUGACUUUGCACGGUUCUAUCAAUUGCUCGACAGUAAUUUGUUCACCCACCGUAAUACUUGCUAUUUUGAGAGAAGCCUCUAGUGAACACUAUGGCCCCCGGGUCUACUCCACACCAUAUUUUCAGCCUUACACUUUUUUACUUAUUGCACUUUCCGCCUUCAGAUCUCACUUUGCAAUCAAUCUUGAAGGUAUUGACAACCCCUUUAAAGCGUUGGGUGGAAGCUCUUUUGUGUUUGCGCAGGUACUCUGGAAUUGACGAGAUUCUCCUACUGGAUUGAUACCUUGGUUAUCAAACUGAGGGAAAUACUUACUGCUCCUGUGCUGCAUCACCCUUUCCUCUUCAAGGGAAAAACCAACGCAAGCCUAGUCUCCGUCAACGUGUCAAUUUCUGGCACUGUUGUCUGUUGCCGUAGCAGAAGAAUUUCUGGCACCGUUGUCGGGAGGAUCAAGUCAAGAACUCAUCCAAGUAAGUGUCGCAAACUCAUCUCUUGCAAUUACUUUGUUUGCGAGUUGGCUCUCGUUUUCCUCUCCCCCACUUCACCAAUUUGCCAUUUUCGUUUGCCUUUUUUGUUCGCCUUUUUCUUUGCUUGCUUUCGGUUUGCUUGUGUGCUAUGUGCCUUCAAUAUGCUUGCAUCUUCGCUUGCUAAGAAUCUAGUGACAUGGAUCCUCAUCCACUGUCUAAUCUUUUCGAGAGGUCCAACUAUGUUGAACCAAUUGCUAGUGAGUUUUGCGCACUAGAUUAUCUUUAUGGAGUUUUGCUUGAGAUGCGUGAAUCUGAAAAUUGUGAGGAAGAAAUUUAUGAAGUGAUUCACGAGGGCUCCUUGGAUGAAAAGCAUGAUUGCAAUGGUUUCACUAUAAAUUCUAUUAGUGACAAUCAUGCCAAAAAUAUGGAAAACCCUAAGCUUGGGGAUGCUAGUUUUGCUAUGUCCACUACUUGUUGCAAUGAUCAUGAGUGGGGCGAUGAUUUUCUUAUGAUAUUGAAAAUUUGUGUAAGCCUUAUGGUGAAUAUGAUAUUUGCAAUAUUAUUGAAAGUGGGUUUGGAGAAGUCAUGACUUUAGUUGAUGAUAAUCACACUAUUUUUGAAGAGCGUCAACUUUGCAUGCAUGUGGAUCAUGAAAAGAAUAUCCUAUGUGAUAGUUACAUUGUUGAAUUCAAAUAUGAUCCCACAUGUAAUUAUUAUGAGAGAGGAAAAUAUGGUGGUAGAAACUUUCAUAUCACUAAAUCACCUCUCGUUAUGUUGAGAUUGCUAUUGUCUCUUUCUUCUUCCUUGCAUAUGGUAACUAUUGGUUGUCUUGACAAUCUGUUUUCCUAUAAAAUGCCUAUUCAUAGGACGUAUGUUAUACUUAGAUGUGAUUUUCACAUGCUUUAUGAUGCUCUCGUUGUGCUUCAAUUCUUCUCUUUUGUGUGAGCAUCAUUGAAUUAUCAAUGCCUAGCUAAGGGCGUUAAACAAUAGCGCUUGUUGGGAGGCAACCCAAUGAAUUUAUCCUUUUUAUUUCUGUUUUCUUGCUUCCACACAAUCAUAAUUCUGUUGUGAUUGUGUUUUUUGUGUUUCUUUUGUAUUUGAGACAAGCAAAACCUUUACGACUACUCUUGGUAAUGGUUGUUUGAUCCUGCUGGAAAAAGACAGAAACUUUUCGCUCACGAGAUGAUUUUUCAUUUUUAUUCAGAAAGAGCUUUUGAGUUGAUUCUUUUUGCGGCUGGUUGAUAUGCCUUUUUCCCACGUAGUCGUAAUGUUUCAGAAUUUUUGAGGUACCAUAAGUAUACAAAGUAUACAUAUUGCUACAGACUGGUCUGUUUUUGACAGAUUUUGUUUUUGUUGAGUUGGUUGCUUGUUUUNNNNNNNNNNNNNNNNNNNNNNNNNNNNNNNNNNNNNNNNNNNNNNNNNNNNNNNNNNNNNNNNNNNNNNNNNNNNNNNNNNNNNNNNNNNNNNNNNNNNNNNNNNNNNNNNNNNNNNNNNNNNNNNNNNNNNNNNNNNNNNNNNNNNNNNNNNNNNNNNNNNNNNNNNNNNNNNNNNNNNNNNNNNNNNNNNNNNNNNNNNNNNNNNNNNNNNNNNNNNNNNNNNNNNNNNNNNNNNNNNNNNNNNNNNNNNNNNNNNNNNNNNNNNNNNNNNNNNNNNNNNNNNNNNNNNNNNNNNNNNNNNNNNNNNNNNNNNNNNNNNNNNNNNNNNNNUCAAGAUUGCUACAGUACCAAAAGAGGUGGUAGUUUGUUUUCUUGUGCUAAUGUUAUCACGAGUUUCUGUUUAAGUUUUGUGUUGUGAAGUUUUCAAGUUUUGGGUGAUGUUCUCAUGGACAAAGAGAUAAGGAGUGGAAAGAGCUCAAGACUAGGGAUUCCCAAGGCAUCCCAAGCCAAAUUCAAGGACACCAAAAAGCCUAAGCUUGGGGAUGCCCCGGGAAGGCAUCCCCUCUUUCGUCUUCAAUCCAUCGGUAACGUUACUUGGAGCUAUAUUUUUAUUCACCACAUGAUAUGUGUUUUGCUUGGAGCGUCUUGUAUCUUAGGAGUCUUUUCUUUUUGUUGUGUCACAAUCAUCCUUGCUUCACACCCUUUUGAGAGAGAGAGAGACAUGCACUCAUCGUGAUUUUGCUAGAAUGCUCACAGUGCUUCACUUAUAUCUUUUGAGCUAGAUAAUUUUUCUCUAUGUGCUUCACUUAUAUCUUUUAGAGCACGGUGGUGCGUGACUUGGUAGUUGGAUUAUGCUAUGAAAGUAGUCCCAAAUGUGAUAGGUACCCAAAGAGGAUACAAAAACCUCCAUCUUCAUGUGCAUUGAGUAGAAAUAGAAAUCUUGAUUCCUCUCAAUUAGUUUUGAGACGUGGAUUCGGUAAUAUUAAGAGUUAUGUUAGUAGGGUGUUGUGAAUCUAGAAAUACUUGUGUUGAAGUUAGUGAUUCCUAUAGCAUGCACGUAUGGUGAACCUCUAUGUUAGGAAGUCGGAGCAUAAUUGAUCUAUUGAUUUUCAUCCUCUGUGUUGAGGUCGGGAUCGCGCGAUGGUUCACACCUACCAACCCUUCCCCUAGGAGUAUGCGUUUAGCACUUUGUUUCGAUUACUAAUAAAAACUUUCGCAACAAGUAUGUGAGUUCUUCACGACUAAUGUGAGUCCAUGGUAUAGAUGCACUUUCACCUUCCACCAUUGCUAGCCUCUCUAGUGCCGCGCAACUUUCACCGGUACACAAACCCACCAUAUGCCUUCCUCAAACAGCCACCAUACCUACCUACUAUGGCAUUUUCAUAGCCAUUCCGAGAUAUAUUGCCAUGCAACUCCCACCGUUCGAUCUCAUGACUUGUGCCGUCACUCUCAUAUUUCCAUUGCAUGAUCGUAAGAUAGCUAGCGAGAUGUUUCAACGUCAUACGCCAAGCUAGAUCGUUGCACAUCCCGGUACACUACCGGAGGCAUUUCCUAUAGAGUCAUCAUCGUUCUGAGCUUCGAGUAAAUAAAAGUGUGAUGAUCAUCAUUAUUAGAGCAUUGUCCCAUGUGAGGAAAUAAAAAAAAGAGGCCCAAGCGCCCAAUAAAAAAACAGAGAAAAGAAAAAAGAGGCCUAAGAGCCCAAAUAAAAAAAAGAGAAAAAGAGAGAAGGGACAAUGCUACUAUCUUUUUCCACACUUGUGCUUCAUAAUAGCACCAUGUUCUUCAUGAUUGAGAGCUUCUUGCUUUGCCACCUCCAUAUGCUAGUGGUAAUCUUCAUUAUAUAACUUGGCUUGUAUAUUCCAAUGAUGGGCUUCCUCAAAAUUGCCCUAGGUCUUCGUGAGCAAGCAAGUUGGAUGCGCACCCACUAGUUCUCCUUUAGAGCUUUCACAUACUUGUAGCUCUAGUGCACCCCUUCUAUGGCAAUCCCUACUCAUUCACAUUGAUAUCUAUUAAUGGGCAUCUCCAUAGCCUUUUGAUACGCUGAGUCAAUGUGACCAUCUCCUCCUUUUUGUCUCACAACCACCACCACACUCUAUUCCACCUAUAGUGCUAUAUUCAUGGCUCACGCUCAUGUAUUGCGUGAUAGUUAUAAAAAGUUUGAGAAAGUAAGAGUGCGAAAACAAUUACUUGGCCAAUACCGGGGUUGUGCAUGAUUUACAUUAGUUGUGUGAGGAUGAUGGAGCAUAGCCAGACUAUAUGAUUUUGUAGGGAUAACUUUCAUUGGCCUUGCUAUUUUGAAAGUUCAUGAUUACCUUGCUAGUUUGCUUGAAGUAUUAUUGUUUUCAUGUCAAUAGAAAACUAUUGUUUUGAAUCUUACGGAUCUGAACAUUCAUGUCACGUGAAAGAAGUUGCAAAGGAAAACCAUGCUAUUUAGCAUUCCACAUCAAAAAUUCAUUCUUUAUCACUUCCCUACUCGAGGACGAGCAGGAGUUAAGCUUGGGGAUGCUUGAUACGUCUCCAACGUAUCUAUAAUUUUUCAUGGUUUCAUGCUAUUAUCUUGUCAAACUUUGGAUGUUUUGUAUGCCUUUUAUAUAUUUUUUGGGACUAACUUAUUAACUCAGUGCCAAGUGCCAGUUCCUGUUUUUUCCAUGUUUUUGACCCCUUUCAGAGGAGGAUUUUGAACGGAGUCCAAACGGAAUGAAACUGCCAAAAAGAUUUUUUCUAGAAUAGAAAAAGAUCGGGGGGCCGGAGAAUCAGGGCAGGGGGCCACCAGGGACCCCACAAGCCCUCAUGGCGCGGCCAGGGGGGCCUGUGCCCCCCUGGCUUGUGGGCUCCCUGAGGCUCCUUUGCCCUAGGUUUUGCGCCUAUAUAUUCCCUAAAAUCCCAUAAAAAAUCAGGAGAACAUCGAAAGUACUUUUCCGCCGCCGCAAGCUUCUGUCUUCGCAAGAUACCAUCUCGGGCACGUUCUGGUGCCCUACGGGAGGGGGAUUCGGACAUGGAGGGCUUCUUCAUCAACACAAUGACCUCUCCGAUGAUGUGUGAGUAGUUCACCAUAGAACUACGGGUCCAUAGCUAGUAGCUAGAUGGAUUCUUCUCUCUCUUGGAUCUUCAAUACAAAGUUCUCCAUGAUCUUCAGGGAGAUCUAUCCGAUGUAAUCUUAUUUUGCGGUGUGUUUGUCGACAUCCGAUGAAUUGUGGAUUUAUGAUCAGAUUAUCUAUGAAUCUUAUUUGAGUUUCUUCCGAUCUCUCUUAUGCAUGAUUUCAUAUCCUUGUAAUUCUCUUUGAGUUGUGGGUUUUGUUUGGCCAACUAGAUCUAUGAUUCUUGCAAUGGGAGAAGUGNNNAUAGCUAGUAGCUAGAUGGCUUCUUCUCUCUCUUGGAUCUUCAAUACAAAGUUCUCCAUGAUCUUCAUGGAGAUCUAUCCGAUGUAAUCUUCUUUUGCGGUGUGUUUGUCGAGAUCCGAUGAAUUGUGUAUUUAUGAUCAGAUUAUCUAUGAAUCUUAUUUGAGUUUCUUCUGAUCUCUCUUAUGCAUGAUUUCAUAUCCUUGUAAUUCUCUUUGAGUUGUGGGUUUUGUCUGGCCAACUAGAUCUAUGAUUCUUGCAAUGGGAGAAGUGCUUGGUUUUGGGUUCAUACCGUGCGGUGACCUCACCCAGUGACAGAAGGUGUAGCGAGGCACGUAUCGUGUUGUUGCCAUAAAGGGUAAAAAGAUGGGGUUUUCAUCAUUGGUUUGCUUAAGGCGUUACUCUAUUCGUCAUGAACUCAAUACACCAGAUGCAUGCUGGAUAGCGGUCGAUGUGUGGAGUAAUAGUAGUAGAUGCAGAAAGUAUCGGUCUACUUGUCUCGGACGUGAUGCCUAUAUGUAUGAUCAUUGCCUUAGAUAUCGUCAUGACUUUGCACUGUUCUAUCAAUUGCUCGACAGUAAUUUGUUCACCCACCGUAAUACUUGCUAUUUUGAGAGAAGCCUCUAGUGAACAUGGCCGCCGGGUCUAAUCCACACCAUAUUUUCAGCCUUACACUUUUUACUUCGUUGCACUUUCCGCCUUCUGAUCUCACUUUGCAAUCAAUCUUGAAGGGAUUGACAACCCCUUUAAAGCGUUGGGUGCAAGCUCUUUUGUGUUUGCGCAUUUACUCUGGACUUGACGAGAUUCUCGUACUGGAUUGAUACCUUGGUUCUCAAACUGAGGGAAAUACUUACUACUCCUGUGUUGCAUCGCCCUUUCCUCUUGAAGGGAAGAACCAACGCAAGCCCAGUCUCCGUCAACGUGUCAAUUUCUGGCGUUGUUGUCUGUUGCCGUAGCAGACCUCGAGUCUCAACUUGUGGCGGCUCUUCGUGCCACCCCGGAUUGGGCGAUUCCCUACAUGGCGUAUCUCACACGAGGCGAGUUACCCGCGGAUGAGUUAUUGGCUCGCCAAAUCGUCUGUCGAUGCAAAUCCAUGGUCAUACACAACGGCGAGUUGCACAAGGGAAGCACUUCAGGGGUAUUUCAAAGGUGUGUCUCUUCUGAGGAAGGAUGUAUGAUCCUCAAUGAAAUUCAUGCAGGCGACUGUGGUCAUCAUGUCGGGUCACGCUCCUUGGUUUCUAAGGCCUUUAGACAUGGGUUUAUUGGUUGACGGCUCAUGCAGACGCGGAAGAGAUAGUUCGCCUAUGUGAUGGUUACUAGAAAUUUGGACGUCAGAUGCAUGUGCCGGCUCAGGAGUUGCGGAUGAUCCCAAUCACUUGGCCGUUUGCAGUCUGGGGGCUGAACAUGGUUGGUACUUUCAAGAUGUCGUCCAAUAGAAAGACUCACCUAUUGGUGGAGGUUGACAAGUUUACUAAGUGGGUUGAGGCAGAACCUGUUAGUAGCUGUGAUGCAGAUACGGCCGUCAAAUUCUUGAAAAAUUUGAUUUUCCGGUUUGGAUACCCUCAUAGUAUCAUUACUAACAACGGUACUAAUUCAUCAAAGGGCGCAAUGCAAGAGUUUUGCGGUCGAGAGCAUAUCCGGCUUGAUGUUUCUGCAGUUGCACAUCCCAGUCUAAUGGGUAGGAAGAAAGGGCGAAUGAGGAAAUACUGCGAGGAAUCAAGCCCCGGCUUAUGGUACCUUUGGAGCGUACUCCAUGAUGUUGGGUGGAAGAGUUGUCCUCAGUAUUAUGGAGCAUCAGGACCACCCCUAACCACUCCACGGGGUUUACUCCUUUCUUUAUGGUCUACGGGGCAGAAGCGGUGUUGCCAAGUGACAUCAGACACGAUUCACCGCGAGUCGCCGCCUAUGUGGAACAUGACAACAAGUUGGCACGAGAAGAUUCGUUGGAUGCUUUGGAGGAAGAGCGAGACAUGGUUGCGUCACGAUUGGCGAUCUAUCAAGAGGACUUGCGAUGAUACCAUAGCCUCCGCGUCAAGAGCCGGACUUUUCAAGAGGGCGACUUAGUGCUCCGGUUGAUUCAGGAUCAUACUGGUAUGCAUAAGUUAUCACCUCCAUGGGAAGGACCGUAUGUCAUCAGCAAGAAUCUUCGACACGGCUCGUACUAGUUGGUGGAUCUUCGUCCAGGUCGGCCAACUACAGAGGUUGAGACAACUCGCCCCUGGAAUAUAGCCCACCUGCGGCCUUACUACACCUAGAGCCAUGGGCUCCUUUCUUUUUUGCAAAUCUCAGAAAUUGUAAUCUUUUAUUUAUAAAGAAAUAAAGCCGGCACCCACGAACUUCAGGGUCCUUUGCCGUUUCAGCUUCUGGAAAGCAUGAGUCUUUAUUGUUCUAUGAUUCGUCCAAGCAUGGACGCUAUCAGUACCAAAGAGCAUAAGUCGCCAUGUUGCACUUAUUUUGAACCUGGGUACUGGUAAGCCAAAGAGGACCAAAAGUUGCCACAUUCCACGGUUCAAACAUGGGCGCCUUAUAUGCUUUUGAGAAUAAAGCCGGCUUACUUUGGGGCUACUAGUUCCCAAGUCGUUUUGUAGUAAGAGCGUACAAACGCUUCUGUAAUCCUAUGUCCGACUUUUCUCUAAUCAUAGGUCACUUGGGGGCUUCCACUCACCGAGUUCAGCCUGAAUACCCUCUUGGCUAGCGAAAAAUUACCGCAUUACAAAUGGUUAUACUGGACCGUGUGUUGGACGAGUCGCCAUAUGGACCCAUGUACUCUUGACGAGUCAAUCCGCUUGUUGGUCCCUGAACUCGCCUUGGUUAAAACAUGAAAGGAACCGGCCGGAGCCACACAUGGAGAAUAGAGAAACCAUUGGUUCACUGAACCUACUUCAAUGAAGCCUGACUCGCGCCUGAUCAGCCGGUCGAAAAACUUGGGGCUAUUGCACAAGCCUUCCUCGGGUAGCACUAGAGUUUUGCAAACUCGACCUAUCCUGUCGUAGCUCAUCGAGCUGACGAACUUUUACGACUAUCUUCGUGGCACUGCCACAAGGUUUCGUAAAACUUUAUAUAUGACUCGUCGUGACUUACUGAGCCGACUCCUUGCUUAUAAUUCGCCAUGACUUAUUGAGUCAGCAUAUGGCGGUUUUUCCUUGAUAAACAGGUUGAAGAAGCUCUCCCUUGCUGACAUAUGACAAAACAAUGAAGCAUCAAGAUUGGUAAAAGCGACUCAUGAUUCACAUAAAGGAUAAACUAUCCAUCAACGUGAAGCAAAAGGCAUGGGUGGAAGACUGUUUUCCUACAAUCUAACAAACUAUUACGUAGCUGGGCGGGCGUCAUCUCCCAAUCAUGAAAAUAUCAGAUUGUUUUUAAAGCAAUGAUUACAUCCUAAGAAGACUCAAGCUGCCUCCGGGUCGCCUUGCCUCGAGCUUUCUCCACCUUCAAUUUGUAAGCCGCCCAACUUCCAGUUACACUUGGACAAGGCGACGAACUCCUCUUCAUCGUUAAAAAGGUAGAUAGAUCUGCUUCAAAGUCGAAGUGAUUCUUGGGCCGGCGAGGAGUCAGGCUUGUAAUUUCAUACGACGGAGGAGUCACCUUCUUGUUACUAUCAUCAUACGCAUCUUGGUAUUUGUUUAAAUCCAAGCCGGCUACUAGUUGAGUCGUUGCAAAGCGGGACUCUUUGAUUACUUGGUGGUAGUAUUCUUCGGUGAACUCCAACCCGUCGUCUUUCAGUUCAGGAUAGCCAGCAGUUACCUCCUAUGGCUUCAGCUUGGAAGCAUAGGCCAGGCACCAGCUUAGGGUAUUCAGGGCUCCCUUCCGGGCGGCUGAUCUCUUCAGCUCCUCCACUUGAGGAGGCAAUGUAGACAAGUAGCCAAGCAUGCUCUUGAUGGACUUAACUGGCUCUUUGUUGCCCAUCACUGCUUUUAUCGUCAGCAUGCUCCCCGUAUACAACUGCUCGGUGAAAGUAUACAUCGCCUUUAGUUUCAGCAUGCAGUCGUCUUGGAGAUUGGCGGCUCGCGGACCUACAAAGGAUAAAUUCGUGUUUGUUAGUCUUGGUAAACUAGACUGAUUUUUUGGUGAAGGGAAUUGAUCCUUACCAAACAUGGCUUGAGUCAUGUUGGAGAUGUGUUUUUUCAAGCUGGAGAGCUCUUGCUGGGCGGCUUCUAGUUUCUCCUCGGCUUGCUCAGCCCGCUUCAGGAUGGUGGCUUGAUCAGCUUUGGUUUUCUUUCCAAGCUUCUGGUGAUCAGCCUUCAUUUUUUCUAUUUCAGCCAGGACCACCUAUACUUCUUCUCAAACUUAGACCGAACAUUCUGCUGUUCGGCUAGAUUUUUCCUUAAAUCAGCUAGGGAUGACUUGGCCUGGGUCACAGAUUCCUGCAAAAACAAAAUUUGGGGAGACAAGUCUCAAAACUAUUGCAAGCAAUAUUCCUGACACUUGUGGGCUAAUGUAUGAUUCUAUUCGAAGUCAUACAAAAUACAAGACCUGACUCAUCUUUCAAAAGAUGACCCGGCCCUUGGGGGCUACGGGUUGAAGAUUUUUAACUAUAUUCAAGACCCGACUCAUCUUUCAAAAGAUGACCCGACCCUUGGGGGCUACAGGUUGAAGAUUUUUAACUAUAUUCAACACCCGACUCAUCUUUCAAAAGAUGACCCGACCCUUGGGGGUUACAGCUUGAAGAUUUUUAACUAUAUCCAAGACCCGGUUCAUCUUUCACAAGAUGACCCGACCCUUGGGGGCUACAAGUUGAAGUUUUUCUCUAACUACAAGACCCGACUCAUCUUUCAAAAUAUGACCCGACCCUUGGGGGCUAUGGACAAAUAUGGGUCUACGAGAUAUCACAACAAAAAUUGUGCAAAGACUAGUCUACUGGAAGGCUAAUGGGUAGAAGAAUACAUAAUAAGACGUACCUCAUGUUUGACUCUCAUCAUGUGGAUCAAGCUUUUAUUCAUUUCAUAAAUCUUCUCUAGGCGACUUGCGAAGCCAGAGCAGAGUUGGUCAAAUUCGAGCUUCUCAUAAUGAGGAAGCUUCAACUUACUGACAUCUUGUUUUGCGGAAGGAUGAGAUUCUUUGGAGGUGUGUUUGGAUAACACCGCCGCUGCAGGUUUGGAGUAGCUAGUACGAGUGAUAAUGACGGCCUCUGGAUCAUCAGUCGCCUUGGAAGAGCUCAGCGGGUUAACAUUGUCAGCGGUUUCCUUUAAGGAGCCUGGCGAGUCGUCCUGGACGUCAGGGAUGUCAUCCGCAGGAACAUCAUGAGCCGCCACUUGGUCCUCGUCAAGCUCUGGGGUAGAGGUGCUCGUGCCUAACACCUCAGUCAUCUUAGGAGCGGAAGACGAGUCGCCAGUUUUUCUCUUCUUUGCUUGUGCUCUGAGAUGAAGACAUAAAAGUUAGGACAAAUAUCAUUAUUUGGGAAGAGAAAGGGUUAAUAAAAGAACUCACCCUUGUACACGAAUCAUUGGCGGAAGAGCUGACAUCACUGAGUCGCCAGAUGAAGGAGGAGAAGCCUGAAAGAAUAAAAGUUCAAGGAGUGAAGAAGUUGUGAACCAAUUUUCUACAAGGAAGAGAUUGUGUUUAACAAGAGUAUACCUCACUUGAGCAUUUUCGACCGGCUGUUUUCUCAGGUAACCCGGCAAUUAAGUCGCCAGAACGGCUUCGGGUUUUACGCUUGGGAGUAUACCUCGCCUUCUUCAAAAGGAAAUCAGGGUCCAGACAAGCAUGUGGGUGAGACAUGGGAACUUUUCCACAAAUUCGCCUGGCCAGCCUAGGAGGAGAGGAAGUUGAGUCGGAAAAAAUAGAAAUUACCUCGACUACGUCAUCUGGGCUCUCAUAGCCAUCGUCCUAUACACCAGAGUAACAUGAUAUAAGCAUAAAAUCGGAACAUGGUAAUGACAAGCAAAAGGGUAAAUUUUUACCUCCGACUGUUCUUCGCCGGCUCGGGUCCGCCGACAACGGAUGAAUCCUUGGCGGCGGCUUUACCCUUGCUCUUCUUCUUCUUCUUCGGGGGCGGUUUAGUUGUUUGUUGGGCAGUCACCUUUGGCCCCCUUCGCCAAAAGGGAUCACCUUUCUGGUGGAUAGAAUAAAAUUUCAAACCCGGAGCAUUGGCAUGUAUGUUUAAAGGGUAAAGGGAGGCGGCUUAGAUUGUUACCGGUGGAGCCGGGUUGGAGCGACAGAAGGGCUUGAGCCAGAUUUUGGCACAGUCCUCCAAAGGCUCGCCGGUUAACUUCUUGAUUAUCCCAACAAUGUCCUUCUCUGAGAGUUUUUUAUGGUGGAAGCAUUGCGGAUGGUUCACGCUACCAUCAUAUUCGCACAUCAGACCAUUCCGGCGACUCAGAGGAAGAAUGUUCCAUUCCACCCAGCAACAGAAUAGAUCAACCCCGGUGAGCCCGUUAUUGGUCAAGGACCGCAACUCGGAGAAGAUAGGGAUGAAUUCCGAUUCUUCUUCUAUAAGCAUCUCGGGCAGCUUCAAGUCCAUGGGCAAGCGAUCUUCUCUAUAACCCGGAAGUGGGUUCUCACCAGGAGGAGAAGUGUCACGACAGUAAAACCAAGACUCGGCCCAGCCUUUGGGAUGGCUGGGCAGAAGGACAGAUGGAAACCCACGUUCGCGGCGCCGCUGGAUUUUGACUCCUCCGAGUUCCAGAUUGGGCCCGUUGGAAAAUUCGGUUUGGCGGUUCAGAUAGAAGAAGUUCCAAAAUAAUGGAAUUGUGGGCUCUCUUUGCAGGUAUACCUCGCAAAAUACUUGAAACUGGUAGAGAUUACUGAUGGAGUUAGGUCCGAGGUCCUGAGGAUGAACGUUGAGGAAAUGUAGAGUGUCUCUGAAGAACUUUGACCCGGGCGGUUUGAAGCCUCGUUCAAGAUGAUUAGUGAAAACGACUACUUCCCCUUCGGCAGGGUUGGGGAUCACCAAGCGGGGGGGGGGGGUCGCCAACCAAUAACUUCCUUACUGUUGAGAUGACCCGACUUGACAAAUUUCUCAAUAAUAGCAUCAUCAAUCUUGGUUGGUAACCAAUCGCAUUUCGAGACGAUGACCAUGACUACAAAAAUAGGAAACAAGGCGGCUCAGUGAGGACCAUGAAAUGUGGUAGCUCGCCAGUUGGAGAUCUACGAUGUGUGUCUAAAGACCUUAUAACUCGCCAUUAGGUGACUAAAAACCUGGAUAUGAGGGUAUUCUAACUCGCCAGCUCAGAAAUUUAUGGUAUGUUCGUACUUCUCAAACAACAACGCCAGAAUUUGACACGUCGACGGAGACUUGCUUGCGUUGGUUUUUCCCUUGAAGAGGAAAGGGUGAUGCAACAAAGGAGCAGUAAGUAUUUCCCUUAGUUGAGAACCAAGGUAUCAAUCCAGUAGGAGAAUCUCGUCAAGUCCAGAGUACCUGCACAAACACAAAAGAGCUUGCACCCAACGCUAUAAAGGGGUUGUCAAUCCCUUCAAGAUUGAUUGCAAAGUGAGAUCUGAAGGCGGAAAGUGCGACGAAGAAAAAGAGUAAGGCUGAAAAUAUAGUGUGGAGUAGACCCGGGGGCCAUAGUGUUCACUAGAGGCUUCUCUCAAAAUAGCAAGUAUUAUGGUGGGUGAACAAAUUACUAUCGAGCAAUUGAUAGAACCGCACAAAGUCAUGAUGAUAUCUAAGCCAAUGAUCAUACAUAUAGGCAUCACGUUCGAGACAAGUAGACCGACACUUUCUGCAUCUACUACUAUUACUCCACACAUCGAUCGCUAUCCAGCAUGCAUCUAGUGUAUUGAGUUCAUGACGAACAGAGUAACGCCUUAAGCAAGAUGACAUGAUGUAGAGGUAUAAACUCAAACCAAUGAUGAAAACCAAGAUUACAAGGAUAUGAAAUCAUGAAUAAGAGAGAUCAGAAGAUACUCAAAUAAGAUUCAUAGAUAAUCUGAUCAUAAAUCCACAAAUCAUCGGAUCUCGAAAAACACACCGCAAAAGAAGAUUACAUCAGAUAGAUCUCCAUGAAGAUCAUGGAUAACUUAGUAUUAAAGAUCCCAGAGAGAGAAGAAGCCAUCUAGCUACUAGCUAUGGACCCGUAGGUCUUUGGUGAACUACUCACUCAUCAUCGGGGAGGUCAUGGUGUUGAUGAAGAAGCCCUCCGUAUCCGAAUCCCCCCUCCGGUAGGGCACCAGAACGUGCCCCAGAUGGGAUCUUUCGGAGACAGAAGCUUGCGGCGGCGGAAAAGUACUUUUGAUGAUCUCCUGAUUUUUUCUGGGAUUUUAGGGAAUAUAUGGGCGGAAGACCUAGGGCAGGGGAGCCACAGGGAGCUCACUAGCCUGCUAGGCUCGGACCCCCCUAGGUUGGGCCUGGUGGGCUUGUGACCUCCUCCGAGGUCCCCUGUCUUGGUUCUCAAGUCUCCCGCGUGUCUUCUGUUAUGGAAAAAAAUCAUUCCACAGACUUUAUUCCGUUUGGACUCCGUUUAAAAUUCUCCUCUGAAAAGGGUAAAAAACACGGAAAAAACAGGAACUGGCACUUGGCACUGAGUUAAUAAGUUAGUCCCAAAAAAGAUAUAAAAGGCAUACAAAAUCUCCAAAGUUUGACAAGAUAAUAGCAUGAAACCAUCAAAAAUUAUAGAUACGUUGGAGACGUAUCAAGAAUCCCCAAGCUGAGUUUGGGGGCGGUGGUGCCACGUGGGCCCCACAAGCCUGCACGACGCGAUCUAGGGGGGUGGCCGCGGCUUGUGAGCUUGUGGCCCACUGGCACGCCCCCUCCGGUGGAUCUUUGCGCAUGUAUUUUUCUUUUAUUCCAGAAAAAAUAUCCGUAAAUUUUCAGGACAUUCCGAGAACUUUUAUUUCUGCACAAAAACAACACCAUGGCAAUUUUGCGGAAAACAGCGUCAGUCCGGGUUAGUUCCAUUCAGAUCAUGCAAAUUAGAGUCCAAAACAAGGGCAAAAGAGUUCGGAAAAGUAAAUACGAUGAAGACGUAUCACACUCCUUAUCUCUUUGUCCAUGAGAACAUCACCCAAAACAUGAAAACUUCACAACACAAAACUUAAACAGAAACUCGUGAUAACAUUAGCACAAGAAAACAAACUACCACCUCCUUAGGUACUGUAGCAAUCUUGAUUUCUAUUUAUAUUGGUGUUGGGAUACUGUAUUCUCACUCUUCCAUGGCUGGUUCCCACCGAUACUAUCCAUAGUUUCAUAAAAACAAGCAACCAACUCAACAAAAACUGAAUGUGUCAAAAACAGACUAGUCUGUAGCAAUCUGUAUACUUCGUAUACUUCUGGUACCUCAAAAAUUCUGAAACAUUACGACUGCCUGGGAAAAAGGCAUAUCAACCAGCAGCAAAAAUAAUCAACUGAAAAGCUCUAUCUGAAUAAAAAAGAAAAAUCAUCUCGUGAGUGAAAAGUUUCUGUCUUUUUCCAGCAGGAUUAAACAAUCAUCACCAAGACUAGUCAUAAAGGUUUUGCUUGGCUCAAACACAAAUAGAAACACAAAAAACAGAAUCAUAACAGAAUUAUGAUGGUGUGGACGCAACAAAACAGAAAACAAAAAUAUAAAUUCAUUGGGUUGCCUCCCAACAAGCGCUAUUGUUUAACGCCCUUAGCUAGGCAUAAAGCGAUAGAAUCACGUAUCGUCGUCUUUGGUGCUCAAACCAUAACUAGCCCUCAUCAUGGAUUCAUAAGGAAAUCUUAUUUCUUUCUAGGAAAGUGCUACAUGCCCUUCUUUAAAGGAAAUUGAAAUCUGAUAUUCCCCUCCUUCAUAUCGAUGAUAGCACCGAUAGUCCUUAGGAAAGGUGUACCAAGAAUAAUAGGACAUGUAGGAUUGCAAUCAAUGUCAAGCAUAAUGAAAUCCACGGGUACACAGUUCCUAUUUGCAAUAAUAAGAACAUCAUUGAUUCUUCCCAUGGGUUUCUUGACAAUAGAAUCCGCAAGAUGCAAAUUAAGAGAACACUCUUCAAUCUCAUUAAAACCCAGAACAUCACAUAAAGACUUUGGAAUCGUGGAAACACUAGCACCCAAAUCACACAAAGCGUUGCAUUCAUAGUUUUUGAUUUUGAUUUUGAUAGUAGGUUCCCACUCAUCAUGAAGCUUUCUAGUGAUAUAGACUUCCAAUUCAAGUUUCUCUUCAAGAUAUUUUAUCAUAGCUUCGACGAUAUGAUCGGUAAAGGCCUUGUUUUGGCUAUAAGCGUGUGGAGAGUUUAGCAUGGAUUGCAUCAUGGAAAUGCAUUCAAUCAAGGAGCAACUAUCAUAAUUGAAUUCCUUCAAAUCCAAAGUAGUAAUUUCAUUACUACUCAAAGUUUUAAUAUCUUCUACUCCACUUUUAAUGCUUUUAACAACAAGAUAGGUGGACUCCGAAUCAUUGGUGCAUCUUUGAACCAAAGUGGAUUCAUAUCCAGACCCAUCAUCAUUAGGUUUAACACAAGAAAACAAAGAUUCAAUGGGAGUCACACCAAGCACUUUAAGAUCUUCGUGAUUCUCAUCACGAGAACACGCCUUUCUAAGCCAUUCAUGUCUAGCAUGAAUUUGGGCGGUUCUUUCUUUGCUCUCACUCAUGGAAACACGCAUAGCUUUCAAAGUUUCAUCCAUAUUGAUCUUGGGAGGAGCAGAUCUAACUUUCAAAGCAUCACUAUCACUAGACAUUCUAUCAACGCUCUUAGCCAAAUCGUCAAUUUUGAGUAGUUUUUCCUCUAUGGACGUAUUGAAUUUUUUUUGCGAGUUGAUAAACUCUUUGAUAUUACUCUCUAGAUCAGAGGGUAAUCUAUUGUAAUUUCCAUGAGAAAUGUUGUAGGAGUUGCGAAAGUUAUUAGAGGAGUUACUUGGAAAAGGCCUAGGAACACAGUUUCCUCUAAAAGCAUUGUUGUUGCCAAAAUUAUUCCUACCAACAAAAUUAACGUCCAACCUAGCGUUGCUACUCUCAAUCAAGGAAGACAAGGGCAUAUCAUUAGGAUCUAAAGGAGCACUUCUACUAGCAACCAUAUUCAUUAACUCAUCCAUCUUAGCACUCAACGAGUUAAUUUCUUCUAUAGCGUGUACCUUUAUACUAGUAGGUGACCUUUCAGUGUGCCACUGAGAGUAGUUCGUCAUGAUAUUGUCUAGGAGUUUUGUGGCUUCUCCUAACAUGAUUUCCAUGAACGUUCCACCUGAGGCGGAGUCCAAGAUAUUUCUAGAAGCGAAAUUCAAGCAAGCGUAAAAUAUUUGUAUAAUCAUCCAAAGACUCAAGCCAUGAGCGGGACAAUUUCUAAUCAUCAAUUUCAUCCUCUCCCAAGAUUGUGCAACAUGUUCAAGAUCAAGUUGCUUAAAAUUCAUGAUAUCAUUACAGAGAGAGAUAAUCUUAGCCGGCGGAAAAUACUUGGAUAUAUAAGCAUCUUUGCACUUAUCCCAAGAAUCAAUGCUAUUAUUGGGCAAAGACGAAAACCAAGUUUUUGCUCGAUCUCGCAACAAGAAAGGAAAAACCUUCAAUUUAAUCACAUCAUUAUCCACAUAUGUCUUCUUUUGCAUAUCGCAAAGUUCAAUGAAGGUAUUAAGAUGGUAUGAGACAUCUUCACUAGGAAGGCCGGAAAAUCGCUCUUUCAUAACAAGAUUCAGCAAAGCGGCAUUGAUUUCGUAUGACUCCGCACUAGUGGCGGGAGCAAUCGGAGUACUAAUAAAAUCAUUAUUAUUAGUAUUCGAGAAGUCACAAAGUUUGGGGUUUUCAGUCAUGGUGACUUUGGCAAGCAAGCAAGCACACAAGCGAACAAAGAGCAAGCGAGAGAAAAAGCCAAACGAAAAAGGCAAAUCUUUUUGUAAUUUUUUUUUCAGAAGUGGGGGAGAGGAAAACGAGAGGCAAAAAAAGUAAAUGCAAGAGAUGAGUUUGCGACACUUACUUGGAUGAGUUCUUGACUUGAUCCUCCCCGGCAACGGCGCCACAAAUCCUUCUGCUACUUCUCAAACAACAGCGCCAGAAUUUGACACGUUGACGAAGACUUGGUUGCGUUGGUUUUUCCCUUGAAGAGGAAAGGGUGAUGCAACAAAGGAGCAGAAAGUAUUUCCCUCAGUUGAGAACCAAGGUAUCAAUCCAGUAGGAGAAUCUCGUCAAGUCCAGAGUACCUGCACAAACACAAAAGAGCUUGCACGCAACGCUAUAAAGGGGUUGUCAAUCCCUUCAAGAUUGAUUGCAAAGUGAGAUUUGAAGGCGGAAAGUGCAACGAAGAAAAAGAGUAAGGCUGAAAAUGUAAUGUGGAGUAGACCCGGGGGCCAUAGUGUUCACUAGAGGCUUCUCUCAAAAUAGAAAGUAUUACGGUGGGUGAACANAUAAAUCCACAAUUCAUCAGAUCUAGACAAACACACCGCAAAAGAAUAUUACAUCGGAUAGAUCUCCAUGAAGAUCAUGGAGAACUUUGUAUUGAAGAGCCAAGAGAGAGAAGAAGCCAUCUAGCUACUAGCUAUGGAUCCGUAGGUCUAUGGUGAACUACUCACGCAUCAUCGGAGAGGUCAUGGUGUUGAUGAAGAAGCCCUCCGUAUCCGAAUCCCCUUCCGGCAAGGCACCAGAACGUGCCCCAGAUGGGAUCUAGCGGAGAUAGAAGCUUGCGGUGGCGGAAAAGUACUUUCGAUGAUCUCCUGAUUUUUUCUGGGAUUUUAGGGAAUAUAUAGGCGGAAGACCUAGGACAGGGCAGCCACGGGGAGCUCACAAGCCUGCUAGGCCCGCCCCCUAGGCCGGGCCUGGUGGGCUUGUGACCUCCUCCGAUGUCCCGUGCCUUGGUUCUCAAGUCUCCCGCGUGUCUUCUGUUAUGGAAAAAAUCAUUCCGCAGAUUUUAUUCCGUUUGGACUCCAUUUAAAAUUCUCCUCUGAAAAGGGUCAAAAACACGGAAAAAACAGGAGCUGGCACUUGGCACUGAGUUAAUAAGUUAAUCCCAAAAAAUAUAAAAAAGGCAUACAAAACGUCCAAAGUUUGACAAGAUAAUAGCAUGAAACCAUCAAAAAUUAUAAAUACGUUGGAGACGUACCACGAAGGUGUUCUGACUCGCCCCUCGACCGACAAAAGGCAUAGCUAUGGUGAUGAUCUAACUCGCCGUGGUGGAAGAAGGUGAGCGGCGGGUCUCAAAGGAUUUUUUCCUUAGGGAUAUUCCCGGGAGAAGGAUAAACAUGUUUCUAAAAGCGGGCAGUGAAUUACAGAUUUACGGGUGGAUCGAAUUAAAAAGAUAAUACUUGGAAAAAUUGAAAAGGCUAUGAACGCAAGAAUACGGCAAGGAUAUCAUCUGGAUCUACGAAGUAAAACAUCAAAUGGCCGGGAGAUGCAAGGAAACUACCAUGGUUCGCUAUUACAAAGGACCUACUGCAAGUAUAUUAAGCGGAUCCAGAGUAAAGAGAGGUGUUCAUUGUAUUAUGGAAUUAACCUAGAAGAACGCGGGGUCCUCAGUCUAACCCUAAUGGAGAAUGGUGUUUACCUGAGAGAGGUGGACGACGCCGGAGAUGGAUGCGGAAAGCUUCGCUCCUUCGAUUGGCCUGGAGACGCCCAGGUUUCAGCGGCUGGAGAUAGAGCUUCGGGAAAACGGCGAGAAGGCCGAGGCGCUGGCACGAGGAAGACGAAGGACGAUGAGGAAGAUGGAGCCGAAGUGGGGGUAGGUGACGGUGCCCCCACUCCCCCUUGUAAUUAUUUAAAGUCCCAGAGCUGGAAUCGAGGCGGCAGGCGCGGGAAUAGAGGCGACAAACUGAAAAUUUGCAAUGAUGGCGCCUGGAUUUUAGGGAUAAGUAAAUGGCGGUGCAAAAGAUCCGUUGGGUGGUUACGACAUUGAAGCCCCGAAAUUGAAGGGAUAAGGUGAUGUCAUCAAAGAGCGCAUGGCGGCUCAAACAAUUCAUGAUGGAUGGCGGCUUAUCGUCCGUCAAAAGGUAGGAGUGAUACAAGUUGCCCCAAAAUGAGUGAAAGUUUAUUGGCGUGAAUAAAUUCAAGACAAUCUGGGGCCUAAUGUUGGGGAUAUUACCUGCGGUGUAACCCUCCCUAGCUGGGCCGGGUCACUAAAGGGGCGACUCAUUCAUUGGUAAUGCAGGCCUUGGCCCAAGGGGCCCAGGAGCCAAAUGGCGGUUCAGGAGCUAUACAUGGGAUAGACCGCCAAGGAGGUUUCCAGUCUUGGAAAGCACGGAGACUUAGAGAUAGGGAAAGCUACGAUCUUUAGCAUAGUCAGGACUCUUGUAAAUCCUAGUGCCUCAACCUGUAUAUAAAGGCGAGUCCCUGGAGAAGAUAGGGGCAAGUUAGAAAUCAUUGAGAGCUAGGUCAGGCGAGUUACGCCCUCCUUGUAAUCGAAACCAUCAUCAAUCUACACAAAGUAGGACGUAGGCUUUUACUUCCACACGAGGGGCCGAACCUGGGUAAAUCUGAGUCUCGCUUUCGCUCACCCCCUUUGAGUCGCCACCAAGGUGCGAUGGCUCCAUCUUUAAGUCCUUUCAUGAGGAUAUCUGUCGUGACAAAACCACGACACUAACCAUAGCAAUAAGCUUUAGGAUCCAACACUCCCUCGUGCAAAAGCAUGCGAACUGGGGUUCAGGUUUCUGUCACUCCGACAACCCACCAUAAGCAUUCUUUAUAGACGAUGCAUUCUCUUAGGCCCUUAAAAAGGUGAAGUGUUAUGUAGUCGACGUUCACAUAACACCACUGUCACGCCCAAGAUGCGACCCUAUCCUCAAUUUGGCACGGGGCCUCGUCAGGGAUAGAAGCGCAUCUCGUCGUGUCGCAAGAAUGGAUAUCGUUACAAGUACAAGUACCGAAAAGAAGAGAUGUAUAAUAGAAUUGGCUUACACUCGCCACAAGCUACAUCAGAGUCACAUCAGUACAUUACAUAAUCAUCAAGAGUAAGAGCAGGGUUCGACUACGGACGAAAACAAACGACAAAAGAAGAACGACGUCCAUCCUUGCUAUCCCAGGCUGCCGGCGUGGAACCCAUCCUAGAUCGAUGAAGAAGAAGAAGAAUAAGCAACUCCAAAUGAACAAUCAACACGCUCGUGUCAAGUAACCUUUACCUGUACCUGCAACUGGUGUUGUAGUAAUGUGUGAGCCACAGGGGACUCAGCAAUCUCAUUUCCAAAGGUAUCAAGACUAGCAAAGCUUAUUAGGUGAGGUAAGGUUAAGUGGUGAGGUUGCAGCAGCGGCUAAGCAUAUAUAUAUGGUGGCUAACUUACGAGUACAAGAAAUAAGAGAGGGAAGAUCUACACAUAACGGACGUGAACUACUAAUGAUCAAAUGAAUGAUCCUGAACACCUACCUACGUCAGACAUAACCCCACCGUGUCCUCGAUCGGAGAAAGAACUCACAAAAGAGACAGUCACGGUUACGCACACAGUUGGAAUAUUUUAAUUAAGUUAACUUCAAGUUAUCUAGAACUAGUGUUAAACAAAGUUUCCACGUUGCCACAUAACCGCGGGCACGGCUUUUCGAAAAGAUUUAACCCUGCAGGGGUGCUCCAACUAGUCCAUCACAAAUUACCACAAGCCGCAUAGAAAUCCUCAAUCACGAAGCUCGCGAUCUCGUCGGAUUCCCUAGUGGAAAACCUCAACUCUGAGAUUACCCAAAGCAUCACCGGAAUCCUGAUGCACAAGAUAUCUCGUCAAAGGUAAAACAAAUCCAGCAAGGCCGCCCGACGUGUCGACGAUCCCGAUAGGAGUCGCGUACCUCGUUCUCAGGACACGACGGAUGAGCGAUGGUUACCACGCCAAAUGCCGAGUUGCCCCGGGUAGCGUUAAUAAGCUGCUCUGUUUUGGACCAACACUCAUGAGGAGCACUGGCCCGGUGGUUGAUUAAAUUAUCCUCGGGUUAAUUACUCCCUAUGAAGUUCAUUAGUUAUUGGGAAAAUGUAGUACCAAAGUUGGGCCUUGCCAGACCAGCUUUAAUCUAAAACGAAUUAUCAAGGGGGUCCCCCUAACAACCCCGAUCGUGUUAGGAGCGCUUAUUUAUGGAACAUAACACCGGUAGCCGAAACUAAGGGGGCAAAGGUGGAACAAAACACCAGGCUAGAAAAGGCCGAGCCUUCCACCUUUUACCAAGUACAUAGGUGCAUUAAAUUAAAUAGCAUUUAAAUAGGGUGAUAUAACAAGGAACCCAUGUUGCCACAUGGAAGCAACAACACCUGCAACUAGCAACGCUAACACAGGGUUAAGCAAGUGGUAACAUAGGCAAUGAGUGGUUUGCUAGGUCGAACAGGUUGAAGGUUAUCAUGGCAUUGUUGAGAGGCUGAUAUUUAACAUGUGGUAGGCAACGAGACAUAAUCGAUAGCAUUGAAAUAACUAGCAUGGCAAUGAUAGUAAUGGUAGCUGGGGGAAUGGUCAUCUUGCGUGAGAUCCCGCUUGGAAGAUGAACAACUCGGAGAAGUCGGAGAACCAACGUAGUCGAACGGGUCCUCACAUUCCGACACGCUUGUGGAACUCUAUCGAGACGGGCAAACCGGAAACAAACAUCAACACAAAUAUACACCACGGCAAAAGCAAGACAUGAUGCAAACCCUAAUAUGAUGCAUGAUUAGAUCAAUGAUGCAAGGGAUGGCAUGGCAAUUCACCACACACAACACUACACAUUAAGUGAAGCUCGAUAUGCAACGGGUUACAUAUCGUCGAAACUCCACGAUUAAUUACUUAGUUCACUCCCGAUUAUUUACACGACAAUAUUUAAUUAUUGUUAACAUGGCAAGGGGUGAAGCGACGUUUCUACAUGGCAUCCUAGUCGGGUAACACGCGAGACAUAGAACGGAGUUACGACACGAGAGACAUGCAACACAAGAUCAUAUGCCAUGAAUGCGUCAUGCAUGCGAGUUCAAACAUCACGGGCGAGAAGAGAAAGAAACAAGUGUCGCCACGGCGAGCGAGAGGGAACCAUGGCGGCAACACGAAAACGCUGCCACGGCAACGUUCCUAUCCCGAUAACUCAUCGAGAUAACAUGCCAACGAAUGGGGAGCGUGUGCGCAAACGUUAAAUAAGGAUGGGGUGAUCCCGGUUACUUGGUUCCCAUGUGUCGAGGCACAACAAAAAAGGUGCACGUGCAACGGGCAACAUACGGUGCAUACAUACAUACAUUCAUACAUCACUUGUACAUGGUACACGACAUGUCCCAUCGGUAUACCUUCGACGCGUGCGACUCGAAGCGGUUCGGUUCGGAGAAGGAGACCAACGGUCGUCGUGGAAGUCGUGGAAGUAGUCGUUCGCUCGGCGUCGUGGUUCACAGCCUUCGGCGACGGUUCAUGGUCUUCGGCGACGGUAGUCGAACUCGUUCCGGGGGUCGUCGAGGACGUCGUGGUACUCGCCGAUCUUGUUGUCGUGGUACUCGGGUCUCGUCAGAUCCAUGAAGGAGGGAAUGGUGCACGCGGCGGCGGCAAACAGCAGCACAAGCAAGUGACGGAGGCCACGACUACAAGCGGCAACACUAAUAUCGAGCUACGACAUCUAGCACUAGUAGUAACACUCAGCACAGCAGCUAGCAAGAAACAUCUACUAACAACAUAGUAGCAAACUACAAGCAACAACAACACGCAUCAGCAGGGCAGCAGCAAACAAUAGCAGCUACAUGCAAGCAACUAACCUAGCAGCAGCAAGCUAGCAACUGGCUAGGCACGCAACGCGCAAACAACAACAACCUACAGCGACGGCAGCCGACAGCAUCAAGCAGCAACGAUAGCAAGUAACAACAGCAAGCAGCAGGCUCAGUAUCAGCUAGCAACAGCGACAGCAGGUGCAGCAUCAAGCAGGCAACGCAAUCAGGCAUAGCAGCAAGCAUCGGCGGUAGCAAGCAGCAGCAGCCAACACCGACAACAGCAAGCAGUGGCAUAGGCAGCAAGGCACAGCAAGCAUGCCACGACACAGCAAGCACGCAGCAUCAGCGGCAGCAGCGACAGCAGCAGCUCGAGGCGAGGGGAACGGAGAGGUGGCCCUUGGGUCGGCGAGGAGAGACGAACGGCGGCGAGGACGGGAGGCCGGCGAGGCUAAGCGCAACGGACAGCUGGCGCGGGGAGGUGCAGGCGGCGCGGGGCUGGAGGCGGGUAACCGGCGGCGAGGGAGAGGAGAGGCAAGGCCAUGGCGGGGCGACGCCGGCGGAGAGCCUCGGGCCGACCGGGAGCUUGGCAGCGGCGACCGGGGAACGCGGGGCAUGAGCGACGGGGAGAGGCCAUGGCGAACACCAUGGUGGCGGCCGCGCGGAGGCCUCGGGAUGGAGAGGGGCGAGGACGAGGCAUCGGCCAUGGAGGCGAUGACACCACCUCGGGCAGCGCGGUGGGGGAACGGCGGCAGGGGAGCAUGGCGGCUCGCGGGGGAAGAUGCGGGCGCUAUCGGGAGGAGCGAGGAGGGGAUCGGGAGGCCACAGGAGGACGACGGCGCCGCGGGAAGGAGGACACGGAUCGAGCGCUCUAGGGCUGGGAAGGGAGCCGGCUGGGCCUGGGCCGGCUCGGGAGGCUGGCUCUCUCCCCCAUUUGUUUUUUUCUCUUUUUUUAAAUAAAAAAACAUAGAACAAACAUAAAGAAAAAAUAGGUUUUUAACAAAAUGAAGAAAAUGCCUUUUACUCCUUUUAAAGAAAUAUACCCAACUUUAAAGAUAGAUUGGCAUUUUUAACCGAAUAAAAACUAAAACCUUUUAAAUAAUUAAAAAUUAAAACCCUUUUGAAGAAUAAAAUAAAACCUAUUUUAUUUAAAGAAUAAAAUAAAAGCCCUUUAAAAGAGAAAAGUAAAUGAGACGGUUUUAAAAUAAAACCAAAGGAGAAAAAUAAAGGAAAUCCAAGGGUUGCCCCCGCAUUUAAUAAAAGGACCUUUUUAAAAGAAGACACUUUUUUUAAAGGGGAUAAAACGGAAACUUUAGCAAAACCACAAAAAUGAAAAGAGAGGGGAGAGGGGGAGUUACUAUCGCACUAGGACUUGGUGAUCACUCGAAGCACAACACUCAAAACCACACGUGACAGACGAUGCAAGAUGCCAUGCAUGAUGCGACGAUGCAAACUAUAUGACGAUGCAACAAAUAAAACUAAUCACACGACGGAAACGGAAAUAAAAAGGGGGAAUCUUCUGGACGUCGGUCUCGGGCUGUCACAACUCUCCUACACUACAAGAGGAUCUCGCCCCGAGAUCCAAUAAUGAAAGGGGGAAGAGGAUGAGAAAGAACAAGAGGUAAAAAACUUAGUCGCUUCUUUGACAAACGAGUGAAACCAACGAUCCUUGAAGGUUGCAAAGAGAUUAGGAAUGAUAUGGGAAAGAAGGAAGAAUUCACGGAAAAUUUCGGCAGCACUUCGGUUGGAAAAUGGGACAAAAAAUUCGAUAAGAAGAGAUAAUUAGACAAUAUUCACAACAAACAAGUAAUUAGAACAAGGGAACACCAUGAACUUGAUAGAACAACAUAAUAGACCCAAAAGAGCAACAUCACAAUGCCUCCGGAACAAGAGAAUAAGAACUAACUCAAGUGGAAGAAGAGAAUGAAGAAAAGAAUGAAAACUAUCAUCACAAUAGAGUUGAAGAGCCUCUGGACAAAGGAUUGGCAUAGUAGUUGGAAAACCAACAACGAAAAGAACAAGAUAGUAGUGGGCUUAUGGAAACCUUUUCAAACAAUGAGUUGGCAACCAGCCACUAACGGAAACAAGGAUUGAUUGGGAGAAACAAGAUAUGAACAAUUCUUAUACCAAGAGGAUACAUUGAGAACUUGGAUUAAUGACAAGCACCAUAAUAGCAACAAUCCAUAGGAAAGCUUUAGGUGAAAUCCAAACCAAGAUAGCUCAAUGAAGAAAUCAUGGUUACAAAUAUCUCAUGAUCAUAGAAUUGGUGGUUUUAAUUAUCUUAUUCUUAAAAGGAAAACUCUUCGAAGCUCCUACACUAACAAGAAUGCUAUAAUACAACCUCAAGGAUAAAGGAGAACAAACGCAUUGGAAAUAAAAGAGAAAGAAUGGUUGGGGGUACUCCAACAGGAAUCUUGAAGAAAACUUUGAGACUGGAUUGAAACCUUGAUGAACCACCAUGAAGGACCACCGUAUACAAAUGAAUGAUGCAAAGAUAACAAGUUAGAAAAGAAUGAGAUUAUGACCUUGCCAGGAUUUAGAUGAAGCUUCACAAAGAGAUACUUGACAAAACUUGGAACUCCGGAAAAGAAAAGAUAAGAACACUAGAAAAGAAUUGAAACCAUGAGCCACUCCGGAAGAAGAAUUGAAAUCUCUUAGAAAAAGGAAGAACAAGAAUAAGAAUUAUAUUAUGCUUAUCCUUCAUCAAGUUUAAUUGAUGACAAGCAAUGGAUUUAGCAUACCACUUAUUCUACUAGAAAUGAAUCUUGAAGAGGCACAGAGAUAAGCACCACUUGAAGCAAAAUUGAAGGAAGCACCGGUAAGAAUUCACAAAUAAAUGGGAACACCGCAAAUUAAUGGAGAAACAUUAGAGUGAAGAGCUCAUGAGCCACCUGAUAGAAAACUAGAACAAGGCACCAGAAUAAUUGAGAGACGAACGAAGAGACAACAAUUGAGAAGAAUUUGAGAAUGAAAGCUGAAAGCUGAGAACGAAGAAUCUUCUGAAAUGAUGGCCUUCGGAGGAUCGAGAAAGAAAAACAACUCAUAGAAGCACCGGAUAGCAAGAAGGGAUCACUCAUGAUUGGAGCAAAUAAGAUGAUGACACCAAGCUGAAAUGAUGAAUCUUCAAAAGAAUGAACCAAGAUAGAGAGAAACACUCCUUCGGAUAGCAAGCUGAGAAUGAGGAGGAGAACACCACCAAGAAUUAAUGAGACACUCCGAAAUAAAGAAGAAUGCAAGGUUGAGCCAAAUAUGAGAAUUAAUUCAAAUAGAUCUUGAAGAAGGAAUAUGACUGAUGAAAUUCAUACUUACGUCAUAGUUGAAAGAAUUAAAGAUCUCCGAAAAGAUUAGAAGAGACAUAUAAGAUCCUGGGAAAAACCCAUGGGUUAUGGUCCCACUCAAAGAAAUCACCGUUGACAAGAUUGCUUAGAAGAGGGAUAUUGCACCGGUACAAAUGAAAACUAGAUGAGGUUGAGAACCUCGAAAUAAUGAAAGAUCUGAAACAAGAAACUCUGAGAUAUCUUCAACACACCGGAUAGAAAAGAGAUGAAUUAAUAACAGGAUAUGUUGAUAAGAAUCUCCAACACCGGAAAGAAUAACAAGGAUGAAUAGGAUAUAAUGAACACGGAUAGCUGAAUUAAAUUCACCGGAAAGAUGACAAGAAUGAAUAAAGAGGAACACGAAGCUCCUAAGAGUCUUCACAAUGAAUCACCAGGUAAGAGAGAAAAGAACAGACAGCGGAAGCACAAUGAAAAGAAAACUCUUGGAUGAAAAUUGAAUCAUCGAAGAAAAAGGGUGGGAGGGCGUGGAAAAACAAAGACAACUGGGACAGAUGAGAUAACUCUGGAAAGAAUUGAGAGAAUGAUCUGCAAAAUUAGAGAGGAUUGAAUUCACUGAAGAGAAGCACACCGGUUAAAAAGGAAUUAACAUGACGACUCCGGUUAACAAGAAUUGACAAGACAACUCAUUAAGCAAAAGGAUUAGCAUUCACAUAAAAAUAUGAGAACACCUCUUGGAAAGGUUUGAAAUCACCACUUGACAUCGAAGCAACACAAAUUACCAUAAUCAACAAAACAAAGGGAGAGGCUUAUGAAACAAGCCAGAACAAACUCAUGAGAGAGAUUUCGUCCGAUAUUUUCGUGGAGAGGAUCGCAUGGGCACGAUUUUACAGUAGUCAUCAAGUGCAAGACAGUGCAUCUGACAUACGAAGCGUCCCCGAGCCGUAGCAAGCUACAAGGACUCUUUAAGACACAAUGUGUACCGCUGUAAGUCGACCGUGAACAAACGAAUCCACUAGAUGUUGAACCCCAACCUAACAUCAUGCAUUUGUUGGAAGAAUGUCCUAUAAGUAACCACUUGAAUUCGCACCUAUGAAUUCCCGAAAUUUCCGGUCAUGCAAUCUGGUACACGGAUACAAGGAGUAAUAAUGACACAACUCCUAUACUAACCCGUCACCUGUAUCACAUCCGUCAACACACAACCAGAAUCUCGGACCUUCAUCUACGACAGCCCCUCGUGAUCACAACGAUACAAAGUAUGGUAGUACUCGCGAACAAUCUGCACCAGUACUAGGGACAUCGGGGUUAUCUCGCCACUACUAGUAUUGAAGCAAUUACGAACAUCAUUCGUUCUGAGAUACUAAGAAAUCUGAAUGAUAACGAUGUGCUCAAGAAUCCCUUGGACUUCAACUCCCCUGAAACUCAAAGCAGAUAGGAGGCACCAAGACAGAACUCCAUCACAUCGGCAUCAUAUGGAUUCCAAAAAUAUCCGCGUGAUCCUAAAUUUUUUUUGAGUGAGAAGAGGAGUAGAAUUAAAUUAUUACGUCAAGAUUCCUCACCAGAGCAUAGAAGAGGAGAAAAAAGAAUCCUACUCUCCGAUAUAUAACUAAGACUCAAAUAGUUUUUCACUAGACUCGACUCGGUUAAGUUUGAUCAAUCAAGGGAGCUCCUAGGUCGGUACUGCUCUGAUACCAACUUGUCACACCCAAGAUGCGACCCUAUCCUCAAUUUGGCACGGGGCCUCGUCAGGGAUAGAAGCGCAUCUCGUCGUGUCGCAAGAAUGGAUAUCGUUACAAGUACAAGUACCGAAAAGAAGAGAUGUAUAAUAGAAUUGGCUUACACUCGCCACAAGCUACAUCAGAGUCACAUCAGUACAUUACAUAAUCAUCAAGAGUAAGAGCAGGGUCCAACUACGGACGAAAAAAACGACAAAAGAAGAACGACGUCCAUCCUUGCUAUCCCAGGUUGCCGGCCUGGAACCCAUCCUAGAUCGAUGAAGAAGAAGAAGAAGAAGCAACUCCAAAUGAACAAUCAACGCGCUCGCGUCAAGUAACCUUUACCUGUACUUGCAACUGGUGUUGUAGUAAUCUGUGAGCCACAGGGGACUCAACAAUCUCAUUUCCAAAGGUAUCAAGACUAGCAAAGCUUAUUAGGUGAGGCAAGGUUAAGUGGUGAGGUUGCAGCAGCGGCUAAGCAUAUAUAUAUGGUGGCUAACUUACGAGUACAAGAAAUAAGAGAGGGAAGAUCUACGCAUAACGGACGUGAACUACUGAUGAUCAAAUGAAUGAUCCUGAACACCUACCUACGUCAGACAUAACCCCACCGUGUCCUCGAUCGGAGAAAGAACUCACGAAAGAGACAGUCACGGUUACGCACACAGUUGGCAUAUUUUAAUUAAGUUAACUUCAAGUUAUCUAGAACCAGUGUUAAACAAAGUUUCCACGUUGCCACAUAACCGCGGGCACGGCUUUCCGAAAAGAUUUAACCCUGCAGGGGUGCUCCAACUAGUCCAUCACAAAUUACCACAAGCCGCAUAGAAAUCCUCAAUCAUGAAGCUCGCGAUCUCGUCGGAUUCCCUAGUGGAAAACCUCAACUUUGAGAUUACCCAAGGCAUCACCGGAAUCCCGAUGCACAAGAUAUCUCGUCAAAGGUAAAACUAAUCCAGCAAGGCCGCCCGACGUGUCGACGAUCCCGAUAGGAGUCGCGUACCUCGUUGUCAGGACACGACAGAUGAGCGAUGGUUACCACGCCAAACGCCGAGUUGCCCCGGGUAGCGUUAAUAAGCUGCUCUGUUUUGGACCAACACUCAUGAGGAGCACUGGCCCGGUGGUUGAUUAAAUUAUCCUCGGGUUAAUUACUCCCUAUGAAGUUCAUUAGUUAUUAGGCAAAUGUAGUACCAAAGUUGGGACUUGCCAGACCAGCUUUAAUCUAAAAUGAAUUAUCAAGGGGGUCCCCAUAACAACCCCGAUCGUGUUAGGAGCGCUUAUUUAUGGAACAUAACACCGGUAGCCGAAUCUAAGGGGGCAAAGGUGGAACAAAACACCAGGCUAGAAAAGGCCGAGCCUUCCACCUUUUACCAAGUAUGUAGGUGCAUUAAAUUAAACAACAUUUAAAUAGGGUGAUAUAACAAGGAACCCAUGUUGCCACAUGGAAGCAACUGCACCUGCAACUAGCAACGCUAACACAGGAUUAAGCAAGCGGUAACAUAGCCAAUGAGUGGUUUGCUAGGUCGAACAGGUUGAAGGUUAUCAUGGCAUUGUUGAGAGGCUGAUAUUUAACAUGUGGAAGGCAACGAGACAUAAUCGAUAGUAUCGAAAUAACUAGCAUGGCAAUGAUAGUAAUGGUAUCUGGGGAAAUGGUCAUCUUGCCUGAGAUCCCGCUUGGAAGAAGAACAACUCGGAGAAGUCGGCAAACCAACGUAGUCGAACGGGUCCUCACAUUCCGACAUGAUUGCGGAACUCUAUCGAGACGGGCAAACCAGAAACAAACAUCAACACAAAUAUUCACCACGACAAAAGCAAGACAUGAUGCAAACCUUAAUAUGAUGCAUGAUCAGAUCAAUGAUGCAAGGGAUGGCAUGGCAAUUCACCACACACAACACUACACAUUAAGUGAAGCUCGAUAUGCAACGGGUUACAUAUCGUUGAAACUCCACGAUUAAUUACUUAGUUCACUCCCGAUUAUUUACACGGCAAUAUUUAAUUGUUGUUAACAUGGCAAGGGGUGAAGUGACGUUUCUACGUGGCAUCCUAGUCGGGUAACACGCGAGACAUAGAACGGAGUUACGACACGAGAGACAUGCAACACAAGAUCAUAUGCCAUAAAUGCGUCAUGCAUGCGGGUUCAAACAUCAUGGGCAAGAAGAGAAAGAAACAAGUGUCGCCACGGCGAGCGAGAGGGAACCAUGGCGGCAAUACGGAAACGAUGCCACGACAAUGUUCCUAUCCCGAUAACUCAUCGAGAUAACGUUCCAACGAAUAGGGAGCGUGUGCGGGAACGUUAAAUACGGAUGGGGUGAUCCCGGUUACCGGGUUCCCAUGUGUCGAGGCACAACAAAAAAGGUGCACGUGCAACGGGCAACAUACGGUGCAUACAUACAUACAUUCAUACAUCACUUGUACACGGUACACGACAUGUCCCAUCGGUAUACCUUCGACGCGUGCGACUCGAAGCGGUUCGGUUCGGAGAAGGAGACCAACGGUCAUCGUGGAAGUCGUGGAAGUAGUCAUUCGCUUGGCGUCCUGGUUCACGGCCUUCGGCGACGGUUCAUGGUCUUCGGCGACGGUAGUAGAACUCGUUCCAGGGGUCGUCGAGGACGUCGUGGUACUCGCCGAUCUUGCCGUCGUGGUACUCGGGUCUCGUCGGAUCCAUGAAGGAGGGAAUGGUGCACGCGGCGGCGGCAAACAGCAGCACAAGCAAGCGACGAAGGCCACGGCUACAAGCGACAACACUAAUAUCGAGCUACGGCGUCUAGCACUAGUAGCAACACUCGGCAUAGCAGCUAGCAAGCAACAUCUACUAACAACAUAGUAGCAAACUAUAAGCAGCAUCGACACGCAUCAGCAGGGCAGCAACAAACAAUAGCAGCUACAGGCAAGCAACUAACCUAGCAGCAGCAAGCUAGCAACCGGCUAGGCAAGCAACGCGCAAACAACAGCAACCUACAGCGACGGCAGCCAGCAGCAUCAAGCAGCAACGACGGCAAGUAACAACAGCAAGCAGCAGGCUCAACAUCAGCUAGCAACAGCGAUAGCAGGUGCAACAGCAAGCAGGCAAUGCAAUCAGGCACAGCAGCAGGCAUCGGCGGCGGCGGCAACUAGCAAUAGCAACUAACAUCAGCGGCAGCAAGCAGCAGCAGCAAACACCGUCAGCAGCAAGCAGUGGCAUGGGCCACAAGGCACAACAAGCAUGCCACGGCACAUCAAGCACGCAGUAUCAGCGGCAGCAGCGACAGCAGCAGCUCGAGGCGAGGGGAACGGAGAGGCGGCCCUCGGGUCGGCAAGGAGAGGAGAACGACGGCGAGGACGGGAGGCCGGCGAGGCUAAGCGCGACGGACUGCUAGCGCGGGGAGGUGCAGGCGGCACAGCUAGGCGGCGCAGGGCUGGAGGCGGGUAACCGGCGGCGAGGGAGAGGAGAGGCGAGGCCAUGGCGGGGCAACACCGGCGGAGAGCCUCGGGCCGACCGGGAUCUUGGCGGCGGCGACCGGGGAACGCGGGGCACGAGCGACGGGAAGAGGCCAUGGCGAACACCAUGGCAGCGGCCGCGCGGAGGCCUUGGGAUGGAGAGGGGCGAGGCCGAGGCAAUGUCCAUGGAGGCGACGACAGCACCUCGAGCAGCGCGGUGGGGGAACGACGGCAGGGGAGCAUGGCGGCUCGCGGGGGAAGAGGCGGGCGCUGUCGGGAGGAGCGAGGAGGGGAUCGGGAGGCCAUGGGAGGACGGCGGCGCUGCGGGAACGAGGAGAGGGAUCGAGCGCGCUAGGGCUGGGGAGGGAGCCGGCUGGGCCUAGGCCGGCUCGGGAGGCUGGCUCUCUCCCCCAUUUGGUUUUUUUUCUCUUUUUUUAAAUAAAAAAACAGAGAACAAACAUAAAAAAAAAAGGUUUUUAACAAAAUGAAGAAAAUGCCUUUUACUCCUUUUAAAGAAAUAUACCCAACUUUAAAAAUAGAUUGGCAUUUUUAAACGAAUAAAAACUAAAACCUUUUAAAGAAUUAAAAAUUAAAAUCCUUCUGAAGAAUAAAAUAAAACCUCUUUUAUUUAAAGAAUAAAAUAAAAGCCCUUUAAAAGAGAAAAGUAAAUGAGACGGUUUUAAAAUAAAACCAAAGGAGAAAAAUAAAGAAAAUCCAAGGGUUGCCCCCGCAUUUAAUAAAAGGACCUUUUUAAAAGAAGACACUUUUUUAAAGGGGAUAAAACGGAAACUUUAGCAAAACCACAAAAAUGAAAAGAGAGGGGACAGGGGGAGUUACUAUCGCACUAUGACUCGGUGAUCACUCGAAGCACAACACUCAAAACCACACGUGACAGACGAUGCAAGAUGCCAUGCAUGAUGCGACGAUGCGAACUAAAUGACGAUGCAACAAAUAAAACUAAUCACACGACAGAAACGGAAAUAAAAAGGGGGAAUCUUCUUGGUGUCGGUCUUGGGCUGUCACAAUCACUAGAAGAAUAACACCAUAACUUAAAUACCAAUCAACACAUAUUACUUCAACAUCAUACGACUACUAUCAACUAAACUUCUCCCAUGUCCUCAAGAACUAACAUAACUACUCACAAGACAUAAAAGAGAUCAUGAUCAGAGGUGAUGAAAAUAUGAUGAACAAUCUAGUCAUAAUGAUAAUUCUCCAACAAUACUCAAUAGCAUUCACCACAAAAGAGUAAUCGACACCGAUAGCGUAAAGGGGAUGAAUAGUGCAAGGUACAACUCCGAUUGUAAUGGAAAAGUGAGAUGGGGUGAAGAUGGAGAUGGUGCAGGUGUUGAGGGUGAUGGUGAUGAUGAUCUCGAUGAUGCCCGUGACGAUGGUGAUGACGAUGAGGACGAUCUCCCCUUCCGGGAGGAGUUCUCCCCGGCGGAAUCUGCCCACCGGAAAGGUCUUUUCUUCUCUGUAGGUUUCCGCCCCGGAGCGGAGGCGAAAUUCCAAAAAAACUUUUGUUCCCGUAACUUUUAGGUCAAGAGGGUCAUAUAGGCCAAAGGAGAGCACCAGAGGCGGGACCCACCACCCAGGCGGCCUCUGGGCGCGGCCUAGGAGUGACACGCGCCAGCAGGUCGCCUGGGUGCCUCGUGGCCCCCCUCCAGCCCUUCUUCGGCAUGUCUUCGUGAUCUGUUCGGAAACUCCUUCCCCGUAAAUUUCAGCUCAAUUGGAGAUGUUCCGAUUUGGCAACUCUUCAUGCUAUUUUCUCCACUGAAUCCUACGUCUGCUGUUUCGGCACCGGAAAGUUGUAUACUGUGUAAAAUAAGCCAAAACAGUAUAAGAAAAGCAUCAUAAUGUGAAAUAUAUCAAUGAAUAGAGACAAAUUAUGAUACAAAAUAGUGAUGCAUUUUGGACGUAUCAACACUACAGAUGCGCGACAGAGCACGCGAUGGCGAGCAAGAACUCUGCAAUGGCGAGGCUGCAAGAAAGAGAGGGGGAAGCGGAGAUGCAGGGCUGCGGCUCACCGAGGGUGCAGAGAAUAGGUUUCGGCGCGACAGAGAGGAAGCAACGCGACGAGUGGUGCAGGAGGUGCUCAUCGGAGGUGAGGAAGGAGUCGGCUGUCGUGGACGUCGGGGAAGGAGACCUUGACAUCCGGUUUUUGCGGGAAUGGAACCCCACGGCCCUCCACGAGCUCCUGGAGUAGACAUGGAAGAAGAUGGGUGUCGAUCUGCUGCCGGCGUGGAGCUCCCAGGAACUGAUCAUCGCGACGACGACGGGUCGCCCUGACGACGUGAGGGGGAAGACAGGGGGAGAAGGCGAGGGCUAGGGCAAGGAGAAGCACCAGGGCGGCGUUAUAGCCUCAAUCUACGUGCUUGGGACCAUCGAUCGAGGGGAAAGUAAGAUCGGCGGCGGUCCUAUGUUCGUACAAUAGGUGACGUCGAAAGGUGGAUGAAGGGGUGUCGCCGGCUGGGCCUGGGCCGAAUGCAAGUGCACUUGGGCUGCUCCCUCUCUGGUUUUAAAACCCUUUUAAAAAUAAAACAAAGAAAUAACAUCAUUUUGAAAUAAAUCCAGAGGUCAAAAGAAAAGGAGUAAAACAGGAAUAAAAUAUAUCUCGGCUCCUAAAAUGUUGCCACUAUUUACAAAAAUAAUUGGGACAUUUUAGGAGAUCAAAAUUAAAUGUCUCUACAUUUUAAAUGGACCAUGUUUUAAAUAAAACCAAAAGGAAAAAAUAAAGAUAAACCAGAGGGGUUAUCUUCACAAUUAAUAAGGAGAAUUUUAGAAAAGGAGGAACUCUUUAUAAGGGAAAAACAUAAGCUUUUAAAUCUGCCACAAAAUAAUUGAGAAGGGGAGAGAAGUGGUUUUCAUCCUAUGGUGCAACUAGUGGCAUUUUGAAAUGCACUUGUUGCACCCACACCUCAACAAACACAAAAGCACAUCCACAUAACACUUGCACAUCACAUCAAGGUUCACCCACAUCAACACAAACAAAAAACAAAAGGAAAAGAUGCAAUGCAUGAAGGCAUGAUACACAUAAAAUGAUGACACAAAUGGGCUCACCCACUUAUCAUACCAUAUCAAGGUUGCCAUACAAGGAAAGAUUACAAGAGGUGGGAAAGAAUUGCAUUGGGUUUGUCACAGUCUCCUUCGGAGACACUCGAGACCUCCCAUUUGCCAUGAGCGCCUGAGCUAGCCAUUGCGGAGCUUGGGAUGGAGGGAGAUUGGAGGAAUGGGAGGCGGAGUAGAUCUAGGCACUCGAGCAAGGAAGAAGAAGGAGCAAGGGUUUGGAAUACAUGUGUUGGAUUUAGAUUUUCCCCCUUCUACGAAGGGGGUCGUGAAACCAAGGGUUUCCACUUACUGCGCCACCAGCUCCUCCACUUCCCAAAACAACGACACCGUUGGGACAUGCGCAGAUUUGCUCGGGUCAUUUAAAUCGAAAUCCCCUUAAAUACGGGACACAGUCUCUAUUGAUGAUGGAACAUGACCCGGGGAAAGUGAAUUCGAGCCGCGACUCAAGCUUUACUCAUUAUUUGUUAUCGUGACUUUUCUUCACACGAGUUGUCAGAUGAGUUACUAUUCACCUUCGACCUUUUAAUACCCUCAGGAUUUAAUGAUGCCUGUUUUUUAUAACACUACAUCAGUGAAAUGACAAAGCUGAUGUUAGCCACAUAUAAAGGGAACUCACCGUGCUAGCCAAUUUGUUUAUGUGCUCGACUACCAAAGAACACACACAUCAGCGCAGAAGGCCAGUUCGGGGGCUAUUGAGGGAGUUCCGGAUUAAGGGGGUCAUCGGGCAGUCGGGUUGUCUCUCAUGGGCCGAUCAUAUGGGCCGCGUCAUUAAAGAACCGGAUUAUCUGACGGCUGCGUGAUCAAGAUGGAACGCUCCGAAGACAGGCAUGCACUCCAAUGCAGGAUGACGAGUUCGGCCCAUCUACUACCGAUCUAUGUCGGUAACAUGUAACCCUAGGGGUCCUGGUGUCUAUAUAAAUGAGAGGCCCUUAUACGUAGAGGGGGAGAUCCCAUCUAAGGUUAGUUCAUAUGAUCUCGAUGUAGAUCAACUUUGUAACCAUCGUUCCCCAUCAAUAUAAUCAAGCAUGACGUAGGGUUUUACCUCCUCAAGAGGACCCAAACCUAGGUAAACAUCGUCUCCCCCUCUCUCCCACAACCCAUCGAUCUAAGCUCCAUAGUUCGGGACCCCCUACCCGACAUCUGUCAGUUUUGAUGCCGACAAGAGGCCCGACUGGACCAAAAUUGCGGCCUGUCCGGGCGUUUGAAGGGAGUAUGAGGGGUCCGGUUAUACAUUCCCUAAGAGAAACUCCAACUAGGCGACCCAUUUCAUCCGCCCAUGUCCUUUUGGGUCGCCAUGCAUAGAAGAGGUGGCUCAGCGUGACGCAUUGCGGGCGCAAAUUUGGUCCGACUUUGUGUCCUGGCAGACACAAAAUGGACGCGUACCGCGUCCUCUUAGUGUCCUUCGCGUAUGCACUAGUCGCCCGCUCAACCACCACUCGCGUCUUAUUAAAUGCUAGCACCUAUCUCAGGGCCCGCCUCGCAGUGGGUGGACGGUCCGUGUUGUCGUACUUUUUAAUAAAAGUGUGCGGCGAGGCCUACCUCAUCCACUUCCAAACGCCUAGUGGGAUGUACAAGAGCACGUCCUCGCCUUAUCGACAAGGACCUCCCGCUGGAGCAGCGGGCGAUGCGUGCGUACACACCAGACACCCCAAACUGGGAGUGCUGGUUCGCGCUAGAGCACGAGGAGGAGUGUUGUCGAUGCGUCCACAUCGACCAGGCCAUCCCUCCUCCGCUGCCACAGGUUCUGCCGGAGGAGGAGGAUGAAGAGGUGACGUACGAAGUCACCCUUGAGCAGCCCCUGCAGCACGCGCUAGAGGCGAGCAGGAUCAAGGAGGACACACAACGUGAUGGACUGGAGCACACCCUUGCCUUGUCGGCUGCGAGGGAGUACACGCCCCACCCUUCGUCCCGUCACGUCCAUCACACGAGCCGCACACCAUCAACGACAAAGCAGAACCGGAUCACAUGUCAUCGUGGAAUCGCUCGCCGCCUCCGCCCACUUGGCUGCAGGAGGAUUACAAGUGGUCCAGCGUCAUUCGCUAAUGGGUCAGCGUGUUGCCCGUCGACUAUGAUGCCACGCCGGAGGAGGCGGCCCAUCUUAAGCAAUGAAGGCAACAGUGGCUCGACGAGGAGGAGGCGGAGGGCCAGACACAGAUGCGGUGGGAGCAGGAGAAGGUGCGGAUCCGACCCAACGGGCCGUCCCGAGCCCCCUUUGUAUACUAUAGCAACUGCUAUAGUAUAGUGCUACACUAUACAAAAAAUGGGCUUCAUGCCCCGGGGCCGAGCCCCCCGGCCUAGAGCCUAGAUCUGCUAUUGAGCAGGAGGAGGAGGUGUUGCGCCUCCAGGAGGAGGAGGAGAAGCGCGUGAGGCAUGCAACAAUGCCGCUGCCAGAAUGGGUGCCGAAGGAUGGCAGCCUACGAGGCGGCCCUGGCAGCCUACGAGGCGGCAUUUGGGUGGGUUGGGCCGCCUCUCGCCUUCAUCGACCUUAUCAGCAGCGAUGGAGAUGGAAAGGACAAGGUGGACGACUAGGACAAUGUGUGGGGUGUGGACUUCUGUUGGUUCUAACUAUGUUUAAGUGGACUUUGGACAGGGUUUGAACGGUCAUUUAUGUUUAAUUAUAUUUUUUUAUUAUGUUUAUAUGUGGCUAUGUGUUUUUUAGGCAUGCAAGUUUGCGUCUCGCUCCCGUUGAAUGCAUCAUCCAAUCCAAAUGAAAAAAAGAUGCGUACGUCUGCCUAGCCGACCAAAAUGAAAAAAACAAAGAAAUCACACGUUUCUUUAGGUCGUCCAAUUGAAGUUGAUCUAAGAGCAUAUACAGCCGAACCCCUCAAACCCAACUCCUCAAACUGGCGCGUCCGCGGACACUGACUAGGCACCCCUCCUUUGUUGACUUCCAUAUCCACGUCCCGCAUAUCUGAACCCUCAAAACCAUACAACCCAUGCAACGCUACGUAAACAUAGAUCAACACACAGUUCAUCGGAUAGGCCGAACAAAAGGAGUAUAGUUCAUAGGAGGUCAUUGGCAAAUCCUAACUAUGAACUAUCUAAACAUAUGUAAAUAUAAACAGAGACGGGGAGAGUCACCACUUCCUUGCUGGCCCUUUGCUCUUCCAGUCGCCGGUGCAGCUGUAGGAGUCAGAGACUGGUGGGGAAUCGACCGAGUCGUCGGACGAGGAGAUGUGGUCAACAUCGUCGUUGUGAUAGAGGACGACGAGCCCUUUUAGCCAUCGGACCUCCCUGUCCUGCUCCCGCUUGAGCUUGGCGAGCCGAGCCACCUCCGCCGCUGCCUCCAUCGCCUCGCGCUCGGACUGCUCAAUGACAAUCCCGAGCACCUUCGUGUUCUUCUGUCAGAGCUGCCGCACGACCGUCACUGCAGUUGUAAGUGAUCGACGGUAGACCCAUUCGAGGAGUCGUGCAUUGUCGUCGGGCUCCACAUCUAUCCCGCGGCUGCGACGCACGGAUUGCUCCAUCUCUGACCUCUCCCUUUGUCGUUGCCGCUCGCGGCGGGCGGCGCACGCCUCUGAUUCUGGCGUGCGUGUCCGGGCCGGUGUGACAGGCACAAGCACCCACCGCUGCCCACGUGGGGGAGCAACAACCGACGGGGCCAGGAGACGGCGCACGGGAGGAGCGGAUUGCGCAGGCCACGUGCCGGAGCUACGCGCGGACCGGGAGGGGCCAGAGUCUCGAGUCUCCACCUUGGACCGCUCCAAGGCGAUGCGGAGGGCAAGCUCAUAAUCUGGAUCCAGGUCAUCGUCGGAGCGGCUCCCGAAGCUCAACAUUUCGCCAGACUAAAUCAUAUUAGGUGCGGGGAGAGUAGAGGACGGAGCGAUAGAGUUAGGGUUUCGAUUCGAUGAGUCGGAUGUGGCUUUUCGUGGAACAAUCAUGGGGUCAUGGGUGGGUCGGCCCUGUCAGGCGGGCGUGCCCGGGUGCGCCUUGGCUCCCCAUAUCUGCCCCAUAUUUGGGUUGGAUAUGAGGGGUGCCGGUCAGCUCAGGCGUUUGAGGCCCGUUUAGGACGUUCGUCUAGGUCACUUUUUAAUGACCGAACAGUGAUAGAUCGGAUAUGAGGGGUCCAGGUGUAGAUGCUCUAAGGUCAAGGCAUGAUAGAUCAGAGACGCCACCGACGGAAGGAACCUAAGAGCAUCUCCAAUAGACGGUCCAUAUGUAAAAAUACCUAACUUUUGGAUCUCCGAGAGCAAAGAACGCUCCUCUAACACAUGGUCCAUAUGUAAAACAAAUUGGACCACCGCCUCCCGGAGAUGUAAAAUACAACACUUCAUGAUGCAAAUUUGCAUCACGAGAUACAUCUGAUGUAAAAUCGUGGCCGCCCGCGAAACGACCAACCGCCAAUCCAUUUCAUUUCCCACUCGCGACCGCCCGCCCGCCCGAGCACCAACUGCGAGAAAUCACCAUUGCCCAAAUCGCCAUCGCCAUCGCCCCAAAUCACCACUGCCCUCACUCGCAUCACCCCCCUGCUGUAGGGUGUCUCGCGGCCGCCCCGCCGCUUCCAUCCGUAGCUCCCUGAUGUCGCCCCGCUGAAGAUCUAGCUCCACCCCGUCCCGGCCCCGUCCAUCUCAGCCCCCGCCCCGGACCCGUCCGCCUCUGCUCUGCCUGCCCCCUCCCGCGCCGCACGCCACCGCCCGCCCCUCGCCCACACUGCAUGUCGUCAACCAGCUCCGUCCACCUCCGCCCUGCGCUGCACGCGGCUGCCCGCUCCCCGCACGGCGGCCGCCCCAGCCUCUCUCCACCUGCCGCCGCCCUCACUCGCUCCGUCCGCCACCGCCACCAGAGGUGCCGAAGAAUAGAAUCCGUGGAGAAGAAGAAGAUGUGAGGUUGUACAGUGGCUAAACACGAGCCACACAGUCGUCGCCCGGUUUUACAUCUUUGUUUUGGACCAUUCGUUGGAGUUGCUGUUUUACAUCUUCGUUUUAGACCAUCUGUUGGAGUUGAGCCUUUUUUGAUUAUGUAAAAAAACUUUUUAAAUUUUUAUAUCAUCUGUUUAAAACACCAGAAAUAUACAUCAUUUAUUGAAGAUGCUCUAAUUGUACAACUCAAAAAUUACAACUCGAUAGCUAGCACAAAGUAUGACUCUAUAAGCAAUAUGGCAGAGUACAAGCCUAGGGUUCCCUUGUCCUCCUGGCCUCGCCGCUGGGGUUUUUCCCGUAGAUUCGAUCGCUCUUCCUGACGAUCGGUCUUGUUCAUGUUCUCCUCACGCUGCCCUAGAGGGGUGGCUCUCCUCUCUCUCCCGGACCCGCUACCGUUUGGUUGAGUUGCUAGUGUUCGUGGAGGGGUUUUAUGAUUUGCGUGACUGCGACAAUGGCAGCUGAAACGAGUGGAUCACGUGCAAAUCGUGUGGAAGAUCCGAGUGUGUUGUGAUACGUCUCCAACGUAUCUAUAAUUUUUGAUCGUUCCAUGCUAUUAUAUUAUCAACUUUGGAUGUUUUAUAUGCAUGAAUAUGUUAUUUUAUAUUAUUUUUGGGACUAACCUAUUGACCUAGAGCCCAAUGCCAGUUCCUGUUUUUUCCUUGUUUUUGACCUUUUCAGAUAGGAAUAUCAAACAGAGUCCAAAUGGAAUAAAACUUUCGCGAUGAUUUUUUUGGACCAAAAGAGACCCCCGAAGCUUUGGAAGAAGGCUAGAAGAGCCACGAGGGAGUCACGAGCCCGAUAGGCGCGCCCUACCGCCCGGGAGGGCCUAGCAGGCUCGUGACCUCCUCGUGGGCCCAACCGACGUAAUUCCACCGCCAUAAAUUCCUAUAAAUACAGAAACCCCCCAAAAGAAACCUAGAUCGGGAGUUCCGCUGCCUCAAGCCUUUGUAGCCACCAAAAACCAAUCGGGAGCCCGUUCCAGAACCCUGCCGGAGGGGGAAUCCAUCUCCGGUGUCCGUCUUCAUCAUCCCGACGAUCUCCAUGACAAGGAGGGAGUAGUUCUCCCUCGGGGCUGAGGGUAUGUACGAGUAGCUAUGUGUUUGAUCCCUCUCUCUCGUGUUCUUGAGAUGUCAUGAUCUCGAUGUGCCACAGACUUUGCUACUAUAGUUGGAUAUUAUGAUGUUCUUCCCCUCUCCCUUCUUGUAAUGAAUUGAGUUUUCCCUUUGGAGUUAUCUUAUUGGAUUGAGUCUUUAAGAACACUUGACGUAUGUCUUGCACGUGUCUAUCUGUGGUGAUAAUGGGAUAUUCAUGUGAGUACUUGAUGUAUGUUUUGGUGAUCAACUUGCGGGUUUCGUGACAUUGGGAACCUAUGCAUAUGGGUUGGCACACGUUUUGACUCUCCGGUAGAAACUUCGGGGCACUCUUUGAAGUUCUAUGUGUUGGUUGAAUAGAUGAUUCUGAGAUUGUGUGAUGCAUAUCAUAUAAUCAUGCCCACGGAUACUUGAGGUGACAAUGGAGUAUCUAGGUGACAUUAGGGUCUUGGUUGAUAUGUGUCUUAAGGUGUUAUUCUAGUACGAACUCUACGAUAGAUUGAAUGGAAAGAAUAGCUUCGUGUUAUUUUACUACGAACUCUUGAAUAGAUCGAUCAGAAAGAAUAACUUUGUGGUGAUUUCGUACCCGACAAUAAUCUCUUUGUUUGUUCUCCCCAUUAGUGACUUUGGAGUGACUCUUUGUUGCACGUUGAGGGCUAGUUAUAUGAUCCUAUUAUGUUAUCAUUGUUGAGAGAACUUCACUAGUGAAAGUAUGAACCCUAGGCCUUGUUUCCAAGCAUUGCAAUACUGUCGUGCUCACUUUUACUACUAGUUACCUUUCUGUUUUUAUAAUUUCAGAUUACAAAAACCUAUAUCUACUAUCCAUAUUGCACUUGUAUCACCAUCUCUUCGCCGAACUAGUGCACCUAUACAAUUUACCAUUGUAUUGGGUGUGUUGGGGGACACAAGAGACUCUUUGUUAUUUGGUUGUAGGGUUGCUUGAGAGAGACCAUCUUCAUCCUAUGCCUCCCACGGAUUGAUAAACCUUAUGUCACCCACUUGAGGGAAAAUUUCUACUGUCCUACAAACCUAUGCACUUGGAGGCCCAACAACGUCUACAAGGAGAAGGUUGCAUAGUAGACAUCAAGCUCUUUUCUGGCGCCGUUGCCGGGGAGGUUAGUGCUUGAAGGUAUAUCUUUAGAUCUUGCAAUCGAAUCUUUUAGUUUCUUGUUUUAUCACUAGUUUAGUUUAUUAAUAGAAAACAACAAAAAAUGGAAUUAAGGUUGCCUCAUAUGCUUCAUCUUUUUAAUGUCUUUCGUGAAAAUGAUGGAAAUGAAAAUUGUGCCCAAGUGGUAAAAGAAGAAUUACAUAGAAUGCUUGGCAUAAAAUAUGUGAAUGAUGAGCAUGAUUGCAAUGUUGUUAGUAUGAAUUCUUUGAAUACCCAUGAUGCUAAUGAUAUGCAAAGCCACAAGCUUGGGGAUGCUAUGUUUGAUGAAGACGAUCUUUUUAGUUCCCUCACUUUGAAUGAUUAAAAUUAUUAUGAUGAAAGCAUGCCCCCUAUCUAUGAUGAUUAUUGUGAUGAUACUCAUGCUAUAAAGAAUAAAGAUGAUAAAACUUGUCACAAUUAUGAGUACCCUUUUACUGAACAUUACUCUUUUAAUGUGGAAACAAUUCGUAGUGUUCAAGUCAUUUACGAUACUCCCACUAUUAAUCAUGAGAAUAAAUUUCCUUAUGUGGAGAGUAGUAAAAUUUCUAUGGUUGUAGAUCAUGAAAAGAAUGCUUUAGGUGCUGGUUAUAUUGUUGAAUUCAUUCAUGAUGCUACUGAAAAUUAUUAUGAGAGAGGAUCGUAUGCUUCUACAUAUUGCAAUAAUAUCAAGCUUCCUCUCCAUGUGUUGAAACUUUUGAAGUCAUGCUUGUUUUAUCUUCCUAUGCUAGUUGAUUCUUGAUCCAAUAAAUUGUUUGAUGACACAAUCCCUAUGCAUAGGAAGUGGGUUAGACUUAAAUGUGCUAGUCAUAUGCUCCAUGAUGCUUCCAUUAUGUUUCAAUCCUUAUCUUUUAUGUGAGCAUCAUUGAAAUCAUCAUUCCUAGCUUGAAAGGCAUUAAAGAAAAGUGCUUGUUGGGAGCCAACCCAAUAUGUAUCCUUACUGUUUUUGUGUGUUCACAUGAUUAAUAUACUGUAUUAAUCAUGUUUUAUUUCCUUAGUUUCAAUAAAGUGCCAAGUAAAGCCUUUAUGAUUAGUUUGGGUGAUAGUUGUUUUAUCAUGCUGAAAAAGACAUAAACUUUGUGUUGGCUAAAUCAUUUCUAAUUUCUAUCCAGAGAGUGCUUUUAGGUUGAUUAUUUUUUCUUCUAAUUGGUAUACAAAUUUCCUUAAUUUUCAUAAUUGUUUCAGAAUUUUUGGAAGUGCAAAAGUAUGGUUAUUAUUCAGAUCAUUACAGACUAUUCUGUUUUUGACAGAUUCUGUUUCCAAUGCAUAGUUUGCUUGUUUUGGUGUUCCCAUAGAUUAUAUUGAGUAAUAUAAAUUGUGGAAAUAUUAAGAUACGGUAGGUAUUGUGUGAAAAUAAUUAUGAGUCUUAUUUUGAGAGUACCCAAGUGAUUGAUUUGCUCGUUAUCAUACUAACCCAUCUCACGAAGUUCCGUUAAGUUUUGUGUUGUGAAGUUUUCAAGUUUUGGGUAGAGUUCCGAUGGACUAUGGACAAGGAGUGGCAAGAGACUAAGCUUGGGGAUUACCAAGGCACCCCAAAUCCAUAUUCAAGGACAGCAAAGAGCCUAAUCUUGGGGAUGCCCCGGGAAGGCAUCCCCUCUUUCGUCUUCAAUCCAUCGGUAACUUUACUUGGGGCUAUAUUUUUAUUCACCACAUGAUAUGUGUUUAUCUUGGAGCGUCAUUUUCUUUUAUUAGUACUUGCUUGAUAUUAUUUAUAUUAAUGUUUUGCAUCAUUUAUUUCAAUAAAAAUGUCAAGGAUAGCCUUUACCAUGCUUAAUUUGCAAGUACAGGAGUUGCUGUCCCAAAACUGAAAGUUUGCUUGCAGUGUAAACAUUCCCUAGAAUAUUUUGUAUGUCAGAAUAACUUGAAAUUUGUACACAGUAUGAUCUCAUGAAUUCUCUACAGCGUGGAACUUUUUUAAGAUUUUUUGGAGUUAAUUAAGUAUGGAUCUUGCUGCAUUCUUUACAGACUGUUCUAUUUCGGCAGAUUGCUGUUAUGUUUGCAUUGUUUGCAUAUGUUUGCUUGUUUAAUGAUCCUAUUUGAGGAUAGGAGUUUUAAAUAUGCAGAGGCAUUUAGUAUGAAAUGUCAAAUAAUAAUUUUAGUGAUUUACUAUAGUAGAGGAUGAUAAAGUUUUGCAUUGAUUUAUACUAACCUAUCUCACGAGUUCUUGUUGAGUUUUGUGUGGAUGAAGUUUUUAAGAUUUUGGAAACCACCAUAUGAGAGUAAUUAAGGAGACACAAAAGCUCAAGCUUGGGGAUGCCCAAGGCAUCCCCAAUUAAUAUUUCAAGAAGUCUCAAUCUCCUAAGCUUGGGGAUUCCCCGAAUGGCAUCCCACCUUUCUUCUUCAACAAUUAUCGGUUAGUAUCGGUUGAACCUAAAUUUUUGCUUCUUCACACGAUUCGUGCUAUCCUUGAAGUGUCAUUUUAUUUUGUUUGAAUAAGGUACUUAAGAUCUGAAAUUCUUAGAUGGGAGAGUCUUCACAUAGCCAAAUAAUUAUUCACUACUCAUUGAGCUUCACUUAUAUCUUUUGGAGUAGUUUUUCUUUUACUCUCAUGCUUCACUUAUAUCAUUUUGAGAGUCUUAAGCAACAUGGUAAUUUUCUUAGGUUAUGAAUCUAGUCCAAAUAUGUUGGGCAUCUGAUACGUCCAUUUUGCAUCAUGCUUUCAUGUUGAUAUUUAUCGCUUCUUGGGCUGUUAUUUCACUUCACGGUACAUUACUUAUGCCUUUUCUCUCUUAUUUUGCAAGGUUUACAUGAAGAGGGAGAAUGCCGGUAGCUGGAAUUCUGGCCUGAAAAUGGAGCAAAUUUGAGAUACCUAUUCUGUGCAACUCCAAACGCCGUAAAAAUCAACGAGGAUUUUUUUCAGGAUUUAUAAAAAAUACUGGGCCGAAGAAGUGCCACACGGGCGCCAGCACGUGGCCACAAGCCUGCUAGGCGCGACCACCCCCUGGCUGCGCCUAGGGGGCUUGUGGGCACCGAGAUGGCCCUCUGGCUCCCCCCUUUUUCUACAAGAAGGGAUUCGUCCCGAAAAAAAAUCAAGAGGGGGCUUUUUCGAGGAUUCGCCGUCGCCACGAGGCGGAACUUGAGCAGAACCAAUCUAGAGCUCCGGCAGGACGAUCCUGCCGGGGAAACUUCCCUCCCGGAGGUGGAAAUCUUCGCCAUCGUCAUCACCAAGACUCCAAUCAUCAGAGGGGACUCAUCACCAUCAACAUCUUCAUCAACACCAUCUCAUCUCCAAACCCUAGUUCAUCUCUUGUAACCAAUCUCCGUCUCGCAACUCCCAUUGGUACUUGUAAGGUUGCUAGUAGUGUUAAUUACUCUUUGUAGUUGAUGCUAGUUGGAUUAUUUGGUGGAAUAGUUUAUGUUCAGAUCCUUGAUGCUAUUAAUUACCUCUCUGGUCAUGAAUAUGUUUAUGCUUUGUGAGUAGUUACUUUUGUUCCCGAGGACAUGUGAUAAGUCAUGCUAAUAGUAGUCAUGUGAAUUUGGUAUUCGUUCGAUAUUUUGAUGUGUUGUAUGUUAUUUUUCCUCUAGUGGUGUUAUGUGAACGUCGACUACAUAACACUUCACCAUUAUUUGGGCCUAGAGGAAGGCAUUGGGAAGUAGUAAGUAUAUGAUGGGUUGCUAGAGUGACAGAAGCUUAAACCCUAGUUUAUGCGUUGCUUCGUAAGGGGCUGAUUUGGAUCCACUAGUUUAAUGCUAUGGUUAGACUUUGUCUUAAUUCUUCUUUCGAAGUUGCGGAUGCUUGCGAGAGGGGUUAAUAAUAAGUGGGAUGCUUGUCCAAGUAAGGGCAGUACCCAAGCGCCCGUCCACCCACAUAUCAAACUAUCAAAUAACGAACGCGAAUCAUAUGAACAUGAUGAAAACUAGCAUGACAGAAAUUCCCGUGUGUCCUCGGGAGCGUUUUUCCUCCUAUAAGACUUUGUCCAGGCUUGUCCCUUGAUAUAAAAGGGAUUGGGCCACUUUGCUGCACCGUUGCUACUUUUGUUAUUUUUUUCUUGCUACGAAUCAUCUCACCACACCACUACUUGUUACCGAUAAUUUCAGUGCUUGCAGAUACUUCCUUGCUGAAAACCACUUGUCAGAUCCUUCUGCUCCUCGUUGGGUUCGACACUCUUACUUAUUGAAAGGACUAUGAUAGAUCCCCUAUACUUGUGGGUCGUCAAGAUUCUUUUCUGCCGCCGUUGCCGGGGAGUGAAGCGCCUUUGUUAAGGAAACAUUCAUAUAGCGUGCUGAAAUUUAUUGUCACUUGUCACUAUGGAAACUAAACCUUUGAGGGGCUUGUUCGGGGUAUCUUCACCUCGAACGGAAGCACAAAGAGUUGCUCCUCAACCUGCUGCACCUACUGAAAAUAUUUGCUUUGAAUUUCCUUCGGGUAUGCUUGAGAAACUGCUGGCUAACCUUUUUACAGGAGAUGAACAUCACAUCCAGACUUGCAUCUAAUCUAUGUAGAUGAAGUUUGUGGUUUAUUUAAGCUUUCAGGUUUGCCCGAGCAUGAGGUCAAGAAGAAGGUCUUUCCUUUAUAUUUGAAGGAUAAGGCGUUGACAUGGUAUAGGCUAUGUGAUGAUACUGGAUCAUGGAACUACAAUCGGUUGAAAUUGGAAUUUCAUCAAAAGUUUUAUCCUAUGCAUUUAGUACAUCGUGAUCGGAAUUAUAUUUAUAAUUUUUGGCCUCGUGACAGAGAAAGCAUCACUCAAGCUUGGGGGAGGCUUAAAUUAAUGUUAUACUCAUGCCCCAACCAUGAGCUCUCGAGAGAAAUUAUCAUUCAGAACUUCUAUGCUCGGCUUUCUCAUGAUGAUUGCACCAUGCUUGACACUUCUUGUACCGGUUCUUUUAUGAAGAGAGAUAUUGACUUUAGAUGGAAUUUAUUGGAGCGAAUUAAACACAACUCUGAAGAUUGGGAGCUUGAAGAAGGUAAGGAGUCAGGUAUGAAUUUCAAGUUUGAUUGCGUUUAAUCCUUUGUUGAAACAAAUACUUUUUGUGACUUUAGCACUAAGUAUGGACUUGACUCUCAGAUAGUAGCUUCAAUGUGUGGAUCAUUUGCUGCUCAUAUUGAUCUCCCUAAAGAGAAGUGGUUUAAAUAUAAUCCUCCUUUAGAAGUCAAUAUAGUUAAACCCAAUCCAGUUGAAGAGAAAGUCAUUGCCUAUAAUGAUCCUAUUGUUCCCAGUGCUUACAUUGAGAAACCACUUUUCCCUGUUACGAUAAAGGAUCAUUCUAAAGCUUCAACUGUGAUACAUAGAGGCUACAUUAGAACACCUACACCCCCAGAGAAAAUUAGAGUUGAACCUAGCAUUGCUAUUAUCAAAGAUCUUCUGUCCGACAAUGUUGAGGGACAUGAUAUUCAUUUCUGUGAAGAUGCUACUAGAUUUGCUAAACCUCAUGCUAGAGAUAAACAUAGGCCUAUUGCUGGCACGUCCGUUGUUUCUGUUAAGAUAGGAGAUCAUUGUUAUCAUGGUUUAUGUGACAUGGGUGCUAGUGUUAGUGCAAUACCUCAAUCUUUAUAUGAUGAAAUUAAAGAUGAGAUUGCACUUGUCGAGAUAGAACCCAUUGAUGUCACUAUCCAGCUUGCCAAUAGAGAUACUAUCUGCCCUGUGGGAAUUGUUAGGGAUGUUGAAGUCUUGUGUGUAAAACGAAGUAUCCUGCUGAUUUCCUCGUUCUUGCUACCGCACAAGAUAGCUUUUGUCCCAUCAUAUUUGGCAGACCCUUACUUAAUACUGUCAAUGCUCAUAUUGACUGUGAGAAGCAAACUCUCACUGUUGGCUUUGAAGGUGUGUCACAUGAGUUCAAUUUCUCCAAGUUUGGUAGACAACCUCAUGAAAAGGAGUUGCCAAGUAAGGAUGAAACUAUUGCCUUAGCUUCUAUUGUUGUGCCUCCUACUGAUCCCUGAGAGCAAUACUUGCUUGAGCAUGAAAAUGAUAUGCAUAUGGAUGAAAGGGAUGAGAUAGAUAGAGUUGUCUUAGAACAAUAUCCUAUCCUUAAGAAUAAUUUGCAUGUUGAACUGUUUGGGGAUCCACCCCCACCAAAGGGUGAUCCUGUGUUCGAGCUUAAACAAUUCCUGAUACUCUUAAGUAUGCUUAUCUUGAUGAAAAAGAGAUAUAUCCUGUUAUAACUAGUGCUAGCCUCUCAGAGCAUGAAGAAAAGAAGUUACUAAAAACUCUGAGAAAGCACCGUGCUGCUAUUGGAUAUACUCUUGAUGAUCUUAAGGGCAUUAGUCCCACUCUAUGCUAGCACAAGAUAAAAAUUGAUCCUAAUUCCAAACCAGUUGCUGAUCAUCAAAGGAGAUUGAAUCCUAAGAUGAAAGAAGUAGUAAGAAAAGAAAUACUGAAGCUUCUGGAAGCGGGUAUUAUCUAUCCUGUUGCUCAUAGCGAUUGGGUGAGUCCGGUGCAUUGCGUCCCUAAGAAUGGAGGCAUUACCGUUGUCCCUAAUGAUAAGGAUGAGUUGAUCCGACAGAGGAUUAUUACUGGCUAUAGGAUGGUGAUGAUUUUAGGAAAUUGAAUAAAGCCACUAGGAAAGAUCAUUACCCUUUGCCUUUUGUCGACCAAAUGCUAGAAAGACUGUCUAAACACAAACACUUCUACUUUCUAGACGGUUAUUUUGGUUUCUCCCAAAUACCAGUUGCACAAUCUGAUCAGAAGAAAACCACUUUCACCCGCCCUUUCGGUACCUUUGCUUAUAGACAUAUGCCUUUUGGCUUAUGUAAUGCACCUGCUACCUUUCCAAGACGUAUGAUGUCUAUAUUCUCUGACUUUUAUGAAAAGAUUGUUGAGGUUUUCAUAGAUGACUUCUCCAUUUACGGGUCUUCUUUUGAUGAUUGCCUCAGCAACCUUGAUCGAGUCUUCAAGAGAUGUAAAGACACCAAUCUUGUCUUGAAUUGGGAGAAGUGCCACUUUAUGGUUAAUGAAGGCAUCAUCUUAUGACAUAAAAUUUCUGAAAGAGGUAUUGAAGUCGAUAAGGCUAAGGUUGAUGCAAUCGAGAAAAUGCCAUACCCCACAGAUAUCAAAGGUAUAAGAAGUUUCCUUGGUCAUGCUGGUUUCUAUAGAAGGUUCAUUAAAGACUUCUCUAAGAUUUCUAGGCCUCUUACCAAUAUCUUGGAAAAGGAUAUUCCUUUUGUUUUUGAUGAUGAUUGUGAGGAAGCCUCCGAAAUACUUAAGAAGGCUUUGAUAACUGCGCCUAUUGUUCAACCACCUGAUUGGAACCUACCUUUUGAGAUCAUGUGUGAUGCUAGCGAUUAUGCUGUUGGUGUUGUCCUAGGGCAAAGAGUUGACAAGAAGUUGAAUGUUAUUCACUAUGCUAGUAAAAAUCUAGACAGUGCCCAGAGAAACUAUGCCACUACGGAAAAGGAGUUCUUAGCAGUCGUGUUUGCAUGUGAAAAGUUCAGGUCUUACAUAGUUGAUUCCAAAGUCACUAUUCACACUAAUCACACUGCUAUUAAGUACCUCAUGGAGAAGAAAGACGCUAAACCUAGACCUAUCAGAUGGGUUCUCUUGCUACAAGAAUUUGAUUUGCAGGUUGUUGACAGGAAGGGUGCUGAUAACCCUGUAGCAGAUAACUUGUCUAGGUUGGAGAACGUUCUUGAUGACCCACAACCUAUUAAUGAUAGCUUUCCCGUUGAGCAACUGAAUGUCAUCAAUGCUUCAUGUAGUGCACCGUGGUAUGUUGAUUAUGCAAACUAUAUCGUUGCCAAAUAUAUACCACCUAGUUUCACAUACCAGCAAAAGAAGAAAUUCUUCUUUGACUUGAGACAUUACUUUUGGGAUGAUUCUCACCUUUAUAAGGAAGGAGUUGAUGGUUUUAUUAGACGUUGUGUACCUGAACAUGAACAGGGAUAGAUCCUACAGAAGUGUCACUCCGAGGCCUACGGAGGACACCAUGCGGGAGAUAGAACUGCACACAAGGUAUUGCAAUCAGGCUUCUAUUGACCCACUCUCUUCAAGGAUGCCCGUAAGUUUGUCUUGUCUUGUGACGAAUGUCAAAGAGUAGGUAAUAUCGAUAAACGUUAGGAAAUGCCUAUGAACUAUUCACUUGUCAUUUAACCAUUUGAUGUCUGGGGCUUUGAUUAUAUGGGACCUUUUCCAAAAUCCAACGGGUAUACUCAUAUCCUAGUUGCUGUUGAUUACGUCACUAAGUGGGUAGAUGCUAUCCCCACUAGUAGUGUUGAUCACAACACAUCUAUUAGGAUGCUUAAAGAAGUUAUCUUCCCUAGAUUUGGAGUCCCUAGAUAUCUAAUGACCGACGGUGGUACACAUUUCAUUAAUGGUGCUUUUUCGUAAAACGCUUGCUAUGUAUGAUGUCAACCAUAGAAUUGCGUCUCCCUAUCACCCUCAGUCCAGUGGUGAAGUAGAGCUGAGCAACAGAGAGAUUAAACUAAUUCUGCAAAAGACUGUCAACAGGUCUAGAAAGAAUUGGUCUAAGAAGCUCGAUGAUGCACUUUGGGCUUAUAGAACUGCCUAUAAGAAACCCAUGGGCAUGUCUCCGUACAACAUGGUGUAUGGUAAAGCAUGUCAUUUACCUCUUGAGCUAGAGCAUAAAGCUUAUUGGGCAAUCAAAGAGCUCAACUUUGAUUUCAAACUUGCUGGUGAGAAGAGGUUAUUUGACAUUAGCUCGCUAGAUGAAUGGAGAACUCAGGCAUAUGAGAAUGCCAAGUUGUUCAAAGAAAAGGUUAAGAGGUGGCAUGAUAAAAGGAUACAAAAGCGUGAGUUCAAUGUAGGUGAUUAUGUCUUGCUAUAUAAUUCAUGUUUAAGAUUUUUUGCAGGCAAGCUUCUCUCCAAAUGGGAAGGUCCCUAUAUUGUUGAGGAAGUAUAUCGUACCAGUGCUAUCAAGAUCAACAACACGGAAGGUAAUUGUUUGAGAGUUGUAAAUGGGCAGAGAAUCAAGCAUUAUAUCUCAGGUACUCCCAUAAAUGUUGAAAGCAAUAUCAUCAAUACCAUAACUCCGGAAGAAUACCUAAGGGAUAUUUAUCAGCCUGUUUCAGACUCCGAAAACGAAGAGGUAUGCGAUUCGGUAAGAAAACAGACUCCAAAACUUUUCCAGUAGGAAUUUUUCUCCGUUUUGGAAUAUUUUAAAAAAUAGAAAAAUUGGAAGUAGUCCAGAAAACGCACGAGGAGGCGACAAGCCUGCCAGGAGUGGGCCCACCCCUUGGCCACGCCUGGGGGGCUUGUGGCCACCUCGUGUGCCUCCCGGACUCCGUUUUCGUGCGGAGUAAUUCUUCUGGUCUGAAAAAAAUCAUUAUAUAUUCUCCCGAAAGGUCUAACCCUUGUAUCACGCAAAUUUCCUCUAGUUUUGUUUCGAGCCUGUUUUCUGUCGCAGAUUUAGGGCAAGAUGUCUUCUCAGGAAUCUGUGGGGGAGAACAAUCUCCCUCAAGUCUAUGGAGAAGUAAAUGCCGAUCUGAAAAGAAUGGAGGUCAUGGAGGCCAGGGAAAGUCUACCUAAAGAAACCAAGGGCAAAACUAAGAAGGAGACUCAGGCGUGGGACGAAGCACAAUCUGCGUUCAACAAGGAAGAAGUUGAAGAAGUGGAUUUCCUCCAACCGUACCUCCACCUACUCUCUCCAUCCUUGAUUGAACUCUUGAGGUUUUUUGAAACAACUCGUGCUCGCAAUACUUAUCUCACUCGUGAAGUUGUUUUGCUGGAGAAACAUAUCACUGAUCUCCAAGGUAUAAAGCAAAGAUUGAUGGCCCUCUUGGAAUCAAAGGUUGCAACAACUCCACCACCUUCACCUCCAAAGGAAGACAACUGAGCAUGGGUAUGGGCAAUCCCCUUGGCUUGUGCCAAGCUUGGGGGAGUUGCCCCGGUAUCGUAUCACCAUCACAUCUUUUGCCUUUACCUUUGUUUUAGUUUGUUCCUUUUCAGUUUUCUCUUUCUCUAGUAGAAUAAAGGUCUUAGUGUUUUAGUCUUGAGUUUAGCUUUGUUUCACCCCCGAUGUAUUCGAGCUCGUGAGCCAUAUAAUAAAGACUGUCUUAGUUGAGGGCCUUGCCUCUUGCCAUGAUCAAUAGAUUGAGAAAAGAACGAAAGCAUGAAAGAUCAUGUAAUGAUCUUAUGCGAAGUGAUGGCUUCACAUAUAAAAAGAAUGAUGAUUGAAACUUGUUGAGGGUAGACAAACGUAGACCAUGGUAAUUGUUGCAAUUAAUAGGAAGUGAUAAAGAAGGAGAGGUUCACAUGUAAAUACAUCAUCUUUGAAACCAUCUAUGAUUGUGAACACUCACUAAACUAUUGCAUGCCUAGAAGUAGAUGUUUGACAAGGAAGACAACAUAAUGAAUUGUGUUUGCUUGGUUCCGAACAAUGUUAUAUGAUUAGAGGUCCCUUAGCAUGUGAUGAUUGCUUCCACCUCAUAUUAGCCAAAACUCCCACACCAAGUAGAGAUACUACUUGUGCAUCCAUAAACCUUCAAACCAGUUUUGCCAUGAGAGUCCACCAUACGUACCUAUGGAUUGAAUAAGAUCCCUCAAGUAAGUUGUCAUCGGUGCAAGAAUAAAAAUUGCUCCCUAAUAUGUAUGAUCUAUUAGUGUGUGGAAAAUAAGCUUUGUACGAACCUGUGAUGAGGAAGACAUAAAAGCAACAGACUGCAUAAUAAAGUUCUUUAUCACAGGAGGCAAUAUAAAGUGACGUUCCUCCGCACUAAGAGGAUACACAUCCAAACCUCAAAAGCGCAUGACAACCUCUGCUUCCCUCUGCGAAGGGCCUAUCUUGUACCUUUACUUUUUGCCCUUGAAAGAGUCAUGGUGAUCUUCAGCAAUUCCUUGUUUCGCCUUUAUCUUGGCUAACGUCAUAUUCUAGGGAAAAAUCUAUAUUCAUAUGUCAACUUGGAAGUAAGUAUUCAUGAAUUAUUGUUGUUGACAUUACCCUUGAGGUAAGCAGUUGGGAGGCAAAACUAUAAGCCCCUAUCUUUCUCUGUGUCCAGCUGAAACUUUGAUCUCAUGAGUACCACGUGAGUUGUAGCAAUUGUAGAGAAGGAAAGGAUGAUUGAGUAUGUGGAUUUGCUUUACAAGCUCUUAUUUGACUCUUUCUGAUGUUGUGAUAAAUUGCAAUUGCUUCAAUGACUACAGGCUAUCGGUUGUUACUUCUCCGUAAGGUUCUUGAUCCAUACUUUACUUUGUGAAGGAAUUGUCACUUUAGCAUGAGAGAUUUUAUGUUGGUAUUGCUUUUCUGAUCAUGAUCAUGAUGCCUACAUGUUCGUAUCUUGUUUUGUUGACACCUCUCUCCGUAAACAUGUGGUCAUAUUUAUCGAGCUCGGCUUUCGCUUGAGGACAAGCGAGGUCUAAGCAUGGGGGAGUUGAUACGUCCAUUUUGCAUCAUGCUUUCAUGUUGAUAUUUAUCGCUUCUUGGGCUCUUAUUUCACUUCACGGUACAUUACUUAUGCCUUUUCUAUCAUAUUUUGCAAGGUUUACAUGAAGAGGGAGAAUGCCGGCAGCUGGAAUUCUGGCCUGAAAAUGGAGCAAGUUUGAGAUACCUAUUCUACGCAACUCCAAACGCCCUAAAAAUCAACGAGGAUUUUUUUUGGGAUUUAUAAAAAAUACUGGGCCGAAGAAGUGCCAGAGGGGCGCCAGCAGGUGGCCACAAGCCUGCUAGGCGCGGCCACCCCUCUGGCCGCGCUUAGGGGGCUUGUGGGCACCCAGCUGGCCCUCUGGCUCCCCCCUUUUGCUACAAGAAGGGUUUUGUCCGGAAAAAAAUCACGAGGAGGCUUUUUCGAGGAUUCGCCGCCGCCAGGAGGCGGAACUUGAGCAGAACCAAUCUAGAGCUCCGACAGGACGAUCCUGCCGGGGAAACUUCCCUCCUGGAGGGGGAAAUCUUCGCCAUCGUCAUCACCAACACUCCUCUCAUCGGAGGGGACUCAUCACCAUCAACAUCUUCAUCAGCACCAUCUCAUCUCCAAACCCUAGUUCAUCUCUUGUAACCAAUCUCCGUCUCGCGACUCCGAUUGGUACUUGUAAGGUUGCUAGUAGUGUUAAUUACUCUUUGAAGUUGAUGCUAGUUGGAUUACUUGGUGGAAGAGUUUAUGUUCAGAUCCUUGAUACUACUCAUUACCUCUCUGGUCAUGAAUAUGAUUAUGCUUUAUGAGUAGUUACUUUUGUUCCUGAGGACAUGGGAUAAGUAAUGCUAAUAUUAGUCAUGUGAAAUUGGUAUUCGUUCGAUAUUUUGAUGUGUUGUAUGUUGUUUUUCUCUAGUGGUGUUAUGUGAACGUCGAAUACAUAACACUUCACCAUUAUUUGGGCCUAGAGGAAGGCAUUGGGCAGUAGUAAGUAGAUGAUGGGUUGCUAGAGUGACAGAAGCUUAAACCCUAGUUUAUGCAUUGCUUCGUAAGGGGCUGAUUUGGAUCCACUAGUUUAAUGCUAUGGUUAGACUUUGUCUUAAUUCUUAUUUCUUAGUUGCGGAUGCUUGCGAGAGGGGUUAAUCAUACGUGGGAUGCUUGUCCAAGUAAGGGCAGUACCCAAGCGCCAGUCCACCCACAUAUCAAACUAUCAAAGUAACGAACGCGAAUCAUAUGAACAUGAUGAAAACUAGCAUGACAGAAAUUCCCGUGUGUCCUCGGGAGCGUUUUUCCUCCUAUAAGACUUUGUCCAGGAUUGUCCCUUGCUACAAAAGGGAUUGGGCCACUUUGCUCCACCGUUGCUACUUUUGUUACUUGUUGCUUGCUACGAAUCAUCUCACCACACCACUACUUGUCACCGAUAAUUUCAGUUCUUGAAGAUACUUCUUUGCUGAAAACCACUUGUCAGAUCCUUCUGCUCCUCGUUGGGUUCGACACUCUUACUUAUUGAAAGGACUACGAUAGAUCCCCUAUACUUGUGGGUCAUCAGCAUCCAAGAGGGAUAUAAUAAAAACUUUCAUAUAGAGUGCAUCGAGUACUAUGAGAAGUUUAAUUCUUUGCAUAUAGUUUUGAGACAUAAGGAUGGUGAUAUUAGAGUCAUGCUAGUUAGUAAUUAUGGAUUGGUAGAAAUGCUUGUGUUAGAGUUUGUGAUUCCCGUAGCAUGCACGUCUGGUGAACCGCUAUGCUAGGAAGUCGGAGCAUGAUGUUUUUAUUGAUUGUCAUCCUUUCUGUGGCGGUCGGGAUCGCGCGAUGGUUAACUCCUACCAAACCUUCCCCUAGGAGCAUGCGUCUAGCACUUUGUUUUGAUUACUAAUAAAACUUUCGGAACAAGUAUGUGAGUUCUCUCUGACUAAUGUGAGUCCAUGGUAUAUACGCACUCUCACCCUUCCACCAUUGCUAGCCUCUCUAGUGCCGCGCAAUUUUUGCUGGUGCAUAAACCCACCAUAUACCUUCCGCAAAACAUCCACCAUACCUACCCAUCAUGGAAUUUCCAUAGCCAUUCCGAGAUAUAUUGCCAUGCAACUUCCACCAUUCCGUUUAUUAUGACACGCAUCAUCACUGUCAUAUUGCUUUGCAUAAUCAUGUAGUUGACAUCAUAUUUGUGGCAAAGCCACCAUUCAUAUCUUUCAUACAUGUCACUCAUGAGUCAUUGCACAUCCCGGUACACCGCUGGAGGCAUUCAUAUAGAGUCAUAUCUUUUGUUCUAAGAAUCGAGUUGUAAGUAAAUAAAAGUGUGAUGAUCAUCAUUAUUAGAGCAUUGUCCCAUGUGAGGAAAGGAAGGAAGCUAUGAUUCCCUCACAAGUUGGGAUGAUACUCUGGACUAUAAAAAUAAAAUAAAAGAGGCCAAAGAGCCCACAAAAAAAAGAGGCCAAAGAGCCCAAACAAAAAAAAUGAGAGAAAAAGAGAGAAGGGACAAUGCUACUAUCCUUUACCACAGUUGUGCUUCAAAGUAGCACCAUGAUCUUCAUGAUAGAGAGUCUCAUAUAUUGUCACUUUCAUAUACUAGUGGGAAUUUCAUUAUAAAACUUGGCUUGUAUAUUCCAAUGAUGGGCUUCCUCAAAUUGCCCUAGGUCUUCUUGAGCAAGCGAGUUGGAUGCACACCCACUUAGUUUCUUUUUGAGAUUUCAUAAACUUAUAGCUCUUGUGCAUCCGUUGCAUGGCAAUCCCUACUCACUCACAUUGAUAUCUAUUGAUGGGCAUCUCCAUAGCCCGUUGAUACGCCUAGUUGAUGUGACCAUCUCCUCCUUUUUGCCUCACAACCACCACCAAAUUCUAUUCCACCUAUAGUGCUAUGUCUGUGGCUCACGCUCAUGUAUUGCGUGAGAGUUGAAAAGGUUUGAGAAAGUAAAAGUGUGAAAACAAUUGCUUGACUAAUACCGGGGUUGUGCAUGAUUUAAAUACGUUGUGUGGGGAAGAUGGAGCAUAGCCAGACUAUAUGAUAUUGUAGGGAUAACUCUCUUUGGCCAUGUUAUUUUGAGAAGACACAAUUGCUUUGUUAGUAUGCUUGAAGUAUUAUUGUUCUUAUGUCAAUAGUAAUUUUUUUUGUCUUGAAUCAUAUGGAUCUAAAUAUUCAUGCCACAAUAUAUGUUAGGUAGCAUUCCACAUCAAAAAUUCUGUUUUUAUCAUUUACCUACUCGAGGACGAGCAGGAAUUAACCUUGGGGAUGCUUGAUACGUCUCCAACAUAUCUAUAAUUUUUGAUCAUUCCAUGCUAUUAUGUUAUCAACUUUGGAUGUUUUAUAUGCAUGAAUAUGUUAUUUUAUAUUAUUUUUGGGACUAACCUAUUGACCUAGAGCCGAGUGCGAGUUCCUGUUUUUCCUUGUUUUUGACCUUUUUCAAAUAGGAAUAUCAAACGGAGUCCAAAUGGAAUAAAACUUCCGCGAUGAUUUUUUUGGACCAAAAGAGACCCCGAAGCUUUGGAAGAAGGCCAGAAGAGCCACGAGGGAGUCACGAGCCCGGUAGGCACGCCCUACCCCCCGAGAGGGCCUAGCAGGCUCGUGACCUCCUCGUGGGCCCAACCGACGUAAUUCUACCGCCAUAAAUUCCUAUAAAUACAGAAACCCCCAAAAUGAAACCUAGAUCGGGAGUUCCGCCGCUUCAAGCCUCUGUAGCCACCAAAAACCAAUUGGGAGCCCGUUCCGGCACCCUGCCGGAGGGGGAAUCCAUCUCCGGUGUCCGUCUUCAUCAUCCCGACGAUCUCCAUGAAGAGGAGGGAGUAGUUCUCCCUCGGGGCUGAGGGUAUGUACCAGUAGCUAUGUGUUUGAUCUCUCUCUAUCUCUCUCUCUCUCUCUCUCUCGUGUUCUUGAGAUGUCAUGAUCUCGAUAUGCCGCGGGCUUUGCUACUAUAGUUGGAUCUUAUGAUGUUCUCCCCCCUCUCCCUUCUUGUAAUGAAUUGAGUUUUCCCUUUGGAGUUAUCUUAUCGGAUUGAGUCUUUAAGAACACUUGAUGUAUGUCUUGCACGUGUCUAUCUGUGGUGACAAUGGGAUAUUCAUGUGAGUACUUGAUGUAUGUUUUGGUGAUCAACUUACGGGUUUCGUGACAUUGGGAACCUAUGCAUAUGGGUUGGCACACGUUUUGACUCUCCGGUAGAAACUUCGGGGCACUCUUUGAAGUUCUAUGUCUUGGUUGACUAGAUGAUUCUGAGAUUGUGUGAUGCAUAUCGUAUAAUCAUGCCCACGGGUACUUGAGGUGACAAUGGAGUAUCUAGGUGACAUUAGGGUCUUGGUUGAUAUGUGUCUUAAGGUGUUAUUCUAGUAUGAACUCUAUGAUAGAUUGAACGGAAAUAAUAGCUUCGUGUUAUUUUACUACGGACUCUUGAAUAGAUCGAUCAGAAAGAAUAAUUUUGUCGUGGUUUCGUACCCGAGAAUAAUCUUUUCGUUUGUUCUCCGCUAUUAGUGAGUUUGGAGUGACUCUAUGUUGCACGUUGAGGGCUAGUUAUAUGAUCCAAUUAUGUAAUCAUUGUUGAGAGAAUUACACUAGUGAAAGUAUGAACCCUAGGCCUUGUUUCCAAGCAUUGCAAUACUGUUCGUGCUCACUUUGACUACUAGUUACCUUUCUGUUUUUAUAAUUUUAGAUUACAAAAACCUAUAUCUACUAUCCAUAUUGCACUUCUAUCACCAUCUCUUCGCCGAACUAGUGCACCUAUACAAUUUACCAUUGUAUUGGGUGUGUUGGGGACACAAGAGACUCUUUAUUAUUUGGUUACAGGGUUGCUUGAGAGAGACCAUCUUCAUCUUAUGCCUCCCACGGAUUGAUAAACCUUAGGUCAUCCACUUGAGGGAAAAUUGCUACUGUCCUACAAACCUCUGCACUUGGAGGCCCAACAACGUCUACAAGGAGAAGGUUGCGUAGUAGACAUCAUGUUGCAAGAACGCCUGCUCUUCAGGAGGAUGAGCGGGAUAACCUUGUGUGGGAGGAUGAGGUGGAAGAUCCAUAUGAAAAACCGAAGUGGCUUGCGCUGGCUAGGGUUCUGACCAACAAGUCUUUCGGGAAGGGGUCUUGAUUGCUGGUAUGAAAGUGGCAUGGAAUCCAGCAAGGGAUGUGGUAUGGAGAAGGAUAAACGGUAACUUGUUCUCGGUGCGGUUCAAUUGUCUGGUAGAAUGGAAUAAGGCGUUGCACCAGGGCCCCUGGGAUUUCAAGGGGAUGGCUUUGAUCAUAGCAGAAUAUGAUGGUUUCAAGAACCCAGAAUCGGUUAAAUUGGACAAGAUUGAAACUUGGUGUCAGAUUCAUAGGCUGCCUGAUAUGGUCCAGAAGAGGGAACUGUUUGUGAGAAACAUGGCAGAACACAUAGGAGAGGUCGUGGAGGUACAUAUCGUCCGUCCUAAUGGCUUCAUUGGUGAAUUCAUCAGAGUGAGGGUAAAACUUGAUGUGUCCAGGAAACUGACGAGGUUUGUGCGCUUGACAAAAACGGGUGUGACUGAGUACUAUCAAGUUAAGUUUGAAAAGCUUUCUGUUUUCUGUUUUAUGUGUGGCCUGCUUGGACAUUGGCAUGAGGAGUGUGGCUCACGAGAGCAUGAUAAGAAUGAUAUGAAGUGGGGCUCCUUUAUUCUGGCAUCCUUGAGAGGUGCGGGUGGGAGCAGGAACUCGGUUAGAGUAAUUGGUCGUGGUUUGGGGCGUGGCUCGGGCGCUGGUGAUGAGGAUGAUGAGGCUGCUAAUGGUGAAAGGAGGGGAGAUCUUGCAGGAACUCGCGGGCGUGGCUGUGGGCAUUUGAGGGAUUUUGAAGCUCGGGACCCCCUCAUUAAUACGAUUGAUGCGGAGCACUUGCAUACUAGCUGGCGCUUUAAUGCAACUAAUGCCCUGUUUGAUCCAGGGGCGGGGGUGCACUCUGACCUGGAUAGUUCCCCACAGGAGAUGCGGGAUGAUGCACGGAUUGUUCGUAAGAGAGGUCCAGAUGAUUCCCAUACGGUCCCAAAACCAGUUGUAGAGGAGGAUGUGCAAUUAGCUGAAGGUGGCAUUGUUCCCGCGGGGAUUACAGCGAAUAGGGUGGAACAGUUUGAGGGGUCGGAUCCACCCAGCAACUUAGAGAUUGGUACCCCUCAGAAGAAUGCGAAUCGUAAGAAGUUUAAGAUAGAUGAUGGUGUGGCCAUUGACAGUACAUCAACUAGUAGAUCUACGACCUCCUUGGCGGAGGACCACCGGGAGCAAUGAAUCCGCUAAGUUGGAACUGCCAAGGUGGCUCCCAGACAAUUCGUGAUCUUGCGACUUUGGUCAAGUCGUAUUCCCCCACUCUAGUCUACCUGUGUGGGACUAGACAGUUAGCUAGCAAGAUAAAGAGAUAUCAUUCUAGAUUGGGUCUAAAGGGCUUUGAGGGUGUUGAUGCUAAUGGAAAUAGUGGAGGCUUGGCACUAUAUUGGCAUGAGAAUCUGAAUGUGGAGGUAAAACUUUCAAAUGCUAGAUGUAUUGAUGCACAUGUACUUUCCAGGCCGGAUGAACUACCGUGGAGAUUGACUUGUGUGUAUGGUGAACCGAGGGUGGAGGACCGUCAUCUUAUGUGGCCUCUCAUGCAGAACCUUUGUGCAACCUCGGAUUUACCAUGGCUGGUGGUGGGCGAUUUCAAUGAAUGCAUGUGGGAUUUCGAGCACGUCUCCUUAACAGGGAGAGCACCAUUACAGAUGCAAUCAUUUCGAGAUGUCGUGGAGGUGUGCGGUUUGGCUGAUCUUGGGUCCAGUGGAAUUCCCUAUACAUUCGAUAAUAAAAGAAGCGGGAAUGCAAACGUAAAAGUUUGUCUAGACAGGGCAGUGGCAAAUCCGGUUUGGAGGAACACCUUUUUCAACUCAAUGGUACACCACCUUACUUCCCCCUGCUCGGAUCAUGUGCCUGUUCAUGUGUGUUGUGAUGAUAUUGAAGAUAGGCCAGCAAAGCCAAAGUGUAGGCAGUAUGAGAUCAUGUGGGGGAGAGAUCCAACUCUUCAGGAGCUGAUUGCUAAGGCAUGGCUGGAGGCGGGAACAAAGUCAUCCCUGGGUGACGUGCAUGUAGCUCUAAGGGGUACUAUGCAAAACUUGUGCAAAUGGAGUAAGGCAAAAUUUGGCUGUGUUGCUCGGGAAAUUGAAAAAUCACUGACACAAUUGGAGGAACUCAUAUUGAUGAAUGUUGACAGAUGUGAGAUCCGGAGGGUAACAGAUAAAAUGAACGAGCUCCUAUAUAGAGAAGAGUUAAUGUGGUUGCAACGUUCCAGCAUUUCUUGGGUCAAGGAAGGGGGCCGAAAUACGAAAAAAAUUCAGUCAAAGGCGGUGUGGAGGGCUAGGAAGAACCACAUCAAAAAGCUCGAAGACACGAGUGGUCAGGUUUUCACGGGUGAUGAAGCGAUGGGGCAAGCAGCCGUGGACUAUUUUAAAAACAUCUUCUCUGCAGUUCCUUCGGUGGAUCCAAGCCCCAUUUUUAAUCUAGUAGAAGCUGUUAUAGAUGAUAACAUGGAUGCAUCAUUGUGUACUGAUUUUACAGAGAACGAGAUUUUGGAUGCUUUGUUUCAGAUCGGGCCUCUUAAAGCACCGGGUUCAGACGGUUUUCCUACGCGGUUAUUUCAGACGAAUUGGGGCGUUAUUAAGGAGGGUAUUGUGGCGGCGGUUCAGGAGUUUAUUUGGACGGGGGUAAUGCCGGCAGGGGUCAACAGUACUAAUAUAGUGCUGAUGCCGAAAAUUCAGAACCACGUUAAGAUUACAUAUUUCCGUCCAAUUAGCGUGUGUAAUGUUAUUUACAAGGUGGUUUCUAAGUGCCUUGUUAACCGCUUGAGGCCGGUGUUAGAUGGAAUUAUUUCUCCAACGCAAAGUGCUUUCAUUCCUGGACGAAUGAUCAAUGAUAACUCUUUGAUUGCUUUUGAGUGUAUUCACCAAAUUAAGCUGGAAAAGGACCCCACAAGGAGUUUCUGUGCCUACAAGCUAGAUCUAUCCAAAGAUUAUGAUAGAGCUGAUAGGAAUUACCUUAACCAAAUGAUGCAAAAUCUUGGCUUUGCUCAUCAGUGGGUUGACUCGAUUAUGUCGUGUGUAACCUCGGUGAGAUAUUCAGUAAAAUUCAAUGGAGCCAUCUCGGAUUCAUUUGCACCGUCAUGUGGACUACGGCAAGGUGAUCCAUUAUCCCCAUACUUAUUUCUAUUUGUGGCUGGUGGUCUCUCUAUUCUGUUCAACAAGGGUACAUACUCAACUGAUUUGUCUCCGUUGAAGAUAACUCGACAAGCUCCGGGAAUAUCACAUCUCCUAUUCGCAGAUGACACUCUUUUAUUCUUUAAGACCACUAGGCAGCACUCAAAUACUGACAAGCAAAUCCUUAAGACUUAUGAACAAGCUAGUGGUGAAUUGUUAAAUCUAACAAAGUCCUCUAUUCUUUUUGGAGAAUCUUGUCCGGAGGCUACUGUAGCUGAAAUCAAGGGCGUUUUGGAGGUGAUCAGUUCUGGUUUUGAGGAGAAGUACUUGGGCUUACCCACUCCGGAUGGUCGUCUUACUAAGGGCAAGCUUCAAAAUCUGCAAGAAAAGGUUAGUAAGAGAUUGUUUGCUUUUGAUGGGCACCCAACUCGGGCUGGGAAGGAAAUUUUGAUAAAGUCUCUUGCCCAAGCGAUCCCUACCUUCAUUAUGAGUGUGUUCAAGAUCCCGUUGGGUGUGUGUGAUGAUUUGAACCACAUGAUUCGGAAUUAUUUUUGGGGAUCGGAGAAAGGGAAGCGGAAAAUUCAUUGAUUUGCUUGGGAGAAACUGUCGUGAGCAAAAACACAAGGAGGGCUUGGGUUUAGGGACUUUAGAAUUUUCAACCAAGUGUUGCUUGCAAGGCAAGCCUGGCGUCUGCUAAUUCAUCCUGACAGUCUUUGUGCAAGGUUACUUAAGGCUAAAUAUUAUCCAAACGGGCGGUUGGAGGACACAAUAUUUCCAGGUAACCCCUCUCAGUAUUGGCAAGGGGUUUGUCAUGGCCUUGAACUCUUAAAGAAGGGGCUGGUGUGGCGGUUAGCAAACGGGCAAAAUGUGAGAAUAUGACGGGAUCAGUGGCUGAUGCGAGGAAACACUAAUUCAUUGCUUUCGAGUAGAGGUCGGCGUCGAUUCAAAUGGGUGUCUGAACUGCUUGAUCACAAUGGUAACUGGGAUAUGCGGAAGCUACAACAAUUCAUUUUGCAGGUUGACGUGGCACAGAUUUGCAAGAUUAGACUUUCGCCCCAGUUAGGGGUAGACUUUCUGUCAUGGGCGCCUGAACGGAGUGGAAACUUCUCCGUUAAAAGUGCUUACUGGCUUGCUGCAAGUGAAAUGCUUGGAACAUCUAUCCUUUCAUCGAGUUCUUCCCAAGAUAGUAGCAAGGACGUGUGGAAGCUUAUUUGGUCUUGUCCGGCUCCGCCAAAGGUUUGGUCGUUUCCCUGGCGAGUAGCGACGAACUCCCUAGCGACCUCGAAGAACAAGAAGUGGACAACUUUAGAGGAACGGGACACUUGCCUUAUCUAUGGUAGUGAUGUGGUGGACUCGUUCCAUGUCUUGUGUGCAUGUGAUAAGGCGCAACAGUUGUGGAAAGCAAUGGCGCGGGUCUGGGAUCUGCCUAGACUUACUGACAUAAAACGACAUGAUGACUGGUUUAUCCAUCUGGUGUGUGAAGCUGAUGAUCAACGACGUGUCCGGUUAUUUAUGCUUCUAUGGAGGAUUUGGCAUGUCAGAAAUGAAAUUGUGCAUUCAAAGCCGGCUCCUCCAGUCGAUGCAUCAAUGUGAUUCCUUGCGAGCUAUUAUGAUUCCUUGGCAAAUUUGAGAGCUGAUCCAGACGCUGAUUACGUCAAAGGUAAGAUGGUUCCAGCCCACUGUUUUCCAUUACUCAGAGAUGUCGGUGUUGUACCGAUAGACAGUUGUAGCUCUUGGACUCCCCCAAGGCAUGAAGGAUUGAAAUUAAACACUGAUGUAUCUGUAUUGAACGGGAGUGCUGGAACUGGCAUGGUCUUGUGGGAUCAUGAAGGCAACUUUAUCUUCAGCGCUUGCAGAUUUGUGGGUGAUUGCAAUGACGUGCUUGAGUGUGAGAUCCUAGCUAUUCGAAAGGGUCUCAGUUUGGCGCUACAGUGGAAUUCUUUAUCGAUAGAGGUGGAGUCUGAUUGCCUUGAGGCUGUUGCAAUGAUAAAGGAAGCGGGGCGCAACUUAUCAAGAUAUGCUUUUUUGAUUGGAGAGAUUAUGCAAAGUAUGGGGGAACGUGUCUCUUUUAUUACUCAUAUCCGUCGUUCACGCAAUUGUGUUAGUCAUGCUAUGGCUAGUUUUCAUAGAAGACACGGCCGAACCAUGGUUUGGCUCGGUUCGGCUCGAGAUGAAGUCUUAUGUAUUGCAUCACGAGAUUGUAAUCACUAAUGAUUGAGUAAUAUAAGAGUUAUUUCGCAAAAUAAAAAAAUGCUCUAAUUGUAUUUCUUUGGAGGAGAGACUCACGGACGAGAGACAAACGUUUUGUGCAGGGCGACAAGACUCAGAGUACACACGAUCCUGCAACAGCGGGUUUACACUGUUUUCCUUCGAAAGUACACCCACGGCAUCUUUAAUUUAUCAAGUUGGUAUGGGCUUUAUGGAUAAAUCAGCUGAGCAGUGGCACUCCAGCAACAACGGGUUUACACUGUUUUCUUUCGAAUGCCUUUUUGAACCAUCUCAAAAUUAUCAAAACAAUGAAAAACAAUGCAAAGACAUAGUACGGUAAAGGGUUACCCCUUUUCAGAAACAAAACAAAAAAUCACAGAAACAGUCUUACUUAUUCAAAAAGGUAAUCUUUUUAGGGACAAAAAAGAUAAUCUUUAUAGAAAAAUAGGAAAAAUCACAUGUUGUACUGCUAGUCUGCCAUGCUCCUGCUCUUCCAUGUCAUAUUUCAGUGGAUCGAAAAAAUGCAGUCCUACUUUUCUUUUAAACUGUUAUUUCUUUUAUUGAGUUCAAAGUUGCAUGCUCUAUUUCCUCUCUUUAAAAAAAUAAAACUGCUCUAUUUCCUCUCUAAACUUAAGCGGAAGCAGGAAAGGUGUAAAUCGUACAAUGUUUCCAAUGUGAAAGAUGCCUUAUCUUUUGGUAUAAAAAGGACGCCUAGUGCCUAGACACGUACAUGGAGAAUUUUAUUUUUGGGAUGCUCCACUUCACUCGAAAGGAGAAAGGGUGGAGAAAAAGGGAGAAAAUAAAUGAUGGGGACUGCUAGACAUUUAUCGAUGGAUUUAUAGUAAUCAUCCAUCAUUUUUUAGCCAUCUGAUCUGAUGUAUACGCGCGUAUCGUCCGAUCACCACCUUGGUCGCGUCGGUCCAUCACCUAAAAUCCUGAAACAACGCUCCAGUUACAGAAACAAGCACACUGCUACGCGUUCGGCUGACGGGUUAAAAAGUGACUGACAGGUCUUUUGCAAUAUAGAUUAUGUUGUAAAAUUCUUUUACAACAAAGAGUAUGUUGCGAAAACGUCCGUAUAUUUUUUUGCGAUAGAAUUUGUUAUAGAAUAUUUUCUGCAACAAGGAUCGUGUUGCAUAAACUUUUGCAACAAUGGUCAUGUUGCAAAAAAAAUUGCAACGUUGGUCAGGCUAUAAAAAAGUUUUGCAACAAAAGAUAUUUGUGUCAAUUUUUUUAAACAUAGAACAAGUUGCGGAAACUCGUCAUUGCGCCUACUUGCACUAGCUUCGUCGCUGUCAAUCGCAACAACGCCGUUGUUACACACACUCUGCGGAUUUGCUCGAGGGAUGGGGCUCGAGCUCGGGGCCAAGCCGAGGAGGAGACGUAGGGCGCCGGACUCUAGGACGUCCGCAUGGGCACAGAAGUUGGUUUUGUCCAACAUAGGACACGCGUCUAGUGGGAGAGGCGGUGGACGCGGUCGUGAAAAUCUACCGGCUGAUGGGAAGAGUUUUCCAAAAUAAAUUGACGUGUACUACUCAUUUAUCAUUUUAUUAGGCUCCAUAUAACCAUUUGUCGUGACUCUAUUUUUCUGUAUAGACGAUUCGAUGUGUGUGUAUUGCUACAAAAACUUUGCUAAAACAAAUUCGUAAAUAGUUGCCAUAAAAUCUAAAACUAACAAAAGACAAAUGUAAUAUUAAAUAAAAACAAUGCAGAUAAAAAUUAAAAAAUUGAAUUGCAAUCAAAGGGGUGCUAUUUCUAAAAGAAUGUCAUUUCAAUGCGAGUUUGCGAAAAAGAUAUUCUCUCUUGUACAACAUUGUUCGUGAUAAGAAUAAUACUAUUAUGUAGGUGCUCAGUCAUCCCGAUGAAUAUUAGCCCGAUUUAUGUCAUGGCAUAUUUUUUUGUCCCGUUUGGAUUCGAUUAACAUGACAUAAGAUCGUGACGUGUUUCGCUAGAACCUUAUUAUGAUGGGGUCUUUUAUAGUAGACUUUAUGUACAGUACGUUCACGCGUUCUAAUAUAUUGAUGAGUAACAAUAAGAAAAUUUAGAGGUCAAAGAUUUCACUAAAAGUGAAAAUCAUCAUAUGGUAUCUUUGUAGGGAAGUAGUGCUAACCAAAGACAAUCUCGCAUGUUGCAACCGACAAGGAAGUAAGAAGUGUUGAUUUUAUAUCCAUGACAAGAGAAUCAAACACUUCCUUUUCUAAUGCAAGUUUGCAUGUUCUAUGUGGUCACACAUCCAAAUAGCAUUAAUUUUGUAUCCACCCACAAGUGUUGCAAAUAUCUUUGGUCAUUGGUUGGAUGGUAUUGCAAAUAGGUUGAAAACACUAAUAAGAGUAGGAGUGUAUGCCUUGCUGAUACUUGUGAUCUGCGUUGGAUUUUUUCCGAAGAGGAGGGGAUGAUGCAACAUAGUAUAAAUAAGUAUUUUCCUCAGUGAGAACCAAUGUUAUUAAACCAAUAGGACAACCACACUAUUUUCCGUCUUUGACGCCUACACACAAAACAACACACUUGCAUCCAACACGAGCAAGAAGGUUAUCAAUCCCCUUGAAUUCGUUACUUGCAAGUAAUAAGUAGUGAUAGAUAGAUAGCUAAAAUAUAUUAAAUAUAAAAGGUAAAUACAAAUAAUAAAAGGCAGCGAGAUAUUUAGUAUUGUUGUAAAUAUAUUUUUAGAUAGACACUGGGGCCAUAGUUUUCCCUAGAGACUUCUCUCUCAUAGAAAAUAUAUUGUGGGUAAACAAAUUAUUUUUGGGCAAUUGAUAACACACACAUAGUUAUGCAAUAUUUUAUUUAUGACAAUGAUCAUUACAUAAAGGCAUGACGACCGUAAGCAAGUAGACCGACUCAUGCCUGCAUCUACUAAUAUUACUCCAUCUAUCGGCUCCUAUCUAGCAUGCACCUAAAGUAUUAAGUAAAAAAAGUAAUGCUUGAAGAACAAUGAGAUCAUGUAGACAAAAAAAUCCAAUUAAUAUGAAUCAACCCCAUCAUUUUAUCCAUAAUGACAACAAUACAAAUACGCGUAUUGUCCCCUACUUUUUCACUGGGAUAUAGAGCACCGCAAAAUUGAACCCGCUACAACACACCUCUCUUAGUGAAGAUAGAUCAAUCAAGUUGGCCAAACCAAAAUCAAUAGAUCGGAGAGAAUUACAAAGCUGUCACAAUCAUGCGUAUAAAAAUUUAGAAAAGACUCAAAUAUAUUUUGUGAAUAAUCUAAACAUAAACCCACAAUUCAUCGGGUCUCAACAAACGCACCGCACAAAGUGAUUAAAUAAGAUAGAUCACCGCAAGAAUCACGGUGAUCAUGGCAAUGAAGAACAUAAAGAGAGAUGUCCAUCUAGAUACUAACUACUCAUCAUCCACAAGUAUAGGGGAUCAAUCAUAGUCCUUUUGAUAAGUAAUGAUACGUCUUCAACGUAUCUAUAAUUUUUAAUUAUUUCAUGCUAUUAUAUUAUCAUUCUAGGAUACUUUUGAGAGUUUAUUUAUCAAUUAUUGAUAUUUUCUAGGCACUAACCUAUUAACCCGGUGCCCUGUGACACUUGUUGUUUUUUGCAUGUUUUGGCUUUUCAGGUUUACACUACCAAACUAAGUCCAAUUGCCACGAAACCUUCUGAUGAUUUUGUCUGGACCAAAAAAGACCUGGAAACUUUGAGAGGAGGUCGGAAGCCUCAUGAGGAAGGCACGAGCUAACGGGGCGCGACCAGGGGGUAGGGCGCGCCAUGUUUCCUGGUGCUCCCUCAUACGUCUUAAAUGUAUCUAUAAUUUUUUAUGCUUCAUUCUUGUUUUCUACCAUUUGUGCUACUUUUAUGUUUUCACUAUGUUUUUACGAAAUAUUGGGACUAACCUAUUAAUAUUUACAAAAUUAUACAAGUUUUUGUUUUAAACUUUUAUGUGUAGGAAUUAAUUGAAAAUUGGCGAAAAAACGCAAAAGGAGCCUUGAUGAAGGAGGACUCUCACUUUCUUAAAAUCUGUCCACCAACAGUUUUUAGUGAUCGUCCGUUUGACUCGAGAAUAUAGCGUCAAAUGAAAAUAGUUAAAACUACAAAAGUGUAUGGAAUGUUCUGGCAUUGAUUAUGGAGUACAAAUUUGUCCAAAACGGAGUGCGUAUGCGAUAUUUAGACUUGUUUUACUCGGAGGAAAAUAUCUGAUUACGGGAUUACGAGAAUUGAUGACGUGAUUGAAUCCAACUCUUACCAUUUUUGAUGUAUUCGUCCAAGCCACGACUUUGGGGACUUAUGGGGUUGUUAGGAUUCCUAUGAAGGUUCUAUAGGUGUCCAAGAGCCAUUGGAUCAAGGAUCAAUCCAUCGAAGAGACAUAGAACACGAUAGAGGCACAUAUAAGGAGAGGAAAACCCUAAUUUUGAAACAGCCACCAGAAGCCACAAAUUUUCCUCUCCCUUGGCAGCCACCAAGAGGGGAGAGGCUCCUCCAUUCCAGCACCAAGACCAAGGAAGAAGGGGGGAAGGGUCCGCCGCUCGUGGCCACCACUGCCUUCAUCUCUUCGGAGCUGCACCUCUCCAUCAACAAUUCUCUAUUUCUCACCACAAUAAAUUGUGAGUAAUCCUUCUCGGGGCUAAGAGUAUGUAUUAGUAGCUAUUUGUUUGACCUAUAUCUAUCUCUUGUAUUCUUGAUAUGUAACGAUCUUCAUGUAUCAUGAGCUUUGUUAAUAUAGUUGGAUCACAUGGUGUUCUUCCCUUGCCAUCUUGUUGUGAUGAAUUGAAUCUUUCCCUUUGAGAUCUCGUUAGGUUGGAUUGAAUAUUUUUGAUUUGAGAUCACUUGAUGUAUGUCUUGCAUGUGGAUACCCUGGUGACAAUGGGGUGUUCUAUUGAUUCACUUGACAUAUGUUUUGGUACUGAACUCGUGGAUUCCCGAGGUGGAAUUGGGUAAUCUAUGCAUAUGGAUUGAUACACGUUGUUGUCCUAAUUUCUCCGAUAGAAAUCUUGGAGUGCUAUUUGUAAUUCUUUGUGUUGGAUCGAAUAUGGUGAAUCUGAAAUUGUUUGAUGCAUGUCGAAUAAUUAACCCACAGAUACUUGAGGUGAUAUUGGAGCAUCUAGGUGACAUUAGGGUUGAUUGAUUUGUAUCAUAGGUGUUAUUCUUGUAUGAACUCUGAUACGGGGCACACCCGUGGUGGACGAUUUUUCACACUUGGAGGGGGAAAAGAUAGGCAAAAUCACGAGAAACACAAGAACUCAAGAACAAUCCUCAAAUCACACAUCCACUAGAUCCACAUAAACACAUGGGGAUACAAGAUCCAAAGUCAACAGGAGGAUACACGUAACGAUAGUCUUCCCUAUGAGAGAGGCCUUGCAUCCACGAUGGGAUCUUCCCUAGAGUAGGGGCCUUGGCAUCACUAUGGAUCUUCUUCACAUGGAGGACAUCUCCAUGGGGAGGGAGGGAUAGCGAUGGAGCUAAUCUCGACAACUAGUUGUCUAAGCAUUAGCUAACCCUAAAACGAAGGUAGGGGAAAGGUAUUUAUAGUCUAGGUCAGAAAAGAGGGCUGAAGGGGUACAUGGGUUGUUGGGCCCGAGUGUCUGCGCGCAGGCAGGACGGAAGUUUUGGCCUAGGCCGGAAGUUUCAACCAACUUCCGAGUAGGUUUCGGGAUGGACAGAGUGUUCGCGCAGGUCGAGGCGCUGAAGCUGAGCACAAGCCAAAACUUCCAGGCAGGCCGAACCUUUCGGGGGCCGCUGGGCCAUGUCCGGGCAGGUUCCGGGCUGAGCCAAAGGUUGUCGGGGGAUGUUUGCGGGGACUGAACGUGUGCCGGAAGUUCCGGGCAGUUCGGAGGUUCCGGGCUCCUGGGGCUUUUCCCUCCUCGAGUCAUCUUGCCCAUUCUUCCUCGUGUCCAUUCCUGCGGUGCCUUCAAGGUCUUGAACCUGAUGUAUGAGUAUGCACAGAGUCUCCGCUUUAGGUAGCACACACGUUCCAUUUGUAUCUAAGGCGUAUUCAUUAAGGAGAGAUGUCACCUGGGUUUCCAAGGCACGUGUGCGGGCUCUUGUCAUGGGACCACUUGUAUCUUGAGGUGUAUCCGUGGGGAUGAUCAAGGGAUGCUCCGCAUCAUCUCCCCCCUUGGGGAAGAUCUGUCCUCAGAUCAAGUUCUUCAUCACCAUGGAAAGUAGCUAGGUCCUUGACGUUGAAUGUUUCACUCACAUUGUACUUGUCGUGUGGAAUGUCGAUCUUGUAGGCAUUGUUGUUGUAGCGUGUCUGUGAUAGCCUGGCUUAUUAGGGAAGAUAGACUACUCAUAUGAAUAAGGAAUUCCUUCUUUUCUAGGAUCCCAUUCGAACAUAACUCUCAGUUUAAGCGUGCUCAGCUUGGAGUAGUUCUAGGAUGGACGACCGCUGGCGGGUGUGUCCGGGGCGUUAGAAGUUGGUAUCAGAGCCAACCCUCGCGGUUACACGGGUGUUUGUGGACAGGUGUGCGGUCAUUUUUUUCAUGAAGUUUAUGACCCGUCGUGGCACACGGCAUGGCACAUGUACUGGAUUAGAUGCAGAGACGUUUGUGCCAAGAGGGAACGCUCUUGUGGCCCGACGAGGACGUCGGUUCCUCUGAGUGGUCGUGUAUGUGAUAGUCUGGGCUUAUUAGGGAUGAUAUACUACUCAUAUCAAUAAGGAAUUCCUUCUUUUCCGGGAUCCCAUUCCAACAUAAAUCUCAGGUUAAGCGUGCUCGGCUUGGAGUAGUUCUAGGAUGGUUAAGCGUUCUCGGCUUGGAGUAGUUCUAGGAUGGGUGACCGACUGGGAAGUUGAUCUCUGGUGCGCAUGAGUGAUGAAAAAGUGUGCAGAAAAGACCAGUAUUGAUAUGUGGGGCCAGUCUAGAUCCUGCCAGGAGUAAGGACCGCCGGCGGGUGUGUCCGGGGGCAUUAUAGUGCGAACACCUUGAAAGGGCCAUCCACUCGAGGUAGCAGCUUGGACUUGCAUUCAUUGGGGAAGCGUAGGAGAGUUAAUAAUGUUCGGUUUGUCACCUCCGUUUGGCCACAACAACAAACACGGAAUCAUGACCAUUUUUAGAUCUAGGCAAACCGAGCACAAAGUCCAUGCUUAUAUCUUCCCAUGGUUGCGAAGGGAUAGGGAGAGGCAUGUAAAGACCAUGAUAUUGAGCUUUGGACUUAGCUUUGCGGCAUGUAGAGCAUCGGUUGGUGAAGCGUACAACAUCACGAAACAACUUUGGCACAAAAGUACUUGUUGGAGAUUGUGGCAUAAGUCUUGUCGCGUCCAAAGUGACCCAUUAGUCCUCCACCAUGAGCUUCUUACAAAAGUAACAAACGAAGAGAAGACUCGGGAAUACACAAUUUGUUAGCGUGCAUAAGAUAGCCAUCUUUCAUGUAAUAUUUUCCCCAACAAGGUUUAUUAUGACGUUUAGCAUAUGGGACCGCAAAGAAAGUAUCAUGCCCAUAUAAAUCUUUGAUAUGCCCGAAACCAAUCACAUUCAAUUCAAGUUGUGUAACAAGCAUGCAUUUGCAGGAAAGAGCAUCCACUACUACAAUCUCUUUACCCUUAAUGUAUUUAAUAACAUAAGGAAAAGACUCAGUGAAUUCACUCCAUUUAGCAUGUCGCUUGUUCAAUUUAGUUUGGCCCUUAAGGUAUUUCAAUGUUUCAUGAUCGAUAUGAAUGACAAAUUCAUGAGGUCUUAAAUAGUGUUCCGAACAUGCAAGACUCUCAGUAAAGCAUACAAUUCUUUGUCAUAGAUGGGACAAUUAAGUUGAGCGCCCAAGAGGUUUUAACUAAAAUAAGCAAUUGGGCAUUUAUCUUGCAUGAGCAUGCCACGUAUGUCGUUACCACUAGCAUCACAAUGCACUUCAAAAGUUUUGUCAAAGUUUGGUAAGGCAAGCAAUGGUGCGUGAGUAAGCAUGUUUUUAAGCUCAUUAAAUCCCGUGUCUUGCGAUGGUCCCCAAAUAAAUGGUGCAUUUUUCUUGCUCAAAGCAUGGAGAGGAGAAGCAAUAGUGCUAACAUCCUUAGCAAAUCUAUGGUAAAAACCGGCUAGGCCAAGGAAACUACACACUUGUUGCAAAUUCGUGGGUAUGGGCCAAGUUUUAAUAGCAUCAAUUUUAGUGUCAUCAACGUGCACACCCUUAGAAGAAACUACAAAUCCAAGAAAAACAAUUUUGUCAACACCAAAGGUGCAUUUGUUCUUUUUCGCGUAAAGUUGUUCAUUUCUUAGGACUUGCAAUACUUCUGUAACAUGUUUAGCAUUCUCCUCUAGAUUAUUGCUAAGAACAAUAGUGUCAUCAAAGUAGACCACAACACAAUCAACAAUGAGAGGAUGAUACAUCUCAAACGUAUCUAUAAUUUUUGAUGGUUUCACGCUGUUAUCUUGUCUUCUUUGGAUGUUUUAUAUACCUUUUAUAUCUUUUUCGGAAAUAACUUAUUAAUUCAGUGCCAAGUGCCAGUUCCUGUUUUUUCCGUGUUUUUGACUCUUUUCAGAUCUGAUUUUGGAACGGAGUCCAAACGGAAUAAAAACCCCGAAAUGGUUUUUUCCCAAACGGAAGAAGAUCAGGGGGGCUCUGGGCCAAGCCAGGUGGGCUCCAGGGAGCCCACAAGCUCCCACUCCGCCACCAGGGGGAGGCGGCGGGGUCAGGGCUUGUGGCCUCCCUGGCCGCCCCCUGACCUAGAUCCUUGGCCAUUAUAUUCCCAAAUAUUCAGCAAAAAAUCAGGGGAGCCUCAAAAAUACUUUUCCGCCACCGCAAGCUUCCGUUUCCGCGGGAUCUCAUCUGGAGACCCUUCCCGGCGCCCUACCGGAUGGGACUUUGGAGUUGGAGNNNNNNNNNNNNNNNNNNNNNNNNNNNNNNNNNNNNNNNNNNNNNNNNNNNNNNNNNNNNNNNNNNNNNNNNNNNNNNNNNNNNNNNNNNNNNNNNNNNNNNNNNNNNNNNNNNNNNNNNNNNNNNNNNNNNNNNNNNNNNNNNNNNNNNNNNNNNNNNNNNNNNNNNNNNNNNNNNNNNNNNNNNNNNNNNNNNNNNNNNNNNNNNNNNNNNNNNNNNNNNNNNNNNNNNNNNNNNNNNNNNNNNNNNNNNNNNNNNNNNNNNNNNNNNNNNNNNNNNNNNNNNNNNNNNNNNNNNNNNNNNNNNNNNNNNNNNNNNNNNNNNNNNNNNNNNNNNNNNNNNNNNNNNNNNNNNNNNNNNNNNNNNNNNNNNNNNNNNNNNNNNNNNNNNNNNNNNNNNNNNNNNNNNGAUCAGAUUAUCUAUGAUCUAUAUUUAAGUCUUUGCUGAUUUCUUAUAUGCAUGAUUUGAUAUCCUUGUAAGUCUCUUCGAGUGUUGUGUUUUGUUUGGCCAACUAGAUCUAUGAUUCUUGCAAUGGGAGAAGUGUUUGGUUUUGGGUUCUACCAUGUGGUGACCUUUCCCAGUGAGAGUAGGGCCAGCAAGGCACACAUCAAGUAGUUGCCAUCAAGGGUAAAAAGAUGGGGGUUUUAUCAUUGGUUUGAGAUUAUCCCUCUACAUCAUGUCAUCUUGCUUAAGGCGUUACUCUGUUCUUNAGAUGCAUGCUGGAUAGCGGUCGACGUGUGGAGUAAUAGUAGUAGAUGCAGAAAGUAUCGGUCUACUUGUUUUGGACGUGAUGCCUAAAGAUAUAAUCAUUGCAUAGAUAUCGUCACGACUUUGCGCGGUUCUAUCAAUUGCUCAACAGUAAUUUGUUCACCCCCCGUUUACUUGCUUUCAUGAGAGAAGCCACUAGUAAACGCUACGGCCCCCGGGUCUAUUCACAUCCAUCGUUUACACCUCCGCUUUUACUUUGCUUUGUUACUUUGUUGCUUUCAGUCCUCACUUGGCAAACAAUCUUUAAGGGAUUGACAACCCCUUCAUAGCGUUGGGAGAAAGCUUUUGUGUUUGUGCAGGAUCUUGAGAUACUCCUCCACUGGAUUGAUACCUUCGUUCUCAAACUGAGGGAAAUACUUACCACCGCUGUGCUACAUCACCCUUUCCGCUUCGAGGGAACACCAACACAAGGCUCCAUAGCCGUAGCAGAAGGAUUCCUGGUGCUGUCGACACGACUGUUCCUGUCGCCGUUGCCGGGGAAGCACAGCUGACAUGAGAAGCAUUUCUGGCGCUGUUGCCGGGGAGGAGAAAUCAAGAUCUAUCCAAGUAGGUCUCACAAACACUUCUCUUGCAUUUACUUUUGUUGCCUGUUACCUCUCGUUUUCCUCUCCCCACUUCACAUUUGCCGUUUUCAUUUGCCUUUCUCCUUCGCCGUUUUAUUUUGCCUUUGCCGGUUCCCUUUGCCGGUUCUAUUGCUUGCUUGUGUGCUUGUUUGUUUGUUGAAGUCAUCAUGGUUGAAAACACCAAACUUUGCGACUUCUCGAGCACUAAUAAUAAUGAUUUUAUUAGUACUCCGAUUGCUCCCGCCACUAGUGCAGAAUCAUAUGAAAUCAACGCACCUUUGCUGAAUCUUGUUAUGAAAGAGCAAUUAUGUGGCCUUCCUAGUGAAGAUGCCGCAUCCCAUGUCAAUACCUUCAUUGAGCUUUGUGAUAUGCAAAAGAAAAGAGAUGUGGAUAAUGACGUGAUUAAGUUGAAACCUUUUCCUUUCUCAUUGCGAGAUCGCGCAAAAACUUGGUUUUCUUCUUUGCCUAAAAAUAGUAUCGAUUCUUGGGAUAAGUGCAAAGAUGCUUACAUAUCCAAGUAUUUUCCGCGAGCUAAGAUCAUCUCCUUACAUAACGAUAUCAUGAAUUUCAAGCAACUUGAUCAUGAACACGUUGCACAAUCUUGGGAGAGGAUGAAGCUUAUGAUUAGAAAUUGUCCCGCUCAUGGCUUGAGUUUGUGGAUGAUUAUACAAAUCUUUUACGAUGGCUUGAAUUUCGCUUCUCGCAAUAUCUUGGACUCCGCCUUAGGUGGAGCGUUCAUGGAAAUCAUGUUAGGAGACGCUACAAAACUCCUAGACAAUAUCAUGACCAACUACUCUCAGUGGCACACCGAAAGGUCGCCUGCUAGCAAAAAGGUGCACGCUAUAGAAGAAAUUAAGUCGCUUAGUUCUAAGAUGGACGAGUUGAUGAAUUUGGUUGCUAGUAGAAAUGCUACCGUAGAUCCUAAUGACAUGCCACUAUCUUCUUUGAUUGAGAGUAGCAACGCUAGUUUGGACGUGAAUUUUGUUGGUAGGAACAAUUUUGGCAACAACAAUGCUUUUAGAGGAAACUAUGUUCCUAGGCCUUUUCCUAGUAACUCCUCUAAAAAUUAUGCCAAUUCCUACGGCAACACUUAUGGAAAUCACAACAAAUUACCCUCUGAUCUAGAGAGUAAUAUCAAAGAGUUCAUCAACUCUCAAAAGAUUUUCAAUGCGUCCAUAGAGGAAAAACUACUCAAAAUAGACGAUUUGGCUAAGAGCGUUGAUAGGAUGUCUUGUGAUAUUGAUGCUUUGAAAGUUAGAUGCGCUCCUCCCAAGGUCAACUUGGAUGAAACUUUGAAAGCUAUGCGUAUCUCCAUGAAUGAGAGCAAAGAAAGAACCGCCCAAAUUCGCGCUAGACAUGAAUGGUUUAAAAGGCUGCGUUCUAUUAAUGCAAAUCACGAAGAUCUUAAAGUGCUUGGUGUGUCUACUCUUGAAUCUUUGUUUUCGCGUGUCAAAACUACUUAUGGAGGGGCUGGAUAUGAAUCCACUUUGGUUGAAAAACGCCCCAAUGAUUCGGAGUCCACCUAUCUUGAUGAUAAAGGUGUGGAGAGUGGAGUAGAAGAAGUCAAAAUUUUGGGUAGUAAUGAAACUCCCACUUUGGAUUUCAAGGAAUUCAAUUAUGAUAAUUGCUCCUUGUUUGAAUGCAUUUCUUUGAUGCAAUCCAUUGCAAACUCUCCACACGCUUAUAGCCAAAGCAAAGCCUUUACCGCGCAUAUCGUAGAUGCUAUGAUGAAAUCUCUUGAAGAGAAGCUCGAACUAGAAGUCUCUAUACCUAGAAAACUUCAUGAUGAGUGGGAACCUACUAUCAAAAUCAAGAUAAAAAACUAUGAGUGCAAUGCUUUGUGUGAUUUGGGUGCUAGUGUUUCCGCGAUUCCAAAGUCUUUAUGUGAUAUUCUUGGUUUUCAUGAGAUUGAAGAGUGUUCUCUUAAUUUGCAUCUUACGGAUUCUACUGUCAGGAAACCCAUGGGGAGGAUCGAUGAUGUUCUUAUUGUUGCAAAUAAGAACUAUGUACCCCUGGAUUUCACUGUACUUGACAUAGAUUGCAAUCCUUCAUGUCCCAUUAUUCUUGGUAGACCUUUCCUAAGGACUAUUGGUGUUAUCAUCGAUAUGAAGGAAGGGAAUAUUAGAUUUCAAUUUCCUUUAAAGAAGGGCAUGGAGCACUUUCCUAGAAAGAAAAUAAGAUUUCCUUAUGAAUCUAUGAUGAGGGCUACCUAUGGGUUGAGCACCAAAGAUGACUAUACGUGAUUCCAUCACUUUUUGCCUAGCUAAGGGCGUUAAACAAAAGUGCUUGUUGGGAGGUAACCCAACGAAUCUAUCCUUUUUUAUUUCUGUUUUGUGUUUUCCACACUUUCAUAAUUCUGUUAUGAUUGUGUUUUUUGUGUUUCUUUUUGCGUUUGUGCCAAGCAAAACCGUUAUGAUUAGUCUUGGGGAUGAUCUUUUGGUCAUGCUGGAAAAGACAGAAACUUUCUGCUCACAAAAAGAAUUUUCAUUUUUGCUAUGUAAGAGAUUUUGAGUUGAUUCUUUUUGCUUCUGAUUGCUACGCAAAUUCUUCAGACUGUCGUAAUUUUGCAGAAUUUUUGAAGUACCAAAGAUAUACAAAAUAUACAGAUUGCUACAGACUGGUCUGCUGUUAACAGAUUCUAUUUUUGUUGUGUUGGUUGCUUAUUUUGAUGAAACUAUGGACAGUAUCGGGGGGUAUUAGCAAUGGAAGAUUGAAAAUACAGUAACCCAACAUCAGCACAAGUAGAAUUUAAGUUUGCUACAGUACCUAAGGAAGUGGCGGUUUGCCUUCUUGUACUAAUGUUAUCACGAGUUUCUGUUUAAGUUUCGUGUUGUGAAGUUUUCAAGUUUUGGGUGAAGUUCUUAUGGACAAAGAGAUAAAGAGUGGCAAGAUCUCAAGCUUGGAGAUGCCCAAGGCACCCCAAGAGAUUCUAGGAUGUUGUAAAAGCCUAAGCUUGGGGAUGCCCCGGGAAGGCAUCCCCUCUCUCGUCUUCAAUCCAUCGGUAACGUUACUUGGGGCUAUAUUUUUAUUCACCACAUGUUAUGUGUUUUUUCUUGGAGCGUCUUGUAUCAUAGGAGUCUUUUAUUUUUGUUGUGUCACAAUCAUCCUUGCUGCACACCUAGAGAGAGAGACAUGCACACACCGUGAUUUUGUCGAGCUUCACUUAUAUCUUUUCGUAGACGAUUAAGCUCACAUGUGCUUCACUUAUAUCUUUUGAGCUAGAUACUGUUGCUCUAUGUGCUUCACUUAUAUCUUUUAGAGCACAGCGGUGCGUGGCUUGGUAGUUGAUCUAUGCUUUGAAAGUAGUCUCAAAAGGGGUAGUUAUCCAAAGGGAUACGAAAAUUUCCACCUUCAUGUGCAUUGAAUAGUUAGAAAAGUUUGAUUCAUCUCAAUUAGUUUUGAGUUGUGGUUAUGGUAAUAUUGAAGUCAUGCUAGUAAGGUGUUGUGGAUCUAGAAAUACUUGUGUUGAAGUUAGUGAUUCUCGUAGCAUGCACGUAUGGUGAACCGCUAUGUGAUGAAAUCUGAGCAUGAUUAGUAUAUUGAUUGUCAUCCUUUGUGUGGCGGUCGGGAUCGCGCGAUGGUUUAUACCUACCAACCCUUCCCCUAGGAGUAUGCGUUGAAUGCUUUGUUUCAAUUACUAAUAAAACUUUUGCAACAAGUAUAUGAGUUCUUCAUGACUAAUGUUGAGUCCAUGGUUUAGAUGCACUUUCACCUUCCACCAUCACUAUCUUCUUAGUGCCGUGCAACUUUUGCCGGUGCAUAAAACCCACCAUUAGCCUCCCUCAAAACAGCCACCAUACCUACCUACUAUGGCUUUUUCAAAGUCAUUCCGAGAUAUAUUGCCAUGCAACUACCACCAUGACAUGUGCCACCACGUCUACAUUGCCAUUUCAUGAUCGUAAGAUAGCUAUCAUGAUGUUUCCAUUGAUGUCUAUGCCAUGCUAGAUCAUUGCCACGCUACACUACCGAAGGCAUUCCAUAUAGAGUCAUAGUUGCUCUAAGUUUUGAGUUGAAAGUGUGAUGAUCAUCAUUAAUGCAGCAUUGUCCCAUGUGAUGAAAUAAAAGAGGCUAAAGAAUCCCACCAAAAUAAAAAAAAGAGGCCAAAGAACCCACCAAAAUAAAAUAAAAUAAAAUAAUGAGAGAAAAAGAGAGAAGGGACAAUGCUACCACUUUUUUCCACACUUGUGCAUAUUAAGCACCAUGAUCCUCAUGAUUGAGAGUCUCUCGUUUUGUCACCACCAUAUAUCUAGUGGGAAAUUUUCAUUAUAUAACUUGGCUUGUAUAUUCCAAUGAUAGGCUUCCUCAAAAUUUCCUUAGGUCUUCAUGAGCAAGCAAGUUGGAUGCACACCCACUAGUUUUCUUUAAGAGCUUUCACAUACUCAUAGUUCUGGUGGAUCAUUUGUAUGGCAAUCCCUACUCAUUCACAUUGAUAUCUAUUGAUGAGCAUCUCCAUAGCUCAUUGAUAUGUCUAGUUAAUGUGACUAUCUUCUCCUUUUUUUGUCUUGCAACCUCCACCACAUUCCACACCAUAUAUAGUGCUAUAACCAUGGCUCACGCUCAUGUAUUGCGUGAGAGUUGAAAAGGUUUGAGAAAGUAAAGGUUUGAGAAAGUAAAGAUGUGAAUAGACCCGGGGUCCGUAGUUAGUAGCUAGAUGGCUUCUUCUCUCUCUUGGAACUUCAAUACAAAGUUCUCCAUGAUCUUCAUGGAGAUCUAUCCGAUGUAAUCUUCUUUGGCGGUGUGUUUGUCGAGAUCCGAUGAAUUCUGGAUUUGUGAUCAGAUUAUUUAUGAUAUAUAUUUGAGUCUUUGCUGAUUUCUUAUAUGCAUAAUUUCAUAUCCUUUUAAGUUUCUCCGAGUCUUUGGUUUUGUUUGGCCAACUAGAUCUAUGAUUCUUGCAAUGGGAGAAGUGCUUGGUUUUGGGUUCUACCAUGUGGUGACCUUUCCCAGUGACAGUAGGGGCAGCAAGGCACACAUCAAGUAGUUGCCAUCAAGGGUAAAAAGAUGGGUUUUUUAUCAUUGGUUUGAGAUUAUCCCUCUACAUCAUGUCAUCUUGCUUAAGGCGUUACUCUGUUCUUAUGGACUUAAUACACUAGAUGCAUGCUGGAUAGCGGUCGACGUGUGGAGUAAUAGUAGUAGAUGCAGAAAGUAUUGGUCUACUUGUUUUGGACGUGAUGCAUAUAGAUAUAAUCAUUGCACAUAUAUCGUCACGACUUUCCACGGUUCUAUCAAUUGCUCGACAGUAAUUUGUUCACCCACCGUCUACUUGCUUUCAUGAGAGAAGCCACUAGUAUACACUACGGCCCCCGGGUCUAUUCACAUCUAUCGUUUACACCUCCGCUUUUACUUUGCUUUGUUACUUUGUUGCUUUCAGUCCUCACUUGGCAAACAAUCUAUAAGGGAUUGACAACCCCUUCAUAGCGUUGGGAGCAAGCUUUUGUGUUUGUGCAGGAUCUUGAGAUACUCCUCCACUGGAUUGAUACNACUGGAUUGAUACCUUGGUACUCAAACUGAGGGAAAUACUUACCACCGCUGUGCUACAUCACCCUUUCCGCUUCGAGGGAACACCAACGCAAGGCUCCAUAGCGGUAGUAGAAGGAUUCCUGGUGCCAUCGACACGGCUAUUCCUGUCGCCGUUGCCGGGGAAGCACAGCUGACAUCAGAGGACGCAAGACAUAGUGCAUAACACACAUGAAGGUACUUGGUGCUUCGGAUAAGCCCAUAGGCAUCACUAUCCAUUCAUAUAGGCCAAAUUUUGUUUUAAAUGCACUUCUCCACUCAUCACCUUCUUGUAUGCGUAUUUGGCAGUAACCACUCUUCAAAUCAAUUUUAGAUAAUACAGUGGCACCACUAAGUUCAUCAAGCAUAUCAUCAAGGCGAGGUAUAGGAUGCCUAUAACGAACGGUGAUAGCAUUUAUAGGGUGGCAAUCCAAACACAUGCGCAUACUUCCAUCUUUCUUAGGAACAAGAAUUACCGUAACCGCACAAGGGCUUAGGAUUUCGCGGACAUGUCCGUUGUCUAGGAGUUUAUGGACUCACCUUUGUAUCUCCUUAGUUUCUUCGGGGUUGACACGGUAAGAUGCCUUGUUAGGAAGCGGUGCUCCAGGUUUGAGAUCGAUGCGAUGUUCAAUCCCUCGCUUUGGAGGUAAUCCUGGAGGUAACUCAUCGGUAAAGACGUCUUGGAAUUCCUGCAGUAGACGAGACAACACAAGAGGUAGAUGUGGUGAAGCAUUAGUCUUACAACCUCAUAUUUGCACACAAGUACAAAGUGAAGAACGGAUGAUGGGCUCUCAGUCACAUCCCUCAAGUCUCUUUUGGUGGCUAGAAUAACUAAAUCUCUCUUGUCUCUCAUAAUGGAUUCACUAAAUUUUGGCUUGUGACGCUCACUCUCUUUUAGGUGGAUCGCUCUCUCACUUUUAUCUCCAUGAUGGUUUGUGUUUUUUUGUCAGCGGUGACUUGGCUUGGUGUCAUUGGUCGGAGCACAUAUUCCUUGCCCUUCAUCUAGAACCUAUAGUGGUUGGUCCGUCCAUUGUGGAUGGCACCACGAUCGAAUUGCCAAGGUGUUCCAAGUAGAAGAUGGCAAACGGACAUGGGAACCACAUCACACUCCAAUGUAUCAUUGUAUGCUCCAAUUUUCAAAGAUACUUGCACGGUGUGUUCAACUUGGAGUGUGUCAGAGUCACUAAGUCAUUGUACUUUGUAAGGUCGUGGAUGCUUAUGCUUGACCAAUUGCAGCUUGGAGCAAAGUUCCUCACUCACCAAAUUGGCAGCUCCCGCCGUCGAUGAUGACCUUGACGGAUUUUCCUUGAAGGCACUCGAGAUGAGUCAACUCUAGGAAAGGAGCGUCACGUUUGCUUGGGGGUGAUGAUUUUAAUGCUAAAACUGAAAAAGUGGUUUUGGAGAGGUCAAAACUUUAACUAGUGAUGCGCCCACUAUUUUGGAUUACCAGGAAUUUAAUUAUGAUAAUUUCUAUUGAGUAGAAUUUAUAUCCUUGCUGCAAUCCAUUAUUAUCUCACCCAAUGCUUAUGAGCAAAAUAAAGCUUUUACUCAACAUAUAGUAGAAGAUAUGGUAAAAGCUUAUGAUGAGAAACUUGGGCUUGAAGUCUCUAUUCCUAGAAAGUUGCAUGAUGAGUGGGAACCUACUAUCAAAAUUAAGAUAGAUAAAUAUGAAUGCAAUUCUUUGUGUUACCUUGGUGCUAGUGUUUCAACUAUACCUAAAGCUUUAUGUGAUGUGCUUGGUCUCACUAAUAUUGAAGAAUGUUCCCUUAACUUGCAUCUUACGGAUUCUACCAUUAAGAAACCCUUACGUAGAAUUAAUUAUUUUCUUAUCAUUGCAAAUAAAAAAUAUGUGCUUGUAGAUUUUAUUGUACUUGAUAUUGGUUGUAAUACUACUUGUCCCAUUAUACUUGGAAGACCUUUCCAACGAACUAUAGGUGCAAUCAUUGAUAUGAAAAAGGGCAACAUAAGGUUCCAAUUCCCAUAAAAGAAAGGGAUGGAAAACUUCCCUAGAAAUAGAAUCAAAACACCUUAUGAAUUUAUCAUAAGGGACACUGAUAACCCACAAGUAUAGGGGAUCACAACAUUUUUCGAGGGCAGAGUAUUCAACCCAAAUUUAUUGAUUCGACUCAAGGGGAAGCCAAAGAAUAUUCUCAAGUAUUAGCAGUUGAGUUGUCAAUUCAACCACACCUGAAAGAUUUAGUAUCUGCAAAAAAGUAUCAGCAGCAAGGUAGUAUGAUAGCAGCAGUAGCAACAUUAACCAGUAGCAGCAAAGUGAUAUCAGUAGCAGCAAAGUAACAGCAGCAGCAGUAGCAGCAGUAGCGGCAAAGUAACGUAGCAAGGACUAGUAGGAAAGACUCGUAGGCAUUGGAUCGGUGAUGGAUGAUUAUGCCGGAUGUUAUUCAGCAUGCAACAGUUAUAACACGGAGAGAUAUGUAACUAGCCCCAAUUCGUCAAUGUAAUGUAGGCAUGUAUUCCGUAUGUAGUCAUACGUGCUUAGGGAAAAGAACUUGCAUGACACCUAUUGUCCAUCCCUCCCGUGGCAGUGGGGUCCUAAUGGAAACUACGGGAUAUUAAGGUUCUCCUUUUAAUAAAGAAUCGGACCAACGCAUUAAUACUUAGUGAAUACAUGAACUCCUCAUACUAUGGUCAUCUUCGGGAGUGGUUCCGGCUAUUGUCACUCCGGGGUUGCCGCAUCAUAACACAUAGUAGGNNNNNNNNNNNNNNNNNNNNNNNNNNNNNNNNNNNNNNNNNNNNNNNNNNNNNNNNNNNNNNNNNNNNNNNNNNNNNNNNNNNNNNNNNNNNNNNNNNNNNNNNNNNNNNNNNNNNNNNNNNNNNNNNNNNNNNNNNNNNNNNNNNNNNNNNNNNNNNNNNNNNNNNNNNNNNNNNNNNNNNNNNNNNNNNNNNNNNNNNNNNNNNNNNNNNNNNNNNNNNNNNNNNNNNNNNNNNNNNNNNNNNNNNNNNNNNNNNNNNNNNNNNNNNNNNNNNNNNNNNNNNNNNNNNNNNNNNNNNNNNNNNNNNNNNNNNNNNNNNNNNNNNNNNNNNNNNNNNNNNNNNNNNNNNNNNNNNNNNNNNNNNNNNNGCAAGCCUACGAUGAGAUCCCACGAACGGUGAGCAUCAUGGAAUUGGAAAUGAAGGAAGGUUUGUGAUGACGAUGGCGACGAUUUCCCCUCUCCGGAGCCCAGAACGGACUCCAGAUCUGCCCUCCAAAGGAAGAACAAGAGGUGGUGGCGUCUCCGUAUCAUAAAACGCGAUGAACUCUUCUCCUUGAUUUUUUUCGGACGAAAGAGGCUAAAUAGAGCUGAGAUUGGAGGCGGUGGAGCUUUGUGGGCCCCACAAGCCUGCCAGGCGCGGCCAGGGGGGCCUGCACUUGGUGGGCUUGUGGGCUCCACGCUACACUUCUUCCGUUGAUUCUUGCGCCAGUAUUUUUGAUAUAUUCCACAAAAAUUCUGUGUAAAUUUCCAGGUCAUUCCGAGAACUUUAUUUCUGCGCAAAAACAACACCAUGGCAAUUCUGCUGAAACAGCGUUAGUCCGGGUUAGUUCCAUUCANUUUGCAGAGGUGCCAGAGGUCAAGCUUUGAAAACAGAGAUAAUAAUUUUGGGUGGCAUGCUUUCAUUGUCAACGCAAUGACCAAGAGUUCUCACCAUCUUCCAUGCUACACAUGCUAUAGGCGGUUCCCAAACAGAAAAGUAAAGUUUUGAGUCCCCCACCACCGAUCAAUCACACUCCACGACUAGCCGAAUACUCGGGUGCCGCCCAUACCAAGAUCAAUCCAGGGGGAGUUUUGUUUGCAAUUAUCUUUUUGAUUUGAGCAUGGAACUGGGCAUUCCAAUUACCGGCCCCUUUCUCGUGAAUGAUACUGAAUAAACACAUAUCGAGGAUAACAUGCCUAGCAUGGAAGAUACUGAUAGCGCCCUGUCACCACAUGAGCGGUUCGGGCAUGCAAACCAAAUUAUUUUUUGAAGGUUUAGAGAGUGGCACAUGCAAAUUUACUUGGAACGGCAGGUAGACACUGCAUAUAGGUAGGUAUGGUGGAAUCAUAUGGAACAACUUUGGGUUUAUGGAAGUGGAUGCACAAGCAGUAUUCCCGCUUAGUACAAGUGAAGGCUAGCAAAAUACUGGGAAUCAACCAACUAGAGAGCAACAAGAGUCAUCAAAAUGCAUUGAGAUUAACCAACAAUGAGUGCAAGCAUGAGUAGGACAUAAAUCACCAUGAACAUGAAUAUCAUAGAGGCUAUGUUUAUUUUGUUUCAACUACAUGCGUAAACAUGCACCAAGUCAAGCCACUUGAAUCAUUCAAAGGAGGAUACCAUCCUAUCAUACUACAUCAUAGUCAUCUCAAGAUUCAUGUUGGCAUCCAAGACAAACCAUUAUAAGCUCCUUGCUAAUUAAGCAUGGCAUCAGAAACUAUGAUCUCUAAGUUGUCAUUGCAAACAUGUUUCUCUCACAACAAAGCUGAAUCAGGAACGAUGAGCUAGUCAUAUUUACAAAAACAAAAUAGAUCGAGUUCAUACCAGCUUUUUCAGGCUCAGUCACUUCAUCAUAUAUCGUCAUUAUUGCCUUUCUCUUGCACGACCGAAUGAUGUGAACAAUAAUAAGAGUGCUCGUGCAUUGGACUAAGCUUGAAUCUGCAGGCAAACACAAAGGAGAAGACUAAGUAAUAUGGCGCUUUGACAGAUAAACAGAUAUGUAUGCAAGAGUCACUAAACAUUAUAACCAUGGUCUUCUACCUUGACCCAAAGAAAAAGAAAACUAUUUACAUGGGAAAGCUACUAACAAGGAAAAGAAGAACAAGAAAAUCUUUUUGGGUUUUUCUCAAACUAGAAAAACACACGAAAAGAAAAUGAGAAAAAGGAAAUAAACUAGCAUGGGUGAUACAGUGGCAAAGUGUGAACACCGACUAACAAAGUGAAAGUGUAAGCAAGAAUAUAAAGUCGGUGAGAAACACGUAUGAUACGUCUCAAACGUAUCUAUAAUUUUUGAUGGUUUCACGUUGUUAUCUUGUCUUCUUUGGAUGUUUUAUGUACCUUUUUAUAUCUUUUUGGGACUAACUUAUUAAUCCUGUGCCAAGUGCCAGUUCCUGUUUUUUCUAUGUUUUUUGACUCUUUUCAGAUCUGAUUUUCGAACGGAGUCCAAACGGAAUAAAAACCGCGAAAUGAUUUUUUCCCGAACGGAAGAAGAUCAGGGGGGCUCUGGGCCAUGCCUGGUGGGCUCCACGGAGCCCACAAGCUCCCACUCCGCCACCAGGGGGAGGCGGCGGGGUCAGGGCUUGUGGCCUCCCUGGCCGCCCCCUGACCUAUAUCCUUGACCUAUAUAUUCCCAAAUAUUCCGCAAAAAAUCAGAGGAGCCUCGAAAAUACUUUUCCGCCGCCGCAAGCUUCCGUUUCCGCGAGAUCUCAUCUGGAGACCCUUCCCGGCGCCCUGCCGGUGGGGACUUUGGAGUUGGAGGGCUUCUUCAUCAUCAUCAUCGCCCCUCCAAUGACUCGUGAGUAGUUCACUUCAGACCUAUGGGUCCGUAGUUAGUACCUAGAUGGCUUCUUCUCUCUCUUGGAUCUUCAAUACAAAGUUCUCCAUGAUCUUCAUGGAGAUCUAUCCGAUGUAAUCUUCUUUGGCGGUGUGUUUGUCGAGAUCCGAUGAAUUGUGGAUUUGUGAUCAGAUUAUCUAUGAUAUAUAUUUGAGUCUUUGUUGAUUGCUUAUAGGCAUGAUUUUAUAUCCUUGUAAGUCUCUCCGAGUCUUGGAUUUUGUUUGGCCAACUAGAUCUAUGAUUCUUGCAAUGGGAGAAGUGCUUGGUUUUGGGUUCUACCAUGUGGUGACCUUUUCUAGUGACAGUAGGGGCAGCAAGGCACACAUCAAGUAGUUGCCAUGAAGGGUAAAAAGAUGGGGGUUUUAUCAUUGGUUUGAGAUUAUCCCUCUACAUCAUGUCAUCUUGCUUAAGGCGUUACUCUGUUCUUUUGGACUUAAUACACUAGAUGCAUGCUGGAUAGCGGUUGACGUGUGGCGUAAUAGUAGUAGAUGCAGAAAGUAUCGGUCUACUUGUUUUGGACGUGAUGCCUAUAGAUAUAAGUAUUGCAUAGAUAUCGUCACGACUUUGCGCAGUUCUAUCAGUUGCUCGACAAUAAUUUGUUCACCCACCGUCUACUUGCUUUCAUGAGAGAAGCCACUAGUAAACACUAUGGCCCCCGGGUCUAUUCACAUCCAUCGUUUACAUCUCCGCUUUUACUUUGCUUUGUUACUUUGUUGCUUUCAGUUCUCAAUUGGCAAACAAUCUAUAAGGGAUUGACAACCCCUUCAUAGCGUUGGGAGCAAGUUUUUGCGUUUGUGUAGGAUCUUGAGAUACUCCUCCACCGGAUUGACAUCUUGGUUCUCAAACUGAGGGAAAUACUUACCUCCGUUGUGCUACAUCAUCCUUUCCGCUUCGAGGGAACACCAACGCAGAAGGAUUCCUGGUGCCGUCGACACACCCAUUUCUGGCGCCAUUGGAAGGUCUUUUGUGCAGUAGCCUAACAGACCUCAACGUACUCCCCCAAGCUUAGGCUUUUGGCCUAAGUUGGUGUACUCCCAAGGAGGGAAAUAACCAGCUCCGGGGUACUCUGGAGUGGAGUGCGGAUGCCGCUGCUGUGUGAGCUCCUCUGGCUCCCACUGAUAAACUGACGUCUGGUACUCGACUGGUGGCUUAGGCACGGGCACCUAUGGUUGGGCUAUGCCCCAGUAUGCGUAGAUGUCCGAGGGCAUAAUAAUGUACAUGCCUGCAUGAAGAUUGAACAAAGAAGGAGCAGGCAAAGUAAUAGUUUCACGAGUACUCUAACUAAAUACCAGGUUAUAAAUCAUCCUUCUAUUUAUAUCUCUAUCAAGAAAGUCAUGGCGAACCAAGCUAUCAUAAUCUAGAUAUCUCUCGGGAAGAAGAAUCUCUUCUUCCUCGUCUAGUCUAAUGAGUAUCUCAAAAUGUCUAGCAAGACGAGUAGCAUAGAUACCUCCAUAGACAACGCCUUUAGAACGGUUCGUGUUCAACCGUUGAGCUACUAUAGCAGCCAAGCUAUAAGUUUUAUCAUUAUAAAGGGCUUCGUGCAAGACCGCAAGAUCUGGGGAGCUAAGGGCCCCAGCUUUCCCACGGCCAAUCAAACAUUUUCCCAUGAAUAAUGAGAAGUAUCGAAGCACGGGAAAAUUAUGCUAGCAGCUCUAGCUCAAGACACUCCUCUCUCUUCUCCUACAACAAUGGUAUCGAUGAAAGUCUCCAAGUCCCGUGGACAAGGUUCAUGAAUAUCCCCCACAAAAGGCAAUUUGCAAACAUUGCAAAAAUCCUGGAGUGACAUGCGCUGGGGGAUAUCAUAUAAUUUGAACUCAGCCAUAGGAGGAUUUUUCCGUGGAUAGAAGUUAAAGCUUUGCACGAAAAUAUUAGUGAGUGGGAGGUAUUGCGGACACUUAUCUUCAACGAAGGCGGUAAGGCCUGCGUUCUACACCAAGUAAUAAAAGUCCUCAUAAAGUCCGGUGGCGCGUAAGAACACAUCGCUUGGCCAUUCGCACGCUCGAACUUCUGCAACUCGGGGGACCAAAUACUUGGGUUUCUUCUUCUCAUUCCCAUCAUCCUUGGGGUCACGGCUUGAAGAGCCUCUUAAGAACCUUCUCAUCUUUUCCCUUUUCUAUCUCUGAAAAUUUCUGAAAUUUUAGUGACUCUAAGUAAAAGUGAAUAAGGCCCAACGAAACUCAUAGAAACUACUCCCACAAGUGCCUAGAGGCCAUAACACACAUCAAAACUACUUGGGACCAUCUAAAAUUAGCAUGCAAAUCUCAAGAAUAGGGUCACCAAGGUAGCAAAUAUACGCGAAGUAUAAGGCACUAGAGAAAAAACUAAUUGGACAAAUUGAGGAGUCACUUACCAAGGAGCAAUUUCCCCAAAACAGCUUGGUGAAUGGUGCUUUGCACAAGGAGAUCGAAAAUACCAGCAAGAAGAGCAAGAACAUGGGUUUGAGAUGCGAAAGGAGUUUUUCUGGAGGUAGGAGAAGCAGAUGGGAGCUAGAAUGAGUGGAGGGGGUGCACGGGGGACCCACAAGCCUGGUAGGCGCGGCCACGGUGGUGCCCGCGCCUCCAGGCCUUGUGGCCCACUGGUGCAGCCCCCUGACUAGCUCUUCGUCUUAGUAUUUUUCAAAAAUUCCAGAAAAAAUCAUACUUGAUUUUCAGGACGUUCGGAGAACUUCUAUUUUCGGGGUACUUUUCUACGGGACGAUAAAAGCAGAAAACAGGGAAAACUAAACUAAAUCUAUCAUUUUUCUUCUAAGCAACCGAAGGUGAAAUCUUGGGACACAGGUUUGUGACUCCUCGAUUCAUCCAUCUCAUGGUCAUCGAAAGAAAUCCGUCAAUGAGGUUUAUCAAGUCUCCUUGACAAACUUUUUCGAAUCGCAAAAAGAAAUAGAGAAUUUUGAAUAGCCACUAGGUUACCUCAAUGGGGAUGUGAAUAUCCCCAACAAGCAAAUCAUACUUCAUCUUGACAGGAGGUUUAGGGCAUUCGAAGCUGUCAAUAAGAAUCGAUGAAGUCUUUUCGAUAGCAUUGAUGCAAUGUACUCGAUAUUGUUUGUUCGAAAAGUUCACCGUAUUUUCAUUACCGUUGACAUGGAAAGUGACAUUGCCUUUGUUGCAAUCUAUAACAGCCCCUGCGGUGUUUAAAAAGGGUCUUCCAAGGAUGACCGCCAAGGCAUCAUCCUCGGGAAUAUUCAGAAUAACAAAUUGUGUCAAGAUAGUAACGUUCGCAACCACAACAUGCAUAUCCUCGUAAAUGCUGAUAGGAAAAGCAGUUGAUUUGUUGGCCAUUUGCAGAGAGAUUUUAGUGGGUGUCAACUUAUCCAGUUCAAGUCUACGAUAAAGAGAGAGAGGCAUAACACUAACACCGGCUCCAAGGUCGCAUAAAGCAGUUCUAAUGUAGUUUCCUUUAAUGGGGCAAGGUAUAGUGGGCACACCGGGAUCACCUAGUUUCUUAGGAGUUCCACCCUUGAAGGUAUAAUUAGCAAGCAUGGUGGAAAUUUCAACCUCAGGUAUCCUCCUCUUAUUAGUCACAAUAUCCUUCAUGUACUUAGCAUACGGAGACAUUUUGAGCAUAUCUGUCAAAUGCAUUUGCAAAAAGACAGGUCUAAUCAUUUCAACAAAGCGCUCAAAAUCCUCAUCAUCCUUUUUCUUGGAUGGUUUGGGAGGAAAGGGCAUGGGUUUCUGAACCCAUGGUUCCCUUUCUUUACCAUGCUUCCUAGCAGCGAAGUCUUUCUUAUCAUAUCUCUUAUUCUUAGGUUGUGGGUUAUCGAGAUCAACAGGUUCAAUAUCCACAUCCUUAUCAUUGCUAGGUUGAGCAUCAUCAUGAACAUCACUAUUGGUAUUAUCAUUAGGCUCAUGUUCAUCACGAGAUUGUGUUUCGGCAUCACAGAUAGAGACAUCGUUUAGACUCUUAGGUGUAGCAGCAACAGGGUUGCUAGCAUGCAAAUUCCUAUCAUCUUUCUUCUUCUUCCUAGGAUGACUAGGUGCAUUAGUGCUAACUCCUUGAUAAUCUUGUUCAAUUCUCUUAGGAUGACCCUCAGGAUACAAAGGUUCCCGAGUCAUUCUACCGCCUCUAGUGACGACUCUGACAGAAUUGUCAUUCAACUCAUUUAGCAAGUCAUUCUGAGCCUUAAGUACUUGUUCUACCUGAGUAGUAACCAUAGAGGCAUGUUUACUCAAGAGCUUAAGAUCAUUGACGUUUCUGUCCACACAAGCACUUAAAUGACUAAGCAUACGAGCAUUCUGUUCCAAUUGUCUGCUAACAUAAUCAUUAAAACUUUUUUGUUUGGCAACAUUGUUAUCAAAUUCAUCCAGGCAUAAGCUAGCAGGUUUAUCAAAAGGAAUAUGACUCUCAUUUAAUCUACGUAGGGAACUUACUUCUACUACCUGUAUCGGGUUAUCGAGACCAUGGAUCCCUUCGAUAGGUGGUAGAUUUUUGACAUCUUCAGAUUUAAUGCCUUUCUCUUUCAUAGAUAAAUUAGCUUCUUGCAUAUCUUCAGGACUAAGGAAUAGAAUACCUCUUUUCUUCGGAGUUGGCUUUGGAGGUGGUUUAGGAAUAGUCCAAGCAUUCUCUUCUUGCAUAUCUUCAGGACUGAGGAAUAGAAUACCUCUUUUCUUCGGAGUUGGCUUUGGAUGUGGUUCAGGAAUAGUCCAAGCAUUCUCAUUGCACAAGAUAUUAUUCAGUAGGAUAGCAGCUUGUUCUACAGUUCGUUCCCUAAAAACACAACCGACACAACUAUCUAGGUGGUCGCUAGAAGCGUCGGUAAGUCCAUUAUAGAAGAUAUCAAGUAUUUCAUUCUUCUCAAGAGGGUGAUCAGGAAAAGCAUUUAGUAGUUGGACAAGCCUCCCCCAAGCUUGUGGGAGACUCUCUUCUUCAACUUGCACAAUGUUGUAUAUUUCCUGCAAGGCAGCUUGCUUCUUAUGGGUAGGGAAAUAUUUCUCAGAGAAGUAGUAGAUCAUAUCCCGGGGGCUACGCACACAAUGAGGAGCAAGAGAAGUAAACCAAGUCUUAGUAUCAUCCUUUAGUGAGAAAGGAAACAUCUUAAGGAUAUAGUAGUGGCGGAUCUUUUCCUCACUAGUGAAUAGGGUGGCUAUAUCGUGCAGUUUGGUAAGAUGGGCUACAACCGUUUCAGACUCAUAACCGUGAAAAGGAUCAGAUUCGACCAGAGUUAUUAACUCAGGGUCGACAGAGAAUUCAUAAUCCUUAUCGGUCACAAAGAUAUGCGAAGUAGCAAACUUUGGGUCGUAUUUCAUCCUAGCGUUCAGAGAUUUUUCUUUCCACUUGCGUAGUAAAUUCUCAACAUCGUAGCUAUCCUUACACGCAAGAAAAUCCUCAGCUAUCUCUCCCUCCAUAACAUAACACUCAGGCAUAUCAGGCAAUUCAUAUCUAGGAGAGCUAGUUCUAACAGGCAAAAUAGCACGUUCUACUUGAAUAGUAUCAGCAGUUUCAGAAGUAUCAUCACAUCUAGCAGCAACACUAGCAAUUUGUGCAUCAAGGAAUGCACCAAGUGGCAAUGCAGUAUCAAGUAUAGCAUCAUCAUAAGCAUCAUGGGCAGCAGAAGUAGCAUCAUCAAGCACAGGCGACAUAUCAAGAUUUCUAUCAGGAGGUGGUGUCGCAAACUUACUCAUAACUGAAGGUGAAUCAAGUGCAUAGCUAGAUGGCAGUUCCUUACCUGCCCUCGUAGUUGAGGGCAAGACUUUAGUUCUUGGAUCUUUCGGAUUCCUCAUAGUGACUAGCAGACAUAAAUCCCAAGUGACUCAGAGUAGCUAGCUUCCCCAGCAACGGCGCCAUAAAAUAGCACGUUGACGGGAGAAUAUUCUUGACUUGGCUUCCCCGCCAACGGCGCCAGAAAAUAGUCUUAAUAACCCACAAGUAUAGGGGAUCGCAACAGUUUUCGAGGGUAGAGUAUUCAACCCAAAUUUAUUGAUUCGACUCAAGGGGAAGCCAAAGAAUAUUCUCAAGUAUUAGCGGUUGAGUUGUCAAUUCAACCACACCUGAAAGAUUUAGUAUCUGCAGCAAAGUAUCAGUAGCAAGUUAGUAUGAUAGCAUCAGUAGCAACAUUAACCAGUAGCAGCAAAGUGACGGCAAUAGCAAAAAAGUAACAGCAGCAACAGUAACAGCAGUACCGGCAAAGUAACGUAACAAGGACCAGUAGCAAAGACUCGUAGGCAUUCGAUCGGUGAUGCAUGAUUAUGUCGGAUGUUAUUCAUCAUGCAAAAGUUAUAACACGUAGAGAUAUGUAACUAGCUCCAGUUCGUCAAUGUAAUGUAGGCAUGUAUUCCGUAUGUAGUCGUACGUGCUUAGGGAAAAGAACUUGCAUGACAUCUAUUGUCCAUCCAUCCCGUGGCAGUGGGGUCCUAAUGGAAACUACGGGAUAUUAAGGUUCUCCUUUCAAUAAAGAACCGAACCAACGCAUUAACACUUAGUGAAUACAUGAACUCCUCAUACUAUGGUCACCUCCGGGAGUGGUUCCGGCUAUUNNNNNNNNNNNNNNNNNNNNNNNNNNNNNNNNNNNNNNNNNNNNNNNNNNNNNNNNNNNNNNNNNNNNNNNNNNNNNNNNNNNNNNNNNNNNNNNNNNNNNNNNNNNNNNNNNNNNNNNNNNNNNNNNNNNNNNNNNNNNNNNNNNNNNNNNNNNNNNNNNNNNNNNNNNNNNNNNNNNNNNNNNNNNNNNNNNNNNNNNNNNNNNNNNNNNNNNNNNNNNNNNNNNNNNNNNNNNNNNNNNNNNNNNNNNNNNNNNNNNNNNNNNNNNNNNNNNNNNNNNNNNNNNNNNNNNNNNNNNNNNNNNNNNNNNNNNNNNNNNNNNNNNNNNNNNNNNNNNNNNNNNNNNNNNNNNNNNNNNNNNNNNNNNNNNNNNNNNNNGCAAAGUAGUAGCAACAUAAUUCUCAGAACAUAGUGGAUACUAGGGAUCAAUCCCCGUCAAAACUAAAUCGAUUACAUGAUAGAUCUCAUCCAACCCAUCACCGUCCAGCAAGCCUACGAUAAGAUUACUCACGAACGGUGAAGAGAAUGAUGGAAUUGGCGAUGAAGGAAGGUUGGUGAUGACGAUGGCGACGAUUUCCCCUCUCCGGAGCCCAGAACAGACUCCAGAUCUGCCCUCUAGAGGAACAACAGGAGGUGGCGGCGCCUCCGUAUCGUAAAACACGAUGAACUCUUCUCCUUGAUUUUUUCCGGACGAAAGAGGCUAAAUAGAGCUGAGAUUGGAGGCGGUGGAGCUUUGUGGGCCCCACAAGCCUGGCAGGCGCGGCCAGGGGGGGCGCCUGGUGGGCUUGUGGGCUCCACGCUCCACUUCCUUCGUUAAUUCUUGCGUCAGUAUUUUUUAUAUAUUCCACAAAAAUUCUCCGUAAAUUUCCAGGUCAUUCCGAGAACUUUUAUUUCUGCACAAAAACAACACCAUGGCAAUUCUGCUGAAAACAUCGUUAGUCUGGGUAGUUCCAUUCAAAUCAUGCAAAUUAGAGUCCAAAACAAGGGCAAAAGAGUUUGGAAAAGUAGAUACGACGGAGACGUAUCAGACACUUAUGCACUCAAUAUCAAGAUGGCAACACUUGAGACUAUGCAAUAUGCCUAGCCAGGGGCGUAAAACUAUAGCGUUUGCUCAGAGGCAACCCAAUAGUUAUCUUUUUUUUUUGCUUUCUACUUCCUGUUUUUUGUGAUGAAAUAAUUGUUGCUUCUAUAAUGAUUUUUUUAUGUUUAAUUAGUGUUUGUGCCAAGUAAAGCCUUUGGGAUGAUUUGCAUGAUGAGUAGAAUUGAUACGGUGCAAAAACAGAAACUUUGACGCCUAGUACAGAAUUUCUCUGAUUUUACUGGAAUUUCUUUUUAAGAUGAAAUUUUUCCAUGGUCUUUCAAUACGAAUACCUCAGGUCUUCAUAAUGUUUUAGAAUUUUUGGUGUUAAAGAAGUACGACAAUUAAAUAUAUUACUAUAGAUAGUUAUGUUUUAAAUAGAUUCUAUUUUUGCAUGCAUAGUUUGCUUGUUUUGAUUGUGCUAUGGAUUAUACCGGGGGUAUAAGCCAUGGAGAAGUUAGAUACAAUACCCUAUGUUAAACUACUUUAAUAAUAAAUAUGUAACGGCACCUGAAAGUAUUCUAUGUGUUGCUUAUACUCACGGAUCUUACGAAGUUUUAUUGAGUUUUGUGUGGUUGAAGUUUUCAAGUUUUGGCUAUUGUCUAAAUGGACAAAGGAAUGAGAAGUGGCAAUGGCCUAAGCUUGGGGAUUCCCAAGGAACCCAAGGUGAUAUUCUAGGAAGACUCAAGCAUCUAAGCUUGGGGAUGCCUCGGGAAGGAAUCCCCUCUUUCGUCUCAAUCCAUCGGUAUGUUACUUGGAGCUACAUUUUUAUUCGUCACAUGAUAUGAGUUUUGCUUGGAGCAUCAGUUGCUUUUGUUUACUUUUACAUUAGGUUUUCCACAAUCAUUGGUUGAUGUACACACCUAUUUGAGAGAGAUACACCAUCAUCAUAAGUUGUUAUAAGUAUAUAUGUGCUUCACUUAUAUAUUUUGAGCUUAGCAAUUGUUCUAGUACUUCACUUAUAUUUUUUUGAGCAUGGUGGCAUGUAGAUUUUAUAGAAAUAAUAUGAUCUCAUUCCUCACUUAUAUUUGUUUUAGAGUUAAUAAAAAACAAUGGUAAUUUGCAUGGGUCAUAAGGCUAGAUCAAAAAUAAUGAGUGUUCAAGGAGUGAUAAUUAAAACCAUCAUGUAGCACAUAUAGAUAAAUUGUGGUUAAUGAUAUUGAUGUUGUGAUAUGAAAGGGUAUGAGUGCAUAAUCAUUAAUUCAGAGAGGUGUCGAUAUUAAGAGAUGUCAAAACUUCUUGAACAUCUAAAAAAUUAAAAGGGCAUGGUGAUGACGUGUGAGCAUUUCUAUUCCUCGUUGAAAACCUAGUGUUGUUUCGAGUCGGAGUCACGUGAUGGUUAAUUCCUACCAACCCUCUCCCUCAGGGCAUGCGAGUAGUACUUUGAUUUGUGAUAAAACUAAUAAAACUUUGCAAUAAGUAUAUGAGUUUUUUAUGACUAAUGUGACACCAUGGCCAUACGCAAUCUCACCUCCUCAUAUUUGCUAGCCUCUCCAGUACCGCGCAUAGCCCAUUCUCACCCCGAGGAUUGGUGCAACUUUCACUGGUGCAUCCAAACCCCGUGACAUGAUAUGCUCUAUUGCACAUAAGCCUUAUUAUAUCCUCCUCAAAACAACCACCAUACAUACCUAUUAUGGCAUUUCCAUAGCCAUUCCGAGAUAUAUUGCCAUGCAAAUUCCGUCAUCACUUCACAUGACUAGUUUGUUCAUCAUCAUAUUGCUUCGCAUGAUCAUAUAGAGCUGGCAUACCAUUCAUAAUAGCAUUUGUGGAAAAGCCACUAAUUAUUAUAUGUUGAAUACGUGUCACACACUCACACUAGAUCAUUGCACACCCUGGUACACUACCAGAGGCAUUCAUAUUCGAGUCAUGUUGCUUCAUAGUUCAUCAUAUCGAGUUUUCCAUGAGUUGUAAGUAAAUAAAAGUGUGACGAUUAUCAUUAUUAGAGCGUUGUACGAGUGAGGAAAUAAAGAUGGGGGAGGCCAAAUGAGACCACCAUAUAAAAAAAUGAGAGAAAAAGAGAGAAGGGACUUUGCUACUAUCCUUUACCACACUUGUGCCUCAAAGUGGCACCAUGUUCAUCAUAUAGAGAUUCUAAUGUUAUAUCAUUCAUAUUCUAGUGGGAAUCAAAAAAAAUAUAAACUUGGCUUGAAUAUUCCGAUGACGGGCUUCCUCAAAGGCCCGAGGUCUUCAUGAACAAGCAAGUUGGAUGCACACCCCACCUAGCUUCAAUGGAGCUUUCUUACACUUAUAGCUCUAGUGUAUCAUUUGCAUGAUAAUCCCUACUUCUCGCAUUGAUAUCGACCGAUGUGCAUUUCCAUAGCCCGAUGGUACACCUAGUUGAUACGACACUAUGUUCUCCACUUUUCAACCCCUUUGAAACCUACCACCUUAUGCUAUUCCACCUAUAUGCUAUGUCCAAUAGUUCAAACUCAUGUAUUGUGUGAAGAAUAAAAAGUUGAUGCAUAUUGAAAAGAUACGAUCCAAUUGCCUGACUUGGGCACUGUGGUGCUUGAAAGUAGUAGUUGUGUGGCGAAGAUGGAGCCGUGCCUUGCUAAUAUAAUAAAGAUGGAUAGAGAUGAAACAAUCUUUGAGGAUUGUACACUUUGAAAAAUUAAUUGUUUUGCUCCUUAUACUUAUAAAUAUUGAUGUGUUAAUAAUUGUUAAUUCAUCGAUCUCAACGAGCAUACAUGCAUAAUAUUACAUCAUGGAUAGCAUGUCACAUCAAAAAUUCUGUUUUUAUCAUUUACCUACUUGAGGACGAGUAGGAAUGAAGCUUGGGGAUGCUUGAUACGUCUCCAACGCAUCUAUAAUUUUUGUUUUUUCCAUGCUAUUAUGUUAUCAUUUUAGAACACUUUUUAUGUACUUACCUUCCUAUGUCUAUUAUUUUUUAGCAAUAACCUAUUGAACCAGUGCCCAGUGCCACUUGCUGUUUUCUGCGUGUUUUUCUACUUUUCAGGUUUUCACUACCAAACAAAGUCCAAUUGACCUGAAACUUUUUGUGAUUUUUUUCUAGACCAAAAUAAGACCUUAGAGCAUUGGAAGGAGGCAGGAGGGUGCAUGAGGGCCCCACAAGCCAACAUGGUGCGCCCUUGGGGGCGCCUUGAUGGCUUGUGUCCCCCUUCGUGGCUCUCCCGACUCUGUUCUCUAGCCUGUAAAUUCCCAUCUACCCUAAAAAAGUUCAUGAAACACUUUUUACACUGCCCCAAGUCCCUGUUCCAACGGGAGGCCAUCUAGAGCUCCUUUAUGGCACUCGGCCGCACGGGGGGGUCGAUCACGGAGGGCCUCUUCAUCAACCUUACUGCCCUGAUGAUGACAUGUGAGUUGUUCACCACAAACCUAUGGGUCCAUAUAGAGUACCUAGAUGGCAAUUUCUCUCUCUAUCUAUCUAUCUAUCUAUCUCUCUCUCCCUAUCUCUCUCUCUAUUUUUGAUCUUCAAUACAAUGAUCAUUGCAUCUUAACUUUGAUCCAUAUGGUGCAAUUCUUUUGUACGGUGUGUUUAUUGGGAUCCGAUGAAGUGUGGGUUUAUGUUCAGAUUAUUCAUGAUAAAUAUUUGUGUCUCCUGUGAAUACUUAUAUGAUUCUUAUGUGCAUGAUUACGACAGCUUCCUAAUUCUCUGUGAUCUAUUGAAAUAAUUUGGCGAACUAGAUCGAUAUUUCUUCGGUGAGAGAGGUGCAUUGUAGUAGGUUCAAUGUGGCGAGUUUCUAUAUCCCAGUGAUAGAAGGGGACAAGUUUUGUCUUUGUGUUGCUUCUACUAAGGGUAAAAAGAUGGGGGUUAUUAAUAUUGGUUGAGUUUGUCUACAUCAUGUCAUCUUACUCCAAGCAUUACUUUGUUUGUCAUGAACUUUAUACGUUGAGAGGCAAGCAUAGAAGCGCUCUUGAAGCGAAGUAAUAGUAAUAGGUGCAUGCAGGAGUCGGCCUGUUUGUUUAUGGACGUGAUGCCUAUAUUUACAUGAUCAUUGCUAUGAAAAUCGCAUAACUAACCACUUUUCUAUCAAUUGCUGAACAGUAAUUUGUUUACCCACCUUAUGCUAUUUUUUCAUAGAAAUGGUAUUAGGGGAAACUAUGGCCCCCGUGUCUAUUCACAACAUAUUGCUAAAACCUCCAAUACCUUUAUGCCAUUUAUUUGCUUUUAUUUUAUUUGGCAUUUUAUAAUUAUCUACAAUUAUAUACAAACCACAUUCGCUUGCUAAUAACGAGACCAAGGGGAUUGACAACCCUCUUGCCUGCGUUGGGUGCAAGCUGUUUGUUCUUUUCUAUGCAGCCCUUGAAGACGGUUGUGGUUGAUAUUCCUAUUGGUUCGAUAAACUUGGUUUCAUAACUGAGGGAAAUACUUACCCACAUUGUGUUGCGAUAACUCGUUCCUCUUCACGGAAAACCCAACGUAGAUCACAAGUGUCAGAGUACGAACGGUAAUUUGUGCUAUCAUUUUGUGAAUCACGUGCUUAUUACGAAGAAUUGUCUAUGUUAGUAUUUGUCCGUGUUAUUUUCAAUCUUUUCACACGGUUUCAUUUACUGACAUGUUUUCUGGGCAUCACACACAUAUUGUUACGCUGAAUUGUUUAUAUUAUUUUGGCUCAUUGCAUAGAGUUCAUCCAAGCGGUAUGCCAUGUGUCGCACACAUCUUGAUCUGUGCAACCGUUUGUGUUAUUUUGGCUCAUCACAAAUAGUUCACCCGAGUGACCUGUAUUCAACAUAGAUGUUGUGAAGACAGAACAAAUCACAGUACACACAGUCUAAACUACGAAAACAUUGGUGAUGAUUUCUUCAAUCGUUGACAAUUGUAUACCGGCAAGUGUUCCCCCACAACACACGCGAGUUAUUAGCACCAAACGUAUGUGUUAUUUCUGGUGUUCGCACGUGAUUCUGUUUACUCAUCGUUUGUUGUAUAUCAUACGAAUCUUGUUAUGCCAAAUCUUUUGUGUUGUACUAUAUCAUCGCACACAGUUUACGGUAGUGAACUAUGUGCCCUCUAUUGCACACAUCUCGAUCUCAGUAAAUGUUUGUGUUAUUUUAGCUAAUCGCAAAAACUUGUUUGUCACAAUUGUAUGUCGCGUAUUGCGUAUGCAACUUUUUUCUCAAUUGUGUUUGAUGUUUCCGCCAUCGCAGACAUUUUUCGUUAUUGGCGACGGAGCUAUAACUAUACCGUUUACGAUUCAUGCAUCACACACAAUUUUGUCGAAGGUUGUCUGAUUGAUGUGUCGUCUUUGUACCAUCCUGCAGUACUGCUUCAUUCACCAUAAAGUGGCACUUCUCCCAAUUCAAGACAAGAUUAGUUUCUUCACAUAUCUUCAAAACUCAAUCAAGGUUGCUCAAGCAAUCGUGAAAAGAAGUCCCGUAAACGGAAAAAUCAUCCAUGAAAACUAGAACAAUCUUUUCAUAAAAGUCAAAGAAUAUACAGGUCAUGCAUCUUUGUAAGGUAGCAGGUGUAUUGCAUAAACCAAAAGGCAUAUGUCUAUAAGCAUAGGUUCCAAAAGGGCAUGUGAAAGUAGUUUUCUCUUGGUCCUCUUUUGAAAAAGGUAUUUGAUAGAAACCAUAAUAUCCAUAAAGAAAACAAAAGUGUGUGUACUUAGAUAAUAUUUUUAACAUUUGAUCAAUAAAAGGAAAGGGGUAAUGAUCUUUCCUAGUAGAUUUGUUCAAUCUCCUGAAAUCAGUUACCAUCCUAUAAAUAGUUACUAUUCUUUGUGGAAUAAUUCACUUUUAUCAUUAGGAACAACAGUUAUACCUUCUUUCUUAGGAACACAAUGAACAAGACUUACCCACCUAGUAUCAGCAAUAGGAUAAAUUAUACAUGCCUCCACAAGCUUUAGUAUUUCAAUUCCUACCACUUCCUUCAUCUUAGGAUUUAAGAGGCAUUGAUGAUCAAUGACACGUUUAGCAUCCGGUUCCAUAUUAAUCUUGUGCUCACAUAGAGUAGUGAUUAUGGCCUUAAGAUCAUCAAGAAUAUAUCCAAUAGAAUCCCUGUACUUCUUUAGAGUUUUGAGUAACCUCUUUUCUUUAUGAUCUAAAAGGUUAGCACUAAUAAUAAUAGGAUAUAUCUUGUUUGCAUGAAGAUAAGCAUAUUUCAAAGUAUCAGGUAAUGUCUUUAACUCAAAAACGAGAUCUUCUUUUAGUGGACAAUCCCCUAAGAUACAAACAUGCAAGUUGUGUGUGAGGAUAGGAGCUUGUCUAAAGAAUAUAUCAUCUCUCUCUUUUUUUCAUUCAUAUGCAUAUCAUUCUCAUGGUCUGGCAAAUAUCAUUCUAAAGGAUAUGUAGGAGGCACAACAAUAGAAGCAAGACCAAUAAUUUCAUCUGUACUAUAUAACUCCUUCUCACAUGGUUGUCUACCAAAUUUAGAGAAAUUAAAUUCAUGAGACUCGUUACCAAAGCUAACUUUAACUUUCUCUUUGACAUGAUUAAUUUCAGGUGCCAAAGGCUUCAUGAGCAUCUACAUCAUAUGAUUUGGCACUUCACGUUCAUCAUAGAUCUUGUCCCUUUGAAAGUGCGUUAUAUCGAGUAGAGGAGGGGGUGAAUAGGAGAUUUUAAGAAUUUCAUCACUGAGAAAAUUCCUUUUGAGGAAAUUCCACACUCAUGACUAACUUGCAGCGGAAACAGCAAAGGAUCAAGAGUGCAAAGUAUCACUACAGCAGUUUUUCAGGAUGAAGAAUAUGAAAAACAGUUUGCACAGUAUGCAGGCACGGAGAAAACAGAUGAGGAUUAACUCGCGUGAAGAAUUUGGGGUUGAGGAAUUUCAGAGAAAGUCUUUAGCAAAUUCUUCAAACAGUGACAGUUAAAAUCAUCAACACACAAUUUGAGGAAUAUAAAGAGUUGAGGAAAUAGAACCCGUUUCACAGUGAAGACAGUGGUUGAUGACCCAGUUCCAACUGUUGUGACAGUUGUACAUCUCGUUUGGAGCGGCUUGGUAUUGAAACCAAUGGACACACAGUCCCGGGACACACAGUCCCUACUGUAUUCUCCUUGGGCUAAGAACACACAGUCCUCGCCCAACACUCGUGGUAAGUCUUCAGGGCUGACUUCCAAACCCUCACAAACAUGGUCACCUGGCGAUCCACAAUUGACUGCUGGAUUGCUCUAGACCAUGACGCCUAACCGUAUGGAGGAUGCAUAGUCCUCAAAGGUAAAAGGCUUCAGUCCCACACAUGAACAACUUCUUCAGUGAUGCUCAAUCACUUGGUUUUGGUUUGUGGUUUGGUGUUUGGGGUAUUUCCUCACUGAUGAAUUACUCUCGAAGACUCUGAGGAAUUUGGGUUGCUCUUAUGACAAGUGUCAGUUUCUAACAGAGCAGCCAACCGGCUAAUGGUUGUGGGGCGGCUAUUUAUAGCCUGGGAGCAUCCCUACAUGAUUUGACAUUAAUGCCCUUAAAUAAUAUGACCGUUGGUGUGGAUAAGACCAAUGAUGUGGCGCGACUUGCGGUAACGGUCGGGACCCUCAACUAUGAGAGUCCUCAUGUCUCUCAUAUUCCUCACUUGAGGCUUUUGGUAGGAUUAGGCUUGGGUUGAGCAUCAUGAGGAAAUUCAUUCCGACGUGUUACUUUGACCCCCUUUAACAGUACGGUGUUCCUAUGACUCAAAAGUGAAGAAAAUAAAAUAGAUAGAAUAAAUCAUCAUGCUUCAUAAUCUUCAGCUUGUUUUUCUUCAGGACACAUUGCUUGUUUUUCUUCAUAAUCUUCAGCUUGUUUUUAGGGGUCGAUAUUCAUCGAAUAUUUCAAACCCCUCAGUGACUUAUAGAUCAUGUGUACACUUAUAAACACAUUAGAUACUUAACCUAUAAGUAUUCAAACCACCAAAAUCACUAAGGGGCACUAGAUGCACUUACAAUCUCCCCCUUUUUGGUGGUUGAUGACAAUUAGGUUAAGUCUUCAACAAGGAUAAAAAUAUGAAGUGUAAAUACUCAUUUGAGGAAUUCGAAAUCAAGAUUCAGAGAGACUCCCCCUGAAGAUGUGCAUAUCUUGAGGAUUUUGCUUUUCACAGCAAAUGCACAUUGAUGAUUUAUAUCAUGGAGAUCUCUCCGUGAGUCUUGUAAAUCAUGCAUACAUACGACAUAUAGUAUGAAGAAAUUGAGAUGCAUGAUGACAAAUGGUAUCUGACGAAUUCCAGCAUGCGUGCAUUAAAAUUUUGAGGAAUAAGCAUGCGAAGAAAAACGUUCAAAAGCGUCAGAGUACGUACCAUCGGGCUUAAGUGACAACUCAUUACAUAAAACACUUCAGAAGAGCCAAGAGUUUGUAACUUAAAUAAAGUUUAUAAGCCCCCAAAAUAUAUCCCACGUGAAGACUAACUCUUAGAUUUCUCCCCUUUGUCAUCAAGUGACAAAAGGGACAAACUGAGGACUAACGCCCGUGAAGACUUUCACUUCUUGGAAGUUGUGGAAGACGCGUGAGGAUUCUUGGGAGCCGAUUUCCUCCUUGGACCAGUGGUAGUAUCUUGUUGGUCUUCAUCUGAUUCAGCAGUGCGGAAUGAAGAAAACGAACUGUCCUCAAGGUCUGGAACUGGAAUUGGCCUGAAUUUCUUCUUUGGUGGCCACGACCAGUCGAAGUCUUGUGCAAGCUCCAAUUCUUCAAGUUCUGCUGGAGUCUUCAAAUGAUCCAGUGUGGCCCAGGUGCGAUCAAAAACCUCAUGAAGAUAAUGAUGGUUAAGCUUCACAACAUUUUGCGUUUCGUUGAGGGUUUUCACAAUGGCGCCGAACUGGCGUUUGACGCACUUGUGAUUCCGACCAACCUUUUGGUGAAGAGUUAGAAGAAGCUCUCUGGUAUUCAUCACCCUUCGAGCAACAGGACUUGGAGGAUGGGUUUCAGUGUCAUCCCAUGAGGAAUAUGCAUCUGGCUCUCGGAACUGGCCAUCAAGGGGCCGACUGCCUUCAUCAAUAACAUACUUGCCUUUUCCUUCAACAGGCUCGAAAGUCUUCUUGUUGACCCUCAGGGGAGGCAUAUAACCUUGAUGAUUGUUGAAAUCAGCGUGAUAGUUGAUGCCUAACCUGCGUCUGAUGAAUCUCAUGAUCCAUGGAGCGUAAAUCUUCAGGUCAAAAGGGGACAUAGCAUUUUCCGCCAGAGUCCUCAAGAAGAAAUCAUGGAUGUUGAUGGGAAUGCCAUGGAUGAUGUUGAAGAGGAUAUUCUUCAUAAUGCCUACGACGUCUUAUUCAUCAUCAUGACCCUUGAUAGGUGCAAGAACACUGCAGAGGAUUCUGUAAACCGUCCUGGGUUCAUAUAUUACCUCAUGGACCAGGAAGGUUGUUCUUGGUGGUUGCCCCUUAGCCAAAGGCUUCAUGAGGACUUCCAUCAGCUUGUUUGGCAGCUCUCGUUCAUCACACAACUUUACUGCCUUCUCUAACGGAAUUGACACAGGAAGUUCUCGCAGAAGCUCAUUGGCAGGAGCCUUGAAGUGUGUGUGAUGCGUCAUCCAGUCCAGCACCCAAGUGUUGAUGUAUGUUGGAUCUCCAGAGAUGUGCAGAGUUGCAUAGAAUUGAAGAACAACGUCACUGUUCCAAUCGCAAAUAUUAGAGCACAUGGGGAGCAGUCCUGCUUCAUGAAGAACGUUGAGGACUGGAGCAAAGCACGGAAUUUCUUCAAGCUCAACAUGAGGAAUGUGCCUGUGCUGGAAAAUCAUGUUUCUUCCACACAGUAUAGAUGCAUAGUAGUUGAGUUGUGUCCUGGUGCAAAACUUCAGAUGCCUGAUGUGAGGCUUGUCAUAGGGAUUUUCUUCGAUGAAGUACAUGCGUUCUUCAAAGAAGGGUUCGUUUUGAAACUUUGGCCACUUGGAGAACGGCUGACGCUGCAUGAGCUGAAGGUUUUGCUUCUUCCCUUGAGGAGAGACAAUCAUCGCAGUUUCUAGAUUGAUGACGGCAAGCGCAUUCUCUCGAUUUGGUGCAUUUUCCUCAGCAUGUUCCUCAGGAUGAGGAAUUUCAUCUGCUUGUGCUUUGGGCUGAGGAGCUUGCUCUGGUUGAGGAAUGUCAUCAACGGGAGCCUCUGGUUGAGGAUUUUGCUCAGGAGGAGGAAUUAGUUCAUCCUGAGCCUCAGGUUGAGGAUUUUGCUCAGGAGGAGAAAUUGCUUCAUCCUGAGCCUCAGGUUGAGGAUUUUGCUCAGGAUUUUUGUAGUGCGCCAAGUGUAAAGCUUUCCCUAUUUGUAACCUUCUAUGUGGGACCACCUUGACAUUGUCAUGAGAGCUAUCUAUGCAUGUAUGAAUUCAUGUGCCAUACCUUGUAUUCCUCUUUUGCAUACAUGCAUCCAUGCCAUACCAUCCUUGCCAUACCUUGUGUUCACUUGUGAAGUGGUGUUUGGAUACAUUGUGUUUUAUGUGGUGUGAUCCCAUGUGAUGUUGGAGUAGAGAGUAGAGGGGUGGUAGUUAAUUGCUUGAAAACACCUUUGUCAUUUCAAACCCUUUUUCUUUCCCUUUAAAUCUCAUGUCCAAAUUCCAUCCUCUCCAAAGCUGGUUUUAAAAUGUCUUGUGUUUAGAAAAAAAUAGUGGGAUAAGGAUGUGAUAGUUUGGAGUUUUAUUGUUUGACUUGAGGGUGAAAAUAAAUAACAAAACAAAUUAUUUAAAUGCUAUUUUGGUAUUUCUUAAAGUAGCCCCAUAAAUAAUUUUAGUAUUUUGUUAAAAUACUAUGUUCAUUUUCAGGUCGAGGGCUAUUUUUGUAUUGAUUUUAUCUUCUUUAGUUUGCCCUGUACCUAUUUUUCUUUCUGUGGUUUAUUUUUUAAUAGGAAAGAACCAGGGGCAUCUCUUUGUUAUCUGGCGCACUAAGUGGGCUCCCUCCCACUUAGCGGCCCAUCUUCUCUUUCUAUCGCAGCCCAGUAUCGCUACCCGUGUAGACGGCGUGCUCGUCCCCCUUCCUCCGUCAGACUGUCUUCAGACUUGCGGGAUUUAGAGCAACGGCGACCUGACGGCGUCACGGACGUCGAGGAGCGUUCCUCGCCCCUCUCCUCCAUAAAAGGGACCACCCUUGGCGUCCGUGCAGAUAGGGUUUCCCUCUCUCGCACUUCCACCUCCAUUCCCUCUCCAUCUCUCUCUUUGACGAAGCGCAUCAGGUAAGGAAGGGCUCCUCCGCCAUGGCCGUGGGUUGAGGUGCUCCUUGCUGCCGCGUCCGAGCCUAUUCUUCGCCUCCGACGACUCGGCGAGCACGCGGGGACAUCCAUGGUUCCAUCCCUACGGCUAGGUCGACGCGAGCGCCCCUGCAUCCUCUUCUCCACGACGGCGACACCCCUCCCCGACGAGCAGACCAGAUCGGCGACCACCUCUUCUUCCCCUGCUUCCUCUCCGUCACGGCCGAGUUCUCCUUCCGUUGGGUGAGCAGAUUCAUCUCUUACCCCUUCCCUGUAGUAGUUCUUUGAGUAGGAGCAAAAGGUCGUCGACGUGCUGCUUCCCUGUCGCCGACGCUGCCGCGCACCGUAGCUAGGCCGCUGUAGUUUUUCCCGGGAGAAGUUAGCAUAGGAAAUGGGUUCGUGGGAGCGUAGGCGUCCUCCCUUCCAUGAGCCGUUGCUCGCUUUGAUCUGUGCUGCCGGCGGGAUAGCUCCCCUGUUCCGGCCGCCGCGGCUCUCCUGUGUAUCUCAAAGGGGGAAUGUUCAAAAGGGAUAGUGCCCCUUCUCUGUUAGUAUUCUUGCCCGUAGCGUAGUGGUACCGCUUGUUGUAUGCAUGUUGGAAGGCGCGGGUUCGAUCCCCCCCUUCGGCACUCUUUUGUUUUCUGAUUUAAGUGCACAGUAGGCCACCAGGGACAGGUUUUCCCGUUUGAGCAUCUCUCUCUGUCGAGCAGUAGGCUGCUAGCAGAGUGGUGUUGGGCCUGUGUGUUGACACGGGGGGUGUGGGAUCGAAUCCCUCCCCUGCCCUUUUAUUUUUUUGUUUCUAUGCAUAUCUGUUUUGCUUUGUUUUUCUUGCAAAGUUGCUGCAAAUGCUUGGUCUCAUGUGGGUGUUUUAAUUCAUUCACUUCAGCUUGUUGUUCCUAAUGGUUGGUGCUAGCAAGAGUAGAGGCAUGAGUAGAUUUAACUUGGUAGAAGUCUAAGUGUAGGUUGCUUGCAUAUGUGUGUCUGUGAUCUUGCUAGUAUGUGUAGAUGUUGUGGUUGCAACUAGUGUGUGCAUAUGUGGAGUAGUGAGAUAAGUAUUUGUGCAUGUAUUGUGUGGUGUGUGUAAGUGAGUACCACACACACAUGAGUUUGACUCAUGUGGUACCUAGUAGGAGUGUGGUGAGAUGAUGCUUCCAUGAUUUAUCUUGUUUAGUAGAUCCCCUUCAUAUUGUUCUUGGGAGUAAGUGCUUGCCAUGAGGUAGUGGUGGUGAUAUGUGUGUGGUGAGGCAGCCCCACUUUGCAACACUUGUGCUCCUCCUCAUGUUCAUAUGAAAGAGGGCAUAAUGUGUGUGUGAUCUAAGUGGUAGUAGUGUUUGUGAUGUUGUUGUGCAUGACACAAGCAUGGGGUCCAAACCCUCAUGUCCAUAUUGUCUUUGUGCACAUGAGCAUAGUUAGGUGGUAGUUGUUCUAGUGAAAGUUGCAUGAAAUGUUGCACUGUUCACCAUGUAGGAAUCUAUGUAGUUUUCCCUUCCUAGUUUGAGGCCACUUGCUCCAAACAAGUGCGUACAUAUUUUAUAUGAUUUUGUGGUAGAAUCUCCCAAGGAAUCCAUUGGUGAACUCAUAUUUUUCCAUUGGAACAUUUUCUGGAGAUGACAUAUUUUCAUUUUCUUCUAUGUUUGGAACAUGGUUCCAUGAGUUGUGGUGAGCCUUUGUGUUUGUUUCUUGGUUGUGCUAGUAGAGGGUGACCCCCUCUACCUCUUGUUGGUUUCAUCUCAUGAUUAGGAUUCCAUAUGUGCAAGUUAUGCCCACUCAAAGUAGGCAUGUGACUGAAAUUCCAGAUUAGUGAAAAUCUGAGAUUUGAUUUUCACUAAGUCUGAGAAUCUGUUUAUAAUUUCUUCUUCUGUAGAUGAGGUUGUGCUGGUCAUUAUGUUGUGAUAUAGCCUUAGCUUUCAACUAGAAACUUGGACCUGAUAUGUUUGUCUAUCUCCCUAUAAAAUUUAAUUUCAUUUGGAGGCCCGUAGCUAUUGUCUUGGCUGCUUUCAAAAUGCUCCAGAGCAUAGACGGAAAGUGAGAAUCUGGAAUUUUCACUAAGUCCCUGAAAACUGAUGUUUUUGGGCAAGUUUGCAGCCUUGUAACUUUCUAUGUUUAAUUCGUUUUUGUGUGAUUAUUGCUUGUGCUUGUAGUAUUCUUGGCUAGCUACAGCCACAUAUAUUGUUUGUCAUAGUUGGGUGGAUGUAGGUGCUUUGCAUGUAGCUCGCAAAGUGCUAUGAUGCAGUUAUGGCAGAUUGUGUAGUUUUGUCAUUUUGAUGUUUGUGAGUGCUUAGUUGAUGUUGUGGUGUUAUUAUUUGAUCCACCCCAUCCAUGAUGGUUUGUUUUAUGUCUUGGCAACCUGGAAAAACCAGAGUUGCGCCAUUUGAGUGUGUGGUGAUGAUUUUGUUACGUAGGGCUUCAUAUCUUGUUUCGUUGAUUCCCGUUGAUCCGUAGCUCCGUUUGUAAUGUUCUUUAUAUGGUUUUGCAUCGUUUUCACGAGAUGCAUCUGAUCAUGUCAUUAUCAUGCAUGUCAAAAUAGGGUAUCUUGCAGUUCUGUCCAGGAACAUGUUUUAACUCCUUUUGCUUGUGCUAGUGAUAGAAAUAGUGGUGCAUACUCAUAUCCAUCUCAUGCAUCAUGUGCUUGUUGCAUCUUGAGGUGAUGUUGUUCAUGGGAUGUUAUUCUUAUGUUGGGUAGCACCGGGAUCGGAGAACGAAUACGUGGAGUCAGGAGAGUACGUGCAGGACGAUCAAGAACAUUCCAAGCUGAGGAUAUCACAGGCAAGAUGAUAUGACCUUGAUUUCAUCUCUAGACUUGUUAUGCUAGAUUACGUUUCCUUUGUAUUAUGCACGCUGCCUACCACUGAAAUAUUUUCCUCUUGAUAUGCCAUGAACCCAAACACUGACCCCUUCCUAGCAAACUUGAAUGGCUAAGUAGGCUUUGCUCAGCUACUAAUCUUAGCGUUGCUAGAUGGAGGUGUUUCUAACUCAUGUGAUAACAUGAGCUUGAUAUCAUUAUCCUAAAUUCUGUUAUUUAAUUAAUGCACCUAUAUACUUGGUAAAUAACGGAAGGACUAGCCUUUUGUCGGGUGCUUUGUUCCGUUAUUGUCGCCUUAGUUACCGGCUACCGGUGUUUGAUUCCAUAAUGAUCGCUCCUAACACGUUCGGGGUUGUUAUGGGGACCCCCUCGAUAAAUCGCGUAGUUCUAAGGCUUUUCCGGCAGGACCCAACAAUGGUGUUAAUUUUCUAAUCACAUAAUGAUAAUCUGCAUAGGGAAUGGCCUACCCGAGGAAUUUAAUCAAAAACCCGGAUCAGUGCUCCUCAUGAGUGUUGGUCCAACCCAGAGCAGCUUAUUACGCUCCCCGGGGCAACUCGGUGUUUUGGCGUGGUAACCAUCGCUCAUCCGGCGUGUCCUGAGACUGAGAUACGCGGCUCUUAUCAGGGUCGUCGACACGUCGGAAGGUCCUGCUAGCCUUGCCUUACCUUAGCGGUAUAUCUUGCGUAUAGGAAUCCCGGUGAAGCUUUGGUUCUCCCGAGAGUUGAGGUUUUCCUCUAAGGAAUCCGACGAAAUCACGAGAUUCGUUAUAGAGGAUUACUUUGCGGCCUAUGUACGUUUGUGAUGGACUAGUUGGAGCACCCCUGCAGGGUUUAAUCUUUUGGAAAGCCGUACCCACGGUUAUGUGGCAACUUGGAAUAUUUUGUUAACAUCCGGUAUUAGAUAACUUAAACAAAAGCUAAUAAAAUUGCCAACUGUGUGCGUAACCGUGACUGUCCCCUCGAAGAUCUCUCAUCGAUCGGGAACACGGUGGGGUUAUGAAUGACGUAGGUAGGUGUUCAAGAUCACCUAGUGAUCAAGUAUUCUCGACCGCUAGAAUAGUCCACCUUCAUAAAUGUUCUACUUAAGUUAGCCACCAUGUCAAGCUUAGGAUGAUGCAACCUUAAACACUCCACCCUAUCCAACCUAAUAACUUGACUAGUUCUGGCAACGAGGUCAUAGAUUGCUGAGUCCCCGUGGCUCAUGGAUUCCUUCACAAAACCAACAGGUUCAGGUACCCCGGAGACAGGUGAUCCCGACGGCACGCAGCUGGCGUGGCAGUACGACGAGGAGUCCGACCGCCUGUAUGUGAACUAUCCAGAAGAUUGAGGCGUGGUCGUGAUCAUGGGCCAGUAAGCAGGGUAGCAUAGCCUUUUCUCUUGUUUUGUAGUCCGUAGCGGAACUACUUUGGUUGUAUGCGUGAUGUACUCUGAUAUAUUUAUGAGAAGGCAAUUGAACCCCUGAUUGUCUAUCUUUAUUAUUAUGUAUGUGUUGUGUUUACCUGUUUGCGAGACGCUUAGAUGCGCUCCUUUCCAAUUCGGGGCCUCGAUCCCCAGAUCGGAAAGGACCGCAUCUUGGUCGUUACAAUUUUGAAUUUCGUCAGGCUGAGAGUUUUUGCUUUGUUUUUCCUCAGCUUGAGGAAUUUUCUUGGUGGAGGAGCCAGAUUCAUCAGCUGGUUCACCUGAUCCUUGAGCAGUUUCUUCAGGAGGAAUGAAGGUCUGAGGAAUGUCGUCAAUCCGAAUUUCCUCAUCAGUGUGUUCCUUAGACGCAACAUUCUUCAUUUCCUUAUCAGUUAAGUGCUCCUUGUCUUCUCUUUCGAAGAUAGUCAUCUCAUAAGAGGGAGCAACGUUGAGAGGCACAGGAUCCAGAGGUGUAUUUUUAUCAAGUGAUUUGAGGCGCUUGGCCUCAGUUGAUUCUUCUGCUGAGGAAGCUUUUCUCUCCUUGGCUUAUUUUUUAGCAGCUCUGGUCUUCUUCACGUCUGAUGCAGACGGGGUCAUUUUCUUCACCUUUGAAGCUUUUUGUGAAGACGUUUUCUCUUCAGGAGGCGGAGACUGAUCUGUCCUGGCAGUUUCCUCAGCUGAAGCGGUUUCUUCAACUCGAACAGAGUCAUCAGUUGGCUUAGAUGCAUCAGUCGUAGCAGUUUCAUCAGCUGGAGCAGAGUCAUUAGCUGGAGUUUCCUUGGUUAUUUCCUUAAUAAUCGGUUCAUCAGCAUGGCUUUCUUGAGGGAUUUCCUCAGCAUGAGCAGUUUCAUCAGUUGGUUCUCAAUCAGAGGCCGAGGUGUUGUUGCUGGAGGGGCAGCCUUCUUGUUGUAAUCAUCAACUGCAUCAGUAGCAAAUUUGAUGAAAUUGUUCUUGAGACUUUGACGAUCAGAGAGCUUAGUGUACUUGUCAGUCAAAGUCUUCAAUUCUGCCUGUAUGUACACAAGUGCAUCAGGCGUCAGGUUGAGGAGAUUCUGUCUGAGGAACUUCUCCUUUUUGAGCUUUGCAACCUUAGCUUGUUUGGCUUGCUGCUCCUUCCACUUGGCCUUGUUGAUGAAUGUGGCCACCAUGUGGCUCAUGCUUGGGGGAAGCUUCAAAUCAUCGAUAGGAGUGUUGGGGUCCUCAUACCAGAUGUUGAUGUAAUCCAAAAGGACUUCUAGGACCAUGGCCAGAGGAAUGGAGCUUCCUGAAGCUUGUGCUACCCUCUCCUGCUUGUUUCUGAUGAUGGCUUGCAGAGUCUCAUCAUCAUAUUCAUCACUACCUUCUGAUGCAGAAGGGACUUUGAUGAUUUUGCUAGGGCUUGGUCUGGUUCCUCUCCCAGCAGUCACCUUAGUCUUCAUUGGAGUAGGUGAAGACUUUGUCUCGGAGCUUGUGGCAGACGGAACAGAGGAGCUAGAGACGGUAGGCAGUUGCUUUACAAUCUGCUUCUAUUCAGGCUUUGAAGCCUUUGGUGGUGCUGAGGGUUUCGGUGCUGAUGCUAGUGCAGCUUUCUGAGGCAUUUUCUCCUGAGGCUUUGAAGCCUUUGGUUUCGGUGGCACAGACUUCAUUUGAGGAAUGGCCGUACCAGAAGUUUCAGCUGCAGAGGAGGUGGCUGCAGUUGCAGCAGCAGCAGAUUCUUCAUUGAAUUUCCUCACGGCGGCUUCUGCUUGCUUCUGAAGCUUUGACAAAUGUUUUGACUUUUCUUCCGGAUAGUCAUCAAUUGUCUUGAGGCUUGAGGGGUGUGCAUCCUGAUAAUCCUCAAGAGGAGGCCGUUUGCCAGGAGGCUUCAGAGCAAAUUUCUUCGCAUACUUGUGAGUGACAAAUCUGUAUUCUUUCCACUCCUUAGGCCACCGGCGUUCUAUCCUUUGAAGCCUUAUCUUCCUCUUGGGCAUAGUCUCUUGUUCAUCAGGCGUGUAGUAUUCCAGGUAUAUAUCCUCACGGAUAUCUAUGGCAGUGUUCUGCUCGAGCUUCUUGCCACCCUUUUGCUUCCUUUCAUCUUCCAUUUUCUUCAACUGAGGCUUUUGCUGAGGAAAUUGAACUCUUGAGGAUUCUGAUGAAACUUGCAGAUUUUCUUCAAGAAACGCUGCAAACGAGUUAAGUUGAUGAGAACCUAGAGAUUCAUCAGCUGACAUGUUUGUACCUGUGAAUAGAGUAUAGUUGCGAGGAAUUUGGAGAGGUCAUGUGCGUUCUCAGAUUUGAUGAAAUGAAAAAAAAAGUUGAGGAAUUUGACCAGUAUAUGAGGAAUCGUCUAAGCACAUUGUUCUUGGGUUCCAGAGUUGCAUAGAUUCGAAAAUUUGCACAAUUGAGGAAUCUCGUGAAGAUUUUAGAUGCUUAGUGAAAUUCAUCAAUAGUUGAGGAAUAAGCAGUGUUUGAGGAAAAGAGACUGAUGAAUACUUGAGGAAAAACAUAUUUCACACAUUUAAGGUAAAAUACUAGAUUGAAAGAGCUGUUAAAAAUAGGGUUUUUAUUUACGCUAGAUAGCGUGCACGAAGAACAUAGAAGGAAGUAGCAGUAGAUGCUCUUCGGUGCGAGUCCACUGCACCCUAACUCGGCAACACAGGACAGCUACGGCGGCGGCGGACGAAGAUGGUCCGGUUCCUGCGUGAUAUCGGUGACGGAGAGGUCGAGGCAGUCAAGCUUUUCCUCGCCGGCAUCGAGACUUCUAGCGGUGGCUCUGGGGCUUUUGAGCUUUGCUGUAGCAGGAGAGCGAUAGGACGAAGAAGAUUUUACCGAAGGGAGAUGGGGACAUAUUUAUAGCCAGGUGGUAACUGUUGGCGUGAAAGUAUCGGAGCAAAUAGCCCCUGUCUCUACGUCUCCGCAAGACACGUGUAGCCCACGACCUAAGCGGUGGAGAUCGUGGAGAUCGUGGUUAUCCGAACGGGGAAAGUGGGGUUCAGUUACUGUGUAACAAUAUAAAAAUCAUUUUUCAAGAUUUGAGGAUUUCGUUACAAAAUCAUCAGCUGACAAGGACGCAGUGAGGAUUUUGAACAAAGUUUUAAGUAGAACGCAUAUGAAGAAUUGAAUAGACUGGGUGAGAGUAGCAUAGAGGGAAAGUAGGGUCCGAUCACAUUCACUUAGAUGAAAUAUCAAAUUGAAGAAAUAGCUAUAAGUGAAUGCUGUUGAGGACUUUGAAAUCACAGUCUAUCUAGGUAAACAAAAAUCAUCAAGUGUUUUUGAAGAUUUUGAUUAACUUGAGGAUUUUGUGACGAAGCGUCAUGAUGAUGAAUUUCAGUUUUGAAGAAAAACUAGUUUGAAGAACAACUGUUGACGAAAAUCGACUUUUGAAGAAAUUCAGCUUUGAAGAAAUUCAACUUGAGGAAUUUCACUUUGGGUGGUGGCGUGACCCACCAUAUAAGAAUGUUGAUUUUAGAAGCCGCGUACAAUUGUCGUAGGGCCCUGAGAAUCAAUUUCUUCGUUGAUUUCCUCACACUCAGAGUGAUAUUCUUCAUUGGUUGAAGAAAAUUGAUUCAUCGUCUGUUGCACAUCUAAGUCAUCAAUUUUGCAUAAGUGUUAGGAUGUGUGCAUGUUUUUACAAAACAUUUGAAGAUUCUAAGAUAUUUAGCUCACACCGCAACUUGCAAAACCUUUUCUCAUCCAAGGGCUUAGUGAAGAUAUCUGCUAGUUCAUCAUCAUUCUUCACAUGGUCGAUGAGGAUAUUUCCCUUGAGGACAUGGUCCCGAAGAAAAUGAUGAUGAAUCUAGAUGUGCUUGGUCUUCGAGUGUUGUACUGGGUUGUAUGCAAUCUUGAUUGCACUCUCAUUGUCGCAGUAGAGAGGCACAUUCUUCAUGUUGAUGCCGUAGUCCUUGAGGGUUUGCUUCAUCCACAGCAAUUGAGCACAACAUGAACCAGCAACAAUGUACUCAGCUUCGACAGUGGAGAGUGAAACGCAGUUCUGCUUCUUUGAGGACCAGCAGACUACUGAUCUUCCGAGGAAAUGACAUGUGCCAGAGGUUGACUUGUGAUCCACACGGUCACCGGCAUAGUCAGAAUCAAAAUAUCCCACAAGAUGAAGAUUUGAGCCCUUGGGGUACCAUAAUCCUAGUGUUGGUGUGUGAGCUAAGUAUCGAAGAAUAUGCUUCACAGGCUUAUGGUGUGAUUCCUUCAGUUUUGAUUGAAAACGUGCACACAUGCAAACACUAAGCAUUAUAUCUGGCCUAGAUGCACACAAAUACAGUAAAGAGCCAAUCAUGGAGCGAUAUACCUGCUGAUCGAAUUCUUUACCAUUUUCGUCAGUGCAGAGGUGGCCGUUGGUAGGCAUUGGAGUCUUGGCACCUUUGCAUUCAUGCAUGUCGAAUUUCCUCAGAACAUCCUUCAGGUAUUUCUCUUGUGAUAUGAAGACUCCAUUGCAUUGUUGACAAAUUUGAAGACCUAAGAAGAAUUUCAGCUCCCCCAUCAUAGACAUCUGAUAUUCUUCACUCAUCAUAUAAGCAAAUUCAUCACUGUAAGGUUUGUGAGUACAACCAAAUAUGAUGUCAUCGACAUAUAUCUGGCACACAAAUAGUUCUUUAUCAUAGGUUUUAGUGAAAAGAGUUGGAUCGAUUGAACCACGUUUGAAGCCUUUCUUCAUGAGGAAUUCCUUCAAUGUAUCAUACAAUGCCCGAGGGGCUUGCUUGAGACCAUAGAGCGCCUUUGUGAGUCUGAAGACUUUGUGUGGAUUCUUUGGAUCCUCAAAACCUGGGGGCUGAGCAACAUAUACUUCUUCCUCAAGAUUACCACUGAGGAAUGCACUUUUCACAUCCAUUUGAUAUAAGAUGAUGUUAUGAUGAUUAGCAUAAGCAAGCAGUAUUCGAAUAGCUUCAAGUCUAGCAACAAGUGCAAAAGUUUCAUCGAAAUAUAUUCCUUCAACCUUUGUGUAGCCUUGGGCUACAAGUCGUGCCUUAUUCCUCACCACUUGACCAUCCUCAUCUUGCUUGUUUCGGAAAAUCCACUUGGUUCCGAUGAUAUUGUGCUUGCGAGGAUCUGGUCGUUUGACGAGCUCCCAUACGUCAUUCAUCUUGAAUUGAAGAAGUUCGUCUUGCAUGGCUUGGAUCCACUCUGGUUCCAUGAAAGCCUCAGCAACUUUUGAAGGUUUUGUGAUAGACACAAAGGAUAAAUGCCCACAAAAGUUAACUAAGUGUGAAGCUUUUGAGCGAGUGAGAGGACCUGGCGCAUUGAUGUCAUUAAGGAUUUUGUAAAGUUCCACAUCAUUUGCAAUCCUCGGAUGAGCUGGUUGAGGAUUUCUUCUGGGCUGAGGAAUUGGUUCUGGAGCAAUUUCCUCAGGAGCAUCUUCUUGAUUUUCAUCAGUGCUGGGAAUGAUUUCUUCAUCAAUUUCCUCAGUGGGAACAAUGUCUUCAGUAGCUUUGAGCUUUAUUGCUUCCUCAGGAGACAACUUAUCUGGAUCAGGAGGCCAUUGCUCUCUUUGCGAGCCAUUAGUUUCAUCGAACCGCACAUCUACAGUCUCAACAACCUUGUUGUGAUAGUUGUUGUAGACUCUGUAGGUGUGCGAGUCCUUUCCAUAACCGAGCAUAAAACCCUCAUGUGCCUUAGGUGCAAACUUUGAGCUAUGGUGAGGAUCUCUAAUCCAGCAUUUUGCACCGAAGACUUUGAAAUAACUUACAUUGGGUUUCUUGUCUGUGAGGAGUUCAUAUGAGGUUUUCUUGAGGAAUUUGUGAAGAUAUACCCUGUUGAUGAUAUGGCAUGCAGUGUUGAUUGCUUCAGGCCAAAAGCGACGAGGAGUCUGAUAUUCUUCAAGCAUGGUUCUUGCCAUCUCAACCAGAGUCUUGUUCUUCCUUUCAAUGACACCAUUCUGUUGAGGAGUAUAAGGAGCAGACAAUUCGUGAGUAAUACCAAGUUCAUCAAGAUAAUUAUCAAGACCAAUGUUUUUGAACUUUGUUCCAUUAUCACUCCUGAUGUGUUUGAUCUUGAUGCCAAAGUUUGUCGAUGCCCUUGAAGAAAAUCGUUUGAAGACUUCCUGCACUUCAGUUUUAUAUAAGAUGAUAUGCACCCAUGUAUAUCUGGAAUAAUCAUCAACUAUGACAAAGCCAUAUAAAGAUGUUGCAUUUGUUAGAGUGUCAUAAUGAGUAGGUCCAAAUAGAUCCAUGUGAAACAAUUCAAAUGGACGAGUAGUGGUCAUGAUAGUCUUCGAGGGGUGCUUGGAUCUGGUCAUUUUCCCAGACUCACAAGCACCGCAGAGGUGAUCCUUGAGGAAUUUGACUGAUUCAAUGCCGAUGACAUGCUUCUUCUUCGCGAGCGUGUGCAAAUUCCUCAUGCCUGCAUGACCGAGUCUUCGAUGCCACAGCCACCCUUCUUAGGUUUUUGCUAGUAAGCAAGUGGCUGGUUGAGGACCUGCAGAGAAAUCAACAAUGUACAAAUCCCCUCUUCUAACACCUUCGAAGACUUUGGAUCUAUCAUAUUCCAUGAUCACAAAGAUAACAAUCAUAUCAAGAUCACAAAGCAUUGAGACUGACAUGAGGUUAAAUCCAAGGGAUUCAACAAGAAUUACUUUGUCCAUGUGCCUAUCCUUGGAAAUAGCCACUUUGCCGAGUCCCAAUACCUUGCUUUUACCUUUGUCAGCAUAUGCGAUUUGCUUCACGGGUGAUGGAGUUAGUGGCAUAUUCAUGAGCAAGCUUUUGUCACCAGUCAUGUGGUGUGUGGAGCCACUAUCAAGAACCCACUUAGUACUCUUGGGUUUGUCAUCCUGCAGAUGAAGUAGUACAGCUUACCAUCUCAUAUGCUUUAGACUUGAAGAAUAUGAUAUCAAUUUCAUCAGAUAGGAAUUCCAUCAUAAACAGAAUUAUAAGGACGUGUGAAAUAUUUCUAUUUCAUCAAUAUUAGCUUGCGUCCCAUCAAGCAUUUUCCUCAGGUCUCCAUCAAAUUCUUCAGAUGAUGAUUUUCAUCUGGAGACCUGACCUGCNNNNNNNNNNNNNNNNNNNNNNNNNNNNNNNNNNNNNNNNNNNNNNNNNNNNNNNNNNNNNNNNNNNNNNNNNNNNNNNNNNNNNNNNNNNNNNNNNNNNNNNNNNNNNNNNNNNNNNNNNNNNNNNNNNNNNNNNNNNNNNNNNNNNNNNNNNNNNNNNNNNNNNNNNNNNNNNNNNNNNNNNNNNNNNNNNNNNNNNNNNNNNNNNNNNNNNNNNNNNNNNNNNNNNNNNNNNNNNNNNNNNNNNNNNNNNNNNNNNNNNNNNGCAGGUCAGGUCUCCAGAAAAUACUCAAAUGAAUAUGCAGAGAACUUAUUUGAGGAUUUAUGAACAUAAUGAUUUGAAGAAUAACGCUCAUAUUCAUAUUCCUUGUAAUUUCCCUGCAUGUUAGAAGCAUUAGCACGGGUACGAGCAAAGUUUUGACCAGUUGAGGAUUUUGAUCCUCUUGAAGACUUUAGUCCUCCUGAGGAAUUUGAUCUGGGGUUCAAAUUCUUCAUAGGUGGUGUCAUGAGGACAUUCACCUGAAGAUUUUCAAGGCAACUUUUGGGAACCCAGAUUUUCCUCAGGGGAGGUCCAUUCCCGAAGUUAGUUCCAACAUAUCGAGCAAAUACUUCACGAGAUUGAUUUUUGAACAGUUUAUAGUUGGAGUCAAAUGACUCAUCUCAGGAAUAGGAUAAUUCACAAGAAAAGCCUAUUAGAUUGGAUGGAUCAAAAGGAGGCCCAGUAGCACCAACCCAUGAGGUUUUGGGAUACUACUCAGGUUUCCAAUAAGAUCCAUCAGCAUUCAAUUUCCUCUCAAAGGCAAUUCCUACUUUCCUCGGGUUCCUGUUCAAGAUCUACUCUUUGAGCACAUCACAAAGGGUUUGGUGUCCUUUGAGACUUUUGUAUAUGCCUGUCACAUACAAUUCCUUCAGCCCUGCAUUUUCAUCAGUGACAUUUGUGGUUUCCUCAAGUGAGGAAUUUGACACUACAGGAGCAGUUGAAGAAUUUGCAGCAAUAGAAGCAUUUGAUGAUUCUGGUGAAGACUUAGCAGUUUCACGUUUGAUGCAUUUGAGACAUGGAGGAAUGAAUUCAGCUUGAGAAGCACUGGUCUAUUGAGCUAGUAAUGAAUCAUUUUCCAUAUGAAGAUCAUCAUGAGAAAUCCUCAGCUUCUCAAGAUCAAGCUUCCUUUGAAGAAAUUCAUAAGAAAAUUUCUCAUGAUCAGCGAGGAGUGUAACAUGACGAUCUUGAAGAUUAUCAAAUCUGGACUGAAGACUUUUUAUAUCUUCAGUGAGGAUUUGAGUAAGAUUCAUUUCAUCAUUCAACAGAUCAUCACUUCUAUCUAGCAGUUUCUGAAGCUUUUCGAGGGCAGUUUGUUGUUUACUUGCAAUGAUAGCAGGUUUACUAUAACUGAGUUUUUUAUAAUCAUCAGGUUCACAGUCACUUGAAUCAGAGGAGGAAGCAUCAUUCGAUACCUUUCAACCUUUUGCCAUGAAGCAAUAGGUUGGAGCGAAGUCAUCAGCAUAGUCAUCAGUGUGGAUGGUGUUAUCAUUUUCUUCAAGGCUGAAGAUUGACUUGCUGACGAAUGUGGUUGCAAGUGCAAGGCUAGCCUGUCCAGAUUCUGAGUCUUCAUCAGAACUCUCCUCUUCAUCACAUUCCUCGGAUUCUACCUCGGAAUCCAUUUCAUUGCCAAUAAGUGCCUGAGCCUUUCUGAAACUAGUCUUCUUGUGCGAUGAGGACUUUGAAGAUUUCUUCUUUUUCUUCGAGUCAUCAGAACUUUCAUCCUUGUAUUUCUUCUUCUUUGAUUCCUUUCCGCAACGAGGACAAUCAGCAAUGUAGUGACCUGAUUUCUUGCAUUUGUGGCAGGUUCUUUUGUUGUAGUCCUCGGAUGAAGCUUCUGAUUUCCUCAUAUCUCUUCUUGAAGAUUUACCAAACUGGCCACGUCGUGUAAACUUCUGGAAUUUCCUCACAAGCAUUGCAAGCUCAUGUCCAAAUUCUUCAGGAUCACCAAUGCUACCAUCCGUGUCUUCUUCUUCAGAUGAGGAAAUUGCUUUGGCCUUCAGUGCACGUGGUCUAGAAUAGCUUGGUACAUAUAGAUCUCUGUUUUCUUCUUGUUGGAAUUCAUGAGUAUUGAGUCUUUCGAGUAUAUCAGCUGGAUCAAGCAUCUUGUAGUCUGGUCUUUCUUGAAUCAUCAGAACUAAAGUAUCAAAUGAAGAAUCCAAAGAUCUUAGCAGUUUCUUCACAACUUCAUGAUCAGUAAUGUCUCGAGCUCCUAGGGCUUGCAGUUCAUUUCAUAUGUCUGUGAGGCGAUCAAAGGUAUCUUGGCAGCUUUCAUUGUCAAGCCUCUUGAAGCGAUUGAAGAGAUUGCGAAGAACAUCAACACGAGAAUCACGCUGGGUUGAUACUCCUUCAUUAACUUUGGAAAACCUUUCCCAGAUAAGUUUUGCUGAGCCCAAAGCACUUACUCUGCCAUACUGGCCCUUGCUCAGAUGGCCAGAGAUGAUAUUCUUCGCUUGAGAAUCAAGUUGCUUGAAUUUCUUCACAUCAGCGGCAGAGACAGUAGCAGUGACGAUAGGGACGCCAUGUUCCACAAUAUACCAGAGAUCGUUGUCAAUAUCUUGUAGAUGCAUCUGCAUCUUGGUCUUCCACAAGGGAAAGUCCUCUCCUUUAAAAGUCGGACAUGCUGCAGUAACCUUGAUCAUGCCUGCAGUCGACAUAACUAAAACUCCAGGUGGUUAAACCAAAAUCACACCAAACAAGGGAGUACUUUUCUCUGAUACCAAUUGAAAGUGCGUUAUAUCGAAUAGAGGGGGUGAAUAGGAGAUUUUUAGAAUUUUAUCACUGAGGAAAUUGCUUUUGAGGAAAUUCCUCGCUGAUGACUAACUUGCAGCGGAAAUAGCAAAGGAUCAGGAGUGUAAAGUAUCACUACAACAGUUUUUCAGGAUGAAGAAUAUGAAAAACAGUUUGCACAGUAUGCAGGCAUGGAGAAAACAGAUGAGGAUUAACUCGCUGAAGAAUUUGGGGUUGAGGAAUUUCAGAGAAAGUCUUCAGCAAAUUCUUCAAACAGUGACAGUUGAAAUCAUCAACACACAAUUUGAGGAAUAUAAAGAGUUGAAGAAAUAGAACCCGUUUCACAGUGAAGACAGUGGUUGAUGACCCAAUUCCAACUGUUGUGACAGUUGUACAUCUGGUUUGGAGCGGCUUGGUAUUGAAACCAAAGGACACACAGUCCCGGGACACACAGUCCCUACCAUAUUCUCCUUGGGCUAAGAACACACAGUCCUCGCCCCACACUCGUGGUAAGUCUUCAGGGCAGACUUCCAAACCCUCACAAACUUGGUCACCUGGUGAUCCACAAUUGACUGCUGGAUUGCUCUAGACCAUGACGCCUAACCGUAUGGAGGAUGCACAGUCCUCAAAGGUAAAAGGCUUCAGUCCAACACAGGAACAACUUCUUCAGUGAUGCUCAAUCACUUGGUUUUGGUUUGUGGUUUUGUGUUUGGGGUAUUUCCUCACUGAUGAAUUACUCUCGAAGACUGAGGAAUUUGGGUUGCUCUUAUGAUAAGUGUCAGUUUCCAACGGAGCAGCGAACCGGCUAAUGGUUGUGGGGGCGGCUAUUUAUAGCCUGGGAGCAUCUCGACAUGAUUUGACAUUAAUGCCCUAAAAUAAUAUGACCGUUGGUGUGGAUAAGACCAAUGAUGUGGCGCGACUUGUGGUAACGGUCGGGACCCUCAACUAUGAGAGUCAUCAUGUCUCUCAUAUUCCUCACUUGAGGCUUUUGGUAGGAUUAGGCUUGGGAUGAGCAUCAUAAGGAAAUUCAUUCCGACGUGUUACUUUGACCCCCUUUAACAGUAUGGUGUUCCUAUGACUCAAAAGUGAAGAAAAUAAAACAGACAAAAUAAAUCUUCAUGCUUCAUAAUCUUCAACUUGUUGUUCUUCAGGACACACCGAAUUCCUCAUCUUCAAUUUCUUCAUGAGGAAUAUCAAUUUCAUCGCAAUUUCUUCGCGAUUCAAUUCUUCAUCUUCAGACCAAUUUCUUCAGGCGAAGAUAUACAUUUUUAGGGUUUGAUAUUCAUCGAAUAUUUCAAACUCUUCGGCGACUUAUAGAUCUUGUGUACACUCAUGAACACAUUAGAUACUUAACCUAUAAGUCUUCAAAUCACCAAAAUCACUAAGGGGCACUAGAUGCACUUACACCCUUCUCAGGGAAUACCAACUAGGACCACACGAAGAAAUUCCAUUGCCGGAGCACUAUAGUGUGUGUCUUCGGUCAUCUAGUCAAGUAUCCAUGUGUUGAUAUCCCAUGCUUCACCAGAAAUGUGCAGAGUUGCAUAGAAUUGAAGAAUUAAUUCUUCAUUCAAGUCACAGAUAUCAACGCAGAAUGGCAAGAGUCUAGCUUCAUGAAGAACACUGAGGACUGGUGUGAAGAAUGGAAUGUACUCCAUAUCUGCUAGAGGGGGUGAAUAGGCGAUUUUUAUAAAUUUUUCACUCAGGAAAUUCCUUGUGAGGAAACUCCUCAGUUACAGACUACAUGCAGCGGUAUAAGUGAUACGUCCCAAACAUAUCUAUAAUUUCUGCUUGUUCCAUGAUCUUUUGGGUGACAUUGGUAUAUGUUUUGCUACACUUUUAUAUCAUUUUACACAUAUUUGGACUAACCUACUAACUCAGUGCACCCAGUGGCAGUUUCUGUCUGCAGAUGUCUUUUUUGGACGGGCUUUUACCCAAUUUUCCGAAGCCCAAAAAAAUCGAGAAAAAUAUAUAAAAAAUUCAGCGAAACAGAAGCUUCAGGAUCACCAAAGGAGGGCCAAAGGGGGGCCAGGGGCCUCCCAGGCGGCCUGCUCGCGCGGCCAGGCCCUAGGCCGCGCGAGGAGGUCGCCUGGGUGGGCCCCACCUCCUCUGGUCCUCUCCUUUGCCCUAUAUUUAGUGUUCCGUGAGGAAACCCUCGCAGAUUUUCUGGAAUCGCGAAUUUCUCCAUCGUUCCACCGCUGUAGCGCUUCCGAGAUCGGGAGCGUAAGGAGACCUCUUCUCGGCACCCUGCCGGAGGGAGGAUUGACCAUCGGGAGCUUCUCCACCACCAUGGACGCCUCUCGGAUGUGCCGUGAGUAGUUUCCCUUGGACCAUGAGUCCGUGACCAGUAGCUAUGUGAUGUCUUCUCUCCAAUCUUGUGCUUCAAUGGUUAGUCCUUGUGAGCUGCCCUACAUGAUCAAGGCAUCUAUGUAAUUCUCUUGCUAUUGCUAUGCUCAGUUUGUUGGGAUCUGAUGGAUUAUGAGAUUUUGUUCAGAUUGUUGUGAGUUAUAUAUUUGAUUAUCCUUUUAUAUUUUGUUCCUUAGUGAUUCUUGCAUGUUCUCCGUUGCUUUUUAUUGCUUUGUCCAAGUAGUAGAUCGUAACUCCAAGAGGGAGCGUUAUGCAUGAUUGUGGGUCGGGCCCCUCGAUGUCUAGCUUGAGUGACAUAAACAUGAGACUAGGGGAUGUGCUUGUUUCCACCAGGGAGAAAACAACGGUGCUUGUGACAAAGGUUGCAAGGAUUGUUUACCUUACACAUAGUUCGUUAAUGCAAUUGUCCGUUUAUUUGAGUUUACACUUUGGGUGGAGCUCGCAACUUAAUACCGAAGAGAUGUUAUGGAUAGAUAUCUCAAGGUGGAUGAUUAGUAAGUAGAUGCUGAUGAAUAAACGGUCUACUUGUCUCGGCGUAUUGCCCAUUACUAUUGAACCUCUAACUACCAAGGAGCAUAAUUAGGUACGAUCAUAAUUGUGUCAAUUGCCCAACUGUGAAUUGUUUACCCUAGCAUAGUUGUUUAUCGUCUUUUGUGAGAGAGACGUCACUAGUGAACGUCAUGUGACUCCGGUCCAUAUCACUAUCAUUGCUUACACCUCCAUCAUUUACCACUUUAUUUACUUUUCCAUUGCAAUCACUAUUACCUCCCCGCUUGUGUUUUGAUCCUUUGCAAACUACAAGGCCGGAGAGAUUGACAACCUCUCUGUACUCGUUGGGAGCAAAGUUAUUUGUUGUGUGUGCACGUCCACAUCUUCUACUAGCGCCAGGGUGGAAGACACAUACUUGUUGAGCCUGGGAGUCCUCCUGGUUCGAUAAACCUUAAGGUCGCCAUGUAAGGGAAAAUUGCUGCUGACUACAUCUCCACCUUCCACUUGGGAUCCAACGAGGGGGGAGAAGCAUAUACAUCACCUCGUCAUCAAUAAGUACUCAAGCAGCUGUGUAAAAGAGCGAUAGCGUAGUCGUCAAAGUGAAAUGAAACAUUCGGAUUGCACAAGUAGCGUGUUCAGGAUAUGCAGGUGAAGAAUAAGUAAGCUGGAGAAUUGGAGGUGACGAAAUUACGAAAAUCUUCAGUCAAAUUCUUCAAAUAGUAAAGAUCAAAGUCGUUAACAUACAAUUGAGGAAAUGAAAGGGUUGAGGAAUUAGAACCAAGUGCUUGAUAAAGACAAUGGUUUGAUGACCCAGUUCCAACUGCUGUGACAUUAUUACGUCUGGUUUGGAGCGGCUUAGUAUUUAAACCAAAUGACACAUAGUCUGACGACACUAAGUCCUUACCGUAUUCUCCUUGUGCUAAGGACACACAGUCCCUUCCCAACACUCGUGCUAAGUCUUUACGACACACUUCCGAACCCUCACAAACUUGGUCACCCGGCGAUCCACAAUUCAGUGUUGGAUGCUCUAGACUAUGACACCUAACCAUCUGGAGGAUGCACGGUCCUCAAAGGUAACAAGCAUCGGUUCCACACGGGAACAAUCUCUUCAGUGGUGCUCAUUCACAUUGGGAUUUUUGGGUUUGGGUUUGGGUGUUUGGGGUUUUUCCUCACUGAUGAUUUUCUCUCAAAUUCUAUGAGGAAUGGGUUGCUCUCAAAUGACAAAUGUUAGUUUCUCUCACGGAGCAGCCAACCAACUAGUGGUUAUGGGGGGCGACUAUUUAUAGCAUGGGAGCAGUCCCGACAUGAAUUGUCAUAAAUGCCCUAAUGAUAUGACCGUUAUGUGGAUAAGGUUAGGGACAACUAGCGCGUAGCUCAGCAACGGACGGAACGUUUCAACUAUGAAAGUCCUCAUGUCACUCAUGUUCCUCACAUGUAGGUGAUUCGCACUGGCAAAAACCUAACUCCUCAUUUAGAGAAAAUUCCUCAGAGACAAGAAGAUCUUCAUCUUUGUCAGUGAAGAAUUUGACUAAACUGUUGAAGAUUUCUGAAGGCUUCACUCGAAGGGUUUGUAUGUGUAGGCUUUGAGAUGAGCAUCACUUGGAAACUUUUCCUUAGUUUUACCUCGACCCCCUUUAAUAGUACAGUGGUCUUAUGACACAUAAUACAAAAAAUGAAACUAUGAAAACGAAAGUCUUCACGCUUCAAAGUGCUCACACCAAUUUCUUCACUGACACACCAAUUUACUCAUUUCAAAGUCUUCAAGGAAAUAUCAAAGUCUUUAGUCGAAGACGUACAUUUUUAGGGGUCGAUAUUCUUCGAAUAACCCAAACUCCUCAGCGACUAAUAGGGCCUGCGCACACUCACAAACACAUCAGUCUCUUAACCUAUAAGUCUUCAAUACACCAAAAUCCCUAAGGGCCACUAGAUGCACUUACAAUCUCCCCCUUUUUUGUGAUUGAUGACAAAUAGGUUAAGUUUUCAACGGGGAUAAUAAUAUAAAGUGUAAGUACAGAGUUUGAGGAAUUUGAAUGCAAGAUAUACACAAACUCCCCCUGAAGAUGUGCAUAUUUGAGGAAUUUGCUUUGGGCUACAAAUGCACAUCGAGGAUUUGUACCAUGGAGAUCUCCCCCUAUAUCUUGUAAUCCAUGCAGGCAUUUGACGUUUAUCAUGAGGAAAUUGAAAUGCAUCAUGGAAAGUGGAGUCUGACGAAUUUCAGCAUGCGUGCAUUAAUCAACAUGAGGAAUAAGCAUGCGAGGAAAAAAUGGUUCAAAAGUGUCAGACAACCACCGGUCAUAAGUUUACAACUCAUACAACCAAACAAUUAAGAAGAAUGAGAGUUGCAACUUAAAGAAAAUACAGUUUAAAAUCCCAUAAUUCAGACCCGCUUGAAGACUAACUCAGAUUUCUCCCCUUUUGCCAUCAAGUGACAAAAAGGGAACAUACUGAGGACUAACGCCCUUGAAGAAUAUCACUUUGGUUGUGGAGUAGAAGCGUUGGGGUCGUUUGUCACAGCUGUGUCGUCAAGAUCUUGAGUGUCAUCGGUUGUGCAUGUUGAAGAAAAUGAACUCGCCACCAAGGGAGGAACUGGAAUUUUCUUGAACUUCUUCUUGGGCGGCUGCUACAGCGACAGAAAUCUUCUGUUGUCUCUUGAGCUUGCGUUGGUUUUUCCCUCGAAGAGGAAAGGGCGAUGCAGCACAGGAGCAGUAAGUAUUUCCCUCAGUUUGAGAACCAAGGUAUCANNNNNNNNNNNNNNNNNNNNNNNNNNNNNNNNNNNNNNNNNNNNNNNNNNNNNNNNNNNNNNNNNNNNNNNNNNNNNNNNNNNNNNNNNNNNNNNNNNNNUGGGAUCUGGAUACCCAUGGUGGCUCCCACACGUUCCACGAUGAUCUCAUCGGAUGAACCACGAUGUCAAGGAUUCAAUCAAUCCCGUAUACAAUUCCCUUUGUCUGUCGGUAUAGAACUUCCCCGAGAUUCGAUCGUCGGUAUACCUAUACCUUGUUCAAUCUCGUUACCGGUAAGUCUCUUUACUCGUUCCGUAGCACGUCAUCGUGUGACUAACUCCUUAGUCACAUUGAGCUCAUGAUGAUGUUCUACCGAGUGGGCCUAGAGAUACCUCUCCAUCAGACGGAGUGACAAAUCCCAAUCUCGAUUCGUAACAACCCAACAGACACUUUCAGAGGUACCCGUAGUGCACCUUUAUAGUCACCCAGUUACGUUGUGACGUUUGAUACACCCAAAGCACUCCUACGGUAUCCGGGAGUUGCACAAUCUCACGGUCGAAGGAAAAGACACUUGACAUUGGAAAAGCUUUAGCAUACGAACAAUACGAUCUAGUGCUAUGCUUAGGAUUGGGUCUUGUCCAUCACAUCAUUCUCCCAAUGAUGUGAUCCCGUUAUCAAUGACAUCUAAUGCCCAUGACCAGGAAACCAUGAUCGUCUAUUGACCAACGAGCUAGCCAACUAGAGGCUUGCUAGGGACACAUUGUGAUCUAUUUAUUCACACAUGUAUUACUGUUUCCUGUUAAUACAAUUAUAGCAUGAACAAUAGACAAUUAUCAUGAACAAGGAAAUAUGAUAAUAACCAUUUUAUUAUUGCCUCUAGGGCAUAUUCCCAACAGAAUACUCUACCCUCGAAAACUGCCGCGAACCCACACGCUCGUGGGACAUUGCAAGACAAUUGCUAAUUGUUGAGCAACUGGGAGCAGUUCUGGCUCUGUUGUCGCGAAGGCAUCAAGUCAGGGACUCGUCAACAACAUUCUUCUAGUGUCGUUGCCGGGGACUACUAGCACGCCCUAAUAGCUUGUGGGCCCCUCGUGAGGCCUCCAUCCUUUUUACGAUGCUUGUUGGUCUUCUUUUGGUCUAGAAAAAUCAUCAAAAAAAUUCACGACAAUUGGACCUCAUUCGAUAUGGAAAACCCGCAAUGUGAAAAAAGCAGAAAACAACAAUUGGCACUCAACACUAGGUCAAUAGGUUAGUGCUAAAAAAUAAUAUAAAAUGGUGAAUAAAUACCCAAAAGGCAUACUAGAAUGAUAAUAUAUCAGCAUGAAACAAUAAAAAAUUAUAGAUACGUUGGAGACGCAUAACAUACCCACUGAAGAACUUUUGUCUGCAAUCGAAUUCAUCCCGAACAAUGAAGAAAUCCAUAGUGGUGCACUUGAGGAAAUUGAUGAUAUUAAAAAUUCUCAACCGCAACAAAGUCGUCAACCUGCUCAUCCUAGGGUGGAAAAUGAAGUGCAAAUUGAUAAAAUGCUCGACGAUAUCAAUGCACGAGGUCCCCUCACACGCUCAAAAGCUUCAAAUUUAACUAUUUUAUGGGCACUUUUCCUUUGUGUCUAUCACAAAACUCUCAAAGGAUGACGAAGCCUUUAUGGAGACUAAGUGAAUUCAAGCAAUGCAAGAGGAAUUGCAUCAAUUGAAGCUCAACAAACAUGUGGGAACUUGUCAAGCGACCUAAUCCUCGCAAACACAAUAUCGUCGGUACCAAGUGGAUCUAUCGCAACAAGCAAGACGAAAAUGGUCAGGUAGUGAGGAAUAAGGCUCGUCUUGUAGCUGAGAGCUACACACGAGUUGAGGGAAUUGACUUUGAUGAAACUUUUGCACCUAUUGCUAGACUUGAAGUUAUUCAUAUACUGCUUGCUAUUGCUAACCAUCACAAUAUCACUUUAUAUCAAAUGGAUGUGAAAAGUGCAUUCCUCAAUGGUAAGCUUCAGGAAGAAGUAUAUGAUGCUCAACCCUAGGUUUUGAAGACCCAAAGCAUCCUGAGAAAGUCUUCAGACUCACCAAGGCUCUCUAUGGCCUCAAGCACGCUCGCGAGCGUGGUAUGACACAUUGAAGGAAUUCCUCCUCAAGAAAGGCUUCAAACCUGGUUCACUCAACCCAAUUCUUUUCACAAAAUGCUAUGACAAUGAACUAUUCAUGUGCCAAAUAUAUGUAGACAAUAUCAUCUUUGGUUGUACUGACAAACGUUAGAGUGACGAAUUUGGCUAUAUGAUGGGUGAAGAAUAUCAAAUGUCCAUGAUGGGGGGGGGGGGUUGAAAUUCUUCCUAGGACUUCAAAUUCGUUAACAAUGCAAUGGCAUCUUCAUCUCUUAAGAGAAAUACCUCAAGGAUGUCGUGAAGAAAUUCGGCAUGCAAGACUACAAAGGAGUCAAAAUUCCAAUGCCCACAAACGGCCACCUCUACACUGACGAAAAUGGUAAAGAUUUCAAUGAGAAGGUAUAUCGCUCCAUGAUUGGCUCCUUAUUGUACCUAUGUGCAUCUAGGUCAGAUAUUAUGCUUAGUGUUUGCAUGUGUGCCCAGUUCCAAGCAACACUAAAGGAAUCACACCAUAAGGCUGUGAAGCAUAUUCUUCGACAUCCAGCUCACACAUCAACACUUGGAUUAUGGUACCCCAAGGGCUCAAAUCUUCAUCUCAUUGGAUAUUCUGGCUCUGACUAUGCUGGUGACCGCGUGGACCGCAAGUCAACAUCACACACAUGUCAUUUCCUCGGAUGAUCCUUAGUUUGCUGGUCCUCAAAGAAAGAGAACUACGUGUCACUAUCCACUGGUGAACCUGAGUAUAUUGUUGUUGGUUCGUGUUGUGAUCAACUAUAGUGGAUGAAGCAAAGCCUCAAGGACUACUGCAUCAAAGUGAAGAAUGUGCCACUCUACUGCUACAAUGACAGUGCAAUUAAGAUUUCUCACAACCUAGUUCAACACUCAAUGACCAAGCACAUCCAAAUUCGUCAUCAUUUUCUUCGUGAUCGUGUACUCAAGGGCGACAUCUUCAUCGACCAUGUGAAGACUCAAGAAUAACUAGCUGAUAUCUUCACCAAGCCCUUGGAUGAAAAGAGAUUUUGCAGGUUGUGGUGCGAGCUAAAUAUCUUAGAAUCUUCGAAUGUUCUGUGAAAAGACACACAUCCUAACACUUAUGCAAAAAUUGAUGACUUAGAUGUGCAACACGCUAAGUAACUUUUUUCUUCAACAAAUGAAGACUAACACUCUAAGUAUGAAGAAAUUAAUGAAGAAUUUGAUUCUCAAAACCCUACGACAAUUGUACUAGGUGUCUGAAAUCAUCAUUCUUAUACGGUGGGUCAUGCCACCAACCAACGUUGAAAUACGUCAAAAUUAAGAGUUUUUGCAAAUACUUCAAAAUUUUCAAAUUCUUCAAGCUUGCAAAUCCUCAGUAUGUUCAAAUUCUUCAAACUUUUUCAACAUGUGUUCUUCAUUGACUAUAUAUAUAUAUAUAUAUAUGUGUGUGUGUGUGCGUGCGUAAAAUGUUUUGGGCACCUAGGUGCCUCGGCACCUUGAUUGUUUUGAAAAUCGUGGUAUAUUUUGAUUAGUUUCCUAAUUAUUCCUAUGCAAGACUUUCCAUACUUAUGAUUCUGUUUUUAUUUCCUAACUAUUAGACAUGCAAGACUCCCCAUACAAUAAAUAAUAUUAAUGUUUUAUUUUAUUUAAGCUGCUAUGGUUAUUUAAUGCGCGUAUUUUGGUUUUUCUUAAAUAUCUAAUACAUGCAAGUAUCUAAUACCUAGCAACGUAUAUACUUAAUUUUUUUGAACUAUUUCAUUUUUCCCAAUUAUCUAAUAUGGACAUCGAAGACUCAUUAAUGAAAUAAUGUACAUACGCGGGUUUGUGUAUACUGAAUAAUUUAUUUAUUUUCUAACUACCGAAUACUGGUAUCCGGUAUCUGAUAACGAAAUUAUGUAUAUAGGCGGGUACGUAUAUACCAGCCCAUAUAAAAUAUGGCUACACAUAUACUCGGCAACGUAAAAUAUACCUACUAAACUCCUAGCUAGUAUACCCAAAUAUGUUAUAUGACAUGCUCACAUAAAUCUUUUAGUAUAUACCCAAUGAACUAAGAAAUAAAAGAGUAUAACCAAUGUGUCUGCACAUAUAUAUACCUGGCUAUACGAAAAAGGGUAGAAAACUAUUAUAGGUAUCCCAUACAUGUAUAUAAAAUAAAAUAUGGCUGCAUACAUACCCGACUACAUGAAUUAUGGCAUCCAUAGGUAUCUGAAUACCCGUAUACAAAUAUCACAUGUGGGGUAUGCACAUACCCCAACAAAUAUUCAUUUUGAGAACAAGUAAGAGUAUAUUUUCUGAUAAAUAUAGUAUUUACGAAUAUGUGAUUUUUUGGUACCCAACAUAUUCUUAGAUAUGCUUAUACUCAAUAUAUUUUUGGGUAUGUGCGACUUAGUAUUACGUCCAUGCAAAAGAAACUUAUUAGUACGUACACAUUUUUAAGUAUGUUUACAUUUUUUAAUAUAUACCGACUAUAUAAAUGGUACGGAAAUGUUGUAGGUAUCCAAAUACAUUGACAUAUCGCAAAGCAGAAACAUACAAACUCUUUAGAAUACAAUAAUAAGGCACUAAUUUCCAGUUUUUCUCUAAUUAUAUAUAAGGAAGAAUGAAAUGCAUGUCAUUUGUUUUGCAUGCGAGAAAUUUAUUACCAUGCAUAGCAUGGAAUCCUAAUAUCCAUUUGCGAUUAGCAUUGUAAUUGUUUCUAAAUAAAUAUACCCAUUAACUUCACUAUCCAUAUAACAACACGCAUCUAAAUGCAAUCUAACGGUGGAAAGGUGAGGAGCCUCGGCACCUAGGUGUCUCAAAUGAUCGUUCUCUCUCUCCUUCUCUCCUAUGAUCAGAGAGAGAGAGAGUAACACUAUUCUGAAACUAACGGUUCUAUAUUGAGGCAAAGAGGUCCUCCCGAACUCCUGAAAACUAAAAAACUUCAAAUCCUAAAAAUACCAUGAAGUCUGGCCAUCCCCACCUCCCGCACGAGGCACCGGCCACCUUCCCCGACUGAUCCACCGGCCGGGCCCACAUCUUCCCUGAUCCUCGUCCACCUUCUCCCCCAACCACGGCGCCCCGUUGCCCCACUUCGUGUCGGCUACCCGCCUCAUAGCACGCCGCUGCCUCGCCCCACUACACGCCACCGGAACCGCCACGUCCCCGUACGCACCGUCGGACCCCCGCUCCUCCUCGUGCCACCAUUAAAUGACAUUCGAGCACGCCGUGGCAGCACAAGAUCCCCGCGUGUUCCCCUCCGACCCAGGUUCCUACCAAGAAGCCGCCGCCAACCACCGGAGCUGCCUCUUCGAUUGCGCGUGCUGUCAGCCAUAGGAGCCGCCAUCCUUGCCGAAGCACUCCGCCUUCCCAACCUGGGAUCCUCCCGCCGACGCCGCCUGCCACGCCGUCGCACGACCUCGUCCCGUCAGCGCAACUCUGUGAGCUCCUUCCUCGAGCCAUCGCCGGAUCCCGCCUCCACGUAGCGGGUCUCGAUGCCUCACGCCUUCACGUUGUUGGAUCCCCGACCACUCACCGGAUAAAAAUGGAAGCAGGGCCAUCCCCGUGUGCCCUGACAUCGGCCGCACAAUUUUUCGACACCAUGUGUAUCCCCUUCCUUCACUACUCCUGAAAUUCUUUUCUAUCUAGAAUUUAUUGCUACCUUGGGCUGCUUUCUUAACCUGUUCCUCUUGAUUAGAUGAUUUUUGUGGCAUUUUGGAGGGGUUGGUAUAUUUUUCUCCUUUCUAAAUGUAUAUCGAGUGGAAGAGAUGGAUAUUAUGAGAGAAAAAUGUGCCUUGUAACUCCUUCCCCAUCUCUUUUGUAUAUGUUCAACACCUCCAUUGUAACAACCCUUUUGUCUCUGUAGGUUCAUCUAAUAGAUGCCAAAAGAAGUUCGCCAGAACAGCACUUAAGAAAUUUAACCGAAAAAUCAAUAAAUGAAGAAGAAGCCCAUAUAUAGUAAAACAUGAAUUUUGUACAUGAAAAAAUCGUUUGUUUCGUGCAAAAAAACAUAUUACCAAAAAAGUAUUAUGUCAUUAGUUCUUGAAAAAAGAAAACACAUAAAGGUUAGAUGUGUGUUGAAACCAUGUGUAUGUGUGAAAACUUUGACGUCCUCCAUGUGUUUAUUGAAAUUCCAACGAAGAACUAGAAGGAAUUUCUCGUUUGAUGAAAAACGAAGCUAAGCUAAGGCACUACUUUCUCACAUGUGAAUCAGAUGUCAUCUAAAAAAGACUGAUAAGGAAAUUGCUCAGCUUUUGUGUUUUUACAAAUGUGUAUUUUUUGCGAAGGUCAAAAUGUUGUGUUCUAUUUGGUCAAGUAUGUUUAGUAUACAUAUAUACGCUGUUCCUAUUUUAGCUAAAUGAAAAGAACAUUUGUACCCCUUUCUUUUAUCUAUAUAUUCUCGUCAUGUGUUGCCCGCCAUUAAAAAUCAUGUUUCAUUGGGUUCAUGUUUAACUACACAAAAACUCGAACUUGAUAACAAAUUUUAAUAGAACUCUCUUCAUGAGUUUAAAAAAAACUAGAAGUUCAUGUUUAAAAAACCUAUAAGUUCAUGUUUAAAAAACCUAUAAGUUCAUGUAUAUUUAUUUACAAAACUAGGAUUUUCGAUUACUAAAAGAAAAAUCCACAAGAAGUCCAACUUGAAAAAGGGAGCAUUUCAAUGUUUGUACAAAAUCCAGAUUUUCCUCAUUAAUAAAGAAUGAAAAAUAAAAAGUUCAACAAUGAAAAAAAAUAAGAAUUUCAAAUUCAAAAAAUAGAACCGUUCAAUAUUCAUAGAAAGGAUAUUCAUCGUUUGUAAAUUAUUUUUUAUAGAAGUUCAAAUUUAAAUAACGGACAAGUUCAAUAUUUAUUAGUAAGUAGGAUUUUCCUGCUAUUAAAACAAAAAAAAUCUAGAAGUCCAAAUUACAAAAGGGAGACUGUGAGCUCGUAGGAUUCCUUCCUCCUACAACCGGCACCACCACCUACAGCCAACGCCGCAGCAAGUCGAACCUUUGAAAAUAUUGGUGUCAUUCACCGAAACAUGAAGAUCCCAUUAGCGAUGUUGUUAUUGUUUAUGUACAACUAGUAAACUUGCAUAUGCAAUGCAUGUCUCUUCUAAUACUCUUUUUAAAGAUAUAUCUAUUCGCAAUCAAAUACACCAUGUGUGCAUGCCUCAUACUAUCGUAUAAUUAUAGUUGUUGAUGGUAGUAUAAGAAAAUGAGACGCGCACGCAAAACAACCAAGUUUAACAUUCAUCAUAUAGACUGAAACCGUGUUUUCAGGCCCUUACAUCUAACGAGAGUUAGUUUUAAAGUGGUUGAAUGUCAUUCUUUCUCAACUUACCUCCAUGUAAAUAGAGAUCAUUGACGUAAAACUCUAAACAUUUUGGAUGAUCAUAAACUACAUAAAAUAAAUAUGUGUGAACACCAUGUAUUUUCGGAUCAAUAUUACAACUUGCAAAUUGCAAGUUAAACAUUUUCUCUCCAAGAGAAUUUACAAAGGUAUGCUUAGCAAGGCAAUGUUUAAUUCUGCAAUGUUAGAUGCCAAGAAAUGACUCAUACAUUUAACAUUUUCAAGGAAAUAUUAUUUUGAAUUGAACAUCACGCACAUUGGCUGUCUUAUUUUACCUUGGAGAUGAAUUCAUCUAGAUAAUAUUGUAGACCCUCCUUUACUUUGUUUUGCCCGCAAUUCCAGUAUGUACAAGUAUAACACCAUUCAAUAGGGUGCACAUGCACAAAAAAAGAAGUAACAAAGACAAGUUGGGAGUUGUACAUUAGUAACUGAAAAUGAUCUUAGUAAGUAGGAAGAAAAGAUUGCGGUGGAAUGUUUUCUUUCUUUUUCUCUCUCCCUGUCGACUGUGGGAGUAAUAAACUGGUUCCUUUUCCUUUAAGCAAUAAAAUUUUACUUGAGCACACAUGCAAUAAUCGUUUCAUUUAUAAUUUAUAUUUAAUGACAUUGUUUGCUUUGGGCAAAAAGAUUGUGAAGUAUUGGUUGAGCCACGAUCUGUAUUUCAUUUAUAUGGCUCCACGAAUGAUAGAAGCAAAAACUUAUCAUUAAUUGAUGGUCGGACUUCUUCGAUUUAGGUAAGCUGAAAAAAAAUAAAAAAAUCAAGAGGACUCACUAUUUACUAUUUUGCCAAAAACAAAUAUCAUUUUUGUUCUCAAUUAAUGAGAGCAAUCUCCAUUUCUUCUCUCUAAGUGCUUAAAAGGCAAAAUAUACAUACAUAGUAGAAAAAACUUUAACUGAUGGUUAUGUUUGUUCACUUAUAUGAUCACAAUAAGUAAACAGAUCUUGUUGUUCAAAAAUAAAGAAAAACAUAUAUUAUGUUGAGUAUAUGCCAAUUAUGAAAUAAAUGUCAAUUAUGUCAUCAGAUACGAUAAUCACACAAGCAAAGCUAAAUUGAAUGGCAUGCCACUACAUCUCUAGCCAGGUUUUCAUUUUGAUACCCGGAAGAAGAAUCUGGCUGGUCGCUUUCAAUUGCGCCUAAAACUUUGUUCGGUGACAACGAUGUGGAGUUUGAACGAGAUUCCCUGGGAAGAUAAAAAAAGUCAUGAAUAAAUGAUUUUUUUCUAUGCAGUAGUUUGAACAUGCUCCUAUUGAUCAAUACUGAGAUGAAGCCCUCCUACUUGGUGUUGCUGCCUAAAAGGACACCUAAAAUGAUCGUCAAGGCCAUUCUAUUGGUCCUUCUAUUUUCUGGAAUGGCAUCAAGAAGUAACUUCCUCGAAUGGUAUGAUAGUUUUAGUACUUAGAAACCUAUUAUCCUUCUCAUUUUCUAGGCACAUAUUCUAUCACGUACAACCUGAUCCUUCUAUUUUCUGUUCAAGAAAACUGAAUUCCACUUUGAAUCAGAUUUAUUAUGAUAUUGUCCGCUUCAAAAAAUGAUUUAUUAUGAUAUUCCAAUAGUAAAAUGAAUUUCCAACAAGAAGUAGAAAAGCAAGUAUGAUUAAAAGGUAUUAUCGAAAAAGCAUAGCCAGAAAAAUAGGAACCACAAACUAUCUCAGAAAGAUUCCUUUGAAUUUAAAUAUUUUUAGCACGCGCUGACUUGGAACUCUAUGUGAGUAAGCUUGUACCAAUUUAUUUUCUAGGUUACGAUCCAAAAACAUUGCGAUAUUUACAGAAAUACUGGAAAAAUAUUUGUGUUAUUAUAUCCAAAAAGAGGUUUUGUGCCUCACAAGCACUCCAUCCAUUUAACACUGUAAAGUGAAAUAGCUGAUGUACACACUUUUUGAACUUUAAAAGUUCCAUAAUUUACAGAAGAUAAAAUGAUAAGUCAAUUGAUGACCAGACAAUGCUUGGAAACAAUAAGAAAACAUACGUUUCAGAUAACAGUAAAGGUUGAUUUUAUCACAAAAAAUAUAUAACACUAGUACUAUAUCAGGGAGAAAUUUACCGCAUACUUCUCUCCUCCGAUGUUGCCUCCAACAAACUUAUAUAAAACUGCGGUAUGGCUUGGAUCAGAUUUCCUGGGAGAAAAAGAUAAAUGAAACGAAAUGUUCUAUAGACGUCAAUAGAUGGCCCAACAAUAACUUGAAAAAGCAUUUUUUUGGAAAAGUGUAAAAGGAAAUUAAUAAACGUCACUUGAAUUAGAUUUGAUGUGUUUGUACACACCGACACCAAAAACCUUGCAAAUUGUUAUACAACCAUAAUAUUAAUAUCAUUUAUGAUUUCCAAAAAUUACCAAAAAGGAAACCUACAUGUAUACCUUUCAUAUAUUCAUAACAUAAAAGGAGAUAUGGGUGCAAUGGUCAUGGUGCUCAGCUGUGACGUAUCUGCAAUGUUGUCUGCUGUCCCAUCUAUAAUCUCUAUUUUUUUUACAAAAGUAACUAUUGCAAAAUAUACCCAGCAAGCUAGAUGUGUUGUAUCACUUAAAUUUAAACAAAUGAUAACACAAUCUUCAGAUUGAUAAAAUCACAUCAUCGUUGGAUAAAGAAUGCUGCUAACUGAGAGCGUGGAAAGUUCGUGACCUGUUGUGAUAACUGGAUACUAACAGAUAUUUCAGGAAGCAUACCCUCAUUUGAUUAGUAUUUUUAAACCAUGCAGACCGGAUUCCUUCUCUCUAUCAUAACUAAUUGUACACAUCAGCAUAAGUAUAAAAUCUUUUGAGGUACUAUGUUUAAAAAGAGACAGAGAACAAGGUAAUAAACAGAGAACAAUUGCUAUCAGUGUCUUUUUGUACCUGUAGUCAAAUGUAGGGAAAAUAUAAUGAAGAGCAUUCACUACUGAAUCCACUAUGGCGAUAUCUAUUAUAGAAGUAUCCAUCAUGUGGUUGUGUUGAACCUGUAAGCCAAAACAGGGCCCAGAAAGGUGAAAGACAAACAUCAAGAUGGUUAAAUUUGAACUCUGUUGUCAUAACUUAAGGGUUCAAACCUAACAAAUAAGUGAACUCUCCAAACAAAUUGCAGUCUUUUCUUAUAUAACGACAACCUUGACAGCGACCUUUUCCCCAUCAUGUGAUGUGGCGGCAUGGACUUGCGCAAGUGAAGCACUUGCAAGUGGAACAGGGUCAAAUUCUGCAAAAACCUACACCACUGGGAAUAGGGGAAAGCAGAAUUCUAUGUGAGAGUGUCUUCUAAACUAAAAACAAGCUGAUCAUAAAUAAAUGUUUUGAUUCAAGGUGAAUACUCCGUUGGUCAACAACUGAACUAAGCACGCUCAGUACCAUGUGUGAUUUUGCUAAUCAAUACAGUAACCAAGUUACUUUAGCCGGAUAGAGGAAAAUGCAGUAAUGCAAUCAAGGAACUAACAGUGUAUGGCAAUUAUCAUAUCUUUCUUGAAGACUCGACGACAUACUCGUAUCAGGAGGUUGUGCACCUCUUUCGCAUUGACGCCCUCAUCGUACAUCUACCGAGCACAUGUGAAGGACAAUCCCACUCUCCAACCUUCAAGGUCUCAAUAUUAUCAAUAGAAUUAAGGACAUGCCUUUUAUCAAUCUUCUUCGAAAAAUAUACCAUGUGCUCCUUCUCAUUAACAUUGAAGGUCACCCUUUCCUUUAUUGCAAUCAAUAAUAGCACCUGCGGUGUUAAGAAAAGCUCUACCAAGAAUAAUAGACAUGCUCCCAUCCUCGGUCAUGUCAAGCACAACAAAGUCAGUAAGGAUCAAGCAAUUAGCAACUUCAGCGGGAACAUCCUCACAAAUACCUACAGAAACGGAUGUUGACUUAUCAUCCAUUUGAAGAGAGAUAUCUGUAGGGAUUAGUUUAUCUAGACAUAGCCUUUUGUAAAGAGAGAAAGGCAUAACACUCACUCCUGCACCAAGAUCACAUAAAGCAGUUCUGACAUAAUUACUUUUUAUGGAGCAAGGAAUGGUGGCUAUACCUGGAUCACCAAGCUUCUCAAGAAUCUUGCCACUAAAAGAGUAAUUAGCAAGCAUAGUAGAUAUUGCCUCAUUAGGAACUUUUAUUUUAUUAGUAACAAUAUCUUUCGUAUACCUCGAGUACGGAGGCAACUUAAUAGCAUUAGUCAAAGGAAUUUGAAGAAAAAGAGGUUUCAUCCAUUCACAAAAUUUAUUGUAAUGCUCUUCUUCUUUGGUUUUGAAAGACUUACCUCGGAAGGGCAUUGAUUUAUGUACCCACGGUUCUCUUUCCUUCCCAUGUUUCCCUGCAACAAAAUCUUCUCUAGUAUAUCUCUUGCGCUUGUCGGGUGCUUCUUCCUCUCGUAUCUCAGGAGGAUCAAUCUUCUCAUUAUCUUUAUCAGGUUCAGCACCAUCUUCAGUUCCAACAUCGGAAAUAGAUAUACUAUUAGGAUCAAUAAUAGGUUCUUCAUCAAUUAUAGAAUCAUUGGAGUUGUCAGCCUCCUUGUGUUUGUUUUUCUUCUUUGGAGAGCUGACAACGUCUUCUUCCCGCAAUUGAGAAUCUUGCUCGAUCCUCUUUGGAUGCCCCUUCAGAUAAAGGGGGUCGUGGGUAUGUGUACCUCCCCGGGUCUUUAUUUCAUAUGCCUGCGUAUCAACUUGUUUGGCAUUGUUAGCAAGCAAAUCUUUUUGCACAUUAGAAAUUUGUUCAAGCUGAGUUUGAACCAUAUGAAAAUGCUUAACAAGACCUUUAACGUCACUAACAGUUCUACUUAAAACAUCAAGCAAACUUUUGAUAGCAAGGGAAUUAUCAUGCAAUUGGCUUUGAAUCCUCUCAUUAAAGUGAUUUUGCCGGACAAUAAAAUUAUCAAGCUCAUCUAAACAUUGAUCAGGGGGCUUACAAUGAGGGAUGUCACUUGCAUUGAAUUCUAAAAGAGAGUGUACCUCUACCAUAGGUGGGUGAGUGGUAGGCUCACAUAAUUGCUCACUAGGAGGUAGAUUCUUCACAUCUUCAGCUUUAAUACCUUUCUCUUUAAUAGACUUCUUUGCUUCUUGCAUAACUUCGGGGAUCAAGAAAAGCAUGCCCCUCUUCUUAGGUGGUGGAGAUGGCUCAGGAACGGACCAAUCAUCAUGAUUUUUACCUAUCUUGCCCAUUAACUCUUCGGCGUCGUCUCGUGUUCUUUCCCUGAAAACACAACCAACACAACUAUCCAGAUAGGUUCUAGAUUCAUCGGUUAGACCAGCAUAAAUAUAUCAAGAAAUUCAUUAUUAGGGAUUCCAUGUACCGGUCUAGCCUUAUGCAAAGUGCAAUACCUCCACCAAGCUUUAGGGAGGUGCUCAUACUGCAACUGUUUAAAGUUAUAAAUUCUUUGUGAAGCAGCAUGUUGCUUAUGAGGAGGAAAAUAUUUAGCAACAAAAGAUUGAGCUAAAUCUUGAGGACUCUUAAUGGACCCACAUGGUAGUGCAUCAUACCAUGCUUUAGCAUCUUCCUUCGAAGAGGAAGGAAGUAGCUUAGUAACAUAAUAAUUUCUCUUCUUGUCCUCUGUAGUGAAUAAGCCACCCAACUCAGUGAGUUUGGUAAGGUGUGCAAUAGCAUCGUCAUCUUCUCUGCCAUAAAAGGGGCCAUCUUCAACUAUGGAUAUAAGUGAAAGAUCAACAGAGAAAUCAAAAUCAACAUCCUCAAUACAAAUAGGAGAUGAAGCAAACUUAGGAUCAGGAGUAAACUUGUUCUUCAUAGAAUGCUUUUCAAGCAGCUUCUUAACAGAAGCAGGGUCAGAGUCAGCACACUCUGUAAGUUCCCUACAUAAAUCAUCAUCAAGUUCAAUAUAAUCAUCAUCAAGAAUUCUUUCCUUGAGACCACUCAGGUCUGGGUAACCAAAAGAUCUACCAAUGGGGUAGCGUGUAACAGGAAAUUCAAUUCCAGUCUGCUUAGCAGCCUUAGCAAUCUGAGACUCAAUAAAAUAACCAAGUAAAUCAGGCUCAUUAAUAGUAGUGGAACCAUCAUAAGUAUCAGGCAUAGUGACAGACUCGAUAGAAGCAACAUGUGAUGGUGGUGAAGCAAACUUACUCAUAACGGAAGGUCAAUCAAGCGUAGCGCUAGUGCUAAGAACAAUACCUUUUCCUAUAGUGGAUGGUAAAAUUGGAACCUUGGGGUCUCCUUUCUUACCCAUAGUGAAUAAAUCGCAGCAAGCAAAAUAACUCCAAGUAGACUUGUAAAUAAAGCUAUGCUCCCCGGAAACGGUGGCAGAAAAAAGGUCUUGAUAACCCACAAGUGUAGGGUAUCGCAACAGUAUUCGCGGGUAAGUUAACCUAAUUUAUUGAUUUGACACAAGGGGAGCCAAAGAAUAUUUAUAAGCUUUAACAGUUGAGUUGUCAAUUCAUCCGCACCUGAAAGAUACUUUGCUUGGUGAUACAUCUCCAACGUAUCUAUAAUUUUUGAUUGUUCCAUGCUAUUAUAUUAUCAACUUGGGAUGUCUUAUAUGCAUUUAUAUGCCAUUUUAUAUCAUUUUUGGGACUAACAUAUUAACUCAGUGCCUAGUGCCAGUUUCUGUUUUUUUCCCGUGUUUUUGACCUUUUUUAGAAAAUAAUAUUAAACAGAGUUCAAACGGAAUAAAACCUGCGGGAUGAUUUUUUCCGUAACAGAAGAUACACAGAGGACUUGAGAACCAAGGCAGGAGGUCUCGUGGGAGGUCACGAGCCCCCUAGGCGUGCCCUAGGGGGGCACCUAGCAGGCUCAUGGGCCCCCCGUGGCUCUUCUGCCCUACCUCUUUCGCCUAUAAAUUCCCAAAAAUCCCAAAAUCAACACAGAGAGCCAUGGAAAUACUUUUCCGCCGCCGCAAGCUUCUGUCUCCGCAAGAUCCCCUCUGGGGACCGUUCUGGUGCCCUGCUGGAGGGGGAUUCGGACACGGAGGGCUUCUUCAUCAACACCAUUGCCUCUCCGAUGAUGCGUAAGUAGUUCACCACAGACCUCCGGGUCGAUAGCUAGUAGCUAGAUGGCUUCUUCUCUCUCUUGGAUCUUCAAUAGAAAGUUCUCCAUGAUCUUCAUGGAGAUCUAUCCGAUGUAACUUUCUUUUGCGGUGUGUUUGUCGAGAUCCGAUGAAUUGUGGAUUUAUGAUCAGAUUAUCUAUGAAUAUUAUUUGAGUCUCCUGUGAUUUCUUAUAUGCAUGAUUUCAUAUCCUUGUAAUUCUCUUCGAGUUAUGGGUUUCGUUUGGCCAACUUGAUCUAUAAUUCUUGCAAUGGGAGAAGUGCUUGGUUUUGGGUUCNNNNNNNNNNNNNNNNNNNNNNNNNNNNNNNNNNNNNNNNNNNNNNNNNNNNNNNNNNNNNNNNNNNNNNNNNNNNNNNNNNNNNNNNNNNNNNNNNNNNNNNNNNNNNNNNNNNNNNNNNNNNNNNNNNNNNNNNNNNNNNNNNNNNNNNNNNNNNNNNNNNNNNNNNNNNNNNNNNNNNNNNNNNNNNNNNNNNNNNNNNNNNNNNNNNNNNNNNNNNNNNNNNNNNNAUUCUUGCAAUGGGAGAAGUGCUUGGUUUUGGGUUCAUACCGUGCGGUGUCCUCACCUAGUGACAGAAGGGGUAGCAAGGCAUGCAUCGUGUUGUUGCCAUCAAGGGUAAAAUAUGGGGUUUAUAUCAUAUUGCAUGAAUUUAUCCCUCUACAUCAUGUAAUCUUGCUUAAGGAGUUACUCCGUUUGUUAUGAACUUAAUACACUAGAUGUAUGCUGGAUAGCGGUCGAUGUGUGGAGUAAUAGUAGUAGAUGCAUACAGUAUCGGUCUACUUGUCUCGGACGUGAUGCCUAUAUGUAUGAUCAUUGCCUUAGAUAUCGUCAUGACUUUGCGCGAUUCUAUCAAUUGCUCGACAGUAAUUCAUUCACCCAUCGUAAUACUUGCUAUCAUGAGAGAAGCCUCUAGUGAACACUAUGGCCCCCGAGUCUAUUUUACACAUCAUAUAUUCAGAUCUACAAAAAAUACCAAAAAUACUUUGAUGCACUUUUAUUUCUUUUUAUCUUUUAUGACCUUCAGAUCUCACCUUGCAAGUAAUCGUGAAGGGAUUGACAACCCCUUUAUCGCGUUGGGUGCAAGUUUGUUUGCUUUUGCGCAGGUUCAUUGGUGCCUCAUACUCCUACUGGAUUGAUACCUUGUUCUCAAACUGAGGCAAAUACUUAUCUCUACUUUGCUGCAUCACCCUUUCCUCUUCAAGGGAAAAACCAACGCAAGCUCAAGAAGUAGUAGGAAGAAUUUCUGGCGCCGCUGCCAGGGAGUAUUCAAGUGAAGCAUAUCUACCAAGUACCUAUCGCAAACUCAUCUCUCGCAUUUACAUUAUUUGCCUUUUUCCUCUCAUAUUCCUCUCCCCCACUACUAAAAAAUAAAAUUUACAAAAAUAUUUGCCUUUUUCGUCCGCCCUUUCUUUUGCUUGCUUUCUGUUUGCUUGUGUGCUUGUGUGCUUGCUAAGUCACCAUGUCUGAAAACACCAAAUUGUGUGAUUCUCCAAUACUAAUAACAAUGAUUUUAUUAGUACCCCAAUUGCUCCCGCCACCAGUGUCGAAUCAUAUGAAAUUAAUGCUGCCUUGUUGAAUCUUGUUAUGAAAGAGCAAUUUUCCGGCCUUCCUAGUGAAGAUGCCGCAUCCCAUCUUAAUACCUUUAUUGAGUUAUGCGAUAUGCGAAAGAAGAAAGAUGUGGAUAAUUAUAUGAUUAAAUUGAAUCUAUUUCCAUUCUCAUUACGAGAUCGAGCAAAAACUCGGUCUUCAUCUUUACCCAAAAAUAGUAUUGGUUCAUGGAACAAGUGUAAAGAUGCCUUUAUUUCCAAGUAUUUUCCACCAGCUAAGAUUAUCUCUCUCCGUAAUGAUAUCAUGAAUUUUAAGCAAUUAGAUCAUGAACAUGUUGCACAAUCUUGGGAGAGAAUGAAAUUGAUGAUUAGAAAUUGUCCCGCUCAUGGCCUGAGUCUUUGGAUGAUUAUACAAAUUUUCUAUGCUGGUUUGAAUUUUGCUUCUAGAAAUACCUUGGAUACCGCCUCUGGUGGAACUUUUAUGGAAAUCACACUAGGAGAAGCCACAAAAGUCCUAGAUAAUAUCAUGACAAAUUAUUCUCAAUGGCACACUGAAAGGUCACCUACUAGUAAAAAAGUGCAUGCUAUAGAAGAAAUUAACACUUUGAGUGCUAAGAUGGAUGAGUUAAUGAAGUUGUUUGCUAGUAAAAGUGCUCCUCUAGAUCCAAAUGACAUGCCUUUGUCUUCCUUGAUUGAGAAUUGCAAUGAAAAUUUGGAUGUUAAUUUUGUUGGUAGGAAUAAUUUUGUAACAACAAUGCUUAUAGAGGUAACUUUAAUUCUAGGCCUUUUCCUAGUAAUCCCUCUAAUAAUUUUGGCAAUUCCUACAACAAUGCUCAUGGAAAUUAUAAUAAAUUACCCUCUGAUCUUGGGAGUAAUAUUAAAGAGUUUAUUACUUUGCAAAAGAUUUUCAAUGCUUCCAUGGAAGAAAAACUGCUUAAAAUUGAUGACUUGGCUAGGACUGUUGAUAGAAUGUCUCUUGAUAUUGAUGCUUUGAAAUUGAGAUGUGCUCCUCCCAAGAUUAAUAUGGAUGAAACUUUGAAAUCUAUGCGUGUUUCCAUGAAUGAGAGUAAAGAAAGAACCGCCCAAAUUCGUGCUAGACAUGAAUGGCUUAAAAAGGCGUGUUCUCGUGAUAAGAAUCACGAAGAUCUUAAAGUGCUUGGUGUGACUCCUAUUUAAUCCUUGUUUUCUAAUGUCAAUCCUAAUGAUGAUGGGGCUGGAUGUGAAUCCACUUUGGUUGAGAAACGCCACAAUGAUUCGGAGUCUACUUAUCUUGAUGCUAAAAAUACUGAAAGUGGAGUAGAGGAUAUCAAAACUUUGAGUAGUGAUGAAGUUACUACCUUGGAUUUCAAGGAAUUUAAUUAUGAGAGUUGCUCUUUGAUUGAAUGUAUUUCCUUUAUGCAAUCCAUGCUAAAAUCUCCACAUGCUUAUAGCCAAAAUAAGGCUUUUACCGAUCAUAUCGUUGAUGCUAUGAUGAAAUCUCUUGAAGAGAAACUUGUGUUGGAGAUAUCUAUUCCUAGAAAACUUCAUGAUGAGUGGGAACCUAUUAUAAAAAUCAAGAUUAAAAAUUAUGAAUGCCAUGCUUUAUGUGAUUUGGGUGCUAGUGUUUCCACAAUUCCAAAAUCUUUAUGUGAUGUUCUAGGCUUCAAUGAGAUUGAUGAGUGCUCUCUUAAUUUGCAUCUUGCGGAUUCUACUAUUAAGAAACCUAUGGGAAGGAUCAAUGAUGUUCUUAUUAUUGCAAAUAGGAACUAUGUGCCCGUAGAUUUCAUUGUGCUUGAUAUUGAUUGCAAUUCGACAUGUCCCGUUAUUCUUGGUAGACCUUUCCUUAGGACUAUUGGUGCUGUUAUUGAUAUGAAGGAAGGGAAUAUUAAAUUUCAAUUUCCAUUAAAGAAGGGCAUAGAACACUUUCCUAGAAAGAAAAUAAGAUUGCCUUAUGAAUCCAUUAUGAGAGCUACUUAUGGUUUGAGCACUAAGGAUGACGAUACUUGAUUCUAUUGCCUUAUGCCUAGCUAAGGGUGUUAAACGAUAGCGCUUGUUGGGAGGCAACCCAAUGAAUAAAUUUAUUUUUGCUUUUUUACUUUCCGUUUUGUUGAGUCCACACCAUCAUGAUUCUGCUAUGAUUGUGUUUUUUAUGUCUUAAUUAGUGUUUGUGCCAAGUAGAACCUUUAUGAUUAGUUUUGGUGAUAGUUGUUUAAUCAUGCUGAAAAAGACAGAAACUUUGUGUUCACGAAAUUAUUUUUAAUUCCUAUCCAGAAAGAUCUUUUGAGUUGAUUAUUUUUCUUCUGGUUGAUAUGCAAAUUUCCCUAAUUUUCAUAAUUGUUCAGAAUUUUUGGGAUACCAGAGGUAUACGAAAUAUACAUAUUACUACAGAUUGUUCUGUUUUUGAUAGAUUCUGUUUUUGUUGUGUUGAUUGCUUAUUUUGAUGAAACUAUGGUUAGUAUCGGGGGGUACGAGCCAUGGAAAAGUGAGAAACAGUAAUAUAACAUCAAUCUAAAUAGAAAUCUAGUUUACUACAGUACCUAAAAAGUUGGUAGUUUGUUUUCUUAUGCUAAUGAUAUCACGAGUUUCUGUUUAAGUUUUGUGUUGUGAAGUUUUCAAGUUUUGGGUGAUGUUAUUAUGGACAAUGGAAUAAAGAGUGGAAAGAGCUUAAGCAUGGGGAUUCCCAAGUCAUCCCAAGCCAAAUCCAAGGACACCAAAAAGCCUAAGCUUAGGGAUGCCCCUGGAAGGCAUCCCCUCUUUCGUCUUCAAUCCAUCGGUAACGUUACAUGUAGCUAUAUUUUUAUUCACCACAUGAUAUGUGUUUUGCUUGGAGCGUCGUGUAUUAUAGGAGUCUUUGCUUUUUUUAUCGCAAUUGUCCUUACUACACACCUUUUUGAGAGGGACAUGCACUCAUCGUGAAUUUGUUAGAAUACUCAAUGAGCUUCACUUAUAUCCCUUGAGCUAGGCAAUUUAGCUCCCAUGAGCUUCACUUAUAUCUUGUGAGCUAGAUAAUUUUUCUCUAGUGCUUCACUUAAAUCUUUUUAGGGCACGGCGGUGUCAUAUUUUGUAGAAAUAAAAACUCUCGAUCUUCACUUAUAUCAUUUUGAGAGCGCUCUCUCUAGGUAACUUGGUAAUUGGCAUGUGCUAUGAAAUUAGUCCUAAAUAUAAUAGGCAUCCCAAGAGGAUAUAAUAAAAAGUAUCAUAUUCAAGUGCAUUGAUUAGUAAGAGAAGUUUGAUUCCUCUCAAUUAGUUUUGAGAUAUGGAUAUGGUAAUAUUAGAGUUAUGUUAGUAGGGUGUUGUGAAUCUAGAAAUACUUGUGUUGAGGUUAGUGAUUCCCGUAGCAUGCACGUAUGGUGAACCGCUAUGUUAGGAAGUCGGAGCAUAAUUGAUCUAUUGAUUGUCAUCCUUUGUGUUGAGGUCGGGAUCGUGUGAUGGUUAACACCUACCAACCCUUCCCCUAGGAGUAUGCGUUUAGCACUUUGUUUCGAUUACUAAUAAAACUUUUGCAAUAAGUAUAUGAAUUCUUCAUGACUAAUGUGAGUCCAUGGUAUAAAUGCACUCCCACCUUCCACCAUUGCUAGCCUCUCUAGUGCCGCGCAACUUUCGCCGGUGCACAAACCACCAUAUGCCUUCCUCAAAACAGCCACCAUACCUACCUAUUAUGGCAUUUUCACAACCAUUCUGAGAUAUAUUUCCAUGCAACUUCCACCGUUCCGUCUCAUGACAUGUGCCAUCACUUUCAUAUUGCCAUUGCAUGAUCGUAAGAUAGCUAGCGAGAUGUUCCAACUUCAUACGCUAAGCUAGAUCGUUGCACAUCCCGGUACACUGCCGGAGGCAUUUCAUAUAGAGUCAUUAUUGUUCUAAGUAUCGAGUCGCAAGUAAAUAAAAGUGUGAUGAUCAUCAUUAUUAGAGCAUUGUCCCAUGUGAGGAAAAAAAAGAGGCCAAAGAUGCCCACCAAAAAAAAGAGGAGGCCAAAGAGCCCAAAAAAAUGAUGAGAGAAAAAGAGAGAAGGGGCAAUGCUACUAUCUUUUUCCACACUUGUGCUUGAAAAUAGCACCGUGUUCUUCAUGAUAGAGAGUCUCUUGUUUUGUCACUUACAUAUACUAGUGAGAAUUUUCAUUAUAUAACUUGGCUUGUAUAUUCCAAUGAUGGGCUUCCUCAAAAUUGCCCUAGGUCUUCGUGAGCAAGCAAGUUGGGUGCACACCCACUAGUUUUCUUUUUGAGCUUUCAUACACUUAUAACUCUAGUGCAUCCGUUGCAUGGCAAUCCCUACUCAUUCACAUUGAUAUCUGUUGAUGGGCAUCUCCAUAGCCCAUUGAUACGCCAAUUCGAUGUGACCAUCUCCUCCUUUUUGCCUCACAACCUCCACCACACUCUAUUCCACCCAUAGUGCUAUAUCCAUGGCUCACGCUCAUGUAUUGCGUGAGAGUUGAAAAAGUUUGAGAAGGUAAGAGUGCGAAAACAAUUACUUGGCCAAUACCGGGGUUGUGCAUGAUUUAAAUUCUUUGUGUGGGGAUGAUGGAGCAUAGCCAGACUAUAUGAUUUUGUAGGGAUUACUUUCUUUGGCCUUGUUAUUUCAAAAGUUCAUGAUUACUUUGCUAGUAUGCUUGAAGUAUUAUUGUUUUCAUGUCAAUAUUAAACUAUUGUUUUGAAUCUUACGGAUCUGAACAUUCAUGCCACAGUAAAGAAGUUACAAAGAACAAAUAUGUUAGGUAGCAUUCCACAUCAAAAAUUCGGUCUUUAUCACUUCCCUACUCGAGGACGAGCAGGAGUUAAGCUUGGGGAUGCUUGAUACGUCUCCAACGUAUCUAUAUUUUUUUUAUUGUUCCAUGCUAUUAUAUUAUCAACUUGGGAUGUCUUAUAUGCAUUUAUAUGCCAUUUUAUAUCAUUUUUGGGACUAACCUAUUAACUCAGUGCCUAGUGCCAGUUUCUGUUUUUCCGUGUUUUUGACCUUUUUUAGAAAAGAAUAUUAAACGGAGUCCAAACGGAAUAAAACCCGCGGGAUGAUUUUUUCCAUAACAGAAGAUACGCAGAGGACAUGAGAACCAAGGCAGGAGCUCUCGUGGGAGGUCACGAGCCCCCUAGGCGCGCCCUAGGGGGGGGCGCCUAGCUAGCUCAUGCCCCCCAAUGGCUCCUCUGCCCUACCUCUUUCGCCUAUAAAUUCCCAAAAAUCCCGAAACCAACAGAGAGAGCCACGAAAAUACUUUUCCGCCGCCGCAAGCUUCUGUCUCCGCAAGAUCCCUUCUGGGGACCGUUCUGGUGCCCUGCCGAAGGGGGAUUCGGACAUGGAGGGCUUCUUCAUCAACACCAUUACCUCUCAGAUGAUGCGUGAGUAGUUCACCACAGACCUUCGGGUCCAUAGCUAGCAACUAGAUGGCUUCUUCUCUCUCUUGGAUCUUCAAUACAAAGUUCUCCAUGAUCUUCAUGGAGAUCUAUCCGAUGUAAAUUUCUUUUGAGGUGUGUUUGUCGAGAUCCAAUGAAUUAUGGAUUUAUGAUCAGAUUAUCUAUGAAUAUUACUUGAGUCUCCUCUGAUUUCUUACAUGCAUGAUUUCGUAUCCUUGUAAUUCUCUUCGAGUUAUGGGUUUCGUUUGGCCAACUUGAUCUAUAAUUCUUGCAAUGGGAGAAGUGCUUGGUUUUGGGUUCNNNNNNNNNNNNNNNNNNNNNNNNNNNNNNNNNNNNNNNNNNNNNNNNNNNNNNNNNNNNNNNNNNNNNNNNNNNNNNNNNNNNNNNNNNNNNNNNNNNNNNNNNNNNNNNNNNNNNNNNNNNNNNNNNNNNNNNNNNNNNNNNNNNNNNNNNNNNNNNNNNNNNNNNNNNNNNNNNNNNNNNNNNNNNNNNNNNNNNNNNNNNNNNNNNNNUGGCCAACUAGAUCUAUGAUUCUUGCAAUGGGAGAAGUGCUUGGUUUUGGGUUCAUACCGUGCAGUGUCCUCACCUAGUGACAUAAGGGGUAGCGAGGCACGCAUCGUGUUGUUGCCAUCAAUGGUAAAAAGAUGGGGUUUAUAUCAUACUGCAUGAAUUUAUUCCUCUACAUCAUGUCAUCUUGCUUAAGGCGUUACUCCGUUUGUUAUGAACUUAAUACACUAGAUGCAUGCUGGAUAGUGGUCGAUGUGUGGAGUAAUAGUAGUAGAUGCAGAAAGUAUCGGUCUACUUGUCUCGGACGUGAUGCCUAUAUGUAUGAUCAUUGCCUUAUAUAUCGUCAUGACUUUGCGCGAUUCUAUCAAUUGCUCGACAGUAAUUUGUUCACCCACCGUAAUACUUUCUAUCAUGAGAGAAGCCUCUAGUGAACACUAUGGCCCCCGGGUCUAUUUUACACAUCAUAUAUUCAGAUCUACAAAAAAAUACCAAAAAUACUUUGCUGCAUUUUUAUUCCUUUUUACCUUUUAUCACCUUCAGAUCUCACCUUGCGAGUAAUCGUGAAGGGAUUGACAACCCCUUUAUCGCGUUGGGUGCAAGUUUGUUUGCUUUUGCGCAGGUUCAUUGGUGCCUCAUCUUGAUACUCCUACUAGAUUGAUACCUUGGUUCUCAAACUGAGGGAAAUACUUAUCUCUACUUUGCUGCAUCACCCUUUCCUCUUCAAGGGAAAAACCAACGCAAGCUCAAGAAGUAGCACUUGGCAACGAAAUAUUAGUAGCAACGGUAAUAUGGAAGUGUUGAUGGUAACGGAAAUAAUAGUGGUAAAGCAACGAAAGUAAAACUACGAAAGUAAAGCAACUCGUAACUAGCAGUAUAAAAACAUUGUAGGCUAGGGAGAUGGAUGGUUGGUCAUGGAUGAGAGAUAUCAUGUAUUUCAGUAGGGGCAAGGCACAUAGAAAAUUAAUGAUCAUCUAGGCAUAUAUCAAACAUUAUGCAUGUAUCCCAAGGUAGUCGUGCGUGCUUGCAAUAAGAAAUUGCACAACAUCUUUUGUCCUACCAUCCCGCUAUCAACGGGGCCAAAAGGAACUUAUGGAGAUUAAGGUGCUCCUGUCAAACAACACCGAAACAAAGCAUUAACAAUCAAUGGAUACAUGGAGUCCUCAAACUGUAGUCUAUCCCCUUUGGUGUCCCAAGUUGUCACCAUUGGGAUCGCCGGUUCCGGACUACAAUAGGUGCAUACUACUCAUAGAUAGGAUCUAGAACACAAAUAUAUUCAUGAAAACAUAAAGAAUGCAUAUCUGAAAUCAUGGCACUCGGGCCCAAAGUGACAAGCACUGAUAGUAACAAGUAGUAGCAAACAUGAUAAACACCAUAGUAGAUGAUAGGCAACAUGCCCCCAACAUUUCGAAGAACUAUUACAUGAUCUAACUCAUCCAAUCUCCCCCAACCCCUUCACCUACAGCAGGGAAUUACUCACACAUGAUGGGAGAAGCCAUGGGAGGAUGAUGGAGUGGUGAUGGUGAUGACGAUAGCGACAAUUUCCCCUCUCUGGAGGCCAAAACAACCUCCAGAUUAGCACUCCUGAAGAAGAACCGAGGGUGGCCGCGGCUCCGUGUCGAGAACUUGCAAAACGACUGGUGAUCUGGGAUUUUCUCGUCACGGGUAAAAAUAGGAGCCAAAGUAGGGCACCAGAGGGGGUGAACCCCACCAAGUCGGCCUCCCAACGCGGCUAGGGGGCAGGCCGCGCCAGCAGGUCGCCUGCGGGCCCUGUGGCUCCCCUCUCGCCCAUCUUUUGGCCCAAGGUUCCUCCCGGUGCAUGGAUUUUCUCUAUCUUUAUGGGAAUUUUCCGGGACGUCUAAAUAUCCAUUUUCCUGCACACAAGAAAAUCAUACGGGCAACUCUGCUGAAAACAACGUCAGUCCGGGUUAGUUUCAUUGAAAUCAUGCAAGAAUGAGGUAAAAAAUUAGCAAAAGUGUUUGGAAAAGUCGAUACGUUUGAGACGUAUCAACCGUGUGUUGAAGAAGUCAUCCCAAACAACGAAGAAAUUUGGGCUGGUGCACCUGAGGAAAUUGCUCCAGCUCAAAUUCUUCAACCCGAUCAAAGUCUUCAACCCGAUCAAAGUCUUCAACCCGCGCAUCCAAGGAUUGCAAAUUAAGUACAGAUAGACAAAAUCCUCGAUGACAUUAAUGUGGCAGGUCCCCUCACUCGCUCAAAAUCUUCACAUUUAACUAUCUUUUGUGGGCAUUCUUCCUUUGUGUCUAUCACAUAAUGCUCAUAAGUUAAUGAAGCCGUCAUGGAACCUGAGUGGAUUCAAGCAAUGCAAAGAAGAACUUCAUCAAUUCAAGCUCAAUAAUGUGUGGGAACUCGUCAAGCGGCCUGAUCCUCGCAAGCACAAUGUCAUCGGUACCAAGUGGAUCUACCUAAACAAGCAAGACGAAGAUGGUCAGGUAGUGAGGAACAAGGUACGACUUGUAGCCCAAGGCUAUACACAAGUUGAAGGAAUUGGCUUUGAUGAAACUUUUGCACCUAUUGCUAGACUUGAAGCUAUUCGUAUAUUGCUUGCUUAUGCUAACCAUCACAAUAUCACAUUGUAUCAAAUGGAUAUGAAAAGUGCAUUCCUCAAUGGUAAGCUUGAGGAAAAAUUAUAUGUUGCUCAACCCCGAGGUUUUGAAGACCCAAAGCAUCGUGACAAAGUCUUCAGACUCAACAAGGCUCUCUAUGGCUUCAAGCCAUCCCCUCGGGCAUGGUAUAUGACACAUUGAAGGAAUUCCUAGUGAAGAAGGGCUUCAAACAUGGUUCAGUCUGUUGGGGAACGUCGCAUGGGAAACACAAAUUUUCCUACGCGCACGAANNNNNNNNNNNNNNNNNNNNNNNNNNNNNNNNNNNNNNNNNNNNNNNNNNNNNNNNNNNNNNNNNNNNNNNNNNNNNNNNNNNNNNNNNNNNNNNNNNNNAGGAGGAACAAUUUAUUGAGGCAAAACUAGAAACUUUUAAAUUUGCCACAAUUAAUUGGAAGGGAGGGAGUUUUUGAAACUAUGGUGCAACAAGGGGUUUUGAAUGGCUUUUUUGCACCCACUCACAUGCACAAGAUCACAACCACACAUCACCACAUGAUCAUCAAGGUGGCACAACACACAAGAUCAAACCAUCAAGCCAAAAGGAAAAGAAGCAAGAUAUGCAUGAUGCAUGAGAUGCACAUGAAAUGAUAAUGCCACAAGCCUCAACUCCAUAACAUUGCCUCAACAUAGUUGCCAAACAAGGAAAGGAUUACAAAAGGUGAAAGAAAAGCACUUGGGCUGUUACAUGCCGUCCUAGGGGUGGACAUUUUCGGCGAGGAGGGAUGCAGGGCCUAAGGGGGCUCCCGAGCAUCGAACCUCAGGAGCCUCAAAGGACAGGGUGCGGGGCCAGGGCCCGCAAACAUAGGGAGCCAAAAGGGUCUCCAUCUCAUCCCACCUACAGAGCAGGAGCUACUCAGGAGGAGCUACGGAAGGGACCGGUGCAAGCCCACGAGCUAAGUACUUCGCAAGCCCAGAUGGGGGUCAUUUAGUUUCACGCCAAACUAACGACAAAUUAAAAACAUGUGUACUAACGAAGGGAUGCAGGGCCUUAGGAUUCAGCUGCAGCGAGGGACGAGGCCGACGACCAAGCGUGCAGCGGCACGAGCGGGGCCUCAGGAGGACGGGACCUACCGAGGACCCUAGUUGCCGUUACUCCCAAGCGAUGACUGGGGCAGCGACGAGCCCUAUGCAAAGAAGUCGAGCUGCAACGACUACCGGCAAGCGAGAAAUCGACACACGAGCGAAAGGAAAAACGUAAAACAACGAAGGUAACGAACGAAAGGUUAACGACCAACAGUGCAGAGUUCUUGGUUUGACGUUACACGAGAAGGAAACGGAAGCUGGGAUACGCCUAGGGGGAAAGGCCCCAAGCACCGCCCUUGGCUCCUGUGGGCUCAUCGUCGAAGGCCUCCUCCUCGCUGGACAUAGGCAACCGGACGUACUGCUCCACCAGGGCGUCCACGUGCGGGCGCACUUCAUCCCGGAGAAGGCGCCGGGGCUCGGCGGGCAUGGGCUCGACGACGCGCUGGAGAUCGAGCUCCGGGACAAGGCGACGCUGGUUGGAGAAGACAAGCGUCAAGGCAAGGCCCAGAAGCUCGUGCGCAUCGGACUGUUGGAAUUAUGCCCUAGAGGCAAUAAUAAAUGUAUAGUUAUUAUUAUAAUUCCUGUAUCAAGAUAAUAAUUUAUUAUCCAUGCUAUAAUUGUAUUGAAUGAAGACUCAUUUACAUGUGUGGAUACAUAGACAAAACACCGUCCCUAGCAUGCCUCUAGUUGGCUAGCCAGUUGAUCGAUGAUAGUCAGUGUCUUCUGAUUAUGAACAAGGUGUUGUUGCUUGAUAACUGGAUCACGUCAUUGGGAGAAUCACGUGAUGGACUAGACCCAAACUAAUAGACGUAGCAUGUUGAUCGUGUCAUUUUGUUGCUACUGUUUUCUGCGUGUCAAGUAUUUAUUCCUAUGACCAUGAGAUCAUAUAACUCACUGACACCGGAGGAAUGCUUUGUGUGUGUCAAACGUCGCAACGUAACUGGGUGACUAUAAAGAUGCUCUACAGGUAUCUCCGAAGGUGUUAGUUGAGUUAGUAUGGAUCAAGACUGGGAUUUGUCACUCCGUGUGACGGAGAGGUAUCUCAGGGCCCACUCGGUAAUACAACAUCACACACAAGCCUUGCAAGCAAUGUAACUUAGUGUAAGUUGCGGGAUCUUGUAUUAUGGAACGAGUAAAGAGACUUGCCGGUAAACGAGAUUGAAAUAGGUAUGCGGAUACUGACGAUCGAAUCUCGGGCAAGUAACAUACCGAAGGACAAAGGGAAUGACAUACGGGAUUAUACGAAUCCUUGGCACUGAGGUUCAAACGAUAAGAUCUUCGUAGAAUAUGUAGGAUCCAAUAUGGACAUCCAGGUCCCGCUAUUGGAUAUUGACCGAGGAGUCUCUCGGGUCAUGUCUACAUAGUUCUCGAACCCGCAGGGUCUGCACACUUAAGGUUCGACGUUGUUUUAUGCGUAUUUGAGUUAUAUGGUUGGUUACCGAAUGUUGUUCGGAGUCCCGGAUGAGAUCACGGACGUCACGAGGGUUUCCGAAUGGUCCGGAAACGAAGGUUGAUAUAUAGGAUGACCUCAUUUGAUUACCGGAAGGUUUUCGGAGUUACCGGGAAUGUACAGGGAAUGACGAAUGGGUUCCGGGAGUUCACCGGGGGGGGGGGCAACCCACCCCGGGGAAGCCCAUAGGCUUUGGGGAGACACACCAGCCCUUAGUGGGCUGGUGGGACAGCCCCAAGGGGGCCUAUGCGCCAAGAGAAGGAAAUCAAAGGAAAAGAAAAAAAAGGAGGGAGGAAGUGGGAAGGGAGGGGGACUCCUCCCACCAAACCAAGUCCAACUCGGUUUGGGGGGGGGGGAGGUCCUCCCCCCCUUGGCUCGGCCGACCCCCAAGGCAAGGUCCCCCUCCCUCCUCCUAUAUAUAUGGAGCAAUUAGGGAUGAUUUGAGACGACUUUCUCACGGCUGCCCGACCACAUACCUCCAUAGUUUUUCCUCUAGAUCGCGUUUCUGCGGAGCUCGGGCGGAGCCCUGCCGAGACAAGAUCAUCACCAACCUCCGGAGCGCCGUCACGCUGCCGGAGAAAUCUUCUACCUCUCCGUCUCUCUUGCUGGAUCAAGAAGGCCGAGAUCAUCGUCGAGCUGUACGUGUGCUGAACGCGGAGGUGCCGUCCGUUCGGUACUAGAUCGUGGGACUGAUCACGGGAUUGUUCGCGGGGCGGAUCGAGGGACGUGAGGACGUUCCACUACAUCAACCGCGUUCUCUAACGCUUCUGCUGUACGAUCUACAAGGGUACCUAGAUCACUCAUCCCCUCUCGUAGAUGGACAUCACCAUGAUAGGUCUUCGUGCGCGUAGGAAAUUUUUUGUUUCCCAUGCGACGUUCCCCAACACGGACGUGCUCUCCUCCUCCACCCGGGUAACGCCGACCUCGAGCGCCUCCACCACCUUCUCAAAGAAGGCGAGGUAGCCCCUAUCGCUCCUCACGUUUUGCAGCGCCGAGGCCUCCCCCGCAAGUCGGCGCGUCACGUCAGCUACCCGGCCGGCGAUGCCCGCGAACUGCUUGGCGUGCUGGGACGCCCUCAUCCGGGCGAACGAUGCCUCGUUGUUGUCUGCCAAGACGGCGUCGGUCGCCUACUGGACCUGCUUCUGAAGCGACGACAACUCGUCCUUGGCCUACGCUUCGCCCUCGCGGGCGGCGUGGACACUACAAGAAUCAGAUACUUUGCCGUCUGCCAUGGCGGACGGCAAAGGGGAGCACCCUGGAUGGCAAAGGCCUUUGCCGUUCGUCUGCAGACGGCAAACUGCACGGCAAAGAAAAAUCCGUUAAAGAGGUUCUUUUCCGUCUGCCUUGGCCCCGCGGUCGGCAAAGAAACUUUGCCCGGGGGGGGGGGUAGACGACAAAGAACAUCGACGACAGAUCCGCGGGCUAGGGUCGUCAAGUCGUAACGAUAGCCUUUGCCGUGUGCUGGGCCCACCAUCCCUUUGCCGUCUGUCAUGGACCCCUUUGCCAUGUGUGGGAAAACGACAAAGAUGGCAAAUAGUCCUGGCCUUCAAGGCCUUUGCCGUCUGCUGGGCUCCCUUUGCCGUCGGUGGGCGGACGACAAAGAAACCAAAAUGCCCCUGUUUAUUUUAUUUUUUAUUAUAUCCAACAAUUUUCACAGGAAUAUAUGAUAUAUAUAUAUAUAUAUAUACAUAUAUCAUAGAAAUAAUGUUGUUGCCAUACUGAUAACCAUAUUAAAAUAAGUUUAAUCCAUCCAUACAUACAUAUUAUGCAAGUUUGAUCCGUACCAAACCAUAUAUUACAAUAGUUUCAUCCAUACAUACAAAGUUUCAUAUCCAUAUAUUACAACAGUUUCAUCCAUACAUAUUAUCCAAAAAACAUAUAAGUAACCCAAGCACUCCAUCAAUCCAAGCAUUCGUGAAGUGAAAGUAAUCUGCAAAAUGGGAAAUAAGAAAGUUAGAAGAAGAAGACUAGACGAAGAAGAGAAGUAAGCUAGGUAUAGGUCAUUUUUGAAUAAAUAGGCCAUUUUGGAGCUAAUUUAGCUUACUACAUCAUCUAGGAGGAAACUAAGCUAAGUAUAUGUCAUUUUGGAGCUACUUAGGUAAAAAUAGGUCAUUUAGGAGCUAAAUAUGCCUAUUAAGCCAUUUUGGAGCUAACUCAGCUAAUUAUAGGCCAUUUAAUAGCUAAUUUAGGUACAAUAGCUCAUUUUGUAGCUAAGUAAACUUAUUAUGUCAUUUAGGAGAGAACUUAGCUAAGUAUAGGUCAUUUUUGAUUAAAUAGGCCAUUUUGGAGCUAAUUUAGCUUACUAUGUCAUCUAGGAGGAAACUAAGCUAAGUAUAAGUCAUUUUGGAGCUACUUCGGUAAAAAUAGGUCAUUUAGGAGCUAACUAUGCUUAUUAAGCCAUAUUGGAGCUAACUAAGCUAAUUAUAGGCCAUUUAAUAGCUAAGUUAGGUACAAUAGGUAAUUUUGUAGCUACGUAAACUUAUUAUGUCAAUUAGGAGAGAACUUAGCUAAGUAUAGGUCAUUUUUAUGAAAUAUUCCAUUUUUGAGCUAAUUUAGCUUACUACGUCAGUUAGGAGGAAACUAAGCCAAGUAUAUGUCAUUUUAGAGCUACUUAGGUAAAAAAUAGGUCAUUUAGGAGCUAACUAUGCUUAUUAUGCAAUUUUGGAGCUAAAUAACCUAAUUAUAGGCCAUUUAAUAGCUAAGUUAGGUACAAUAGGUCAUUUUGUAGCUACGUAAGCUUAUUAUGUUAUUUAGGAGGGAACUUAGCUAAGUAUAGGUUACAUUUUUAUGAAAUAGGCCAUUUUGGUGCUAAUUAAGCUUAGUACGUCAUCUAGGAGGUAACUAAGGUGAGUAUAUGUCAUUUUAGAGCUACUUAUGUAAAAGUAGGUCAUUUAGGAGCUAACUAUGCUUAUUAUGCCAUUUUGGAGCUAACUAAGCUAAUUAUAGACCAUUUAAUAGCUAAGUUAGGUACAAUAGGUCAUUUUGGAGCUACGUAAGCUUAUUAUGUCAUUUAGGUGAGAACUUAGCUAAGUAUAGGUCAUUUUUUUAUUAAAUAUGCCAUUUUGGAGCUAAUUCAGCUUACUACGUCAUCUAUGAGGAAAAUAAGCUAAAUAUAUGUCAUUUUAGAGCUACUUAGGUAAAAAAUAGGUCAUUUAGGAGCUAACUAUGCUUAUUAAGCCAUUUUGGAGCUAACUAAGCUAAAUAUAGGCCAUUAAUAGCUAAGUUAGGUACAAUAGGUCAAUUUGGAGCUAGGUAAGCUUAUUAUGUCAUUUAGGAGAGAACUUAGCUAAGUAUAGGNAGGAAACUAAGCUAAGUAUAUGUUAUUUUAGAGCUGCUUAGGUAAAAAUAGGUCAUUUAUGAGCUAACUAUGCUUAUUAUGCCAUUUUAUAGCUAACUAAGCUAAUUAUAGGCCAUUUAAUAGCUAAGUUAGGUACAAUAGAUCAUUUUCGAGCUAUGUAAUCUUAUUAUGUCAUUUAGGAAAGAACUUAGCUAAGUAUAGGUCAUUUUUUAUUAAAUAGGCCAUUUUGGAGCUAAUUUAGCUUACUACGUCAUCUAUGAGGAGCCUAAGCUAAGUAUAUGUCAUUUUAGAGCUACUUAGGUAAAGAUACGUCAUUUAGGAGCUAACUAUGCUUAUUAAGCCAUUUUGGAGCUAACUAAGCUAAUUAUAGGCCAUUUAAUAGCUAAGUUAGGCACAAUAGGUCAUUUUGGAGCUAGGUAAGCUUAUUAUGUCAUUUAGGAGAGAACUUAGCUAAGUAUAGGUCAUUUUUUUUAUUAAAUAGGUCAUUUUGGAGCUAAUUUAGCUUACUACGUCAUCUAGGAGGAAACUAACCUAACUAUAUGUCAUUUUAGAGCUACUUAGGUAAAAAUAGGUCAUUUAGGAGCUAACUAUGCUUAUUAUGUCAUUUUGGAGCUAACUAAGCUAAUUAUGUCAUUUAGGAGGAAACUAAGCUAAGUAUAGGUCAUUUUAGAGCUAACUUUUGGUAAAAUAUGUCAUUUUGGAGCUAAGGUAAGGUAAGUAAACAUCAUUAUGCGGUUGUUAAGCAAAACACUAGAAAAAACAUACCAUACUCGUCAGCACGACAGUGAAGCACGAUGGCUUUGGCUUGUUUCACCUGGAGAAGGCUCCACUGUAGAAGGGUCAUGCGAUGCGUUUCGGGAGAUAUUCUGCACCAAACAUCGUUUGUAAUGUGACGUUAGCAUGAUGACACUCAAAAGAUCACUGCAUUGAAAUGAAACUCACCAUCCCCGCCAUCUUAAUGACUAGCAUCGCCGGAGGGACAUGGCCGGUAUUCUCGCAGAUAGACUGUACAUUUGGUUUCGACAAGUCAAACUUUUUAGUUAUUAAUGAAACAAACAUUAAAAUGCAAGAUUUUACAAAUAUUAAGAAGAAAACUACCACUAAGAGCUCAUACAUGGCCGUGUUAGACGCAACAUUUCGUGCCCUCUCCGCCUCGAACAACACAACCAUCCUCUACUCCAUCUUCUCCAUCUCCUUAUCCUUCGCCGCCUAAAGCGCCUGUGUUGCCUCUCUCUCUUUUAGAAUAGUAGCGUGCAACACAAAUCAUUGUUAGCACUGUAAUAAUAUUGGCUUGCACACACAACGUAAUGCGGAUAGAUAGUUGAGUCCAUUAAACUAACCUCGAUGGCGAGAUCGACUGGCCGUGGAUGAGGUGUUAUCUUAGAACAGGAGCUUAUUUGGCGUGCCUUUAUCUACCGGAGAGUGCGAGGACAACGUAUAAGGUCGUCUCCAAUGGCGAUCGAGCCAUGGGGCCUCCCGUUUCCAGCUAUCAUCACCAGCUCUGGAUCAAUAGGCCCUGGCUCGGGUUAAAGUCCUCCCCUUUCCUCGCCUUCCCGUGAUCUAUGUACUUCACAAGCUUGUGGUGGGAGGAGAUGUUGGUGAAGUUUUCAGGAUGAUCGAGGUCAGACUCACAGAAUUCCUUGACCUUCUUGUACGAGGCAGUAUGGGCCAUCGCAUAGAGGUCGUACAUAUGUGGCACCUCCGUCUUAUUGUGACGCGCCUAAAAGAGAGAGAGAGAGGAAAAAUGUAUUAGUAAAGGGCUCAAGCUAGCAUUAAGAAUGAAUUGCAUGAGUCAUGAAGCAAACCACAUACCCAGUUCUGACCAAACCCAUUUAAGUUGACGCUCCCUUGAUGGUGUGGCACACCAACCAUUUUGCCACGCCUCUCCUUGGCAUUGUUGUGGCUGGCCUCCCACUUUUCGGAGCACCACUGAUCCACCAAGGCCUCCGAACAAUCCAUCUUAUCCACACACCAUCUCAGGGGCACCUAAGUUAAUAAAUAGAAAUUUGAGCGCUACGUGUAAGAAUCAAAUCAAGGAAACUAACUACAAGGCCUUAAUAAUAUGUAAUUACCAUCAUGUAAUGCUCCUUCUCAAUCUUAGAAUCGCGACACUUCGCCUUAUCCUUCCUAAUAUGUCGCGAGGAGUAGUAGUCUCGAACAACCUGCACCCGAACCUCGUGCCGAAAGUUUUGAAGUAGGCGGCGGCAUUCGGUUUCGACAACCUUUGCCGCGUCCUCCUCGUAUCCCUCCUCACACCUGUAGAAGGUCUACAAACGAGACAACACUGAUUAGUACAAUAACUAUCUAUUGUUGAUUUUAAUUGUGUAAAGGAGAAAUUACCCAGAACUGUCUGAUCACCAUGUCGACCCUCGUGUGGCACAAAACACCGUCGAUCUCCACCUCCGACGGGGCCGGGGCACCCAAGUAGUGCUCCCAGAUCAUUCCUACCUCUCGACCCCGACCAGGCAACGUAACAAACCCCGGGAAGUUUUGCCAGCAAAGAACACCAAGGACGCUCUUGGGCUUGCGGACACCCUUGGCAACAAUCCAACCCAUGCAAUAUGACAAAUUAAAAAACAAACAUUAGAUAUUUGAGAAAACGUGAAGGCAAAAGGUUAAAUAAGAGUAAAUUAACUUACUUGUCCCCAUUUGGCUUAAUCGACCACCUCUGCUCGCGGGUCGCCGGCACAAGCGGGAGCCCCAUACUACCAUGCUGGUAGACGGUGCCCCCCUCACCCACCUCCCCGUCGCUCUUAGCAUGGCCACUUGGCUCCGACUGACAUAGAUCAGUCCAGGUAUCCCACUGGGUCUCUUGGGACGUACCCUCAUCCCUACUUUGAUCCAGAGUCUCUUUGAACGAAUCCUCUAGGACACGGGUCUCAUGGGUCGAAGGCUCGUCGACCUGAGGCUCCUGAACCGGAGACCGUGUAGCCUCCACCUCAGACGGGUCCACCCUAGCAGUCAUGUGCUCAGGUGAAUAAGCUUGGGGUGGUGGCGAGGAAGGCGUGGCAGCCACCCUACCUCUCCCGCGGCCACGUGUACCUUUGGUAGCUCUCGGCUUCAUGAGGGCCGCGAGAGUCGAAGAAGCGGCCACUCCAUGCAAAGUAGAGAGAAACAUUGUUCGGAGAGGCGAUGUAGGAAUGGAAGUACCCAUCCCACCACCCGCCGACGAAGAAGGAGCCGUGGAGUGCUUUCGACCCUUUCCCACCAUCUUUCAACACGUGCCAUGACAAAGAGUAAAUGAAAUUUGUACAACAUAAAUACCAACAUGAGCAAUAAAAUGUAUAUAAUUUAAGAGUAUCAUCAUCAUAAAUACCAAGAUCACGAAUAAAAAUUGAAUACCUAACAUGAACUAAAAAUUUAUAUAUGUAUAUAAUAAUAGUUGACUACUUGACAUGAACUAAUAACAAUCUUGAUCGACUAUAUAUGCUUCGUGGUCAAUAAAUGCAUCAUGAUCACCACUAUCAUCAAUAAAUGCAGCAUCAUCAUCACUAUCAGGAAGAACAUGUGGAAGGCCUCCAUUAUGUAAUCGGUCAAGAAGUGAUAGGUCAUCCGCAGCAGUAACCUCUUCUUCUUCCGGCUCUUCCUGUUCCGUCUCAGGGGUUAAGACGGAUUCACUAUCGCUGUCUACUCCAAUGUUCUAGGGUGAAGUAGAGCGGUUCUUGAAACGUUUUUUGGACAUACGCGUUUCUUGGAAAAAUUCUCUUUCAUAUGUGUCUGGGUUAAUGUGAGGUUCGUAAUCCUCUUCAUUGAGGGUAGGUGGUCUAAAACGUGGCGACACUUCAUAAACGACAUCCCAACCUUUCAAAUUUGGAUCAGUUUGGCAGGCCCACGGUAGAUAGAAAACUUGUGUCGCCUGUUGAGUCAUAAUAUAGACAUCAGGAACAUCUAAAUGGGUGUUUUGGUUGAUUUAGACUAGUCCUAUAUGUUCAUGAGUCCUUCUAGUCUCCCUCGGCUCAUACCAAUAACAUUUGAAGACUAAGACGGUCGAUGGGUUUUCACCAUAGAAUAGAAGUUCAUAAAUUGCUUCAACUCUUCCAUAAUACUCGGUACCUCCUUCGCCGAUAGAAGAGACAGAACAAUUUGUAGUCUUUAGGUCGGUCAUAGAUAGCUCUUUGCCAAAGGUACAAAAGUGAUACCCGUUGAUGUUGUAUUUGUCAAAUGAAUGGACCUUAUAGUCAAAACCAUUAGCGACUUGUCUCAACUCGGCAUCCAUAGACUCUGCAUCAGCCUACAAGUUUAAUACGGAAGAAUGGAUGCAUUAGCCGCAAAUUAGACCAAGAAAUCAAGUGGCCCAUUAAUGGUAAUUAAUUACCCUUUGUUUGAACCAAGAGAUGAAACCAGGAUAGUCGCCUCCAUGCAUUGCCAGAAGCUCAUACUCUUCGACGGAAUCCUUUUCGAUGACCGCUCCAUCCAAGAAUUCGGCGAUGUAUCGACUAUAUCAAAUAUCUAGGAAUAAGAGCAGUUCAAAGGAAUUAGAAGUUGCGGAACAAUAAUUUACCGAGAAUUUACUCGAUGUACGGCCGCACUUCUGUUAGUUUGUUAAAGAUAUACAAUGAAAUGGUCCGCCAUUCUUCGACAUCCAAUGAUUUCCCUUUUGAAGCACCAACUGGUGCGAUCUUCCCUUUGAAAAGGCUGAGGUUGGAUCGACCUUUUUUAGGAUCGCCAUGAUUGUACCGAGGCUUCGGGUUAUGCAAAUGAAGAUUUCUGGCUUCGUAGUGUGCUGUCAUGAAGUUUGUUUCCUACUUAGUAAUGAAUGCCUCGGCCAUCGAUGCUUAAAUUCUACGUUUAUUUUUACAUUUAGCUCGAAACAUCUUCUGCAUCCUCUCAGUUGAGAAGCACCAUCGAUUUUGAACGCCCCCCCAAUCUUGCCUUGGUCGGGAGAUGCAAAAUCAAAUGCUGCAUUGGAUUAAAGAAGCUCGGUGGAAAGAUCCUUUCUAAUUUGCAGAUCAACUCUGCCGCCAACCCUUCCAUUUCAUCUAGCACGCCAGGCGAUAGUUCUUUCACACAAAGAGAAGAGAAGAAAUAGCUCAGCUCUGCCUGUACUAGCCAUUCAUCCUCAGGGAUAAAGGCAUGCAACAUCACCGGGAUUACCCGCUCAAUCCAUAUGUCCCAAUCAUGACUCUUGAGACCAAAUAUUUUCAAUUUCUCAAGGCUCGCUCCCCUCUUUAGAUUCACAGCAUACCCAUCGGGGAACAUCAACCGCAUUUUCACCCACAAUAGCAUUUCCCUCAUAGCUGGCCUUUCAAGAUUGAACCAUGCCUUUGGCUUCGCUACGCUUUGAUUUCCUUUCCGUUGUUGCAAGUUUUGUAACGGUCUAUCACAUAGAGCCUCCUGGUCGAUUCUAGCCUUAGGAUUAUCCUUUGACUUCCUCUCUAUGCCGAACAAUGUACCAAAAAUGGCCUCCGCAAUAUUCUUUUUAGUGUGCAUCAUGUUGAUGUUGUGUGGGAAAAUGAGGUCUUUGAAGGAAGGCAGUUCCCAUAAGCAUGACUUGUGAGUCCAAGCGUGUUCCGUAUUAUACCUUUUGAAAUACCGUGGACGCAAAGGAUCAGGCUCGAGAGCGUUUAACUGAUCAAGGGUCUGUUGGUCUGUCAACGCAGCUGGUGCAGUGUUUUUGACAACUCUACCUUUGAUGAAAUUCUUCUUGUCUUUUCUGAACUUAUGGUCAGGAUCCAGGUACUGUAUAUGCAUGUCGUAGCAAGAAAACUUGCGACCUACCUGCAUCCAACGAAACUGAAGAGCUGCCUUGCAUGUGGUGCACGGGACACUUCCAUGCACAAACCAGCCAACGAAUAUUGCAUACGCCGGAUAGUCAUGCGUCGAGUACAUGUACCACACAAGCAUUUUGAAGUUUUUUUCGUAGCGGCAUCGUAUGUGUUGAUCCCAUUAUCCCAGGCUUCUUGCAAUUCAUCCUUAAGCGAGUGCAUGUACACAUUCAUAUUCUUCCCAAGAUAGUUGGGCUGUGGAAUUAUCAACGCCAGGAAAAUGUUUUUUCUUUUCAUAAUAUCUCCGGGGGGAGAUUGAGUGGAAUGACAAAUACAAGCCAACAACUGUAAUGUGCUGCCGUCAUACCAUACACAUUGAACCCAUCCGUGCUGAUGGCAACCCGAGAAUGCCUUGGAUCUGCCGAUUUAUCCUUAUGUAAUGCAUCAAAGUGCUUCCACGCAAAAGCAUCUGAAGUGUGUACCAACAACUUGUCCCAUCCGCAUCUAGUUCGGUUCUCUUGCCCAAUUUGUGCCAUGUCAUAUGUCUGGCCGUCUCUUCGACCAUGAAAAGACGUUGAAGUCUUGGUACGAUUGGCAGAUAUUGAAGAACAUUAAUGGGGAUUUUGGUUUGAAUCUUCUCACCCAUACGUUGUCUACCACAAUAUACCUAGAAGAAUUGCAAAUGGGGCAAUAGUUCAAGGCCGCAUACUCAAGCCUAAAUAAGGCACAUCCAUUCUCACACGCAUGUAUCUUCUCAUAGGGCAUCUUAAGUACACGAAGGAUUUUCUCUGGCUUGUAUAGGUUUGCAGGCACUACAUGGCCUAUGGGUAGAAAGCGUCCAAAUAUCGUCAUCAUCGCGUUGUAGCAUUCUCUGCCUAGGUUGAAUUGAGCCUUCAGAGCCAUUACUUGCGCGAUGGCAUCCAACUGACAAAGCUCAGUGUGCUCAUGGAGAGGAUGUUUUGAAGACUCCAACAUUUCAUAGAAGGCCUUUGCAGAUUCUUCCAUCUCAUCGUCCAAAUCCCGAGCAUUAUCAAAGUCUUGCACCAUGUCUUCGAUCCCGGUACCAUGCUCGUCGGUGCGACGACGAACCAUCUCAGCUCUGGCACGUUGGUCAGACUCACCAUGAAAUGUCCACACCGUAUAAUUAGGCGUAGAAAUCCACUUCUGCACGUGUUUACCCAUUUCAAACUCUGUCUGCUUUUUCCAGUUGUCGCAGUUGGGACAGGGGCACCAUGUUUUUUGAUGGCCAUUUGCAAAUGCGGCUCUCACAAACCCCCUGGUUUUUGUUAACCAUUCAAUGGUCAUGUCUUUCUGACUAGGGUGACGAGUGUACAUACAAGCACGAUCACUCAUCUUGUCUAGCUACCUAUGGGAACACAAGAAAUAUAUAUAUAAUUCAUCAUCUAUAUUCAUCCGCUAAUAAAGUUUGUCAGUUUUAUUACGUCCAUGCAACCUACAAGCUAAUAGGUAAAGAUAGGUCCUAAUCCCACCCGAGUAUGUGUAGAUUGGGUUCAUUUUCCCAUGCUCUGCUCCGGAUCCAACGCAAAAUUUCGACAACACCUCCCCGUUGUUCUCCUGAUACACGUCUCGGCAAUAAACAGAGAGGAUGUGUAACCAGAGAACAACAGGGAGGCACUGAUGAAAUUAUGCAUCGGAUCCGGAACAAAGCAUAUGGGAAAAUGAACCCAAUCUACACAUACUCGGGCUGUCCAUGGAUACCGUUGGACAAUUCGGAAGAAUCAUGGUUAUAAAUAUAUGCAAAUGCAUGCAUAUUUAUAACUGUAACCCUUUCGAACAAGAGAUGCAUACUGGUCAUGCAUACUGAUAUAUUAAUUUACCUAUAUCUAGCAAGUUUCAUCCGAACACCGACUAGAGAUGUCAUUUGUACUCACCCAUGAAUGCAGGGGCGGAGCUCGUCGAAUGCACGGGGAUGUCUUCGAACAACAGAUCUCGCAGCGACGAGACAACUACACAUAUAAAUCCACCCGAUCAACACAAAUAUUAGAUUGGAAAACCCUUCAAACCUCGGCAUGAGUACAAUUAGCUAAGUUAUGAGGUAACCAAGGUUCUUGUGAUUUUGUUACCUAACUAAGCUAAUUAUGUCAUUCUAGAUCUAAACUAGCUAAUUAUGUCAUUUUGGAGGAUAAUUUGCUAAGAUGUCAUUUUGGAGCUAAAUUAGCUAAGUUAUGAGCUAACCAAGGUUAUUGUGAUGUUUUUACCUAACUAAGCUAAUUAUGUCAUUCUGGAGCUAAACUAGCUAAUUAUGUUAUUUUGGAGGAUAAUUAGCUAAGUAUGUCUCUCAUUCCAUUAUUAUUUUCUUCUUUUUUCUUCUUCUCCUUUUUUCUUCUAAAUGUUUCUUUUCUCUUUCUCCUCCUCUCCUCUUUCUCCUUGUUCUUCUUCUCCUUCUUCUUCUUCUUCUUUCUUCUAGUUUUUUUCUUCUCUUAUUUUCUUCUAAGUUUUUUAUUUUCUAUCUAUUAUUUUCUUUUCUAUCUACUUUUUUCUACCUAAUAAACUAACUAUCUAAUUUAACAAAAAAAAACAGAAAAAACUAACUAUCUAAUUUAAAAGAAAAAAACAGAAAAUAAACUAACUAUCUAAUUUAACAAAAAAAAUUAGGAAGUAAACUAAAUAUCUAAUUUAAAAGAAAAAAAGGGGUGGGGGCACUCACCGAAGUUGGGGACGGCCGGGGCGGCCAAAGGAGGGGGGAGGGACGAGGAGGGGCGGCGCCGGGAGCCAGUGAGGGGAGGGGGCGGCGCCGGGGGCGAGGUGUCCGCUGGGGAGGGGUGGCACAGGGUGCGGUGGCCGCUAGGGAGGGGGAGCCGUGGGGAGGGGGCGACGCUAUGUGCACGCGAGGAGAGGGGGCAGUGCAGGAGUGGCCGUUGGGGAGAGGGCAACGCCGGGGGCGGUGGAGGGGUGGACGGCCGCGGGGUGGGGCUGGAUCCAAGCGCGUGGGUGGAGAGAGAGAGAGGUGGGGGGGGGCGGCCGUUAUAGGCACGUCCCCUUUGUCGUCUGCCCCCGCAUGGCAAAGAGACCCACGACAGACGGCAAAGGCGAGGCAGACGGCAAAGAGCCCGUCCGUUGGACCUGGCCAGGCCCAAGGUCCAUUGGGACCCAUCUUGCCUCUUUGCUGUCUGCCCUGGGUCUCUUUGCCGUCCACUGGCAGACGACAAAGUCUGGCUAAUGGCAAAUAGUCUGUUUGCCAUCAGUCAACACUUUACCGACUGCUUUAGGUCAGCUCACGGCAAAGAGCAUCUUUGCCAUCAACCAACAAACGACAAAGAACUUGUUGAUGGCAAAUUACUGGAUUCCUCCAGUAGUGGGAGGGCAGCCGCAGCACUCACGAGUUAAGCCUGCAGCCCCUCCACCUCCUCCUGAAGCUCGCCUAAUUUGAGCUUCUUGGCCGAGGGCGCUCGGAAGUAAAGGAAAUAUCAACCAACAAGCAACAGAUGAGGCAACAAUGAAAGGAGAUGAAGACGAGGGACUUACUCAUCGACCAGGGCCCAGCGGUGGCAGACGCACGAGGGCCCCGAGGGCCCUCCGCCGCUGCUUCCGGAGGUGGAUGGGGUCGCAGAUGCAGUCGCGCGCUUUCCCCUGCCGGGUCCGCCUCCCAGAGACGCCAUGGAAGAGAGGGAAAUGGAGAGGAAGGAGAUUUUCUCGAUGGAGCGAAGGGAAGGAGAGAAGGAGAUCAAGAUUGAAGUGCCUCCCCCUUGACAGGGGUGGGGCAUAUUUAUAGGCGAACCACGACCACCAACCGUCGUGGGAGCGCGAGCGUCGCGGGUCCCACGUGAGUUGCAAGGUGGGCCAACGGGAGCGCUGCCACCCACGUUGUUUCACGUGUCCGCCGAGCGGUCACGUCUGCGAGGGCCGUUGGGCGUGGUCAGGCUGCACCAACGCCAUUCAAUGGGAACAAUGAUGGCCUACGUGGUUCUCGAAGAUCGUGCCAUCGUGGCCUGGUGCACCCGGACACCUUGAGGAGCGAAAGCAUCGCCACACAACAGCUGGACAUGUGUUCCGCUUGGCCCGCAGGCUACUAGGGCCCGUGACGCUUCGAGCCGCCCUCAAGGCUUCGCCGAGAAGCCAACCCACGCACGCAUUGGGCCCGAGGGGCACCGUCGGCGUUCUGGGAAUGGGGUUACCCAGACCUGCCUUCUUGCGGCCUAGGGCUGGCCCACCUCAUCAAGCAAGCCGACGGGCCCGGCAUCACUCAAGGCAAGGCCAUCGUGAGGGGAAAAGCCUCAUGAGGAGGAAUGGCAUCAAAACCCAUAGGGGGCCUCCUCAGGACCCCUCUGGAGUGGCGGAUAUUCCGAGGCAAGGCCCGUCCUCAGGAGGCAAGGAUGACGCAAGGGAAGGACAUGCGAGCAACACACAUCAGGGUGGCGUAGUUUCCACUUUAGUGCAAAGGAGGCAAGGACAUACUGGGGUUCCCAAGGCAUCUUCCAAAAGUUUCCAUUCUGGUGCAACAAGAUCAUGGCCGCCCGCCAGCACGACGGACAUCACCCCUGAACCCGCCCCUGCAGUGCUGACAGUCACUUUGCAGUCGAAGACCACUUUUGGACAGGGGAAGCAUGUUCCCUUGCCCCCUUCAAAAUUGGCCGUUGUGGGAUCCCUUGCCGCUGGAACGAUAAGGGAAGAGGACCCGGACCACCACUAUAUAUAGAGGAUAGGUUGCUUCGUAGAGAGGGACCCCGAUUCACGAGUUCAUCCACUAGCUCCGCACAAAGUCAUGAAGCCUCUAGAGGCCCUCAAGAACACUGUACUACUUCAUCCACCCACCUCCAAGAGAGGCAAUCCACCAAAGCAGGAGUCGGGUUUUACGCUUCGGAGUGGCCCGAACCUGGGUAAACUGCCGUGUUCUGUGUCUUCCUCACCAUCGAGUGAGUUUUCUAUGCCGUCCAUCGAGUAGCGAGCUAGGUGAGGUAGAGCCGAGAGAGAUCUUCGUACACGCCCUUGUGUUCAAACCUUGAGGGUUUUGGGGAGCCCAAAAUCCGACAGAUCCGUUGCCCGUCAUUGAUGGAGAAGCUCGAAGAUCGUCGUAGGUGAGUUUGGGUGGCGGAUUGAAGUGAAGGGGAGUGAAGUAAAGUGGCUAGGGUUUGGUUCGGCGAGCGGAUGGGGACGGAUAUAUGUGAAUGAAUGACAACACGGGCCAGGUCGACGUGGGAGGCGUGCGCGGACACACACGGGCUCCCUCAUCUCCGCCCCAUAUUUGGUCUCGAUAUGAGAGGUACCGGUUAGUCCGGGCAUUUGAGCCUCAUUUGAAAUGCCGGAUCGGGUCAAAAUUUCAUGACUCAUCAGUGACCGUAUGACCUUCUCCAAUGUUUAAGACGGGCAUGAGAUGUAGAUGCUUUUACAUCGGUUUCCUCCGCUGGAGAAAUUUUCCAUAUUCCUAGUUAUGUAUUUACUUACGAUGAUGAAGAAUAAAACUAUAGCUAUAUUUUUUCCUUUGCCUAAUUAUGUUUCCAAGCGUAGGAUAACCUCAAGGGGUUGUGGUUUUUUUUCUAUCAGUGGGAGCUUUUUUUUUGCGGGUAGAAAAUUUGCAUUACUCAAGUGAAGUAGUUCAUACAAUCAACCGUAGCUAGCUCCAUAGCUACUGAAGGACCCUAGCAAAACCAAGUCAUGGUUCAGCCUUCUAAACGACCAAACUUGGCUAUACUAUCACUAACUUUAUUUCGACUAUGGUUUACAUGAGUAAUAAAAGAAUCACGAAGAGACAUAUGGUAUCUAAGCUCCAUUAUAAGCGACGAGUAGACCGAUCUAUCGACCUCUUUGGCCUGGAUCAACUUCACUACAACAGUUGAAUCCAUCUCUAUCUCAACUGGCAGGUCACUUAUCUGUAUUGCAAAGGACAUUCCUUCCAUACAUGCAUUCAACUCCGCUUUGAGAGAAUCCCGACAUGAAAAUAGUUGAAUACAUGAGGAAAAUAUGAUUGCACCUUUGUGAUCUCUAAGUACCAUACGAGCACCUGUUGAACCGACGUCUGCAUAAGAUCCAUCCGUGGACAACUUGACCCAUCUAGAGUUGGGGGCGCUUCACUUAGGACCAAGUCCUAUUGUCGCAUGUGGCAAGCCAGAAGUCUUAUCAUAUGAAAUAGUCGAUCCUCCUUUAAUUGUAACAGAGGAUAGAUCCACCUUAAUGCCAAUAACUGAAUAAAGAUAGCUCACCAAGAAACGUUUAGAAACCUCCAUGGACGGUAGGAGUUCGUGACGAACCACCUCAUUACGGAUGUGCCAAGCCCGCCAAAGCAUCAUAAGCAACAUUGAACGCUCAAUGUCACGAAGAGGCUCCAGAGCAUGUAGCAACCAUUCUUGCCAUUGUUUUGCAUGGUCUCCAUACAAGGCAGCGACCAAACUUUUGUCAUUACGUCCGAUAGAAUACUUGACAAAGUACAUCAACAAAGUGCAUGAAAGCAGUCCUCAAACUCAAUUCCACAUACUGGGAUAGAUCAUUAAUUUCAAGGCCCCUAAUAUGUUCGUUUCUCCAAGUCGGUACAGAGUAUGUAGCCACGCGCCAAGCGAAGUUCCUAACACUUGGGGGGUACAUCAGAGGACCAAAUGAAUUGCCAACAAGAGCGUCGACCAUCAAGACGUAAACUGGAGCCAGUAGAUGUGAUCCUAUGCUCCUCUUCAAAGUCAAAGUGACAAGCACUUUUAACCAAGAAAACAUCAUACUUUCCUAGACCCCAUGCCAAUGUAUCCUCUCCUAGUCACGGUGACGCACGUAUUUUCAGAAUCUCCACAAAAUCCGGGGAUAGGAAAAAUUGUUGUAGCAGUGCUAGGUUCCAGGAGCCAUUCUCAUUCAGCAGGUCCGAGACAAAUCAAAUUCUACACGUAUCUUGUACUGUUAUAGGUUUAUAAGAGAAGGGUCGUGGGCGGCACGGUGCUAUCACUGGGAGCUUUCCUUUCACCGUCGUCAUGAGGAUGGUCCACACGGUUCAUAACUAUCCUUUUUUACUACGAGACGUUUACCUAGCCAACACUUAGAUCCGGCUCUAUCCAAACUUUUUUGAUUCACCCAAACAUUAUCCACUUGUCCGACUAUUGCUAAGUAAUUUUAGGAUACUAAACGGACCCCGUCAUAUGGUAACCGUAGAGUGGCCGAUUGACCCUUUUUUGCAGGGUUUGAUUUCCUUGAUGAUAGCACCAUGCCGUCCACCUGUGCUCUCAGAAAUACCGAUUAUCAAAUGUUGAAUGCAAACACUGUUGGGUAACGUAGCAUAAAUUCAAAUUUUUUCCUACGCAUAUUCAGAUCUUCCUAUGGAGAGACCAGCAACGAGAGAGGGGUGAGUGCAUCGUCAUGCCUUUGAAGAUCGCUAAGCGUAAGCGUUACUAGAACGUGGUUGAUGGAGUCGUACUCGCGGCGAUUCAGAUCGCGGUGUGAUUCUGAUCUAGUGCCGAACUACGGCACCUCCGCGUUCAACACACGUGCAGCCCGGUGACGUCUCUCGCACCUUGAUCCAGCAAGGAGGAGGGAGAGGUUGGGGAAGAACUCCAGCAGCACGACAACGUGGUGUCGAUGGAGAGACGAGGUCUCCCGACAGGGCUUCGCCAAGCACCGGCAGAGAGGAGGAGAAAGAAGGGCAGGGCUGCGCCGAGGGAGAGGGAAAAGUCUGUCUCUCAAUGGCCAAAACCCCUCUCUAUUUAUAGGAGGGGGAGGGCUGCGCCACCCCUAGGGUUCCCACCCUAGGGGCCGCCGGCCACUAGAUGGGAGAGGGGGUGGCGGCCAGGGCAGGGAAAGGGGGGGGUGCCCUAGGUGGGCCUUGGGCCUCCCCUGCGCCUAGGGUUCCCCCUCCCUUCCUCUCUGGUGCGCAUGGGCUGGGUGUGGGGGGUGCACCAGCCCACCUAGGGGCUGGUUCCCUCCCAAACUUGGCCCAUGUAGCCCUCCGGGGCUUGUGGCCCCUCCCGGUGGGCCUCCGGAACCCUUCCGGUGGUCCCGGCACUUUGCCGGUGGUGCCCGAAACAUUUCCGGCGUCCAAACCCAUCCAUCCUAUAUAUCAAUCUUUACCUCCGGACCAUUCGGGAGCUCCUCGUGACGUCCGGGAUCUCAUCUGAGACUCCGAACAUCCUUCGGUAACCUCGUAUAACAAUUCCCUAUAACCCUAGCAUCAUCGAACCUUAAGUGUGUAGACCCUAUGGGUUCGGGAGACAGGCAGACAUGACCGAGACACCUCUCCGGCCAAUAACCAUCAGCGGGGUCUGGAUACCCAUGGUGGCUCCCACUUGCUCCACGAUGAUCUCAUCGGAUGAAUCACGAUGUCAAGGAUUCAAUCAAUCCCGUAUACAAUUCCCUUUGUGUGUCGGUACAGAACUUGCCCGAGAUUCGAUCGUCGGUAUUCCUAUACCUUGUUCAAUCACGUUACCGGUAAGUCUCUUUACUCGUUCCGUAGUACGUCAUCGUGUGACUAACUCCUUAGUCACAUUGAGCUCAUGAUGAUGUUCUACCGAGUGGGACCAGAGAUACCUCUCCAUCACGCGGAGUGACAAAUCCCGAUCUCGAUUCGUACCAACCCAAGAGACACUUUCAGAGGUACCCGUAAUGCACCUUUAUAGUCACCCAGUUACGUUGUGACGUUUGAUACACCCAAAGCACUCCUACGGUAUCCGGGAGUUGCACAAUCUCACGGUCGAAGGAAAAUAAACUUGACAUUAGAAAAGCUUUAGCAUACGAACAAUACGAUCUAGUGCUAUGCUUAGGAUUGGGUCUUGUCCAUCACAUCAUUCUCCCAAUGAUGUGAUCCCGUUAUCAAUGACAUAUAAUGCCCAUGACCAGGAAACCAUGAUCAUCCCUUCACUAACGAGAUAGCCAACUAGAGGCUUGCUAGGGACACAUUGUGAUCUAUUUAUUCACACAUGUAUUACUGUUUCCUGUUAAUACAAUUAUAGCAUGAACAAUAGACGAUUAUCAUGAACAAGGAAAUAUGAUAAUAACCAUUUUAUUAUUGCCUCUAGGGCAUAUUUCCAACAGUCUCCCACUUGCACUAGAGUCAAUAAUCCAUUUACAUUGUGAUGUAUCGAACACCCAUAGCAUUAUGGUGUUGAUCAUGUUUUGAUCAUGGAAGAGGUUUAGUCAACGGGUCUGCAACAUUCAGAUCCAUAUGUACUUUACAAAUAUCUAUCACUCCACUCUGGACAUGGUCCUGGAUGGAUUUGUAGCGGCGUUUGAUGUGCUUCGUCUUUCGGUGAAACCUGGGCUCCUUGGCUAUGUCAAUGGCCCAAGUGUUAUCAUAGAAGAGUGUCAUUGGACCCGACGCGCUUGGAACCACUCCAAGGUCGGUGAUGAGCUCCUUCAUCCAAAUUCCUUCAUGAGCCGCUUCUGAAGCAGCUAUGUACUCCGCUUCACAUGUAGAUGCUGCCACGACUUCUUGCUUGCUGCUGCACCAGCUCACUGCCCCACCAUUCAAAACAUAUACGUAUCCGGUCUGUGACUUAGAGUCAUCUAGAUCUGUGUCAAAGCUGGCAUCGGCGUAACCCUUUACGACGAGCUCUUCGUCACCUCCAUAAACGAGAAACAUUUCCUUAGUCCUUUUCAGGUACUUAAGGAUAUUCUUGACCGCUGUCUAGUGUUCCAUACCGGGAUCACUUUGGUACCUCCCUACCAAACUUAUGGCAAGGUUUAUAUCAGAUCUGGUACACAACAUGGCAUACAUUAGAGAGCCUACGGCUGAAGCGUAGGGGACAUUACUCAUCUUCUCUCUAUCUGCUGCCGUGGUCGGUAAUUGAGUCUUACUCAAUCUCAUACCUUGCAAAACUGGCAAGAACCCUUUCUUUGAGUUUUCCAUAUUAAACUUCUUCAAUAUCUUGUCAAGGUAUGUACUUUGCGAAAGACCUAUGAGGCGUCUCGAUCUAUCUCUAUAGAUCUUGAUGCCUAAUAUGAUGCAGCUUCUCCAAGGUCCUUCAUUGAAAAACUCUUGUUCAAAUAGGCCUUUAUGCUCUGCAACAUUUCUGUAUUGUUCCCCAUCAAUAAUAUGUCAUCCACAUACAGUAUGAGGAAAGCUACAGAGCUCCCACUCACUUUCUUGUACAGACAGGCUUCUUCGUAAACCUGUAUGAACCCAAACGCUUUAAUCACUUCAUUAAAGUGAAUGUUCCAACUCCGAGAUGCUGGCACCAGCCCAUAGAUGGAGCGCUGGAGCUUGCACACUUUGUUAGCACCCUUAGGGUCGACAAAACCUUCUGGUUGCAUCAUAUACAACUCUUCCAUAAGGUUCCCGUUAAGGAACGUUGUUUUGACGUCCAUUUGCCAAAUUUCAUAAUCAUAAAAGGCGGCAAUCGCUAACAUGAUUCGGACUGAUUUCAGCUUCGCUACGGGAGAGAAAGUCUCUUCGUAGUCAACUCCUUGAAUUUGUCGAAAACCCUUUGCGACAAGUUGGGCUUUAUAAACGGUUACAUUACCGUUUGCAUCAGUCUUCUUCUUGAAGUUCCAUUUAUUUUCUAUGGCUCGCCUGUCAUCGGGCAAGUCCACCAAAGUCCAUACUUUGUUCUCAUACAUGGAUCCUAUCUCGUAUUUCAUAGCUUCAAGCCAUUUGUUGGAAUUCGGGCCCGCCAUCGCUUCUUCAUAGUUCGAAGGUUCACCGUUGUCUAACAACAUGAUUUCCAUCACAGGGUUGCCGUACCACUCUGGUGCGGAGCGUGCCCUCGUGGACCUUCGCGGUUCAGUAGUAACUUGAUCCGAAGCUUCAUGAUCAUUAUCAUUAACUUCCUCUUCAGUUGGUGUAGGCGCCACAGGAACAACUUCCCGCGCUCCGCUACUAUCCUGUUCGAGAGGGGGUGUAAUUGCCUCAUCAAGUUCUACCUUCCUCCCACUUACUUCUUUCGAGAGAAACUCUUUCUCUAGAAAGGAUCCAUUCUUAGCAACAAAGGUUUACCUUCGGAUCUAAGAUAGAAGGUAUACCCAAUAGUUUCCUUAGGGUAUCCUAGGAAUACGCAUUUCUCCGCUUUGGGUUCGAGAUUUUAUGGUUGAAGUUUCUUCACAUAAGCAUCGCAGCCCCAAACUUUAAGAAACGACAACUUAGGUUUCUUGCCAAACCAUAGUUCAUACGGUGCCGUCUCAACGGAUUUAGACGGUGCCCUAUUUAAAGUGAAUGCUGCAGUUUCUAAUGCGUAUCCCCAAAAUGAUAGCGGUAAGUCGGUAAGAGACAUCAUAGAUCGUACCAUAUCUAAUAAAGUGCGAUUACGACGUUCAGACACUCCGUUGCGUUGUGGUGUGCUUGGCGGCGUCAGUUGUGAAAUGAUUCCACACUUCCUUAGGUGUGUGCCAAACUCGUGACUCAAAUGUUCUCCUCCACGAUCAGAUCGUAGACACUUAAUUUUUCUGUCACGUUGAUUCUCGACCUCACUCUGAAAUUCCUUGAACCUUUCAAAUGUGUCAGAUUUGUGCUUCAUCAAGUAGAUAUACCCAUACCUACUCAAAUCAUCGGUGAGAGUGAGAACAUAAUGAUAGCCACCGCGAGCUUCAACGUUCAUUGGACCACACACAUCAGUAUGUAUUAUUUCCAAUAAGUCAGUUGCUCUCUCCAUUAUUCCUAAGAAUGGAGUGUUAGUCAUCGUGCCCAUGAGGCACGGUUCGCAUGCAUCAAAUGAUUCAAAGUCAAUAGACUCUAAUAGUCCAUCAGUAUGGAGCUUCUUCAUGCGCUUAACGCCGAUAUGACCAAGGCGGCAGUGCCACAAGUAUGUGGGACUAUCAUUAUCAACUUUACAUCUUUUGGUACUCACACUAUGAAUAUGCGUAACAUCACGAUCGAGAUUCGUCAAGAAUAAACCAUUCACCAGCGGAGCAUGACCAUAAAACAUAUCACUCAUAUAAAUAGAACAACCAUUAUUCUCUGACUUAAAUGAGUAGCCGUCUCGCAUUAAGAAAGACCCUGAUACAAUGUUCAUGCUUAAAGCUGGUACUAAAUAACAAUUAUUAAGGUUUAAAACUAAUCCCGAUGGUAGAUGUAGAGGUAACGUGCCGACGGCGAUCACAUCGACCUUGGAGCCAUUCCCGACGCACAUCGUUGCCUCGUCCUUUGCCAGUCUCCGCUUAUUCCGCAGUUCCUCCUUUGAGUUGCAAAUGUGAGCAAGAACACCGGUAUCAAAUACCCAGGAGCUACUACGAGCGCUGGUAAGGUACACAUCAAUAACAUGUAUAUCACAUAUACCUUUAACGUUGCCGGCCUUCUUGUCCGCUAAGUAUUUGGGGCAGUUCCGCUUCGAGUGACCCUUUCCCUUGCAAUAGAAGCACUCAGUCUCAGGCUUGGGUCCAUUCUUUUUCUUCUUCCCGGCAUCUGGCUUACCGGGCGCGGCAACGGCUUUGCCGUCUUUCUUGAAGUUCUUCUUACCCUUGCCCUUCUCGAAACUAGUGGUCUUGUUGACCCUCAACACUUGAUGCUCUUUCUUGAUUUCUACUUCUGCAGACUUGAGCAUCGAGUACAACUCGGGAAUGGUCUUCUCCAUCCCUUGCAUGUUGUAGUUCAUCACAAAACCUUUGUAGCUUGGUGGGAGAGACUGGAGGAUUCUGUCAAUUAUAGCAUCAUCCGGAAGUUCGACUCCAAGUGAAGUCAGACGAUCGUGUAACCCAGACAUUUUGAGUAUGUGCUCACUGACAAAACUGUUCUCCUCCAUCUUACAGCUAAAGAACUUGUCGGAGACUUCAUAUCUCUCGACACGGGCAUGAGCUUGAAAAACUAGCUUCAGCUCUGGGAACAUCUCUUAUGCACCGUGUUGCUCAAAACGCCUUUGGAGCCCCGUUUCUAAACUGUAUAACAUGCCACACCUAACCAGAGAGUAGUCAUCACUCCGCGUUUGCAAGACGUUCAGAAUGUCCUGGGCUACUGCGGGAGCGGGAGGGUCACCUAGCGGUGCAUCAAGGACAUAAGCCUUUUUAGCUGCUUCAAGGAUGAGCUUCAAGUUGCGAACCUAGUCCGCAUAGUUGCUACCAUCAUCUUUCAGCUUGUUUUUCUCUAGGAAUGCGUUGAAAUUGAGGUUGACGUUGGCCAUCUACAAUAUUUAUAAAGACAACUUUUAGACUAAGUUCAGGACAAUUAAGUUCAUUUAAUCAAAUUAAGUAUGAACUCCCACUUAAAUCGAGAUCCCUCUAGUCAUCUAAGUUAUACAUGAUCCAUGUUGACUAACCCGUGUCCGAUCAUCACGUGAGACAGACUAGUCACCAUGGUGAGCAACUUCAUGGUGAUCGUAUUCAACCAUACGACUCAUGUUCGACCUUUUGGUCUCUUGUAUUCGAGGUCAUGUCUGUACAUGCUAAGCUCGUUGAGUCAACCUAGGUGUUUCGCGUGUGUAAAUCUCGCUUACACCCGUUGUAUGCGAAUGUUAGAAUCUAUCACACCCGAUCAUCACGUGGUGCUUCGAGACAACGAUCCUUCGCAACGGUGCACACCUAGGGGAAUAUGUUCUCGAAAUUUUAAGAGGGAUCAUCUUAUUAUGCUACCGUCGUUCUAAGCAAUAAGAUGAAAAACAUGAUAAACAUCACAAUGCAAUCAUAUAGUGACAUGAUAUGGCCAUUAUCAUCUUUGCUCUUUUGAUCUCCAUCUUCAGGCAUCGCAUGAUCAUCAUCGUCACCGGCGUGACACCAUGAUCUCCAUCAUCGUGUCUCCGUGAAGUCUUCAUGCCAACUACUACUAUCACUACUACUAUAGCUAACCGUUAGCAAUGAAGUAAAAGUAGUAAGCACAUGGCGUUGCAUCUCAUACAAUAAAUUAAGACAACUCCUAUGGCUCCUGCCGGUUGUCAUACUCAUCGACAUGCAAGUCGUGAAACCUAUUACAAUAACAUGAUCAUCUCAUACAUCAUACAUGCAACAUCACAACUUUGGCCAUAUCACAUCAGAGGUCAAACCCUGCAAAAACAAGUUAGACGUCCUCUAAUUGUUGUUGCAAGUUUUACGUGGCUGAUUUGGGUUUCUAGCAAGAACGCUUUCUUACCUACGUGACAGCCACAACGAUGAUAUGCCAAAGCUAUUUACCCUUCAUAAGGACCCUUUUCAUCAAAUCCAAUCCGACUAGAGUAGGAGAGAUAGACACCCGCUAGCCACCUUUAUGCACGGUGUGCAUGUCUGUCGGUGGAACCAGUCUCACGUAAGCGUACGUGUAAUGUCGGUCCGGGCCGCUUCAUCCCACAAUACCGCCGGAAAAGAAUAAGACUAGUAGCGGCAAGCAAUUGACAAAUCAUCGCCCACAACCUUUUGUGUUCUACUCGUGCAUAGAAUCUACGCAUAAAAAACCUGGCUCUGAUACCACUGUUGGGUAACGUAGCAUAAAUUCAAAAACUUUCCUACGCAUAUUUAGAUCUUCCUAUGGAGAGACCAGCAACGAGAGAGGGGUGAGUGCAUCUUCAUACCUUUGAAGAUCGCUAAGCGGAAGCGUUACUAGAACGCGGUUGAUGGAGUCGUACUCGCGGCGAUUCAGGUCGCGGUGUGAUUCCGAUCUAGUGCCGAACUACGAUACCUCCGCGUUCAACACACGUGCAGCCCGGUGACGUCUCCCGCACCUUGAUCCAGCAAGGAGGAGGGAGAGGUUGGGGAAGAACUCCAGCAGCACGACGACAUGAUGUCGAUGGAUAGACGAGGUCUCCCGGCAGGGCUUUGCCAAGCACCAGCAGAGAGGAGGAGAAAGAAGGGCAGGGCUGCGCCGAGGGAGAGGGAAAAGUCUGUCUCUCAAUGGCCAAAACCGCUCUCUAUUUAUAGGAGGAGGGGGAGGGCUCCGCCACCCCUAGGGUUCCCUCCCCAGGGGCCGAUGUAGCCAGCCCACCUAGGGGCUGGUUCCCUCCCACACUUGGCCCAUGUAGCCCUCCGGGGCUUGUGGCCCCUCUUGGUGGGCCUCCGGAACCCUUCCGGUGGUCCCGACACUUUGUCGGUGGUGCCCGAAACAUUUCCGGCGUCCAAACCCAUCCAUCCUAUAUAUCAAUCUUUACCUCCGGACCAUUCCAGAGCUCCUCGUGACAUCUGGGAUAUCAUCCGGGACUCCUAACAUCCUUUGGUAACCUCGUAUAACAAUUCCCUAUAACCCUAGCGUCAUCGAACCUUAAGUGUGUAGACCCUACGGGUUCGGGAGCCAGGCAGACAUGACCGAGACACCUCUCCGGCCAAUAACCAUCAGUGGGGUCUGGAUACCCAUGGUGGCUCCCACUUGCUCCACGAUGAUAUCAUCGGAUGAACCACGAUGUCAAGGAUUCAAUCAAUCCCGUAUACAAUUCCCUUUGUGUGUCGGUAUAGAACUUGCCCGAGAUCCGAUCGUCGGUAUACCUAUACCUUGUUCAAUCUCGUUACCGGUAAGUCUCUUUACUCGCUCCGUAGUACGUCAUCGUGUGACUAACUCCUUAGUCACAUUGAGCUCAUGAUGAUGUUCUACCGAGUGGGCCCAGAGAUACCUCUCCGUCAUGCGGAGUGACAAAUCCCGAUCUCGAAUCGUACCAACCCAACAAACACUUCAGAGGUACCCGUAAUGCACCUUUAUAGUCACCCAGUUACGUUGAGACGUUUGAUACACCCAAAGCACUCCUACGGUAUACGGGAGUUGCACAAUCUCACGGUCGAAGGAAAAGACACUUGACAUUAGAAAAGCUUUAGCAUACGAACAAUACGAUCUAGUGCUAUGCUUAGGAUUGGGUCUUGUCCAUCACAUCAUUCUCCCAAUGAUGUGAUCCCGUUAUCAAUACAUCUAAUGCCCAUGACCAGGAAACCAUGAUCAUCUAUUGACUAACGAGCUAGCCAACUAGAGGCUUGCGAGGGACACAUUGUGAUCUAUUUAUUCACACAUGUAUUAGUGUUUCCUGUUAAUACAAUUAUAGCAUGAACAAUAGACGAUUAUCAUGAACAAGGAAAUAUGAUAAUAACCAUUUUAUUAUUGCCUCUAGGGCAUAUUUCCAACAAACACGUGUAUCAAAUUAUUUUAGGACCGACACACAGCUUCUGCAGCAACGACAACUCGACCUUGGCCUCUGCUUCGCCGUCGCUAGCAGCCUGGACACUACAGGAAUCAGAGACUUUGUCGUCUGCCAUGGCGGACGGCAAAGGGGAGCACCCCGGAUGGAAAAGCCUUUGCCGUCCGUCUGCAGAUGGCAAAAUGCACGACAAAGAAAAAUCCGGUAAAGAGGUUCUUUGUCGUCUGCCUUGGGCCUGCGGACGACAAAGAAACUUCGCCGGGGGGGGGGGGUAGACGACAAAGAACAUGGACGACAGAUCCGCGGGCUAGGGCCGUCAAGUGGUAACAGCAGCCUUUGCCGUCUGCUGGGUCCACCAUCCCUUUGCCGUCUGCCAUGGCCCCCUUUGCCGUCUGCCAUGACCCCCUUUGCCAUCUGUGGGCGGACGACAAAGAUGGCAAAUAGUCCUGGCCUUCAGGGCCUUUGCCAUGUGCUGGGCUCCCUUUGCCGUCGGUGGGCGGACGACAAAGAAACCAAAAUGCCCCUGUUUAUUUUAUUUUUUAUUAUAUACAACCAUUUUCACAGGAAUAUAUGAUAUAUAUAUAUAUAUAUUAUACAAAAAUAAUGUUGUUUCCAUACUGAUAACCAUAUUAAAAUAAGUUUCAUCCAUACAUACAUACAUAUUAUGCAAGUUUGAUCCGUACCAAACCAUAUACUACAAUAGUUUCAUCCAUAUAUACAAAAUUUCAUAUCCAUAUAUUACAAUAGUUUCAUCCAUACAUAUUAUCCAAAAAAUACAAGUAACCCAAGCACUCUAUCAGUCCAAGCUUCCGUGAAGUGAAAGUAAUCAACAAAAUGGGAAAUAAGAAAGUUAGAAUAAGAAGACUAGAUGAAGAAGAGAAGUAAGCUAAGUAUAUGUCAUUUUUAAUAAAAUAGGUCAUUUUGGAGCUAAUUUAGCUUACUACAUCAUCUAGGAGGAAACUAAGCUAAGUAUAUGUUAUUCUGGAGCUACUUAGGUAAAAAAAGGUCAGUUAGGAGCUAACUAUGCUUAUUAAGCCAUUUUGGAGCUAACUAAGCUAAUUAUAGGCCAUUUAAUAGCUAAGUUAGGUACAAUGGGUCAUUUUGUAGCCAAGUAAACUUAUUAUGUCAUUUAGGAGAGAACUUAGCUAAUUAUAUGUCAUUUUUGAUUAAAUAGGCCAUUUUGGAGCUAAUUUAGCUUACUACGUCAUCUAGGAGGAAACUAAGUUAGGUAUAUGUCAUUUUGGAGCUACUUAGGUAAAAAUAUGUCAUUUAGGAGCUAACUAUGCUUAUUCAGCCAUUUUGUAGCUAAUUAAGCUAAUUAUAGGUCAUUUAAUAGCUAAGUUAGGUAAAAUAGGUCAUUUUGUAGCCACAUAAGCUUAUUAUGUCAAUUAGGAGAGAACUUAGCUAAAUAUAGGUCAUUUAUUAUGAAAUGGGCCAUUUUUGAGCUAAUUUGGCUUACUACGUAAUCUAGGAGGAAACUAAGCUAAGUAUAUGUCAUUUUAGAGCUACUUAGGUAAAAAUAGGUCAUUUAGGAGCUAACUAUGCUUAUUAUGCCAUUUUGUACCUAACUAAGCUAAUUAUAGGCCAUUUAAUAGCUAAGUUAGGUACAAUAGGUCAUUUUGUAGCUAUGUAAGCUUAUUAUGUUAUUUAGGAGGGAACUUAGCUAAGUAUAGGUCAUUUUUAUGUAGAUAGGCCAUUUUGGAGCUAAUUUAGCUUACUACGUCAUCUAGGAGGAAACUAAGCUAAGUAUAUGUUAUUUUAGAGCUGCUUAGGUAAAAAUAGGUCAUUUAUGAGCUAACUAUGCUUAUUAUGCCAUUUUAUAGCUAACUAAGCUAAUUAUAGGCCAUUUAAUAGCUAAGUUAGGUACAAUAGAUCAUUUUCGAGCUAUGUAAUCUUAUUAUGUCAUUUAGGAAAGAACUUAGCUAAGUAUAGGUCAUUUUUUAUUAAAUAGGCCAUUUUGGAGCUAAUUUAGCUUACUACGUCAUCUAUGAGGAAAAUAAGCUAAAUAUAUGUCAUUUUAGAGCUACUUAGGUAAAAAAUAGGUCAUUUAGGAGCUAACUAUGCUUAUUAAGCCAUUUUGGAGCUAACUAAGCUAAAUAUAGGCCAUUAAUAGCUAAGUUAGGUACAAUAGGUCAAUUUGGUAGCUAGGUAAGCUUAUUAUGUCAUUUAGGAGAGAACUUAGCUAAGUAUAGGUCUAUUUUUUUAUUAAAUAGGUCAUUUUGGAGCUAAUUUAGCUUACUACGUCAUCUAGGAGGAAACUAACCUAACUAUAUGUCAUUUUAGAGCUACUUAGGUAAAAAUAGGUCAUUUAGGAGCUAACUAUGCUUAUUAUGUCAUUUUGGAGCUAACUAAGCUAAUUAUGUCAUUUAGGAGGAAACUAAGCUAAGUAUAGGUCAUUUUAGAGCUAACUUUUGGUAAAAUAUGUCAUUUUGGAGCUAAGGUAAGGUAAGUAAACAUCAUUAUGCGGUUGUUAAGCAAAACACUAGAAAAAACAUACCAUACUCGUCAGCACGACAGUGAAGCACGAUGGCUUUGGCUUGUUUCACCUGGAGAAGGCUCCACUGUAGAAGGGUCAUGCGAUGCGUUUCGGGAGANNNNNNNNNNNNNNNNNNNNNNNNNNNNNNNNNNNNNNNNNNNNNNNNNNNNNNNNNNNNNNNNNNNNNNNNNNNNNNNNNNNNNNNNNNNNNNNNNNNNNCAUAGAUAUAGGCAUCACAUCCGAGACAAGUAGAUUGAUACUUUCUGCAUCUACUACUAUUACUCCACACAUCGACCGCUAUCCAGCAUGCAUCUGGUGUAUUGAGUUCAUGACGAAUAGAGUAACGCCUUAAGCAAACCAAUGAUGAAAACCCCAUCUUUUUACCCUUUAUGGCAACAACACGAUACGUGCCUCGCUACACCUUCUGUCACUGGGUGAGGUCACCGCACGGUAUGAACCCAAAACCAAGCACUUCUCCCAUUGCAAGAAUCAUAGAUCUAGUUGGCCAGACAAAACCCACAACUCAAAGAGAAUUACAAGGAUAUGAAAUCAUGCAUAAGAGAGAUCAGAAGAAACUCAAAUAAGAUUCAUAGAUAAUCUGAUCAUAAAUACACAAUUCAUCGGAUCUCGACAAACACACCGCAAAAGAAGAUUACAUCGGAUAGAUCUCCAUGAAGAUCAUGGAGAACUUUGUAUUGAAGAUCCAAGAGAGAGAAGAAGCCAUCNNNNNNNNNNNNNNNNNNNNNNNNNNNNNNNNNNNNNNNNNNNNNNNNNNNNNNNNNNNNNNNNNNNNNNNNNNNNNNNNNNNNNNNNNNNNNNNNNNNNCCCCCCCCCCCCCCCGAGGAUACGGAAGGGCUCCACCCCACGCCUUGUGGAAGACCUAUGCUCCGCGCUGGGUGCAGACGGAGGCAAUCAACUUAGUCCACCAAUGACUAUGCCCGUAGCUGGAAAGGAAACCCAUAUAGUCCACCGAUGACUAUUCCAGCCUAAAUGCCUGACGCGACGUUUGCUUGCUUUUCCUGAAUUUUGAACUAUCUUCCGUCGGACUUAGAUCUACCAAUUUUAAAAGUUGAUGUUUGAAAGACAAAAGGGGGGUGGAACUUUCUCUUGCCCUUUCUCGUAUUCACCAGUUUUUGAAGCCUAUUUUCCAGAUAACAUUCUCUGGGGAGCUAAACGCUCCACGCCGCGCCUAGGGGCCAAGGAGCGAAAGCAAGGACUUGUCGUGUAACGACUAAGAUGCGGCCCUUUCCUUAUUUGGGGGCGAGGCCUCAAAAGGGGAAAGAGGUGCAUCUACGCGUUUCGCAAGCAAGAUAAUCAUAGCAAUUUAAAUAACUGAAGAGUGACAAGUAGGGCAUACACUUGCCAUCUGAUAAAGUACAUAGUCAUACAGUCAUACAAAACAUGGAAUGGUCCGGCUACGGACAAGAUAAACGGCAAAAGCUAUGAUAUCCCACAUGCUGGUCCCACGAUCACGGCCACUGCCUCUAAUCGUCGGGAUAAGUCACAUACAACCUGCCGCUGUCCUCAUCAAACUUCCACUUCAACUGGCUGUCAUCGGGAACUCCUGCAUCAGGGGUACCUGUACCUAUGGGUGUUUGUAGUAAACCGUGAGCCACGAGGACUCAUCAAUCUUAUGACCUUGGUAUCGAGUCUAACUAAGUUAAAUGGGUGAGAUAGGAUAAGUGUUUGAGUUUGCAGCAACCUACGCUUAUAUGGAGGCUAUCUUACGAUGAACAUAAUUAAUAUAUGUGGUGGUCUAUGUAAGACGGUCGAAUACUAGAAUGAUCACUAAGUGAUCCUGAGCACCUACUUAUGUCAUUCAUAACCCCACCGUGUUCUCGAUCAGAGAAGAAACUCUCAAAGAGACAGUCACGGUUACGCACUCAGUUGGCAAGUUUUUAUUAGAGUUACUUUAAGUUGUCUAGAACCGGAUGUUAACAAAAUAUCCAUGUUGCUACAUAACCGCGGGCCUGACUUUCUGAAAGAUUAAACCCUGCACGGGUGCUCCAACUAGUCCAUCACAAAUUACCACAGGCCGCAUAGUAAUCCUCUACCACGAAACUCGUGAUCUCGUCGGAUUCCUUAGAGGAAAACCUCAACCCUGAGAAGACUCAAAGUCUCACCGGAAUCCAAUGCGCAAGAUAUAUCGCUAAGGUAAGACAAGUCCAUCAAGACCACCCGACGUGUCGACGAACCCGAUAGGAGCCGCGUAUCUCGUUCUGAGGACACGACGGAUGGAACUAGCUACAGGAACCAAACAUCAAGUUUCCUCGCGGUGGCCCUGCAGACAGUCCAUUUUGGACCAACACUCAUGAGGAGCACUGGCCCGGGUUGUUGAUUAAUUCCUCGGGGUAGCUAUUCCCUAUGCUUUUAUUAUUAAUUUAUUAGCAAAUUAACACCAAAGUUGGGUCCUGCCAGACAAGUCUUAACACUAUACGAUUUAUCGAGGGGGUCCCCAUAACAACCCCGAACGUGUUAGGAGUGCUCAAUAUGAAAUAAAACACCGGUAGCCGAAACUAAGGCGGCAACAACGAAACAAAUCACCCGGCAAAAGGCUAGGCCUUCCGUUAUUUACCAAGUAUAUAGGUGCAUUAAUUAAGUAGCAAUUAUAUAAGAUGAUAUCAAGUUGCCCAUGUUAUCACAUGGACCAACUGGCACCUGCAACUAGCAACGCUAAUAAUUAGUGUUGCUACUUUUCUGCCUAUUUGGUUUGAGGUUUCAUGGCAAUGUUUGAGGUUUCAUGGCAAUGGUUGAGCAAGCCUAACUUAGUCAAACAAUAUUUGCUAGGAGGGGAGGUGUUUGAGGUUUCAUGGCAAUGUUUGAUGGCCUAUAUAUCAUGUGGUAGGCAGCGGAGAUGUAACGAAGGAAACGUAAUACUAAGCAUAACGAAGCUAGAAACGGUGUCAAGGUCAUGAUCAUCUUGCGUAUGAUUUCUUCAGACUGGAACUGCUCUUGUUCUUCCUGCACGAACUCUCCGGACUCCUCGAACUCGUUUCCGGCCCCGGUAACUACCCAAAAGAAAUAACAUCUAAUAAACACCAGCAACAAAUGAUGCAACAGACAAUAUGAUGCAUGCAUGCACUGCUCCAAACAAGCACAUAAAAUAGCCCGACAUCGGUAAAACUAUUGCCACCUCACCACAAGGGUAUUUUCUACAGAGAUGCCCAAAAUCAGAAACUAACAACACUAUUGGAUUCAUUGGAUUUUCUACCCCAAAUCCAUAUAUCAUACAGCCACCUUUGCAUCCAGAAAAACUCCACAAACAGUAAAAAAAUAAAAGCACAUAAUCAAACUACAACACUAAUUCAAGAACAUGGACUGUUCUUGAGCCAGCCCAAAUUAGCAAGUCCAAAUCUGGACAUUUCCAGAAAGGGAAAUAUGCCAAUUUAGCACAAGGACAAUUCACAAACAAAAAUAAAAAUGACAGAGAAAAUAUUAGGAGGGGUCCCACCUGGCAGUGGCCCCUCACUGGAUGACAUGUGGGUCCAGAGGGCCCACUGUCACACCCACACACCACACUACACACACAGCCAGACACACGCACUAACAGAUCUAUACAGACGACUGCACCACAGCCACACUGGAUCCUUACACAGCUUCAUAAUUAGAAAAAGAAGGCCCACUGUCACACCCACACACCACACACACGCACUAACAGAUCUAUACACACGACUGCACCACAGCUACACUGGAUCCUUACACAGCUUCAUAAUUAGAAAAAGAAAAAUAGGCAGAGGGGGGUUUCGAACACUGAACCUCACCCACACAUCGCCACACCUGUGCCACCGCUACUGAUCAGAGAGGAGUGCUAAGCUUCCUAUACUAUCUACUGAUGUGCAACAGGAGCAGAAGAAGAAAUAAAACGAUACUGACAGAGAGGGGUCCUUGAUCCUUUUGAGUAGGCCCCUCAGCCCUGCUCUCUGCUCUGACGAUCGAAGCAGAAGCGAACGGCGGCGACGGCUCAGGUGCCCAACGAAGGGGAAGUUCACCGGCGGAUGAUGCAGAGCCCCUGGGGGUUCCAUUCCCGUCGCAAACACACCGGGAGGUGAACCACGACGGCGGCGCGACGGACUGCACCUACUCUACUGAAGCUGCUACUGCACGCCCGACGAGCACACCGGCGACAACAGAGGAGCCCCGCGCCGUGAAGCCGCCUGACGCUAACGGCUGCGCACUGGGUACUCUACGCGUCCUGCUGCUGAAGCUACCUACUGCUGUCGCUCCUAUCUACUGCAGCCGCUGCUUCUGCUGCGCUCUGCUGUUACUGAAACAGUUGCUGCUGCUCGAGAACAGAGGAACGCCGGCGACCGUGGCCACUACUCGACGCGAUCCGUGGCUAGAGAGGGAAAAAGACGGGGAAGACGAGGCGCUGAUCACCUAGGGACACAGAGGGAGGAUCAGCGUGAUGGAGAAGCGCCCGAUGUUGAGAGGAUGCUGGAGAGCUGCCGGAGAGGAAGAAGAAGGCACCGGACGUCGGGGUCGUCGUGGAAGAAGACUCCCCCGCCGAUCUCUGCGAAAAUGGAUCCCCGCCUGGGUCCUCUUGCUCCUGGUGCUGACGGAGAGGAAGAAGACGGGCCGAACUGCUGACGCGCUUGAGCUCACCCGAGCCCUCUCAUGGUGCUAGCGACGACGCUCUCUUAUGACGACGCGAGGGAAGAUUAGGGGGAAGAAAAAGGGGAGCUACGGAGAAUCCUAGGGCACAUGCAUGGUCUAAAUAGGAGGGAGGCGCUCUGGUGGCUGUUUGAUGGAAGGAAGGAGAAAAUCUGGGGUUGCCAUGGCAUCGUACCGCUGACGUCUAGAGGAAGGAGACGAGGGAUGCGCCUACGGGCUGGUUGGGCCAAAGGCUACUCGGCCUGACUCUAUCUCUCACUCUCAGGUAACGGGCUUAGCAAAUUGCAUACAACAACUUUAAAAAAAUAACCCACAGGGCUAAAAGAAAAGACAAUAAUAAUAAUAAUAAUNUAUAUAUAUAUAUAUAUUGGUGGCCUUCUAAAAUCAUGCUACAAAUUAUAGAANNNNNNNNNNNNNNNNNNNNNNNNNNNNNNNNNNNNNNNNNNNNNNNNNNNNNNNNNNNNNNNNNNNNNNNNNNNNNNNNNNNNNNNNNNNNNNNNNNNNGGGCUUCUUCAUCAUCAUCAUCGCCCCUCCAAUGACUCGUGAGUAGUUCACUUCAGACCUACGGGUCCGUAGUUAGUAGCUGGAUGGCUUCUUCUCUCUCUUGGAUCUUCAAUACAAAGUUCUCCAUGAUCUUCAUGGAGAUCUAUCCGAUGUAAUCUUCUUUGGCGGUGUGUUUGUCGAGAUCCGAUGAAUUGUGGAUUUGUGAUCAGAUUAUCUAUGAUAUAUAUUUGAGUCUUUGCUGAUUUCUUAUAUGCAUGAUUUGAUAUCCUUGUAAGUCUCUCCGAGUCUUGGGUUUUGUUUGGCCAACUAGAUCUAUGAUUCUUGCAAUGGGAGAAGUGCUUGGUUUUGGGUUCUAUCAUGUGGUGACCUUUUCCAGUGACAAUAGGGGCAGCAAGGCACACAUCAAGUAGUUGCCAUCAAGGGUAAAAAGAUGGGGUUUUUAUCAUUGGUUUGAGAUUAUCCCUCUACAUCAUGUCAUCUUGCUUAAGGUGUUACUCUGUUCUUAUGGACUUAAUACACUAGAUGCAUGCUGGAUAGCGGUCGACGUGUGGAGUAAUAGUAGUAGAUGCAGAAAGUAUCGGUCUACUUGUUUUGGACGUGAUGCCUAUGGAUAUAAUCAUUGCAUAGAUAUCGUCACGACUUUGCGCGGUUCUAUCAAUUGCUCGACAGUAAUUUGUUCACCCACCAUCUACUUGCUUUCAUGCGAGAAGCCACUAGUAAACACUACGGCCCCCGAGUCUAUUCACAUCCAUCAUUUACACCUCCGCUUUUACUUUGCUUUGUUACUUUAUUGCUUUCAGUUCUCACUUGGCAAACAAUCUAUAAGGGAUUGACAACCCCUUCAUAGCGUUGGGAGCAAGCUUUUGUGUUUGUGCAGGAUCUUGAGAUACUCCUCCACUGGAUUGAUACAUUGGUUCUCAAACUGAGGGAAAUACUUACCACCGCUACGCUACAUCACCCUUUCCGCUUCGAGGGAACACCAACGCAAUGCUCCAAGGCCACGGGGGAAAUCCUUUGCAUACUUGCCUAGGAAGUCCCUUAAGGCGUAGGUGCAGCACAAGGAUCAAGCCAAGUAUUCUCCCGUCGACGUGCCUAUUUCUGGCGCCAUUGGAAGGUCUUUUGUUGCAGUUGCAGUCACAAAGCCACUCGACCACAUUGGUGCCGUCCAGGUUCAGCCGACAUCGGGGGGUGUGAUACGUCUCCAUCGUAUCUACUUUUCCAAACUCUUUUGCCCUUGUUUUGGACUCUAAUUUGCAUGAUUUGAACGGAACUAACCCGGACUGACGCUGUUUUCAGCAGAAUUGCCAUGGUGUUGUUUUUGUGCAGAAAUGAAAGUUCUUGGAAUGUCCUGAAAAUUUACGGAGAAUAUUUCUGGAAAAUAUGAAAAAUACCUGCGCAAAGAUCCACCGGAGGGGACGGGCCAGUGGGCCACAAGCCCUGUAGCCGCGGCUACCAGGCUUGUGGGGCCCACGUGGCUCUGCCGCCCCCAAUUCCAGCGCUAUUUAUCCCUUUCUUCCCGGAAAAAAUCAAGAGAGAAGAGUUCAUCGCGUUUCACGAUCCAGAGGCGCCGCCACAUCCCGUUCUUGCCCUGGAGGGCAGAUCUGGAGUCCGUUUUGGGCUCCGGAUCAAGGAGAUCGUCGCCAUCGUCAUCAUCAACCUUCUUCCCUCUCCAAUUCCAUGAACCUCUUCAUCGUUCGUGAGUAAUCUAUUCGUAGGCUCGCUGGGCGGUGAUGAGUAGGAUGAGAUCUAUCAUGUAAUCGAGUUAGUUUUGACGGGGAUUGAUCCCUAGUAUCCACUAUGUUGUGAGAUUGAUGUUGCUACUACUUUGCCAUGCUUAAUGCUUGUCACUAGGACCCGAGUGCCAUGAUUUCAGAUCUGAACUUAUUAUGUUGUCACCAAUAUAUGUGUGUUUUAGAUCUGAUCUUGCAAGGUGUAGUUACCUACUAUGUGUUAUGAUCCGGCAACCCCGGAGUGACAAUAACCGGAACCACUCCCGGUGAUGACCAUAGUUUGAGGAGUUCAUGUGUUCACCAAGUGCUAAUGCGUUGGUCCGGUUCUUUAUUAAAAGGAGAACCUUAAUAUCCCAUAGUAUCCAUUUGGACACCGCUGCCACGGGGGGGAUGUACAAUAGAUGUCAUGCAAGUUCUUUUCCCUAAGCACGUAUGACUACACACGGAAUGCAUGCCUACAUCACAUUGACGAACGGGAGCUAGCCACAUAUCUCUCCGUGUUAUAACUGUUGCAUGAUGAAUGUCAUCCAACAGAUCACCAAUCCUUUGCCUACGAGUUUGUCCCAUUGCUACUGUUACUUGCUUUGCUGUGCUGUUGUUACUACUGUUGCUGCUACUGUUACUUGUUGCUACUGUUACUUGCUUUGUCCUGCUGCUGCUACCACUACUGUUACUUGCUGUUGCUGUUACUUGCUACUGCUGCUACUUGCUACUGCUGUCACUAUUGCUGUUCCUUGCCACUGCUGUUACUCGUUACACUGCUACUACCUGCUACAAUACUUUUCUGGCGCCAUUGAUACUUUAGUUAGGAAUUAUCUGCCGUCAACAGAUUCUUUCCUAGCACCGUUGCUAUCAUACUACCUUUGCUGCUUAUAUCCUGCUUGCAGGUACUAAUCUUUCAGGUGUGGUUGAGCCGACAACUCAACUGCUAAUACUGGAGAAUAUCCUUUCACUCCCAUUGUGUCGAACCAACAAAUUUGGGUUGAAUACUCUACCCUCGAAAACUGCCGCGAUCCCACACGCUGGUGGACCAUUGCAAGACAAUUGCUAAUUGUUGAGCAACUGGAAGCAGCACUUUUCUGGCGCCGUUGCCGGGGAGGGAUAGCUAUAUUCUCUGAGUCACUUGGGAUUUAUAUCUGCUGAUCACUAUGAAGAAUCUGAAAGAUCCAAGAACCAAAGUCUCGCCCUCAACCACGAGGCGAGGUAAGGAACUGCCAUCUAGCUCUGCACUUGAUUCACCUUCAGUUAUGAGUAAGUUUGCGACACCACCUCCUGCUAGAAAUCUUGAUAUGUCGCAUGUGCUAGAUGAUGCUACUGCUAUUGAUGAUGCUUAUGAUGCUACUAUGCCUGAUACUGCUAGAGAUGCUAUGCCUGAUACUGCUAGAGAUGCUAUGCCUGAUACUGCUAUCCAUGAUGCUAUGCUUGAUACUGCUUUGCCUGAUGAUGCUAGAGAUGCUAUUUUGCGUGAUGAUGCUAUGCUUGAUACUACUACUUUGCCUGAUGAUGCUAGAGAUGCUAUUUUGCGUGAUGAUGCUAUGCUUGAUACUACUACUUUGCCUGAUAUGCCACUAGGGGUAUUCCUUGAUGCUCAUAUUGCUAGAGUUACUGCCAAUGCUCGUGAUGCUUCUGAAACUGUCGAUACUAUUGAGAUAGAACCUGCUUUUGCUCCUGCUAGAUCUAGCUCUCCUAGAUAUGAAUUGCGUGAUAUACCUGAGGGUUAUGUUAUGGAGGGAGAGAUAGCUGAGGAUUUUCUUGCGUGUAAGGAUGCCUAUGACGCUGAGAAAUUACUUCUCAAGUGGAAGGAAAAAUCUCUGAAAGCUAGGAUGAAAUACGACCCGAAGUUUGCCACGUCACCUAUCUUUAUCACCGAUGAGGAUUAUGAAUUCUCUGUCGACCCUGAGAUAAUCUCUCUAGUCGAAUCUGAUCCUUUCCACGGUUAUGAGUCUGAGACGGUCGUAGCCCAUCUUACUAAACUACACGAUAUAGCCACCCUUUUCACUAGUGAGGAGAAGGUCCGCUACUACUAUAUCCUUAAGUUGUUUCCUUUCUCUCUAAAGGAUUACGCUAAAGCCUGGUUCACUUCUCUUGCUCCUGGAUGUGUGAGUAGUCCCCAGGAUAUGGUCUAUUACUUCUGUGAGAAAUAUUUCCCUACCCAUAAGAAGCAAGCUGCCUUGCAGGAAAUAUACAACUUUGCUCAACUCAAAGAAGAGAGUCUCCCACAAGCUUGGGGGAGGCUCAUCCAGCUACAAAAUGCUUUGCCUGAUCACCCUCUUAAGAAGAACGAGAUACUUGAUAUCUUCUAUAACGGACUUACCGAUGCUUCUAGAGACCACCUAGAUAGUUGUGCCGGUUGUGUUUUUAGGGAACGAACUGUAGAACAAGCUGAGAUCCUACUGAAUAACAUCUUGAUCAACAAUAAUGCUUGGACUAUUCCCGAACCACCUCAUAAGCCAACUCCUAAGAAAAGAGGUAUUCUAUUCCUGAGCCCCGAAGAUAUGCAAGAAGCCAAGAAAUCUAUGCAAGAGAAAGGCAUUAGAUCUGAGGAAGUCAAAAAUCUACCGCCCAUCGAAGAGACCCAUGGUCUCGAUAACCCGAUACAAGUAGUAGAGGUGAAUUCUCUGCGUAGAUUCAAUGAGAGUGAUAUUCCUUUUGACAAACCUGCUAGCCUAUGCUUUGAUGAAUUUGACAACUUUGUUGCCAAACAACAGAGUUUCAAUGAUUAUGUUAGCAACAAUUGGAACAAAGUACUCGUAUGCUUAGUCAUUUAAGUGCUUGUGUAGACAGAAAUGUCAAUGAUUUGAAGCUUCUGAGUAAACAUGCCUCUAUGAUUACUACUCAAGUAGAACAAGUACUUAAAGCUCAGAAUGACUUGCUCAAUGAAUUAAAUGACAACUCUGUCAGAGUCAUUACUAGAUGAGGCAAAAUAACUGAGGAACCUUUGUAUCCUGAAGGCCAUCCUAAGAGAAUUGAUCAAGAUUAUCAAGGAAUUAAUGCUGAUACAGCCAGUCAUCCUAAGAAUAAGAAGAAGGAUGAUAGAAACCUACAUGUCAGUUCACCAAAUACUGUAACACCUGAAGAACCAAAUGAUAUUUCUGCGUCUGAUGCAGAAACACAAUCUGGUGAUGAACAUGAACCUGGGGACAAUAUGGACAACAAUGUUCAUAAUGAUGCUCAACCUAGCAAUGAUAAGGAUGUGGAGAUUAAACCUACGGUUAAUCCUGAUAACCCAUAACCUAAGAGAUACGAUAAGAAUGACUUCACUGCUAGGAAGCAUGGUAAAGAAAGGGAGCCAUGGGUUCAGAGACCCAUGCCCUUUCCUCCUAAGCCAUCCAAGAAAAAGGAUGAUGAUGAUUUUGAGCGCUUUAUUGAAAUGUUGAGACCCGUCUUUCUGCAGAUGCGGUUAAUUGAUAUGCUCAAAAUGUCUCCAUAUGACAAGUACAUGAAAGAUAUCAUGACCAAUAAACGGAAGAUACCAGAUCUUGAGAUAUCCACCAUGCUUGCCAAUUACACUUUCAAAGGUGGAACUCCUAAGAAACUUGGUGAUCCCGGAGUGCCCACUAUACCUUGCUCCACUAAAGGAAACUACGUAAGAACUGCCUUAUGUGACCUUGGAGCCGGUGUUAGUGUUAUGCCUCUCUCUCUUUAUCGUAGACUUGAACUGGAUAAGUUGACACCCACUGAAAUUUCACUGCAAAUGGCCGACAAAUCAACUGCUUUCCCUGUCGGCAUUUGCGAGGAUGUGCCUCUUGUGGUUGCUAACGUUACUAUCUUAACGGCCUUUGUUAUCCUGGAUAUUCCUGAGGAUGAUGCCAUGGCGAUCAUUCUUGGAAGACCAGUCGUAAACACCGCAAGGUUUGUUAUAGAUUGCAGCAAAGGCAACGUCACCUUCCAUGUCAACGGUAAUGAGCAUACAUUGCACUUUCCGAAGAAACGAUAUCAAGUACAUUGCAUCAAUGCUAUCGAAAAAACUUCAUCGAUUCUUAUUGGGAGCUUUGAAUGCCCUAUUCCACGUGUUAAGAUGAAGUAUGAUUUGCUUGUUGGGGAGAUUCAUGUCCCCAUUGAGGUGACUUAGUGGCUAUUCGACAAUUCUCCAUUUCCUUUUGCGAUUCGAAAAAGUUUUGUCAUGAGGAUUUGAUCAACCCCAUUGUCAGAUUUCUUUCGAUGACCAUGAAAUGGAUGAAUCAAAGAGUCACAUACCUCUAUUUUAAGCUUUCACUUUCUGUUGCUUAGAAGAAAAAUGAUAGAUUUAGUUUAGUUUUCCCUGUUUUCUGUUUUAGUGUCCUGAAGAAAAGUACCCCGAAAAUAAAAGUUCUCCGAUGGUCCUGAAAAUCAAAUAUGAUUUUUUCUGGAUUUUUUGAAAAAUACUAGGACUAAGAGCUGGCCUGGGGGCCACACCAGUGGGCCACAAGCCCUGUAGCCGCGGCCUCCCCUAGCCACGGCUACCAAGCUUGUGGGGCCCACAGGGACCCCCUCCACUCAUUCCAGCUCCCAUCCUCUUCUUCUACCUCAAGAAAAAAAUCGUUUUGCAGCUCAAACCCGUGUUCUUGCUCAUUUGGCUGUGAUUUUCGAUCUCCUUGCUCAAAGCACCAUUCUCUGAACCGUUUUGGGGAAAUUACUACUUGGUAAGUGACUCCUCCAUUGGUCCAAUUAGUUUCUACUCUAGUGCUUUAUCCUUCGCGUAUUCUUGCUACCUUGGUGACCUUGUUCUUGAGCUUGAAAUGUUGAUUUUAGCUGGUCCCAAGUAGUUUUAACGCGUGAUACGGUCUCUAGGAACUAGUAGGAGUGGUUGCUACAAGGCGUGGUUGGUCUUUAUUCACUUUUCUCUUGAGCUUCAAAAAUUUCAGCAAAAAGAAAUUAUGCUCAGGAGGAAGUUUCAUGGUGGUUCCUCAAGUAAGAAGGGUCCCCGUCUUUCUAUUCGGGAGCCCGAUCCUUAUCAACUAAGUGACGCACCGGUACAACCAUGUGAAUGGCCUUCCGAUGAGUUCAUGAUCGAAGCAGGCUUCAAGGAUGAGUUUGAUACACUUGUCUGCAAUGCCGGGUUAGAAGAAUUCCCGUGAGAUAAAUGUGAACAGUAUGCUAUGCUCACUGCCUCUUUCGUGCGUAGAUUUAAAUUUUCAGUUGGCCGUGACUCAUCCAUACUGAUUGAUCUGUAUGAUAAAUCCUACACCAUGGAUUUGGAGGAUUUCAAUAGGAUUCGCAAGAUACCCGAUGGGGGUAGUCUUAAUGAUCCUGGUAAGUCUUCGGUUAGAGAUUUUGUCUCUAGUAUAACUGUUGGAGAAACUAGAGACAUCACGCAAGCUAACAUAGGAAGCAUUCAUUUCCCUGCCUUGCACUACUUUGCCCUCUUCAUAGGUAGAUGCAUUAACGGCAAGGUUGAACAUUGUCACCUAUGCGCAUCCAACCUUAGUAUCCUUAAGAGCGCAGUAACAAGUGACAUGAUCUUCAACAUGGGAGCUAUAAUAGCAAGGAGGCUGAAUAAUAAUGCCAUUGAUGGGGAUUUCUUUGGUGGGAUUUAUGCUACGCGCUUAGCAAAUUUUCUUGGAGUACCCAUCCGUUCAGGAGAUCCCCCUCUCUGUACAGCCUACCUUGAUCGUGUCGCUCUGACACGCUAUCAGUUUCUCAAGAGGGAUGAAGAAUCCAUCGUUUACCGGUUAGUAUUUAACCGACAACGCGCUUUUCAUAUUAUGCUUCCUGCUCCUGCCUUCUUUGACUUUCAGGUUAAACGAAGAUAUUACAUAACCAUUGGAGAAGCAGAGGAGUAUGAGAGGGAGGCUGAGACUUCUCGUCUCCACGAAGCAGCUAUUCAUGCAGUGGCUGCAGCGCUCCCAUACAACCCACAUUAUGAUUUCGGGUAUCACCCGGACCAGCCUUGGGAGUAGACUAAGCUAGGCCAAAAGCCUAAGUUUGGGGGAGUACGUGUUUGCACCAACUUUACAUUCAUGCUUAUGCUUUCACUUUGUUAGUCGGUGUUUACACUUUGCCACUGUAUUAUCCAUGCUAGUUUAUUUUCGUUUUCUUGUUUUGUGUCCUUUUGAGAAAACCCAAAAAUAUUUUCCUUUCUUCUUUUGCUUGUUGGGAGCUUUCCCGUGUAAAUAGUUUUCUUUUUCUUUGAGUCAAGGUAGAAGACCAUGGUUACAAUGUUUAGUGGCUCUCGCAUGCAUACCUGUUCAUUUGUUAAAGAGCCAUAUUACUUUGUCUUCUCCUUUGUGUUUGCUUGCAGAUUUAGCUUAGUCCAAUGCAUGAGCACUCUUAUUAUUGUUCACAUCGUUCGAUCGUGCAAGUGAAAGGCACUAAUGAUGAUAUAUGAUGAAGUGACUGAGACUGGAAAAGCUGGUAUGAACUCUAUCUAUUUUGUUUUUGUAAAUAUGACUAGCUUGUCGUCCCAGAUUCAGCUUUGUUGAGAGAGAACCAUGUUUGCAAUGACAACUUAGAGAUCAUAGUUUCUGAUGCCAUGCUUAAUUAGCUAGGAGCUUAUAAUGGUUUGUCUUGAAUGCCAACAUAGAUUUUGAGAUGACUAUGAUGUAGUAUGAUAGGAUGGUAUUCUCCUUUGAAUGAUUCAAGUGGCUUGACUUGGCGCAUGUUCAUGCAUGUAGUUGAAACAAAAUCAACAUAGCCUCUAUGAUGUUCGUGUUCAUGGUGAUUUAUAUCCUGCUCAUGCUUGCACUCAAUGUUAGUCAAACUCAUUGCAUCUUGAUGACUAUUUUCGCUCUCCAGUUGGUCGCUUCCGAGUCUUUUGCUAGCCUUCACUUGUACUAAGCGGAAUACUGCUUGUGCAUUCACUUCCAUAAACCAAAAAGUUUUUCCAUGAGAGUCCACCAUACCUACCUAUUUGCGGUAUAUACCUGCCGUUCCAAGUAAAUUUGCAUGUGCCAUUCUCUAAACUUUCAAGAAAUAAUCUGUUUUGCAUGCCCGAACCGCUCAUGUGGUGACAGGGGGCUAUUGGUAUUUUCCAUGUUAGGCGUGUUAUCCUCGACAUGUGUUUAUUCACUGUCAUUCACGAGAAAGGGGCCGGUAAUUGGAAUGCCCAGUUCCAUGCUUAAAUCAAAAACAUAACUGUAAAACAAGACUCCCCCCGGAUUGAUGUUAGUAUGGACGGUACCCGAGGAUUCGGCUAGCCAUGGAGUGUGAUUGAUUGGUGGUGGGGGAGUUAAAACUUUACUUUUCUGUUUGGGAACCUCCUAUAGCAUGAGUAGCAUGGAAGAUAUUGAGAACUCUUGGUCAUUGCGUUGACAAUGAAAGCAUGCCACCCAAAAUUAUUAUCUCUGUUUUCAAAGCUUGAGCUCUGGCACCUCUGCAAAUCAAUGCUUCCCUCUGCGAAGGGCCUGUCUAUUUAUUUUCCUGUUGAGUCAUCCUCUUCUUAUAUAAGCACCAAUUAGAGAGCACCUCUGUCAUUUUUAUGCUUUGAUUUUGAUUGAUAUUAAGUAUGACUAUGACUGGAUCUUCGUUGCUAUGAAAUACAAUGUUUAGUCAGCCCUUGAUCUUUGAAAGUGCUCUGCAUUUAUGUUUUGCGGUCUCAGAACGAGCUAGCGAGAUACCACCUAUUCAUAUUGCUUCAUGCUUGUUUUGAUUGAAUUGUUGGUAUCUGAAACUUAUUAUUAUUUGCUCGCUAGCUGAUUAUGCCAUUGAUAUUAGUUUACCGUGAUACCUAUGUGUCACUUGCUUAUGUGGUUAACUUGUGAUCUUGCUGAAAUUCUGGUUAUGAAUUAUCCAUAGUUGCAACAACAAGAUCAAACAGAGUUGAUACGUCUCCAUCGUAUCUACUUUUCCAAACUCUUUUGCCCUUGUUUUGGACUCUAAUUUGCAUGAUUUGAAUGGAACUAACCCGGACUGACGUUGUUCUCAGCAGAAUUGCCAUGGUGUUGUUUUUGUGCAGAAAUGAAAGUUCUCGGAACGUCCUGAAAAUUUACGGAGAAUAUUUCUGGAAAAUAUGAAAAAUACCUGCGCAAAGAUCCACCGGAGGGGACGGGCCAGUGGGCCACAAGCCCUAUAGCCGUGGCCUCCCCCUGGCCGGGGCUACCAGGCUUGUGGGCCCACGUGGCUCUGCCGCCCCCAAUUCCAGCACUAUUUAUUCCCUUUCGUCCCGGAAAAAAUCAAGAGAGAAUAGUUCAUCGCGUUUCACGAUCCAGAGGCGCCGCCACAUCCCGUUCUUGCCCUGGAGGGCAGAUCUGGAGUCCGUUUUGGGCUCCGGAUCAAGGAGAUCGUCGCAAUCGUCAUCAUCAACCUUCUUCCCACUCCAAUUCCAUGAAGCUCUUCAUCGUUCGUGAGUAAUCUAUUCGUAGGCUCGCUGGGCGGUGAUGAGUAGGAUGAGAUCUAUCAUGUAAUCGAGUUAGUUUUGACGGGGAUUGAUCCCUAGUAUCCACUAUGUUGUGAGAUUGAUGUUGCUACUACUUUGCCAUGCUUAAUGCUUGUCACUAGGGCCCGAGUGUCAUGAUUUCAGAUCUGAACUUAUUAUGUUAUCACCAAUAUAUGUGUGUUUUAGAUCUGAUCUUGCAAGGUGUAGUUACCUACUAUGUGUUAUGAUCCGGCAACCCCGGAGUGACAAUAACCGGAACCACUCCCGGUGAUGACCAUGGUUUGAGGAGUUCAUGUGUUCACCAAGUGCUAAUGCGUUGGUCCGGUUCUUUAUUAAAAGGAGAACCUUAAUAUCCAGUAGUAUCCAUUUGGACACCGCUGCCAUGGGAGGGAUGUACAAUAGAUGUCAUGCAAGUUCUUUUCCCUAAGCACGUAUGACUACACACGGAAUGCAUGCCUACAUCACAUUGACGAACGGGAGCUAGCCACAUAUCUCUCCGUGUUAUAACUGUUGCAUGAUGAAUGUCAUCCAACAGAUCACCAAUCCUUUGCCUACGAGUUUGUCCCAUUGCUACUGUUACUUGCUGCUACUAUUACUUGCUUUGCUCUGCUAUUGUUACUAGUGUUGCUUCUACUGUUACUUGCUUUGUCCUGCUGCUGCUGCUGCCACUACUGUUACUUGCUGUUGUUGCUACUUGCUACUGCUGCUACUUGCUACUGCUGUCACUAUUGCCGUUCCUUGCCACUGUUGUUACUCGUUACACUGCUACUACCUGCUACAAUACUUUUCUGGCGCCAUUGAUACUUCAGUUAGGAAUAAUCUGCCGUCAACAGAUUCUUUCCUAGCUCCGUUGCUAUCAUACUACCUUUGCUGCUUAUAUCCUGCUUGCAGAUACUAAUCUUUCAGGUGUGGUUGAGCCGACAACUCAACUGCUAAUACUGGAGAAUAUCCUUUCACUCCCAUCGUGUCGAACCAAUAAAUUUGGGUUGAAUACUCUACCCUCGAAAACUGCCGCGAUCCCACACGCUGGUGGGCCAUUGCAAGACAAUUGCUAAUUGUUGAGCAACUGGAAGCAGGGUGUCGGGGCCUUGCCUCGUGAGGCGCGUCACGAUGGCAGGGAAAUGUGCGGGACUGGGACCUUUCGACGUAGAGCCAUAAAAUCCCUCAACCGGCAUCACGAGAAGGACCGUGCAAGACCUGCAUCGACCCGUCGCACCUCUGCAUCGUCCUUCAAUCCUUCCGGAACCUACUUCAUCACGUGACACUCUCACGUAAUAACGAGCCAAGGCUGUAUAUGCCCAGGCCCCCCUGAUGACGUGGAAGGGUUCCACCCCACACCUAGUGGAAUACCUAUGCUCUGCGCUGGGUAUAGAUGGAGGAAAUCAACAUAGUCCACCAAUGACUUCCGGAAUCAGGCGCCAAUGCCUCGGGGGUUGGGACACCCGCGAGGCCAAAGUGUCCUCGCGUCCUCCUAUAUACACCACCACCGUGACGCUCUCAUGUAAUAACGAGCCAAGGUUGUAUACGCCUAGCCCCCCCCCCCCCGAGGAUACGGAAGGGCUCCACCCCACGCCUUGUGGAAGACCUAUGCUCCGCGCUGGGUGCAGACGGAGGCAAUCAACUUAGUCCACCAAUGACUAUGCCCGUAGCUGGAAAGGAAACCCAUAUAGUCCACCGAUGACUAUUCCAGCCUAAAUGCCUGACGCGACGUUUGCUUGCUUUUCCUGAAUUUUGAACUAUCUUCCGUCGGACUUAGAUCUACCAAUUUUAAAAGUUGAUGUUUGAAAGACAAAAGGGGGGUGGAACUUUCUCUUGCCCUUUCUCGUAUUCACCAGUUUUUGAAGCCUAUUUUCCAGAUAACAUUCUCUGGGGAGCUAAACGCUCCACGCCGCGCCUAGGGGCCAAGGAGCGAAAGCAAGGACUUGUCGUGUAACGACUAAGAUGCGGCCCUUUCCUUAUUUGGGGGCGAGGCCUCAAAAGGGGAAAGAGGUGCAUCUACGCGUUUCGCAAGCAAGAUAAUCAUAGCAAUUUAAAUAACUGAAGAGUGACAAGUAGGGCAUACACUUGCCAUCUGAUAAAGUACAUAGUCAUACAGUCAUACAAAACAUGGAAUGGUCCGGCUACGGACAAGAUAAACGGCAAAAGCUAUGAUAUCCCACAUGCUGGUCCCACGAUCACGGCCACUGCCUCUAAUCGUCGGGAUAAGUCACAUACAACCUGCCGCUGUCCUCAUCAAACUUCCACUUCAACUGGCUGUCAUCGGGAACUCCUGCAUCAGGGGUACCUGUACCUAUGGGUGUUUGUAGUAAACCGUGAGCCACGAGGACUCAUCAAUCUUAUGACCUUGGUAUCGAGUCUAACUAAGUUAAAUGGGUGAGAUAGGAUAAGUGUUUGAGUUUGCAGCAACCUACGCUUAUAUGGAGGCUAUCUUACGAUGAACAUAAUUAAUAUAUGUGGUGGUCUAUGUAAGACGGUCGAAUACUAGAAUGAUCACUAAGUGAUCCUGAGCACCUACUUAUGUCAUUCAUAACCCCACCGUGUUCUCGAUCAGAGAAGAAACUCUCAAAGAGACAGUCACGGUUACGCACUCAGUUGGCAAGUUUUUAUUAGAGUUACUUUAAGUUGUCUAGAACCGGAUGUUAACAAAAUAUCCAUGUUGCUACAUAACCGCGGGCCUGACUUUCUGAAAGAUUAAACCCUGCACGGGUGCUCCAACUAGUCCAUCACAAAUUACCACAGGCCGCAUAGUAAUCCUCUACCACGAAACUCGUGAUCUCGUCGGAUUCCUUAGAGGAAAACCUCAACCCUGAGAAGACUCAAAGUCUCACCGGAAUCCAAUGCGCAAGAUAUAUCGCUAAGGUAAGACAAGUCCAUCAAGACCACCCGACGUGUCGACGAACCCGAUAGGAGCCGCGUAUCUCGUUCUGAGGACACGACGGAUGGAACUAGCUACAGGAACCAAACAUCAAGUUUCCUCGCGGUGGCCCUGCAGACAGUCCAUUUUGGACCAACACUCAUGAGGAGCACUGGCCCGGGUUGUUGAUUAAUUCCUCGGGGUAGCUAUUCCCUAUGCUUUUAUUAUUAAUUUAUUAGCAAAUUAACACCAAAGUUGGGUCCUGCCAGACAAGUCUUAACACUAUACGAUUUAUCGAGGGGGUCCCCAUAACAACCCCGAACGUGUUAGGAGUGCUCAAUAUGAAAUAAAACACCGGUAGCCGAAACUAAGGCGGCAACAACGAAACAAAUCACCCGGCAAAAGGCUAGGCCUUCCGUUAUUUACCAAGUAUAUAGGUGCAUUAAUUAAGUAGCAAUUAUAUAAGAUGAUAUCAAGUUGCCCAUGUUAUCACAUGGACCAACUGGCACCUGCAACUAGCAACGCUAAUAAUUAGUGUUGCUACUUUUCUGCCUAUUUGGUUUGAGGUUUCAUGGCAAUGUUUGAGGUUUCAUGGCAAUGGUUGAGCAAGCCUAACUUAGUCAAACAAUAUUUGCUAGGAGGGGAGGUGUUUGAGGUUUCAUGGCAAUGUUUGAUGGCCUAUAUAUCAUGUGGUAGGCAGCGGAGAUGUAACGAAGGAAACGUAAUACUAAGCAUAACGAAGCUAGAAACGGUGUCAAGGUCAUGAUCAUCUUGCGUAUGAUUUCUUCAGACUGGAACUGCUCUUGUUCUUCCUGCACGAACUCUCCGGACUCCUCGAACUCGUUUCCGGCCCCGGUAACUACCCAAAAGAAAUAACAUCUAAUAAACACCAGCAACAAAUGAUGCAACAGACAAUAUGAUGCAUGCAUGCACUGCUCCAAACAAGCACAUAAAAUAGCCCGACAUCGGUAAAACUAUUGCCACCUCACCACAAGGGUAUUUUCUACAGAGAUGCCCAAAAUCAGAAACUAACAACACUAUUGGAUUCAUUGGAUUUUCUACCCCAAAUCCAUAUAUCAUACAGCCACCUUUGCAUCCAGAAAAACUCCACAAACAGUAAAAAAAUAAAAGCACAUAAUCAAACUACAACACUAAUUCAAGAACAUGGACUGUUCUUGAGCCAGCCCAAAUUAGCAAGUCCAAAUCUGGACAUUUCCAGAAAGGGAAAUAUGCCAAUUUAGCACAAGGACAAUUCACAAACAAAAAUAAAAAUGACAGAGAAAAUAUUAGGAGGGGUCCCACCUGGCAGUGGCCCCUCACUGGAUGACAUGUGGGUCCAGAGGGCCCACUGUCACACCCACACACCACACUACACACACAGCCAGACACACGCACUAACAGAUCUAUACAGACGACUGCACCACAGCCACACUGGAUCCUUACACAGCUUCAUAAUUAGAAAAAGAAGGCCCACUGUCACACCCACACACCACACACACGCACUAACAGAUCUAUACACACGACUGCACCACAGCUACACUGGAUCCUUACACAGCUUCAUAAUUAGAAAAAGAAAAAUAGGCAGAGGGGGGUUUCGAACACUGAACCUCACCCACACAUCGCCACACCUGUGCCACCGCUACUGAUCAGAGAGGAGUGCUAAGCUUCCUAUACUAUCUACUGAUGUGCAACAGGAGCAGAAGAAGAAAUAAAACGAUACUGACAGAGAGGGGUCCUUGAUCCUUUUGAGUAGGCCCCUCAGCCCUGCUCUCUGCUCUGACGAUCGAAGCAGAAGCGAACGGCGGCGACGGCUCAGGUGCCCAACGAAGGGGAAGUUCACCGGCGGAUGAUGCAGAGCCCCUGGGGGUUCCAUUCCCGUCGCAAACACACCGGGAGGUGAACCACGACGGCGGCGCGACGGACUGCACCUACUCUACUGAAGCUGCUACUGCACGCCCGACGAGCACACCGGCGACAACAGAGGAGCCCCGCGCCGUGAAGCCGCCUGACGCUAACGGCUGCGCACUGGGUACUCUACGCGUCCUGCUGCUGAAGCUACCUACUGCUGUCGCUCCUAUCUACUGCAGCCGCUGCUUCUGCUGCGCUCUGCUGUUACUGAAACAGUUGCUGCUGCUCGAGAACAGAGGAACGCCGGCGACCGUGGCCACUACUCGACGCGAUCCGUGGCUAGAGAGGGAAAAAGACGGGGAAGACGAGGCGCUGAUCACCUAGGGACACAGAGGGAGGAUCAGCGUGAUGGAGAAGCGCCCGAUGUUGAGAGGAUGCUGGAGAGCUGCCGGAGAGGAAGAAGAAGGCACCGGACGUCGGGGUCGUCGUGGAAGAAGACUCCCCCGCCGAUCUCUGCGAAAAUGGAUCCCCGCCUGGGUCCUCUUGCUCCUGGUGCUGACGGAGAGGAAGAAGACGGGCCGAACUGCUGACGCGCUUGAGCUCACCCGAGCCCUCUCAUGGUGCUAGCGACGACGCUCUCUUAUGACGACGCGAGGGAAGAUUAGGGGGAAGAAAAAGGGGAGCUACGGAGAAUCCUAGGGCACAUGCAUGGUCUAAAUAGGAGGGAGGCGCUCUGGUGGCUGUUUGAUGGAAGGAAGGAGAAAAUCUGGGGUUGCCAUGGCAUCGUACCGCUGACGUCUAGAGGAAGGAGACGAGGGAUGCGCCUACGGGCUGGUUGGGCCAAAGGCUACUCGGCCUGACUCUAUCUCUCACUCUCAGGUAACGGGCUUAGCAAAUUGCAUACAACAACUUUAAAAAAAUAACCCACAGGGCUAAAAGAAAAGACAAUAAUAAUAAUAAUAAUAAUAAUAUAUAUAUAUAUAUAUAUAUAUAUAUAUAUAUUGGUUGGCCUUCUAAAAAUCAUGCUACAAAUUAUAGAAGUAGAUUGGGCAAUUUUGGAAGUGUUCAAAUAAAAACCCUUUAUAUAAAAUGAGGCAGUGUUAUUAAAUAAAUUUUAAAAGGAAAAUAAAAUGAAAACCAGAGGGGUUGCCUCCACAAAUAUUAGGAUGAUUUUUAGAAGNGUAGAUUGGGCAAUUUUGGAAGUGUUCAAAUAAAAACCCUUUAUAUAAAAUGAGGCAGUGUUAUUAAAUAAAUUUAAAAGGAAAAUAAAAUGAAAACCAGAGGGGUUGCCUCCACAAAUAUUAGGAUGAUUUUUAGAAGAGGAGGAACAAUUUAUUGAGGCAAAACUAGAAACUUUUAAAUUUGCCACAAUUAAUUGGAAGGGAGGGAGUUUUUGAAACUAUGGUGCAACAAGGGGUUUUGAAUGGCUUUUUUGCACCCACUCACAUGCACAAGAUCACAACCACACAUCACCACAUGAUCAUCAAGGUGGCACAACACACAAGAUCAAACCAUCAAGCCAAAAGGAAAAGAAGCAAGAUAUGCAUGAUGCAUGAGAUGCACAUGAAAUGAUAAUGCCACAAGCCUCAACUCCAUAACAUUGCCUCAACAUAGUUGCCAAACAAGGAAAGGAUUACAAAAGGUGAAAGAAAAGCACUUGGGCUGUUACAUGCCGUCCUAGGGGUGGACAUUUUCGGCGAGGAGGGAUGCAGGGCCUAAGGGGGCUCCCGAGCAUCGAACCUCAGGAGCCUCAAAGGACAGGGUGCGGGGCCAGGGCCCGCAAACAUAGGGAGCCAAAAGGGUCUCCAUCUCAUCCCACCUACAGAGCAGGAGCUACUCAGGAGGAGCUACGGAAGGGACCGGUGCAAGCCCACGAGCUAAGUACUUCGCAAGCCCAGAUGGGGGUCAUUUAGUUUCACGCCAAACUAACGACAAAUUAAAAACAUGUGUACUAACGAAGGGAUGCAGGGCCUUAGGAUUCAGCUGCAGCGAGGGACGAGGCCGACGACCAAGCGUGCAGCGGCACGAGCGGGGCCUCAGGAGGACGGGACCUACCGAGGACCCUAGUUGCCGUUACUCCCAAGCGAUGACUGGGGCAGCGACGAGCCCUAUGCAAAGAAGUCGAGCUGCAACGACUACCGGCAAGCGAGAAAUCGACACACGAGCGAAAGGAAAAACGUAAAACAACGAAGGUAACGAACGAAAGGUUAACGACCAACAGUGCAGAGUUCUUGGUUUGACGUUACACGAGAAGGAAACGGAAGCUGGGAUACGCCUAGGGGGAAAGGCCCCAAGCACCGCCCUUGGCUCCUGUGGGCUCAUCGUCGAAGGCCUCCUCCUCGCUGGACAUAGGCAACCGGACGUACUGCUCCACCAGGGCGUCCACGUGCGGGCGCACUUCAUCCCGGAGAAGGCGCCGGGGCUCGGCGGGCAUGGGCUCGACGACGCGCUGGAGAUCGAGCUCCGGGACAAGGCGACGCUGGUUGGAGAAGACAAGCGUCAAGGCAAGGCCCAGAAGCUCGUGCGCAUCGGACUGUUGGAAUUAUGCCCUAGAGGCAAUAAUAAAUGUAUAGUUAUUAUUAUAAUUCCUGUAUCAAGAUAAUAAUUUAUUAUCCAUGCUAUAAUUGUAUUGAAUGAAGACUCAUUUACAUGUGUGGAUACAUAGACAAAACACCGUCCCUAGCAUGCCUCUAGUUGGCUAGCCAGUUGAUCGAUGAUAGUCAGUGUCUUCUGAUUAUGAACAAGGUGUUGUUGCUUGAUAACUGGAUCACGUCAUUGGGAGAAUCACGUGAUGGACUAGACCCAAACUAAUAGACGUAGCAUGUUGAUCGUGUCAUUUUGUUGCUACUGUUUUCUGCGUGUCAAGUAUUUAUUCCUAUGACCAUGAGAUCAUAUAACUCACUGACACCGGAGGAAUGCUUUGUGUGUGUCAAACGUCGCAACGUAACUGGGUGACUAUAAAGAUGCUCUACAGGUAUCUCCGAAGGUGUUAGUUGAGUUAGUAUGGAUCAAGACUGGGAUUUGUCACUCCGUGUGACGGAGAGGUAUCUCAGGGCCCACUCGGUAAUACAACAUCACACACAAGCCUUGCAAGCAAUGUAACUUAGUGUAAGUUGCGGGAUCUUGUAUUAUGGAACGAGUAAAGAGACUUGCCGGUAAACGAGAUUGAAAUAGGUAUGCGGAUACUGACGAUCGAAUCUCGGGCAAGUAACAUACCGAAGGACAAAGGGAAUGACAUACGGGAUUAUACGAAUCCUUGGCACUGAGGUUCAAACGAUAAGAUCUUCGUAGAAUAUGUAGGAUCCAAUAUGGACAUCCAGGUCCCGCUAUUGGAUAUUGACCGAGGAGUCUCUCGGGUCAUGUCUACAUAGUUCUCGAACCCGCAGGGUCUGCACACUUAAGGUUCGACGUUGUUUUAUGCGUAUUUGAGUUAUAUGGUUGGUUACCGAAUGUUGUUCGGAGUCCCGGAUGAGAUCACGGACGUCACGAGGGUUUCCGAAUGGUCCGGAAACGAAGGUUGAUAUAUAGGAUGACCUCAUUUGAUUACCGGAAGGUUUUCGGAGUUACCGGGAAUGUACAGGGAAUGACGAAUGGGUUCCGGGAGUUCACCGGGGGGGGGGGCAACCCACCCCGGGGAAGCCCAUAGGCUUUGGGGAGACACACCAGCCCUUAGUGGGCUGGUGGGACAGCCCCAAGGGGGCCUAUGCGCCAAGAGAAGGAAAUCAAAGGAAAAGAAAAAAAAGGAGGGAGGAAGUGGGAAGGGAGGGGGACUCCUCCCACCAAACCAAGUCCAACUCGGUUUGGGGGGGGGAGUCCUCCCCCCCUUGGCUCGGCCGACCCCCAAGGCAAGGUCCCCCUCCCUCCUCCUAUAUAUAUGGAGCAAUUAGGGAUGAUUUGAGACGACUUUCUCACGGCUGCCCGACCACAUACCUCCAUAGUUUUUCCUCUAGAUCGCGUUUCUGCGGAGCUCGGGCGGAGCCCUGCCGAGACAAGAUCAUCACCAACCUCCGGAGCGCCGUCACGCUGCCGGAGAAAUCUUCUACCUCUCCGUCUCUCUUGCUGGAUCAAGAAGGCCGAGAUCAUCGUCGAGCUGUACGUGUGCUGAACGCGGAGGUGCCGUCCGUUCGGUACUAGAUCGUGGGACUGAUCACGGGAUUGUUCGCGGGGCGGAUCGAGGGACGUGAGGACGUUCCACUACAUCAACCGCGUUCUCUAACGCUUCUGCUGUACGAUCUACAAGGGUACCUAGAUCACUCAUCCCCUCUCGUAGAUGGACAUCACCAUGAUAGGUCUUCGUGCGCGUAGGAAAUUUUUUGUUUCCCAUGCGACGUUCCCCAACACGGACGUGCUCUCCUCCUCCACCCGGGUAACGCCGACCUCGAGCGCCUCCACCACCUUCUCAAAGAAGGCGAGGUAGCCCCUAUCGCUCCUCACGUUUUGCAGCGCCGAGGCCUCCCCCGCAAGUCGGCGCGUCACGUCAGCUACCCGGCCGGCGAUGCCCGCGAACUGCUUGGCGUGCUGGGACGCCCUCAUCCGGGCGAACGAUGCCUCGUUGUUGUCUGCCAAGACGGCGUCGGUCGCCUACUGGACCUGCUUCUGAAGCGACGACAACUCGUCCUUGGCCUACGCUUCGCCCUCGCGGGCGGCGUGGACACUACAAGAAUCAGAUACUUUGCCGUCUGCCAUGGCGGACGGCAAAGGGGAGCACCCUGGAUGGCAAAGGCCUUUGCCGUUCGUCUGCAGACGGCAAACUGCACGGCAAAGAAAAAUCCGUUAAAGAGGUUCUUUUCCGUCUGCCUUGGCCCCGCGGUCGGCAAAGAAACUUUGCCCGGGGGGGGGGGAGACGACAAAGAACAUCGACGACAGAUCCGCGGGCUAGGGUCGUCAAGUCGUAACGAUAGCCUUUGCCGUGUGCUGGGCCCACCAUCCCUUUGCCGUCUGUCAUGGACCCCUUUGCCAUGUGUGGGAAAACGACAAAGAUGGCAAAUAGUCCUGGCCUUCAAGGCCUUUGCCGUCUGCUGGGCUCCCUUUGCCGUCGGUGGGCGGACGACAAAGAAACCAAAAUGCCCCUGUUUAUUUUAUUUUUUAUUAUAUCCAACAAUUUUCACAGGAAUAUAUGAUAUAUAUAUAUAUAUAUACAUAUAUCAUAGAAAUAAUGUUGUUGCCAUACUGAUAACCAUAUUAAAAUAAGUUUAAUCCAUCCAUACAUACAUAUUAUGCAAGUUUGAUCCGUACCAAACCAUAUAUUACAAUAGUUUCAUCCAUACAUACAAAGUUUCAUAUCCAUAUAUUACAACAGUUUCAUCCAUACAUAUUAUCCAAAAAACAUAUAAGUAACCCAAGCACUCCAUCAAUCCAAGCAUUCGUGAAGUGAAAGUAAUCUGCAAAAUGGGAAAUAAGAAAGUUAGAAGAAGAAGACUAGACGAAGAAGAGAAGUAAGCUAGGUAUAGGUCAUUUUUGAAUAAAUAGGCCAUUUUGGAGCUAAUUUAGCUUACUACAUCAUCUAGGAGGAAACUAAGCUAAGUAUAUGUCAUUUUGGAGCUACUUAGGUAAAAAUAGGUCAUUUAGGAGCUAAAUAUGCCUAUUAAGCCAUUUUGGAGCUAACUCAGCUAAUUAUAGGCCAUUUAAUAGCUAAUUUAGGUACAAUAGCUCAUUUUGUAGCUAAGUAAACUUAUUAUGUCAUUUAGGAGAGAACUUAGCUAAGUAUAGGUCAUUUUUGAUUAAAUAGGCCAUUUUGGAGCUAAUUUAGCUUACUAUGUCAUCUAGGAGGAAACUAAGCUAAGUAUAAGUCAUUUUGGAGCUACUUCGGUAAAAAUAGGUCAUUUAGGAGCUAACUAUGCUUAUUAAGCCAUAUUGGAGCUAACUAAGCUAAUUAUAGGCCAUUUAAUAGCUAAGUUAGGUACAAUAGGUAAUUUUGUAGCUACGUAAACUUAUUAUGUCAAUUAGGAGAGAACUUAGCUAAGUAUAGGUCAUUUUUAUGAAAUAUUCCAUUUUUGAGCUAAUUUAGCUUACUACGUCAGUUAGGAGGAAACUAAGCCAAGUAUAUGUCAUUUUAGAGCUACUUAGGUAAAAAAUAGGUCAUUUAGGAGCUAACUAUGCUUAUUAUGCAAUUUUGGAGCUAAAUAACCUAAUUAUAGGCCAUUUAAUAGCUAAGUUAGGUACAAUAGGUCAUUUUGUAGCUACGUAAGCUUAUUAUGUUAUUUAGGAGGGAACUUAGCUAAGUAUAGGUUACAUUUUUAUGAAAUAGGCCAUUUUGGUGCUAAUUAAGCUUAGUACGUCAUCUAGGAGGUAACUAAGGUGAGUAUAUGUCAUUUUAGAGCUACUUAUGUAAAAGUAGGUCAUUUAGGAGCUAACUAUGCUUAUUAUGCCAUUUUGGAGCUAACUAAGCUAAUUAUAGACCAUUUAAUAGCUAAGUUAGGUACAAUAGGUCAUUUUGGAGCUACGUAAGCUUAUUAUGUCAUUUAGGUGAGAACUUAGCUAAGUAUAGGUCAUUUUUUAUUAAAUAUGCCAUUUUGGAGCUAAUUCAGCUUACUACGUCAUCUAUGAGGAAAAUAAGCUAAAUAUAUGUCAUUUUAGAGCUACUUAGGUAAAAAAUAGGUCAUUUAGGAGCUAACUAUGCUUAUUAAGCCAUUUUGGAGCUAACUAAGCUAAAUAUAGGCCAUUAAUAGCUAAGUUAGGUACAAUAGGUCAAUUUGGAGCUAGGUAAGCUUAUUAUGUCAUUUAGGAGAGAACUUAGCUAAGUAUAGGUCAUUUUUUUAUUAAAUAGGUCAUUUUGGAGCUAAUUUAGCUUACUACGUCAUCUAGGAGGAAACUAACCUAACUAUAUGUCAUUUUAGAGCUACUUAGGUAAAAAUAGGUCAUUUAGGAGCUAACUAUGCUUAUUAUGUCAUUUUGGAGCUAACUAAGCUAAUUAUGUCAUUUAGGAGGAAACUAAGCUAAGUAUAGGUCAUUUUAGAGCUAACUUUUGGUAAAAUAUGUCAUUUUGGAGCUAAGGUAAGGUAAGUAAACAUCAUUAUGCGGUUGUUAAGCAAAACACUAGAAAAAACAUACCAUACUCGUCAGCACGACAGUGAAGCACGAUGGCUUUGGCUUGUUUCACCUGGAGAAGGCUCCACUGUAGAAGGGUCAUGCGAUGCGUUUCGGGAGAUAUUCUGCACCAAACAUCGUUUGUAAUGUGACGUUAGCAUGAUGACACUCAAAAGAUCACUGCAUUGAAAUGAAACUCACCAUCCCCGCCAUCUUAAUGACUAGCAUCGCCGGAGGGACAUGGCCGGUAUUCUCGCAGAUAGACUGUACAUUUGGUUUCGACAAGUCAAACUUUUUAGUUAUUAAUGAAACAAACAUUAAAAUGCAAGAUUUUACAAAUAUUAAGAAGAAAACUACCACUAAGAGCUCAUACAUGGCCGUGUUAGACGCAACAUUUCGUGCCCUCUCCGCCUCGAACAACACAACCAUCCUCUACUCCAUCUUCUCCAUCUCCUUAUCCUUCGCCGCCUAAAGCGCCUGUGUUGCCUCUCUCUCUUUUAGAAUAGUAGCGUGCAACACAAAUCAUUGUUAGCACUGUAAUAAUAUUGGCUUGCACACACAACGUAAUGCGGAUAGAUAGUUGAGUCCAUUAAACUAACCUCGAUGGCGAGAUCGACUGGCCGUGGAUGAGGUGUUAUCUUAGAACAGGAGCUUAUUUGGCGUGCCUUUAUCUACCGGAGAGUGCGAGGACAACGUAUAAGGUCGUCUCCAAUGGCGAUCGAGCCAUGGGGCCUCCCGUUUCCAGCUAUCAUCACCAGCUCUGGAUCAAUAGGCCCUGGCUCGGGUUAAAGUCCUCCCCUUUCCUCGCCUUCCCGUGAUCUAUGUACUUCACAAGCUUGUGGUGGGAGGAGAUGUUGGUGAAGUUUUCAGGAUGAUCGAGGUCAGACUCACAGAAUUCCUUGACCUUCUUGUACGAGGCAGUAUGGGCCAUCGCAUAGAGGUCGUACAUAUGUGGCACCUCCGUCUUAUUGUGACGCGCCUAAAAGAGAGAGAGAGAGGAAAAAUGUAUUAGUAAAGGGCUCAAGCUAGCAUUAAGAAUGAAUUGCAUGAGUCAUGAAGCAAACCACAUACCCAGUUCUGACCAAACCCAUUUAAGUUGACGCUCCCUUGAUGGUGUGGCACACCAACCAUUUUGCCACGCCUCUCCUUGGCAUUGUUGUGGCUGGCCUCCCACUUUUCGGAGCACCACUGAUCCACCAAGGCCUCCGAACAAUCCAUCUUAUCCACACACCAUCUCAGGGGCACCUAAGUUAAUAAAUAGAAAUUUGAGCGCUACGUGUAAGAAUCAAAUCAAGGAAACUAACUACAAGGCCUUAAUAAUAUGUAAUUACCAUCAUGUAAUGCUCCUUCUCAAUCUUAGAAUCGCGACACUUCGCCUUAUCCUUCCUAAUAUGUCGCGAGGAGUAGUAGUCUCGAACAACCUGCACCCGAACCUCGUGCCGAAAGUUUUGAAGUAGGCGGCGGCAUUCGGUUUCGACAACCUUUGCCGCGUCCUCCUCGUAUCCCUCCUCACACCUGUAGAAGGUCUACAAACGAGACAACACUGAUUAGUACAAUAACUAUCUAUUGUUGAUUUUAAUUGUGUAAAGGAGAAAUUACCCAGAACUGUCUGAUCACCAUGUCGACCCUCGUGUGGCACAAAACACCGUCGAUCUCCACCUCCGACGGGGCCGGGGCACCCAAGUAGUGCUCCCAGAUCAUUCCUACCUCUCGACCCCGACCAGGCAACGUAACAAACCCCGGGAAGUUUUGCCAGCAAAGAACACCAAGGACGCUCUUGGGCUUGCGGACACCCUUGGCAACAAUCCAACCCAUGCAAUAUGACAAAUUAAAAAACAAACAUUAGAUAUUUGAGAAAACGUGAAGGCAAAAGGUUAAAUAAGAGUAAAUUAACUUACUUGUCCCCAUUUGGCUUAAUCGACCACCUCUGCUCGCGGGUCGCCGGCACAAGCGGGAGCCCCAUACUACCAUGCUGGUAGACGGUGCCCCCCUCACCCACCUCCCCGUCGCUCUUAGCAUGGCCACUUGGCUCCGACUGACAUAGAUCAGUCCAGGUAUCCCACUGGGUCUCUUGGGACGUACCCUCAUCCCUACUUUGAUCCAGAGUCUCUUUGAACGAAUCCUCUAGGACACGGGUCUCAUGGGUCGAAGGCUCGUCGACCUGAGGCUCCUGAACCGGAGACCGUGUAGCCUCCACCUCAGACGGGUCCACCCUAGCAGUCAUGUGCUCAGGUGAAUAAGCUUGGGGUGGUGGCGAGGAAGGCGUGGCAGCCACCCUACCUCUCCCGCGGCCACGUGUACCUUUGGUAGCUCUCGGCUUCAUGAGGGCCGCGAGAGUCGAAGAAGCGGCCACUCCAUGCAAAGUAGAGAGAAACAUUGUUCGGAGAGGCGAUGUAGGAAUGGAAGUACCCAUCCCACCACCCGCCGACGAAGAAGGAGCCGUGGAGUGCUUUCGACCCUUUCCCACCAUCUUUCAACACGUGCCAUGACAAAGAGUAAAUGAAAUUUGUACAACAUAAAUACCAACAUGAGCAAUAAAAUGUAUAUAAUUUAAGAGUAUCAUCAUCAUAAAUACCAAGAUCACGAAUAAAAAUUGAAUACCUAACAUGAACUAAAAAUUUAUAUAUGUAUAUAAUAAUAGUUGACUACUUGACAUGAACUAAUAACAAUCUUGAUCGACUAUAUAUGCUUCGUGGUCAAUAAAUGCAUCAUGAUCACCACUAUCAUCAAUAAAUGCAGCAUCAUCAUCACUAUCAGGAAGAACAUGUGGAAGGCCUCCAUUAUGUAAUCGGUCAAGAAGUGAUAGGUCAUCCGCAGCAGUAACCUCUUCUUCUUCCGGCUCUUCCUGUUCCGUCUCAGGGGUUAAGACGGAUUCACUAUCGCUGUCUACUCCAAUGUUCUAGGGUGAAGUAGAGCGGUUCUUGAAACGUUUUUUGGACAUACGCGUUUCUUGGAAAAAUUCUCUUUCAUAUGUGUCUGGGUUAAUGUGAGGUUCGUAAUCCUCUUCAUUGAGGGUAGGUGGUCUAAAACGUGGCGACACUUCAUAAACGACAUCCCAACCUUUCAAAUUUGGAUCAGUUUGGCAGGCCCACGGUAGAUAGAAAACUUGUGUCGCCUGUUGAGUCAUAAUAUAGACAUCAGGAACAUCUAAAUGGGUGUUUUGGUUGAUUUAGACUAGUCCUAUAUGUUCAUGAGUCCUUCUAGUCUCCCUCGGCUCAUACCAAUAACAUUUGAAGACUAAGACGGUCGAUGGGUUUUCACCAUAGAAUAGAAGUUCAUAAAUUGCUUCAACUCUUCCAUAAUACUCGGUACCUCCUUCGCCGAUAGAAGAGACAGAACAAUUUGUAGUCUUUAGGUCGGUCAUAGAUAGCUCUUUGCCAAAGGUACAAAAGUGAUACCCGUUGAUGUUGUAUUUGUCAAAUGAAUGGACCUUAUAGUCAAAACCAUUAGCGACUUGUCUCAACUCGGCAUCCAUAGACUCUGCAUCAGCCUACAAGUUUAAUACGGAAGAAUGGAUGCAUUAGCCGCAAAUUAGACCAAGAAAUCAAGUGGCCCAUUAAUGGUAAUUAAUUACCCUUUGUUUGAACCAAGAGAUGAAACCAGGAUAGUCGCCUCCAUGCAUUGCCAGAAGCUCAUACUCUUCGACGGAAUCCUUUUCGAUGACCGCUCCAUCCAAGAAUUCGGCGAUGUAUCGACUAUAUCAAAUAUCUAGGAAUAAGAGCAGUUCAAAGGAAUUAGAAGUUGCGGAACAAUAAUUUACCGAGAAUUUACUCGAUGUACGGCCGCACUUCUGUUAGUUUGUUAAAGAUAUACAAUGAAAUGGUCCGCCAUUCUUCGACAUCCAAUGAUUUCCCUUUUGAAGCACCAACUGGUGCGAUCUUCCCUUUGAAAAGGCUGAGGUUGGAUCGACCUUUUUUAGGAUCGCCAUGAUUGUACCGAGGCUUCGGGUUAUGCAAAUGAAGAUUUCUGGCUUCGUAGUGUGCUGUCAUGAAGUUUGUUUCCUACUUAGUAAUGAAUGCCUCGGCCAUCGAUGCUUAAAUUCUACGUUUAUUUUUACAUUUAGCUCGAAACAUCUUCUGCAUCCUCUCAGUUGAGAAGCACCAUCGAUUUUGAACGCCCCCCCAAUCUUGCCUUGGUCGGGAGAUGCAAAAUCAAAUGCUGCAUUGGAUUAAAGAAGCUCGGUGGAAAGAUCCUUUCUAAUUUGCAGAUCAACUCUGCCGCCAACCCUUCCAUUUCAUCUAGCACGCCAGGCGAUAGUUCUUUCACACAAAGAGAAGAGAAGAAAUAGCUCAGCUCUGCCUGUACUAGCCAUUCAUCCUCAGGGAUAAAGGCAUGCAACAUCACCGGGAUUACCCGCUCAAUCCAUAUGUCCCAAUCAUGACUCUUGAGACCAAAUAUUUUCAAUUUCUCAAGGCUCGCUCCCCUCUUUAGAUUCACAGCAUACCCAUCGGGGAACAUCAACCGCAUUUUCACCCACAAUAGCAUUUCCCUCAUAGCUGGCCUUUCAAGAUUGAACCAUGCCUUUGGCUUCGCUACGCUUUGAUUUCCUUUCCGUUGUUGCAAGUUUUGUAACGGUCUAUCACAUAGAGCCUCCUGGUCGAUUCUAGCCUUAGGAUUAUCCUUUGACUUCCUCUCUAUGCCGAACAAUGUACCAAAAAUGGCCUCCGCAAUAUUCUUUUUAGUGUGCAUCAUGUUGAUGUUGUGUGGGAAAAUGAGGUCUUUGAAGGAAGGCAGUUCCCAUAAGCAUGACUUGUGAGUCCAAGCGUGUUCCGUAUUAUACCUUUUGAAAUACCGUGGACGCAAAGGAUCAGGCUCGAGAGCGUUUAACUGAUCAAGGGUCUGUUGGUCUGUCAACGCAGCUGGUGCAGUGUUUUUGACAACUCUACCUUUGAUGAAAUUCUUCUUGUCUUUUCUGAACUUAUGGUCAGGAUCCAGGUACUGUAUAUGCAUGUCGUAGCAAGAAAACUUGCGACCUACCUGCAUCCAACGAAACUGAAGAGCUGCCUUGCAUGUGGUGCACGGGACACUUCCAUGCACAAACCAGCCAACGAAUAUUGCAUACGCCGGAUAGUCAUGCGUCGAGUACAUGUACCACACAAGCAUUUUGAAGUUUUUUUCGUAGCGGCAUCGUAUGUGUUGAUCCCAUUAUCCCAGGCUUCUUGCAAUUCAUCCUUAAGCGAGUGCAUGUACACAUUCAUAUUCUUCCCAAGAUAGUUGGGCUGUGGAAUUAUCAACGCCAGGAAAAUGUUUUUUCUUUUCAUAAUAUCUCCGGGGGGAGAUUGAGUGGAAUGACAAAUACAAGCCAACAACUGUAAUGUGCUGCCGUCAUACCAUACACAUUGAACCCAUCCGUGCUGAUGGCAACCCGAGAAUGCCUUGGAUCUGCCGAUUUAUCCUUAUGUAAUGCAUCAAAGUGCUUCCACGCAAAAGCAUCUGAAGUGUGUACCAACAACUUGUCCCAUCCGCAUCUAGUUCGGUUCUCUUGCCCAAUUUGUGCCAUGUCAUAUGUCUGGCCGUCUCUUCGACCAUGAAAAGACGUUGAAGUCUUGGUACGAUUGGCAGAUAUUGAAGAACAUUAAUGGGGAUUUUGGUUUGAAUCUUCUCACCCAUACGUUGUCUACCACAAUAUACCUAGAAGAAUUGCAAAUGGGGCAAUAGUUCAAGGCCGCAUACUCAAGCCUAAAUAAGGCACAUCCAUUCUCACACGCAUGUAUCUUCUCAUAGGGCAUCUUAAGUACACGAAGGAUUUUCUCUGGCUUGUAUAGGUUUGCAGGCACUACAUGGCCUAUGGGUAGAAAGCGUCCAAAUAUCGUCAUCAUCGCGUUGUAGCAUUCUCUGCCUAGGUUGAAUUGAGCCUUCAGAGCCAUUACUUGCGCGAUGGCAUCCAACUGACAAAGCUCAGUGUGCUCAUGGAGAGGAUGUUUUGAAGACUCCAACAUUUCAUAGAAGGCCUUUGCAGAUUCUUCCAUCUCAUCGUCCAAAUCCCGAGCAUUAUCAAAGUCUUGCACCAUGUCUUCGAUCCCGGUACCAUGCUCGUCGGUGCGACGACGAACCAUCUCAGCUCUGGCACGUUGGUCAGACUCACCAUGAAAUGUCCACACCGUAUAAUUAGGCGUAGAAAUCCACUUCUGCACGUGUUUACCCAUUUCAAACUCUGUCUGCUUUUUCCAGUUGUCGCAGUUGGGACAGGGGCACCAUGUUUUUUGAUGGCCAUUUGCAAAUGCGGCUCUCACAAACCCCCUGGUUUUUGUUAACCAUUCAAUGGUCAUGUCUUUCUGACUAGGGUGACGAGUGUACAUACAAGCACGAUCACUCAUCUUGUCUAGCUACCUAUGGGAACACAAGAAAUAUAUAUAUAAUUCAUCAUCUAUAUUCAUCCGCUAAUAAAGUUUGUCAGUUUUAUUACGUCCAUGCAACCUACAAGCUAAUAGGUAAAGAUAGGUCCUAAUCCCACCCGAGUAUGUGUAGAUUGGGUUCAUUUUCCCAUGCUCUGCUCCGGAUCCAACGCAAAAUUUCGACAACACCUCCCCGUUGUUCUCCUGAUACACGUCUCGGCAAUAAACAGAGAGGAUGUGUAACCAGAGAACAACAGGGAGGCACUGAUGAAAUUAUGCAUCGGAUCCGGAACAAAGCAUAUGGGAAAAUGAACCCAAUCUACACAUACUCGGGCUGUCCAUGGAUACCGUUGGACAAUUCGGAAGAAUCAUGGUUAUAAAUAUAUGCAAAUGCAUGCAUAUUUAUAACUGUAACCCUUUCGAACAAGAGAUGCAUACUGGUCAUGCAUACUGAUAUAUUAAUUUACCUAUAUCUAGCAAGUUUCAUCCGAACACCGACUAGAGAUGUCAUUUGUACUCACCCAUGAAUGCAGGGGCGGAGCUCGUCGAAUGCACGGGGAUGUCUUCGAACAACAGAUCUCGCAGCGACGAGACAACUACACAUAUAAAUCCACCCGAUCAACACAAAUAUUAGAUUGGAAAACCCUUCAAACCUCGGCAUGAGUACAAUUAGCUAAGUUAUGAGGUAACCAAGGUUCUUGUGAUUUUGUUACCUAACUAAGCUAAUUAUGUCAUUCUAGAUCUAAACUAGCUAAUUAUGUCAUUUUGGAGGAUAAUUUGCUAAGAUGUCAUUUUGGAGCUAAAUUAGCUAAGUUAUGAGCUAACCAAGGUUAUUGUGAUGUUUUUACCUAACUAAGCUAAUUAUGUCAUUCUGGAGCUAAACUAGCUAAUUAUGUUAUUUUGGAGGAUAAUUAGCUAAGUAUGUCUCUCAUUCCAUUAUUAUUUUCUUCUUUUUUCUUCUUCUCCUUUUUUCUUCUAAAUGUUUCUUUUCUCUUUCUCCUCCUCUCCUCUUUCUCCUUGUUCUUCUUCUCCUUCUUCUUCUUCUUCUUUCUUCUAGUUUUUUUCUUCUCUUAUUUUCUUCUAAGUUUUUUAUUUUCUAUCUAUUAUUUUCUUUUCUAUCUACUUUUUUCUACCUAAUAAACUAACUAUCUAAUUUAACAAAAAAAACAGAAAAAACUAACUAUCUAAUUUAAAAGAAAAAAACAGAAAAUAAACUAACUAUCUAAUUUAACAAAAAAAAUUAGGAAGUAAACUAAAUAUCUAAUUUAAAAGAAAAAAAGGGGUGGGGGCACUCACCGAAGUUGGGGACGGCCGGGGCGGCCAAAGGAGGGGGGAGGGACGAGGAGGGGCGGCGCCGGGAGCCAGUGAGGGGAGGGGGCGGCGCCGGGGGCGAGGUGUCCGCUGGGGAGGGGUGGCACAGGGUGCGGUGGCCGCUAGGGAGGGGGAGCCGUGGGGAGGGGGCGACGCUAUGUGCACGCGAGGAGAGGGGGCAGUGCAGGAGUGGCCGUUGGGGAGAGGGCAACGCCGGGGGCGGUGGAGGGGUGGACGGCCGCGGGGUGGGGCUGGAUCCAAGCGCGUGGGUGGAGAGAGAGAGAGGUGGGGGGGGCGGCCGUUAUAGGCACGUCCCCUUUGUCGUCUGCCCCCGCAUGGCAAAGAGACCCACGACAGACGGCAAAGGCGAGGCAGACGGCAAAGAGCCCGUCCGUUGGACCUGGCCAGGCCCAAGGUCCAUUGGGACCCAUCUUGCCUCUUUGCUGUCUGCCCUGGGUCUCUUUGCCGUCCACUGGCAGACGACAAAGUCUGGCUAAUGGCAAAUAGUCUGUUUGCCAUCAGUCAACACUUUACCGACUGCUUUAGGUCAGCUCACGGCAAAGAGCAUCUUUGCCAUCAACCAACAAACGACAAAGAACUUGUUGAUGGCAAAUUACUGGAUUCCUCCAGUAGUGGGAGGGCAGCCGCAGCACUCACGAGUUAAGCCUGCAGCCCCUCCACCUCCUCCUGAAGCUCGCCUAAUUUGAGCUUCUUGGCCGAGGGCGCUCGGAAGUAAAGGAAAUAUCAACCAACAAGCAACAGAUGAGGCAACAAUGAAAGGAGAUGAAGACGAGGGACUUACUCAUCGACCAGGGCCCAGCGGUGGCAGACGCACGAGGGCCCCGAGGGCCCUCCGCCGCUGCUUCCGGAGGUGGAUGGGGUCGCAGAUGCAGUCGCGCGCUUUCCCCUGCCGGGUCCGCCUCCCAGAGACGCCAUGGAAGAGAGGGAAAUGGAGAGGAAGGAGAUUUUCUCGAUGGAGCGAAGGGAAGGAGAGAAGGAGAUCAAGAUUGAAGUGCCUCCCCCUUGACAGGGGUGGGGCAUAUUUAUAGGCGAACCACGACCACCAACCGUCGUGGGAGCGCGAGCGUCGCGGGUCCCACGUGAGUUGCAAGGUGGGCCAACGGGAGCGCUGCCACCCACGUUGUUUCACGUGUCCGCCGAGCGGUCACGUCUGCGAGGGCCGUUGGGCGUGGUCAGGCUGCACCAACGCCAUUCAAUGGGAACAAUGAUGGCCUACGUGGUUCUCGAAGAUCGUGCCAUCGUGGCCUGGUGCACCCGGACACCUUGAGGAGCGAAAGCAUCGCCACACAACAGCUGGACAUGUGUUCCGCUUGGCCCGCAGGCUACUAGGGCCCGUGACGCUUCGAGCCGCCCUCAAGGCUUCGCCGAGAAGCCAACCCACGCACGCAUUGGGCCCGAGGGGCACCGUCGGCGUUCUGGGAAUGGGGUUACCCAGACCUGCCUUCUUGCGGCCUAGGGCUGGCCCACCUCAUCAAGCAAGCCGACGGGCCCGGCAUCACUCAAGGCAAGGCCAUCGUGAGGGGAAAAGCCUCAUGAGGAGGAAUGGCAUCAAAACCCAUAGGGGGCCUCCUCAGGACCCCUCUGGAGUGGCGGAUAUUCCGAGGCAAGGCCCGUCCUCAGGAGGCAAGGAUGACGCAAGGGAAGGACAUGCGAGCAACACACAUCAGGGUGGCGUAGUUUCCACUUUAGUGCAAAGGAGGCAAGGACAUACUGGGGUUCCCAAGGCAUCUUCCAAAAGUUUCCAUUCUGGUGCAACAAGAUCAUGGCCGCCCGCCAGCACGACGGACAUCACCCCUGAACCCGCCCCUGCAGUGCUGACAGUCACUUUGCAGUCGAAGACCACUUUUGGACAGGGGAAGCAUGUUCCCUUGCCCCCUUCAAAAUUGGCCGUUGUGGGAUCCCUUGCCGCUGGAACGAUAAGGGAAGAGGACCCGGACCACCACUAUAUAUAGAGGAUAGGUUGCUUCGUAGAGAGGGACCCCGAUUCACGAGUUCAUCCACUAGCUCCGCACAAAGUCAUGAAGCCUCUAGAGGCCCUCAAGAACACUGUACUACUUCAUCCACCCACCUCCAAGAGAGGCAAUCCACCAAAGCAGGAGUCGGGUUUUACGCUUCGGAGUGGCCCGAACCUGGGUAAACUGCCGUGUUCUGUGUCUUCCUCACCAUCGAGUGAGUUUUCUAUGCCGUCCAUCGAGUAGCGAGCUAGGUGAGGUAGAGCCGAGAGAGAUCUUCGUACACGCCCUUGUGUUCAAACCUUGAGGGUUUUGGGGAGCCCAAAAUCCGACAGAUCCGUUGCCCGUCAUUGAUGGAGAAGCUCGAAGAUCGUCGUAGGUGAGUUUGGGUGGCGGAUUGAAGUGAAGGGGAGUGAAGUAAAGUGGCUAGGGUUUGGUUCGGCGAGCGGAUGGGGACGGAUAUAUGUGAAUGAAUGACAACACGGGCCAGGUCGACGUGGGAGGCGUGCGCGGACACACACGGGCUCCCUCAUCUCCGCCCCAUAUUUGGUCUCGAUAUGAGAGGUACCGGUUAGUCCGGGCAUUUGAGCCUCAUUUGAAAUGCCGGAUCGGGUCAAAAUUUCAUGACUCAUCAGUGACCGUAUGACCUUCUCCAAUGUUUAAGACGGGCAUGAGAUGUAGAUGCUUUUACAUCGGUUUCCUCCGCUGGAGAAAUUUUCCAUAUUCCUAGUUAUGUAUUUACUUACGAUGAUGAAGAAUAAAACUAUAGCUAUAUUUUUUCCUUUGCCUAAUUAUGUUUCCAAGCGUAGGAUAACCUCAAGGGGUUGUGGUUUUUUUCUAUCAGUGGGAGCUUUUUUUUGCGGGAGAAAAUUUGCAUUACUCAAGUGAAGUAGUUCAUACAAUCAACCGUAGCUAGCUCCAUAGCUACUGAAGGACCCUAGCAAAACCAAGUCAUGGUUCAGCCUUCUAAACGACCAAACUUGGCUAUACUAUCACUAACUUUAUUUCGACUAUGGUUUACAUGAGUAAUAAAAGAAUCACGAAGAGACAUAUGGUAUCUAAGCUCCAUUAUAAGCGACGAGUAGACCGAUCUAUCGACCUCUUUGGCCUGGAUCAACUUCACUACAACAGUUGAAUCCAUCUCUAUCUCAACUGGCAGGUCACUUAUCUGUAUUGCAAAGGACAUUCCUUCCAUACAUGCAUUCAACUCCGCUUUGAGAGAAUCCCGACAUGAAAAUAGUUGAAUACAUGAGGAAAAUAUGAUUGCACCUUUGUGAUCUCUAAGUACCAUACGAGCACCUGUUGAACCGACGUCUGCAUAAGAUCCAUCCGUGGACAACUUGACCCAUCUAGAGUUGGGGGCGCUUCACUUAGGACCAAGUCCUAUUGUCGCAUGUGGCAAGCCAGAAGUCUUAUCAUAUGAAAUAGUCGAUCCUCCUUUAAUUGUAACAGAGGAUAGAUCCACCUUAAUGCCAAUAACUGAAUAAAGAUAGCUCACCAAGAAACGUUUAGAAACCUCCAUGGACGGUAGGAGUUCGUGACGAACCACCUCAUUACGGAUGUGCCAAGCCCGCCAAAGCAUCAUAAGCAACAUUGAACGCUCAAUGUCACGAAGAGGCUCCAGAGCAUGUAGCAACCAUUCUUGCCAUUGUUUUGCAUGGUCUCCAUACAAGGCAGCGACCAAACUUUUGUCAUUACGUCCGAUAGAAUACUUGACAAAGUACAUCAACAAAGUGCAUGAAAGCAGUCCUCAAACUCAAUUCCACAUACUGGGAUAGAUCAUUAAUUUCAAGGCCCCUAAUAUGUUCGUUUCUCCAAGUCGGUACAGAGUAUGUAGCCACGCGCCAAGCGAAGUUCCUAACACUUGGGGGGUACAUCAGAGGACCAAAUGAAUUGCCAACAAGAGCGUCGACCAUCAAGACGUAAACUGGAGCCAGUAGAUGUGAUCCUAUGCUCCUCUUCAAAGUCAAAGUGACAAGCACUUUUAACCAAGAAAACAUCAUACUUUCCUAGACCCCAUGCCAAUGUAUCCUCUCCUAGUCACGGUGACGCACGUAUUUUCAGAAUCUCCACAAAAUCCGGGGAUAGGAAAAAUUGUUGUAGCAGUGCUAGGUUCCAGGAGCCAUUCUCAUUCAGCAGGUCCGAGACAAAUCAAAUUCUACACGUAUCUUGUACUGUUAUAGGUUUAUAAGAGAAGGGUCGUGGGCGGCACGGUGCUAUCACUGGGAGCUUUCCUUUCACCGUCGUCAUGAGGAUGGUCCACACGGUUCAUAACUAUCCUUUUUUACUACGAGACGUUUACCUAGCCAACACUUAGAUCCGGCUCUAUCCAAACUUUUUUGAUUCACCCAAACAUUAUCCACUUGUCCGACUAUUGCUAAGUAAUUUUAGGAUACUAAACGGACCCCGUCAUAUGGUAACCGUAGAGUGGCCGAUUGACCCUUUUUUGCAGGGUUUGAUUUCCUUGAUGAUAGCACCAUGCCGUCCACCUGUGCUCUCAGAAAUACCGAUUAUCAAAUGUUGAAUGCAAACACUGUUGGGUAACGUAGCAUAAAUUCAAAUUUUUUCCUACGCAUAUUCAGAUCUUCCUAUGGAGAGACCAGCAACGAGAGAGGGGUGAGUGCAUCGUCAUGCCUUUGAAGAUCGCUAAGCGUAAGCGUUACUAGAACGUGGUUGAUGGAGUCGUACUCGCGGCGAUUCAGAUCGCGGUGUGAUUCUGAUCUAGUGCCGAACUACGGCACCUCCGCGUUCAACACACGUGCAGCCCGGUGACGUCUCUCGCACCUUGAUCCAGCAAGGAGGAGGGAGAGGUUGGGGAAGAACUCCAGCAGCACGACAACGUGGUGUCGAUGGAGAGACGAGGUCUCCCGACAGGGCUUCGCCAAGCACCGGCAGAGAGGAGGAGAAAGAAGGGCAGGGCUGCGCCGAGGGAGAGGGAAAAGUCUGUCUCUCAAUGGCCAAAAACCCCUCUCUAUUUAUAGGAGGGGGAGGGCUGCGCCACCCCUAGGGUUCCCACCCUAGGGGCCGCCGGCCACUAGAUGGGAGAGGGGGUGGCGGCCAGGGCAGGGAAAGGGGGGGGUGCCCUAGGUGGGCCUUGGGCCUCCCCUGCGCCUAGGGUUCCCCCUCCCUUCCUCUCUGGUGCGCAUGGGCUGGGUGUGGGGGGUGCACCAGCCCACCUAGGGGCUGGUUCCCUCCCAAACUUGGCCCAUGUAGCCCUCCGGGGCUUGUGGCCCCUCCCGGUGGGCCUCCGGAACCCUUCCGGUGGUCCCGGCACUUUGCCGGUGGUGCCCGAAACAUUUCCGGCGUCCAAACCCAUCCAUCCUAUAUAUCAAUCUUUACCUCCGGACCAUUCGGGAGCUCCUCGUGACGUCCGGGAUCUCAUCUGAGACUCCGAACAUCCUUCGGUAACCUCGUAUAACAAUUCCCUAUAACCCUAGCAUCAUCGAACCUUAAGUGUGUAGACCCUAUGGGUUCGGGAGACAGGCAGACAUGACCGAGACACCUCUCCGGCCAAUAACCAUCAGCGGGGUCUGGAUACCCAUGGUGGCUCCCACUUGCUCCACGAUGAUCUCAUCGGAUGAAUCACGAUGUCAAGGAUUCAAUCAAUCCCGUAUACAAUUCCCUUUGUGUGUCGGUACAGAACUUGCCCGAGAUUCGAUCGUCGGUAUUCCUAUACCUUGUUCAAUCACGUUACCGGUAAGUCUCUUUACUCGUUCCGUAGUACGUCAUCGUGUGACUAACUCCUUAGUCACAUUGAGCUCAUGAUGAUGUUCUACCGAGUGGGACCAGAGAUACCUCUCCAUCACGCGGAGUGACAAAUCCCGAUCUCGAUUCGUACCAACCCAAGAGACACUUUCAGAGGUACCCGUAAUGCACCUUUAUAGUCACCCAGUUACGUUGUGACGUUUGAUACACCCAAAGCACUCCUACGGUAUCCGGGAGUUGCACAAUCUCACGGUCGAAGGAAAAUAAACUUGACAUUAGAAAAGCUUUAGCAUACGAACAAUACGAUCUAGUGCUAUGCUUAGGAUUGGGUCUUGUCCAUCACAUCAUUCUCCCAAUGAUGUGAUCCCGUUAUCAAUGACAUAUAAUGCCCAUGACCAGGAAACCAUGAUCAUCCCUUCACUAACGAGAUAGCCAACUAGAGGCUUGCUAGGGACACAUUGUGAUCUAUUUAUUCACACAUGUAUUACUGUUUCCUGUUAAUACAAUUAUAGCAUGAACAAUAGACGAUUAUCAUGAACAAGGAAAUAUGAUAAUAACCAUUUUAUUAUUGCCUCUAGGGCAUAUUUCCAACAGUCUCCCACUUGCACUAGAGUCAAUAAUCCAUUUACAUUGUGAUGUAUCGAACACCCAUAGCAUUAUGGUGUUGAUCAUGUUUUGAUCAUGGAAGAGGUUUAGUCAACGGGUCUGCAACAUUCAGAUCCAUAUGUACUUUACAAAUAUCUAUCACUCCACUCUGGACAUGGUCCUGGAUGGAUUUGUAGCGGCGUUUGAUGUGCUUCGUCUUUCGGUGAAACCUGGGCUCCUUGGCUAUGUCAAUGGCCCAAGUGUUAUCAUAGAAGAGUGUCAUUGGACCCGACGCGCUUGGAACCACUCCAAGGUCGGUGAUGAGCUCCUUCAUCCAAAUUCCUUCAUGAGCCGCUUCUGAAGCAGCUAUGUACUCCGCUUCACAUGUAGAUGCUGCCACGACUUCUUGCUUGCUGCUGCACCAGCUCACUGCCCCACCAUUCAAAACAUAUACGUAUCCGGUCUGUGACUUAGAGUCAUCUAGAUCUGUGUCAAAGCUGGCAUCGGCGUAACCCUUUACGACGAGCUCUUCGUCACCUCCAUAAACGAGAAACAUUUCCUUAGUCCUUUUCAGGUACUUAAGGAUAUUCUUGACCGCUGUCUAGUGUUCCAUACCGGGAUCACUUUGGUACCUCCCUACCAAACUUAUGGCAAGGUUUAUAUCAGAUCUGGUACACAACAUGGCAUACAUUAGAGAGCCUACGGCUGAAGCGUAGGGGACAUUACUCAUCUUCUCUCUAUCUGCUGCCGUGGUCGGUAAUUGAGUCUUACUCAAUCUCAUACCUUGCAAAACUGGCAAGAACCCUUUCUUUGAGUUUUCCAUAUUAAACUUCUUCAAUAUCUUGUCAAGGUAUGUACUUUGCGAAAGACCUAUGAGGCGUCUCGAUCUAUCUCUAUAGAUCUUGAUGCCUAAUAUGAUGCAGCUUCUCCAAGGUCCUUCAUUGAAAAACUCUUGUUCAAAUAGGCCUUUAUGCUCUGCAACAUUUCUGUAUUGUUCCCCAUCAAUAAUAUGUCAUCCACAUACAGUAUGAGGAAAGCUACAGAGCUCCCACUCACUUUCUUGUACAGACAGGCUUCUUCGUAAACCUGUAUGAACCCAAACGCUUUAAUCACUUCAUUAAAGUGAAUGUUCCAACUCCGAGAUGCUGGCACCAGCCCAUAGAUGGAGCGCUGGAGCUUGCACACUUUGUUAGCACCCUUAGGGUCGACAAAACCUUCUGGUUGCAUCAUAUACAACUCUUCCAUAAGGUUCCCGUUAAGGAACGUUGUUUUGACGUCCAUUUGCCAAAUUUCAUAAUCAUAAAAGGCGGCAAUCGCUAACAUGAUUCGGACUGAUUUCAGCUUCGCUACGGGAGAGAAAGUCUCUUCGUAGUCAACUCCUUGAAUUUGUCGAAAACCCUUUGCGACAAGUUGGGCUUUAUAAACGGUUACAUUACCGUUUGCAUCAGUCUUCUUCUUGAAGUUCCAUUUAUUUUCUAUGGCUCGCCUGUCAUCGGGCAAGUCCACCAAAGUCCAUACUUUGUUCUCAUACAUGGAUCCUAUCUCGUAUUUCAUAGCUUCAAGCCAUUUGUUGGAAUUCGGGCCCGCCAUCGCUUCUUCAUAGUUCGAAGGUUCACCGUUGUCUAACAACAUGAUUUCCAUCACAGGGUUGCCGUACCACUCUGGUGCGGAGCGUGCCCUCGUGGACCUUCGCGGUUCAGUAGUAACUUGAUCCGAAGCUUCAUGAUCAUUAUCAUUAACUUCCUCUUCAGUUGGUGUAGGCGCCACAGGAACAACUUCCCGCGCUCCGCUACUAUCCUGUUCGAGAGGGGGUGUAAUUGCCUCAUCAAGUUCUACCUUCCUCCCACUUACUUCUUUCGAGAGAAACUCUUUCUCUAGAAAGGAUCCAUUCUUAGCAACAAAGGUUUACCUUCGGAUCUAAGAUAGAAGGUAUACCCAAUAGUUUCCUUAGGGUAUCCUAGGAAUACGCAUUUCUCCGCUUUGGGUUCGAGAUUUUAUGGUUGAAGUUUCUUCACAUAAGCAUCGCAGCCCCAAACUUUAAGAAACGACAACUUAGGUUUCUUGCCAAACCAUAGUUCAUACGGUGCCGUCUCAACGGAUUUAGACGGUGCCCUAUUUAAAGUGAAUGCUGCAGUUUCUAAUGCGUAUCCCCAAAAUGAUAGCGGUAAGUCGGUAAGAGACAUCAUAGAUCGUACCAUAUCUAAUAAAGUGCGAUUACGACGUUCAGACACUCCGUUGCGUUGUGGUGUGCUUGGCGGCGUCAGUUGUGAAAUGAUUCCACACUUCCUUAGGUGUGUGCCAAACUCGUGACUCAAAUGUUCUCCUCCACGAUCAGAUCGUAGACACUUAAUUUUUCUGUCACGUUGAUUCUCGACCUCACUCUGAAAUUCCUUGAACCUUUCAAAUGUGUCAGAUUUGUGCUUCAUCAAGUAGAUAUACCCAUACCUACUCAAAUCAUCGGUGAGAGUGAGAACAUAAUGAUAGCCACCGCGAGCUUCAACGUUCAUUGGACCACACACAUCAGUAUGUAUUAUUUCCAAUAAGUCAGUUGCUCUCUCCAUUAUUCCUAAGAAUGGAGUGUUAGUCAUCGUGCCCAUGAGGCACGGUUCGCAUGCAUCAAAUGAUUCAAAGUCAAUAGACUCUAAUAGUCCAUCAGUAUGGAGCUUCUUCAUGCGCUUAACGCCGAUAUGACCAAGGCGGCAGUGCCACAAGUAUGUGGGACUAUCAUUAUCAACUUUACAUCUUUUGGUACUCACACUAUGAAUAUGCGUAACAUCACGAUCGAGAUUCGUCAAGAAUAAACCAUUCACCAGCGGAGCAUGACCAUAAAACAUAUCACUCAUAUAAAUAGAACAACCAUUAUUCUCUGACUUAAAUGAGUAGCCGUCUCGCAUUAAGAAAGACCCUGAUACAAUGUUCAUGCUUAAAGCUGGUACUAAAUAACAAUUAUUAAGGUUUAAAACUAAUCCCGAUGGUAGAUGUAGAGGUAACGUGCCGACGGCGAUCACAUCGACCUUGGAGCCAUUCCCGACGCACAUCGUUGCCUCGUCCUUUGCCAGUCUCCGCUUAUUCCGCAGUUCCUCCUUUGAGUUGCAAAUGUGAGCAAGAACACCGGUAUCAAAUACCCAGGAGCUACUACGAGCGCUGGUAAGGUACACAUCAAUAACAUGUAUAUCACAUAUACCUUUAACGUUGCCGGCCUUCUUGUCCGCUAAGUAUUUGGGGCAGUUCCGCUUCGAGUGACCCUUUCCCUUGCAAUAGAAGCACUCAGUCUCAGGCUUGGGUCCAUUCUUUUUCUUCUUCCCGGCAUCUGGCUUACCGGGCGCGGCAACGGCUUUGCCGUCUUUCUUGAAGUUCUUCUUACCCUUGCCCUUCUCGAAACUAGUGGUCUUGUUGACCCUCAACACUUGAUGCUCUUUCUUGAUUUCUACUUCUGCAGACUUGAGCAUCGAGUACAACUCGGGAAUGGUCUUCUCCAUCCCUUGCAUGUUGUAGUUCAUCACAAAACCUUUGUAGCUUGGUGGGAGAGACUGGAGGAUUCUGUCAAUUAUAGCAUCAUCCGGAAGUUCGACUCCAAGUGAAGUCAGACGAUCGUGUAACCCAGACAUUUUGAGUAUGUGCUCACUGACAAAACUGUUCUCCUCCAUCUUACAGCUAAAGAACUUGUCGGAGACUUCAUAUCUCUCGACACGGGCAUGAGCUUGAAAAACUAGCUUCAGCUCUGGGAACAUCUCUUAUGCACCGUGUUGCUCAAAACGCCUUUGGAGCCCCGUUUCUAAACUGUAUAACAUGCCACACCUAACCAGAGAGUAGUCAUCACUCCGCGUUUGCAAGACGUUCAGAAUGUCCUGGGCUACUGCGGGAGCGGGAGGGUCACCUAGCGGUGCAUCAAGGACAUAAGCCUUUUUAGCUGCUUCAAGGAUGAGCUUCAAGUUGCGAACCUAGUCCGCAUAGUUGCUACCAUCAUCUUUCAGCUUGUUUUUCUCUAGGAAUGCGUUGAAAUUGAGGUUGACGUUGGCCAUCUACAAUAUUUAUAAAGACAACUUUUAGACUAAGUUCAGGACAAUUAAGUUCAUUUAAUCAAAUUAAGUAUGAACUCCCACUUAAAUCGAGAUCCCUCUAGUCAUCUAAGUUAUACAUGAUCCAUGUUGACUAACCCGUGUCCGAUCAUCACGUGAGACAGACUAGUCACCAUGGUGAGCAACUUCAUGGUGAUCGUAUUCAACCAUACGACUCAUGUUCGACCUUUUGGUCUCUUGUAUUCGAGGUCAUGUCUGUACAUGCUAAGCUCGUUGAGUCAACCUAGGUGUUUCGCGUGUGUAAAUCUCGCUUACACCCGUUGUAUGCGAAUGUUAGAAUCUAUCACACCCGAUCAUCACGUGGUGCUUCGAGACAACGAUCCUUCGCAACGGUGCACACCUAGGGGAAUAUGUUCUCGAAAUUUUAAGAGGGAUCAUCUUAUUAUGCUACCGUCGUUCUAAGCAAUAAGAUGAAAAACAUGAUAAACAUCACAAUGCAAUCAUAUAGUGACAUGAUAUGGCCAUUAUCAUCUUUGCUCUUUUGAUCUCCAUCUUCAGGCAUCGCAUGAUCAUCAUCGUCACCGGCGUGACACCAUGAUCUCCAUCAUCGUGUCUCCGUGAAGUCUUCAUGCCAACUACUACUAUCACUACUACUAUAGCUAACCGUUAGCAAUGAAGUAAAAGUAGUAAGCACAUGGCGUUGCAUCUCAUACAAUAAAUUAAGACAACUCCUAUGGCUCCUGCCGGUUGUCAUACUCAUCGACAUGCAAGUCGUGAAACCUAUUACAAUAACAUGAUCAUCUCAUACAUCAUACAUGCAACAUCACAACUUUGGCCAUAUCACAUCAGAGGUCAAACCCUGCAAAAACAAGUUAGACGUCCUCUAAUUGUUGUUGCAAGUUUUACGUGGCUGAUUUGGGUUUCUAGCAAGAACGCUUUCUUACCUACGUGACAGCCACAACGAUGAUAUGCCAAAGCUAUUUACCCUUCAUAAGGACCCUUUUCAUCAAAUCCAAUCCGACUAGAGUAGGAGAGAUAGACACCCGCUAGCCACCUUUAUGCACGGUGUGCAUGUCUGUCGGUGGAACCAGUCUCACGUAAGCGUACGUGUAAUGUCGGUCCGGGCCGCUUCAUCCCACAAUACCGCCGGAAAAGAAUAAGACUAGUAGCGGCAAGCAAUUGACAAAUCAUCGCCCACAACCUUUUGUGUUCUACUCGUGCAUAGAAUCUACGCAUAAAAAACCUGGCUCUGAUACCACUGUUGGGUAACGUAGCAUAAAUUCAAAAACUUUCCUACGCAUAUUUAGAUCUUCCUAUGGAGAGACCAGCAACGAGAGAGGGGUGAGUGCAUCUUCAUACCUUUGAAGAUCGCUAAGCGGAAGCGUUACUAGAACGCGGUUGAUGGAGUCGUACUCGCGGCGAUUCAGGUCGCGGUGUGAUUCCGAUCUAGUGCCGAACUACGAUACCUCCGCGUUCAACACACGUGCAGCCCGGUGACGUCUCCCGCACCUUGAUCCAGCAAGGAGGAGGGAGAGGUUGGGGAAGAACUCCAGCAGCACGACGACAUGAUGUCGAUGGAUAGACGAGGUCUCCCGGCAGGGCUUUGCCAAGCACCAGCAGAGAGGAGGAGAAAGAAGGGCAGGGCUGCGCCGAGGGAGAGGGAAAAGUCUGUCUCUCAAUGGCCAAAACCGCUCUCUAUUUAUAGGAGGAGGGGGAGGGCUCCGCCACCCCUAGGGUUCCCUCCCCAGGGGCCGAUGUAGCCAGCCCACCUAGGGGCUGGUUCCCUCCCACACUUGGCCCAUGUAGCCCUCCGGGGCUUGUGGCCCCUCUUGGUGGGCCUCCGGAACCCUUCCGGUGGUCCCGACACUUUGUCGGUGGUGCCCGAAACAUUUCCGGCGUCCAAACCCAUCCAUCCUAUAUAUCAAUCUUUACCUCCGGACCAUUCCAGAGCUCCUCGUGACAUCUGGGAUAUCAUCCGGGACUCCUAACAUCCUUUGGUAACCUCGUAUAACAAUUCCCUAUAACCCUAGCGUCAUCGAACCUUAAGUGUGUAGACCCUACGGGUUCGGGAGCCAGGCAGACAUGACCGAGACACCUCUCCGGCCAAUAACCAUCAGUGGGGUCUGGAUACCCAUGGUGGCUCCCACUUGCUCCACGAUGAUAUCAUCGGAUGAACCACGAUGUCAAGGAUUCAAUCAAUCCCGUAUACAAUUCCCUUUGUGUGUCGGUAUAGAACUUGCCCGAGAUCCGAUCGUCGGUAUACCUAUACCUUGUUCAAUCUCGUUACCGGUAAGUCUCUUUACUCGCUCCGUAGUACGUCAUCGUGUGACUAACUCCUUAGUCACAUUGAGCUCAUGAUGAUGUUCUACCGAGUGGGCCCAGAGAUACCUCUCCGUCAUGCGGAGUGACAAAUCCCGAUCUCGAAUCGUACCAACCCAACAAACACUUCAGAGGUACCCGUAAUGCACCUUUAUAGUCACCCAGUUACGUUGAGACGUUUGAUACACCCAAAGCACUCCUACGGUAUACGGGAGUUGCACAAUCUCACGGUCGAAGGAAAAGACACUUGACAUUAGAAAAGCUUUAGCAUACGAACAAUACGAUCUAGUGCUAUGCUUAGGAUUGGGUCUUGUCCAUCACAUCAUUCUCCCAAUGAUGUGAUCCCGUUAUCAAUACAUCUAAUGCCCAUGACCAGGAAACCAUGAUCAUCUAUUGACUAACGAGCUAGCCAACUAGAGGCUUGCGAGGGACACAUUGUGAUCUAUUUAUUCACACAUGUAUUAGUGUUUCCUGUUAAUACAAUUAUAGCAUGAACAAUAGACGAUUAUCAUGAACAAGGAAAUAUGAUAAUAACCAUUUUAUUAUUGCCUCUAGGGCAUAUUUCCAACAAACACGUGUAUCAAAUUAUUUUAGGACCGACACACAGCUUCUGCAGCAACGACAACUCGACCUUGGCCUCUGCUUCGCCGUCGCUAGCAGCCUGGACACUACAGGAAUCAGAGACUUUGUCGUCUGCCAUGGCGGACGGCAAAGGGGAGCACCCCGGAUGGAAAAGCCUUUGCCGUCCGUCUGCAGAUGGCAAAAUGCACGACAAAGAAAAAUCCGGUAAAGAGGUUCUUUGUCGUCUGCCUUGGGCCUGCGGACGACAAAGAAACUUCGCCGGGGGGGGGGGAGACGACAAAGAACAUGGACGACAGAUCCGCGGGCUAGGGCCGUCAAGUGGUAACAGCAGCCUUUGCCGUCUGCUGGGUCCACCAUCCCUUUGCCGUCUGCCAUGGCCCCCUUUGCCGUCUGCCAUGACCCCCUUUGCCAUCUGUGGGCGGACGACAAAGAUGGCAAAUAGUCCUGGCCUUCAGGGCCUUUGCCAUGUGCUGGGCUCCCUUUGCCGUCGGUGGGCGGACGACAAAGAAACCAAAAUGCCCCUGUUUAUUUUAUUUUUUAUUAUAUACAACCAUUUUCACAGGAAUAUAUGAUAUAUAUAUAUAUAUAUUAUACAAAAAUAAUGUUGUUUCCAUACUGAUAACCAUAUUAAAAUAAGUUUCAUCCAUACAUACAUACAUAUUAUGCAAGUUUGAUCCGUACCAAACCAUAUACUACAAUAGUUUCAUCCAUAUAUACAAAAUUUCAUAUCCAUAUAUUACAAUAGUUUCAUCCAUACAUAUUAUCCAAAAAAUACAAGUAACCCAAGCACUCUAUCAGUCCAAGCUUCCGUGAAGUGAAAGUAAUCAACAAAAUGGGAAAUAAGAAAGUUAGAAUAAGAAGACUAGAUGAAGAAGAGAAGUAAGCUAAGUAUAUGUCAUUUUUAAUAAAAUAGGUCAUUUUGGAGCUAAUUUAGCUUACUACAUCAUCUAGGAGGAAACUAAGCUAAGUAUAUGUUAUUCUGGAGCUACUUAGGUAAAAAAAGGUCAGUUAGGAGCUAACUAUGCUUAUUAAGCCAUUUUGGAGCUAACUAAGCUAAUUAUAGGCCAUUUAAUAGCUAAGUUAGGUACAAUGGGUCAUUUUGUAGCCAAGUAAACUUAUUAUGUCAUUUAGGAGAGAACUUAGCUAAUUAUAUGUCAUUUUUGAUUAAAUAGGCCAUUUUGGAGCUAAUUUAGCUUACUACGUCAUCUAGGAGGAAACUAAGUUAGGUAUAUGUCAUUUUGGAGCUACUUAGGUAAAAAUAUGUCAUUUAGGAGCUAACUAUGCUUAUUCAGCCAUUUUGUAGCUAAUUAAGCUAAUUAUAGGUCAUUUAAUAGCUAAGUUAGGUAAAAUAGGUCAUUUUGUAGCCACAUAAGCUUAUUAUGUCAAUUAGGAGAGAACUUAGCUAAAUAUAGGUCAUUUAUUAUGAAAUGGGCCAUUUUUGAGCUAAUUUGGCUUACUACGUAAUCUAGGAGGAAACUAAGCUAAGUAUAUGUCAUUUUAGAGCUACUUAGGUAAAAAUAGGUCAUUUAGGAGCUAACUAUGCUUAUUAUGCCAUUUUGUACCUAACUAAGCUAAUUAUAGGCCAUUUAAUAGCUAAGUUAGGUACAAUAGGUCAUUUUGUAGCUAUGUAAGCUUAUUAUGUUAUUUAGGAGGGAACUUAGCUAAGUAUAGGUCAUUUUUUAUGAGAUAGGCCAUUUUGGAGCUAAUUUAGCUUACUACGUCAUCUAGGAGGAAACUAAGCUAAGUAUAUGUUAUUUUAGAGCUGCUUAGGUAAAAAUAGGUCAUUUAUGAGCUAACUAUGCUUAUUAUGCCAUUUUAUAGCUAACUAAGCUAAUUAUAGGCCAUUUAAUAGCUAAGUUAGGUACAAUAGAUCAUUUUCGAGCUAUGUAAUCUUAUUAUGUCAUUUAGGAAAGAACUUAGCUAAGUAUAGGUCAUUUUUUAUUAAAUAGGCCAUUUUGGAGCUAAUUUAGCUUACUACGUCAUCUAUGAGGAGCCUAAGCUAAGUAUAUGUCAUUUUAGAGCUACUUAGGUAAAGAUACGUCAUUUAGGAGCUAACUAUGCUUAUUAAGCCAUUUUGGAGCUAACUAAGCUAAUUAUAGGCCAUUUAAUAGCUAAGUUAGGCACAAUAGGUCAUUUUGGAGCUAGGUAAGCUUAUUAUGUCAUUUAGGAGAGAACUUAGCUAAGUAUAGGUCAUUUUUUAUUUAAUAGGCCAUUUUGGAGCUAAUUUAGCUUACUACAUCAUCUAGGAGGAAACUAAGCUAACUAUAUGUCAUUUUAGAGCUACUUAGGUAAAAAUAGGUCAUUUAGGAGCUAACUAUGCUUAUUAUGCCAUUUUGGAGCUAACUAAGCUAAUCAUGUCAUUUAGGAGGAAACUAAGCUAAGUAUAGGUCAUUCUAGAGCUAACUUGGGUAAAAUAUGUCAUUUUGGAGCUAAGGUAUGGUAAGUAAACAUCAUUAUGUGGUUAUUAAACACUAGAAAAAACAUACCAUUCUCGUUAGCACGGCGGUGAAGCAUGGUGGCUCUGGCUUGUUUCACAUGGAGAAGGCUCCACUGUAGAAGGGUCGUGCGAUGCAUUUCGGGAGAUAUUCUGCACCAAAAAUCAUGUGCAAUGUGACGUUUGCAUGAUGGCAAUCAAAAGAUCACUGCAUUGAAAUGAAACUCACCGUCCCCGCCAUGUUAAUGACUGGCAUCGCCGGAAGGACGUGGUCGGUCUUCUCGCACAUAGACUGUACAUUUGGUUUCGACAAGUCAAACUUUUAGUUAUUAAUGAAACAAACAUUAAAAUGCAAUAUUUGACAAAUAUGAAGAAGAAACCUACCACUAAGAGCUCGUACAUGGCCGUGUUAGACGCAUCAUUCUGUGCCCUCUCCGCCUCGAACAACACACCCGUCCUCUCCUCCAUCUCCUUCAUCUCCUUCAUCUCCUUAUCCUUCGACGCCAAAAGUGCUUGCGUUGCCUCUCUCUCUUUUAGAAUAGCAGCCUGCAACACAACUCAUUGUUAGCACUGUAAUCAUAUUGGUUCGCACACACAACGUAAUGCGGAAAGAUAGCUAAGUCCAUUAAACUAACCUCGAUGGCGAGAUCGACUGGCCGUGGACGAGGUGUUAUCUCAAGACAGGAGCUUGUUUGGCGUGCCUUUAUCUGCCGGAGAGUGCCAGGACAACGUAUAAGGUCGUCUCCAAUGGCGAUCAAGCCAUGAGGCUUCCCGUUUCCAACUAUCAUCACCAGCUCUGGAUCAAUAGGCCCAUUGCUCGGGUUAAAGUCCUCCCCUUUCCUCGCCUUCCCGUGAUCUCUGUACUUCACGAGCUUGUGGUGGGAGGAGAUGUUGGUGAAGUUUUCAGGAUGAUCGAGGUCAGACUCAGAGAAUGCCUUGACCUUCUUGUAUGAGGCAGUAUGGGCCAUCGCAUAGAGGUAGUAGAUCUGUGGCACCUCCGUCUUAUUGUGACGCACCUAAAAGAGAGAGAGAGGAAAAAUGUAUUAGUAAUGGGCUCAAGCUAGUAUUAAGAAUGAAUUGCAUGAGUCAUGAAGCAAACCACAUACCGAGUUCUCACCAAACCCAUUUAAGUUGACGCUCCCUUGAUGGUGUGGCACACCAACCAUUUUGGCACACCUCUCCUUGGCAUUGUUGUGGCUAGCCUCCCAUUUUUCGGAGCACCACUGAUCCACCAAGGCCUCCCAACAAUCCAUCUUAUCCACACACCAUCUCGGGGUCACCUAAGUUAAUAAAGAGAAAUUUGAGUGCUACGUGUAAGAAUCAAAUCAAGGAAACUAACUACAAGGCCUUAAUAAUAUGUAAUUAUCGUCAUGCAAUGCUCCUUCUCCAUCUUAGAAUCGUGACACUUCGCCUUAUCCUUCCUAAUAUGUCGCGAGGAGUAGUAGUCUCGAACAACCUGCACCCGAACCUCGUGCCGAAAGUUUUGAAGUAGGCGACGACAUUCGGUUUCGAUAACCUUUGUCGCGUCCUCCUCGUAUCCCUCCUCACACCUGUAGAAGGUCUGCAAACGAGACAACACUGAUUAGUACAAUAACUAUCUAUUGUUGAUUUUUAAUUGUGUAAAGGAGAAAUUACCCAGAACUUUCUGAUCACCAUGUCGGCCCUCGUGUGGCACAAAACACCGUCGAUCUCCACCUCUGGCGGGGCCGGGGCACCCAAGUAGUGCUCCCAGAUCAUUCCUACCUCUCGACCCCGACAGGCCAAUGUAACAAACCCCGGGAAGUUUUGCCGGCAAAGCACUCCAAGGACGCUGUUGGGCUUGCAAACACCCUUGGUAGCAAUCCAACUCCUGCAGUAUGAAAAAUUAAAGCCAAAACAUUAGAUAUUUGAGAAAACGUGAAGGCAAAAGGUUAAAUAAGAGUAAAUUAACUUACUUGUCCCCAUUUGGCUUAAUCGACCACCUCUGCUCGCAGGUCGCCGGCACGAGCGGGAGCCCCAUAUUACCACGCUGGUAGACGGUGGUCCCCUCACCCAGCUCCUCAUCGCUAUCAGCAUGGACACUUGGCUCCGGCUGACCCAGAUCAGUCCAUGUAUCCCACUGGGUCUAUUGGGACGUACCCUCAUCCCUGCUUUGCUCCGGAGUCUCCUCAAACGAAGCCUAUGAACACGAGUCUCGUGGGUCGAAGGCUCGUCGACCCGAGGCUCGUGAACCGGAGACCGUGUAGCCUCCACCUUAGACGGGUCCACCCUAGAAGUCUUGUGCUCAGGUGAAUAAGCUUGGGGUGGCGGCAAGGAAGGCGUGGCAACCACCCUACCUCUCCCGCGACCACGUGUACCUUUAGUAGCUCUCGGAUUCGCGGGGGUACGACCUCCUCUCACGGGGCCAAGAGAGUCGAAGAAGCGGCCACUCCAUGCAGAGUAGAGAGCAACGCUCUCCGGAGAGGCGAGGCAGGAAUGUAAGUACCCAUCCCACCACCCGUCGACGAAGAAGGAGGCGUGGAGUGGUUUCGAACCUUUCCCACCAUGUUUCAACACGUGCCAUGACAAAGAGUAAAUGAAAUUAGUACAACAUAAAUAACAACACGAGUAAUAAAAUGUAUAUAAUUUAAGUGUAUCAUCAUCAUAAAUAACAACAUGACUAAUAAACAUUAAAUACCUAACAUGAACUAAAAAUUUAUAUAUGUAUAUAAUAAUAGUUGAAUACGUGACAUGAAGUAUUAACAAUCUUGAUCGUCUAUAUAUGCUUCGGCGUCAAUAAAUGCAUCAUGAUCAUCACUAUCAUCAAUGAAUGCAACAUCAUCAUCACUAUCAGGAAGAACAUGUGGAAGGCCUCCAUUAUGUAAUCGGUCAAGAAGUGACAGGUCAUCCGCAAUAGUAACCUCUUCUUCUUCCAGCCCUUCCUGUUCCGGCUCAUGGAUUAAGACAGAUUCACUGUCGCAGUCUACUUCAAUGUUCUCGGGCGAAGUAGAGCGGUUCUUGAAACGUUUUUUGGACAUACAUGUUUCUUGGAAGAAUUCUCCUUCAUAUGUGUCUGGGUUAAUGUGAGGUUCUUAAUCCUCUCCAUUGAGCGUAGGUGGUCUAAAACAUGGCGGCACUUCAUAAACGACAUCCCAACCUUUCACAUUUGGAACAGUUUGGCAGGCUUACGGUAGAUAGAAAACUUGUGUCGCUUGUUGAGCCGUAAUAUAGACAUCGGGAACAUCUAAAUGGGUAUUUUGGUUGAUUUAGACUAGUACUAUAUGUUCAUGAGUCCUUCUAGUCUCCCUCGGCUCAUACCAAUAACAUUUGAAGACUACGACGGUUGAUGGGUUUUCACCAUAGAAUAGAAGUUUAUAAAUUGCUUCAACUCUUCCAUAAUACUCGGUACCUCCUUCGCCCAUAGCAGAGACAGAACAAUUUGUAGUAUUUAGGUCGGGCAUAGAUAGCUCUUUGCCAAAGGUACGAAAGUGAUACCCGUUAAUGUUGUAUUUGUCAAAUGAACGGACCUUUUAGUCAAAACCAUUAGCGACUUGUCUCAACUCGGCGUCCAUAGACUCUGCAUCAGCCUACAAGUUUGAUACGGAAGAAUGGAUGCAUUAGGCGCAAAUUAGACCAAGAAAUCAAAUGGCCCAUUAAUGGUAAUUAAUUAUCCUUUGUUUGAACUAAGAGAUGAAACCGGGAUAAUUGCCUCCAUGCUUUCCAGAAGCUCAUACUCUUCGACGGAAUCAUUUUCGAUGACCGCUCCAUCCGAGAAUUUGGCGACGUAUCAAAUAUAUCAAAUAUCCGGGAAUAAGAGCAGUUCAAAGGAAUUAGAAGUUGUGGAACGAUAAUUUACCGAGAACUUACUCGACGUACGACCACACUUCUGUUAGGUUGAAGAUAUACAAUGAAAUGGUCCUCCAUUCUUCGACAUCCGACGAUUUCCCUUUCGAAGCACCGGCUGGCGCGAGCUUCCCUUUGAAUAGGCUGAGGUUGGUUCAAUCUUUUUUAGGAUCGCCAUCAUUGUACCGAGGCUUCCGGUUAUGCAAAUGAUGAUUUUUGGCUUCGUAGUGUGUUGUCACGAAGUUAGCCGCCUCCUCAGUAUUGAAUGCCUCGGCCAUCGAUGCUUCAAUUCUACGUUUAUUUUUACAUUUAGCUCGAAGCGUCUUCUACAUCCUCUUAGUUGAGAAGCACCAUCGAUUUUGAAUGCCCCCCAAUCUUGCCUCGGUCGGGAGAUGCAAAAUCAAAUGUUGCAUUGGAUUAAAGAAGCCUGGUGGAAAGAUCCUUUCUAAUUUGCAGAUCAACUCCGCCGCCAACUCUUCUGUUUUAUCUAGCACGCGAGGCGAUAGUUCUUUCGCACAAAGAGAAUGGAAUAAAUAGCUCAGCUCCCCCAGUACUAGCCAUUCAUCCUCAGGGAUAAAGCCACGCUACAUCACCGACAUUACCCGCUCAAUCCAUAUGUGCCAAUCAUGACUCUUGAGACCAAAUAUUUUCAAUUUCUCAAGACUCGCUCCCCUCUUUAGAUUUGCGGCAUGCCCCUCGGGGAACAUCAAUCGCAUUUUCAUCCACAAUAGCAUUUCCCUCAUAGCUGGCCUUUCAAGAUUGAACCAUGCCUUUGGCUUCGCUAUGCUUUGCUUUUCUUUCGGUUGUCGCAAGUUUUGCAACGGUCUAUCACAUAGAGCCUCCUGGUCAAUUCUAGCCUUACGAUUAUCCUUUGACUUCCCCUCUAUGCCGAACAAUGUACCAAAAAUGGCCUCCGCAAUAUUCUUUUCAGUGUGCAUCACGUCGAUGUUGUGUGGGCAAAUGAGGUCUUUGAAGUAAGGCAGAUCCCAUAAGCAUGACUUGUGAGUCCAUUGUGUUCCAUAUUAUACCCUUUCAAAUACCCUAUAUGCAAAGGAUUAGGCUCGAGAGUGUUUAACUGAUCAAGGGUCUGUUGGCCUGUCAACGCAGUUGGUGCAGUGUUUUGGACAACUCUACCUUCGAUGAAAUUCUUCUUGUCUUUUCUGAACUUAUGGUCAGGAUCCAGGUACUGUCUAUGCAUGUCGAAGCAAGAAAACUUGCGACCUACCUGCAGCCAACGGAACUGAAGACCUGCCUUACAUCUGGUGCAUGAGAACCUUCCAUGCACAAACCAGCCAACGAAUAGCGCAUACGCCGGAUAGUCAUACGUCGAGUACAUGUACCACACAUGCAUUUUGAAAUUUUUUUCGUAGCGGCGUCGUAUGUGUUGAUCCCAUUAUCCCAGGCUUCUUGCAAUUCAUCCUUAAGCGGCUGCAUGUACACAUUCAUAUUCUUCCCCGGAUAGUUGGGCCCUGGAAUUAUCAACGUCAGGAAAAUGUUCUUUCUUUUCAUAAUCUCUCCCGAGGGAGAUUGAGUGGAAUGACAAAUACAGGCCAACAACUGUAUUGUGCUGCUAUCAUACCAUACACAUUGAACCCAUCCGUGUUGAUGGCAACUUGAGGAUGCCUUGGAUCUGCCGAUUUAUCCUUAUGUAAUGCAUCGAAGUGCUUCCACGCAAAAGCAUCUGAAGUGUGUGCCAACAUCUUGUCCCAUCCACGUCUAGUUCGGUUCUUUUGCCCAAUUUGUGCCAUGUCAUUUGUCUGCCCGUCUCUUCGACCAUGAAAAGACGUUGAAGUCUUGGUACAAUUGGUAGAUACCGAAGAACAUUAAUGGCGAUUUUGGUCUGAAUCUUCUCACCCAUAUCGUUGUCUACCACAAUAUACCUGGAAGAAUUGCAAAUGGGGCAAUAGUUCAAGGCCGCAUAAUCAAGCGUAAAUAAGGCACAUCCAUUCUCACGGGCAUGUAUCUUCUUAUAGGGCAUCUUAAGUACGUGGAGGAGUUUCUCUGGCUGGUAUAGGUUUGCAGGCAGUGCAUCGCAUAUGGGUAGAAAACGUCCAAAUAUCUUCAUCAUCGCGUCAUAGCAUUCUCUGCCUAGGUUGAAUUGAGCCGUGAGAGCCAUUACUUGCGCGAUGGCAUCCAGGUGACAAAGCUCAGUGUGCUCGUGGAGAGGACAUUUUGAAGACUCCAACAUUUCAUAGAAGGCAUAUGUAGAUUCUUCCAUCUCAUCGUCCGAAUCCCGAGCAUCAUCAAAGUCUUGCACCAUGUCUUCGAUCCCGGUACCAUUCUCGCUGGUGCGACGACGAACCAUCUCAGCUCUGGCACGUUGGUCAGACUCACCAUGAAAAGUCCACACCGUAUUAUUAGGCGUAAAAUCCCACUUCUGCACGUGUUUACCCAUUUCAAACUCUGUCUGCUUUUUCCAGUUGUCGCAGUUGGAACAGGGGCACCAUUUUUUUAUGGCCAUUUGUAAAUGGGGCUCUCACAAACCCCUUGGUUUUGUUAACCAUUCAUUGGUCAUGUCUUUCUGACUAGGGUGACCAGUGUACAUCCAAGCACGGUCACUCAUCUUGCCUAGCUACCUAUGCGCACACAAGAUAUAUAUAUAAAAUUCAUCAACUAUAUUCAUUGGCUAAUCAAGUUUGUAAGUUUUAUUACGUCCAUGCAACCUACACGCUAAUAGGUAAAGAUAGGUCCUAAUCCCACCCGAGUAUGUGUAGAUUGGGUUCAUUUUCCCAUGCUCUGCUCUGGAUCCAACGCAAAACUUCGGCAACACCUCCCCACAGUUCUCCUGAUACACGUCUCGGCAAUAAACAGAGAUGAUGUGUAUCUCGAGAAGAACAGGGAGGCACUAACGAAAUUAUGCAUCGGAUCCGGAACAAAGCAUAUGGGAAAACGAACCCAAUCUACACAUACUCGGGCUGUCGAUGGAUAACCUUGGACAAUUCAGAAGAAUCACGGUUAUAAAUAUAUGCAAAUGCAUGCAUAUUUAUAUCUGUACCCCUUUCGAACAGGAGACGCAUUCUGGUCAUGCAUACUGAUAUAUUAAUUUACCUAUAUCUAGCAAGUUUCAUACGAAAACCGACCAGAGAUGUCAUUUGUACUCACCCACGAAUGCAGGGGUGGAGCUCAUCGAACGCACGGGGAUGUCUUCGAACAGCAGACCUCGCAGCGACGAGACAACUGGACAUAUAAAUCCACCCGAUCAACACAAAUAUUAGAUUGGAAAACCCUUCAAACCUCGACAUGAGUACAAUUAGCUAAGUUAUGAGCUAACCAAAGUUCUUAUGAUGUUUUUUACCUAACUAAGCUAAUUAUGUCAUUCUAGAGCUAAACUAGCUAAUUAUGUCAUUUUGGAGGAUAAUUAGCUAAGUAUGUCAUUUUGGAGCUAAAUUAGCCAAGUUAUGAGCUAACCAAGGUUAUUGUGAUGUUUUUUACGUAACUAAGCUAAUUAUGUCAUUCUGGAGCUAAACUCGCUAAUUAUGUUAUUUUGGAGGAUAAUUAGCUAAGUAUGUCACUGAUUCCAUUAUUAUUUUCUUCUAUUUUCUUCUUCUCUUCUUUUCUUCUAAAUAUUUCUUUUCUCUUUCUCCUCCUCUCCUCUUUCUCCUUCUUCUUCUUCUUCUUCUUCUUCUUCUUCUUCUUCUUCUUCUUCUUAUUUUUUCUUUUAGUUUUUUUCUUCUCUUAUUUUCUUCUAAGUUUUUUCUUUUCUAUCUACUUUUUUCUACCUAAUAAACUAACUAUUUAAUUUAACAAAAAAACAGGAAAAACUAACUAUCUAAUUUAAAAGAAAAAACAGAAAAUAAACUAACUAUCUAAUUUAACAGAAAAAAUAGAAAAUAAACUUACUAUCUAAUUUAAAAGAAAAAAAGCAGAAAAAACAGGGGUGGGGGCACUCACCGGAGUUGGGGACGCCGAAGGAGGGGGAGCCGCGAGGAGGGGACGGCGCUGGGAGCCGGUGAGGGGAGGGGAAGGGACGGCGCCGGGAUCGGGGUGUUUGUUGGGGAGGGGGCAGCAGGGGGCGGUGGCCGCCAGGGAGGGGGGAGCCGUGGGGAGGGGGCGGCGCCAGGUGCCGGCAAGGAGAGGGGGCGGCGCAGGAGUGGCCGCUAGGGAGAGGGCGGCGCCGUGGGCGGUGGAGGGUUGGCCAGCCGCGGGGUGGUGCUGGAUCCAAACGGGCGGGUGGAGAGAGAGAGAGUGGGGGUAGUCGAGCGAGGCGGGGGGGGGGCAUUAUAGGCACGUCCCCUUUGUCGUGUGCCCCCAGAUGGCAAAGGGACCCACGACAGACGGCAAAGGCCAGGCGGACGGCAAAGAGCGUGUCCGUUGGUCUUGCCCAGGCCCAAGGUCCAGUGGGACCCAUCUUGCCUCUUUGCCGUCUGCCUUGGGUCUCUUUGCCGUCAGUCUUGGGUCUCUUUGUCGUCUGGCUAAUGGCAAAUAGUCUGUUUGCCAUCAGUCAUCACUUUACCGUCUGCUUUAGGUCAGCUUACGGCAAAGAGCAUCUUUGCCAUCAGCUAACAAACGACAAAGAACUGGUUGAUGGCAAAUUACUGGAUUCGACUAGUGGGAGGGCGGCCUCAGCACUCGCAAGCAGAGCCCGCAGCCCCUCCACCUCCUCCUGAAGCUCGCCUAAUUUGAGCUUCUUGGCCGAGGGCGCUCGAAAGUAAAGGAAAUAUCAACCAACAAGCAGCAGAUGAGGCGACAAGGAAAGGAGAUGAAGACGAGGGACUUACUCGUCGGCCAGGGCCCGCGGUGGCAGACGCACGAGGGCCCCGAGGGCCCUCCGUCGCUGCUUUCGAGGGUGGACGGGGGUGCAUAUGGAGCCGCGUGCUUCCCCUGUCGGGUCCGCCUCCUGAGGACGCCAAGGAAGACACGGAAACGGAGAGGAAGGAGGUUUUCUCGAUGGAGCGAAGGGAAGGAGAGAAGGAGCUCAAGAUUGCAGUGCCUCCCCCUUGACGGGGGUGGGGCAUAUUUAUAGGUGAACCAAGACCGCCAACCAUCGUGGGAGCGCGAGCGUCGCGGGUCCCACGGGGGUUGCAAGGUGGGCCAACGGGAGCGCUGCCACCCACGUUGUUUCACCUGGCCGCCGAGCAUUCACGUCUGCGAGGGCCGUUGGGUGUGGUCACGCCACACCAACGCCAUUCAAUGGGAACAAUAAUGGCCUGCGUGGUUCUCAGAGAUCGUGCCAUCAUGGCCUAGUGCACCCCUGACGCCUCGAGGAGCGAAAGCGUCACCACACAGCAACUGGACAUGUGUGCCACUUGGCCCGUAGGCUACUAGGGCCCGCGACGCUUCGGGCCGCCCUCAAGGCUUCGCCGAGAAGCCAACCCAGGUGCGCCUUGUGCCCGAGGGCUACUGUCGGUGUUCUGGGAAUGGGGGUACCUAGACCUGCCUGCCCGCGGCCCAGGGCUGGCCCACCUCAUCAAGCAAGCUGACGGGCCCGGCAUCACUCAAGGCAAGGCCCUCGUGAGGGGCCAAGCCUCACGAGGAGGAACAACAUCAAGACCCGCAGGGGGCCUCCUCAGGACCCCUCCGGAGUGGCGGAUAUUUUGAGGUGAGGCCCGUCCUGAGGAGUCAAGGAUGACACAAGGGAAGGACAGGCGAGCAGGAGACAACAGGGUGGCGCAGUUUCCCCUUUAGUGCAGAAUAGGCAAGGACGUACUUAGGUUCCCAAGGCAUCUUCCAAAGGUUUCCAUUCUGGUGUAACAAGACCAUGGCCGCCCGCGAGAAGGACGGACGUCACCCCUGAACCCGCCCCUGCAGUGCUGGCAGUCACUUUGCAGGCAAAUACCACUUUUGGACAGGGGAAGCAUGUUCCCUUGUCCCCUUCGAAAUUGGCCGUUCUGGGAUCCCUUCCUGCUGAAACGAUAAGGGAAGAGGACCUAGGCCACGACUAUAUAUAGAGGAUAGGUUGCUUCACAGAGAGGGACCCCGAUUCAUGAGUUCACCCACUAGCUCCGCACAAAGUCACGAAGCCUCUGGAAGCCCUCAAGAACACUGUACUAGUUCAUUCACCCACCUCCAAGAGAGGCAAUCCACCAAAGCAGGAGAAGGAUUUUACGCUUCCCAGUGGCCCGAACCUGGGUAAACUGCCGUGUUCUGUGUCUUCCUCACUAUCGAGUGAGUUUCCUGUGAUGUCCAUCGAGUAGCGAGCUAGGUGAGGUAGAGCCGAUAGAGAUCUUCGUACACGCCCGUGUGUUCGAACCUUUAGGGUUUUGUGGAUCCCGAAAUCCGACAGAUCCGCUGCCCGUCAUUGCUCAAGAAGGUCGGGGAUCGUCGUAGGUGAGCUUGGGUGGCGGAUUGUAGUGAAGGGGAGUGAAGUAAAGUGGCAAGGGUUUGGUUCGACGAGUGGAUGGGGACGAAUAUAUGUGAAUNNNNNNNNNNNNNNNNNNNNNNNNNNNNNNNNNNNNNNNNNNNNNNNNNNNNNNNNNNNNNNNNNNNNNNNNNNNNNNNNNNNNNNNNNNNNNNNNNNNNUUGAACAGCGACAAUAAACUUGCUGCGCGGAACACUGACGAUGGAUGGUCAAUCAUCCUGGAAUCUCCUCCAUUUGAUCAAGUCGAAAACGAGAAGCCUUGGAGCCGCCGUCUUCCCGUGAGAGACAUUCAGUGACCGGGAAAAAGGUUACUGAGGCGUAUCAUGGUAGAGAAACAACAUUGCUGUUCUAGUAUUUUUCAGCUAGGAGGAGGGAGUGUUUUAAUCAUUUUUCUAAUUGUUGUCGUUUCUUCUGAUAUCGUUGUCUAAUGUCUCUGGUAGUUCCAUUGCUAAUGUGCUGGGAAGCAAACCACUUAUCGUGUGACUUGGUUUAGGUACUGGGUAGCAAAGGUAGAAAAGGAAGGGAAAAGAGUUGGAAAGUGGUUCCACUUGCGUCAAUUCCAGUAGUGUAGAAGUGUAGAUUGACCUCAUUUUGUAUCAGAAUUUACUCCCAUUGCUGAGAAAAGGAAAGAAAGAAAGGGACCGUAGAUCUAUCUGUUCAUCAACAGACCUGCGUUCGUUACCGUGCAGCCUUUCGUUUUCGCUUUCUUCUUUCUGGUCCGGAACGGGGGUUUGAUCGGGACAUGUGGUGUGUGGCCGUGGCCGUGGCCUGUAUUACAAAGCGGCGCAGCGCCUUUCCGGGACGAUUUUGAUCGGCUGAGAGAUCCCGUCCAGUCUUUUCUUUCUGGNNNNNNNNNNNNNNNNNNNNNNNNNNNNNNNNNNNNNNNNNNNNNNNNNNNNNNNNNNNNNNNNNNNNNNNNNNNNNNNNNNNNNNNNNNNNNNNNNNNNUUCUUUCUUUCCUUUCUCAGCAAUGGGAGUAAAUUCUGAUACAAAAUGAGGUCAAUCUACACUUCUACACUACUGGAAUUGACGCAAGUGGAACCACUUUUCCAACUCUUUUUUUCCCUUCCUUUUUCUACCUUUGCUACCCAGUACCUAAACCAAGUCACACGAUAAGUGGUUUGCUUCCCAGCACAUUAGCAAUGGAACUACCAGAGACAUUAGACAACGAUAUCAGAAGAAACGACAACAAUUAGAAAAAUGAUUAAAACACUCCCUCCUCCUAGCUGAAAAAUACUAGAACAGCAAUGUUGUUUCUCUACCAUGAUACGCCUCAGAACCUUUUUUUUUUCCCGGUCACUGAAUGUCUCUCACGGGAAGACGGCGGCUCCAAGGCUUCUCGUUUUCGACUUGAUCAAAUGGAGGAGAUUCCAGGAUGAUUGACCAUCCAUCGUCAGUGUUCCGCGCAGCAAGUUUAUUGUCGCUGUUCAAGUGCGUCCUGUCAUCAGCCUGCCGUAGCAACGCUGCUCGUCUGCUCCUCGCUUCUCUUGGCCGUAUCAAG
rnacentral:lncRNA from 1 species